CGGGCAGGAGGAAACGCGUAGGGGGGGGCGACGCACCUGGCGGCGGCGGAGGAGGGCGAGUUCCCGGACGCGGCGCUGGCGCCGCCGUCGUCGCUGGCGGAGGCGGAGGCGGAGCUGAGGCGCGGGGUGGCGGGGUCGGCCUGGUCGCUGUGGUGCGGGGACGCCGGGGGCGGCGGCGGCGGAGGCGGCUGCUGCGGGGCAGCGAAGACGACCUUACUGAGCAAUGUCGACCAUUUCAUGGUGCCGGCCCCUCAUCCGCCGCGCAGAUCCCGGCCGGAUCCCGCCGAUUCGCCGGAGUUCCGACGCGAUCCCCCUCCUCGCGCUCCCCUCGUUCCCCCCCUCCAGCAGAAAUGAUUUCCCCGGCGUGCGCGCGUGCGUGGCCGCCUGCUCCCUCCGCCUCCUCUCCCUCGUCGCCUCCGACUCCUAUUUUUGUUGUGCUGUUUCUCUCUUGCUUGUGUGCCCUCUCUCUCUCUCUCUCUCUCUCUCUCUGCCUCCUCGCUUAUUUCCUUCCCUUUUUCCUCUUUUCUUUCCUUCCUUAUUUUCUCUCUUCACGCGCUUCCCCCUCUCUCUCUCUCUCUUCUUCCUCCUCCUCUCUGUUUCCUUUCGUUGGGUGUGUUUUUUGUAUUGCGGACUGUGUCUUCUCUGUUUGGUUUGGUCGUCGCCUGCUCGCUUCCUCCCUCCCCUCCCUUCCGUGACGAUAAAUAUCGGUUUACCAGUUCAAAAGAAAUAAACGCAGGAAAAAAAUCUGCGGGUAACAUCGUUAACGACUGCUACUAACCCCUCUCUGACUUUGUGUCCGAUUAACUUUAAUCUUUGCGACUUGUGUCUGACGUACUGCUGUGUUUGGUGAGUGUGAAUUUUGCACAAUGAGACUGCUAGUGCCUAGUGGUGCACUAAAAAAGGGGUAAAUUGCCAAGCAGCGGGGUGAACACACAAAGAAUUUUCCAGGAUUAUGAUUUUUUUCUGGGAUCAUGCCCAUAGAUUUUGAUGUUUGAUGUUUGGUGCGCACACGCACAAAAAAAAUUACAGUAUACACAUAGAAGAUGAAGGGAAAAUACCUUUCGAAGAUAGAAGACAUCGAAGGCGCGGAUCCGAGNNNNNNNNNNNNNNNNNNNNNNNNNNNNNNNNNNNNNNNNNNNNNNNNNNNNNNNNNNNNNNNNNNNNNNNNNNNNNNNNNNNNNNNNNNNNNNNNNNNNNNNNNNNNNNNNNNUAGCAAGGACGAGUAGUAAAAGACUCGUAGGCAGUGGAUCGGUGAUGGAUGAGUAUGACGGAUGUCAUUCAUCAUGUAACAAAUAUAACACAGAGAGAUAUGUAACUAGCUCCCGUUCGUUAAUCUAAUGUAGGCAUGUAUUCCGUAUGUAGUCAUACGUGCUUAGGGAAAAGAACUUGCAUGACAUCUACUGUCCAUCCCUCCCGUGGCAGCGGGGUCCUAAUGGAAACUACGGGAUAUUAAGGUUCUCCUUCUAAUAAAGAACCGGACCAACACAUUAACACGCGGUGAAUACAUGAACUCCUCAUACUAUGGUCAUCUCCGGGAGUGGUUCCGGCUAUUGUCACUCCGGGGUUGCCGGGUCACAACACAUAGUAGGUGACUACAACUUACAAGAUAGGAUCUAAAACACACAUAUAUUGGCGACAACAUAAUAGGGAUCUGAAUUCAUGGCACUCGGGCCCUAGUGACAAGCAUUAAGCAUAGCCAAGUAGUAGCAACAUCAAUCUAGAACAUAGUGGAUACUAGGGAUCAAUCCUCGUAAAAAACUAACUCGAUUACAUGAUAGAUCUCAUCCAACUCAUCACUCUCCAGCAAGCAUAUGAUGAGAUUACUCACGAACGAUGAAGAGCAUCAUGGAAUUGUCGAUGGAGGAAGGUUGAUGAUGACGAUGGCGAUGAUCUCCCCUCUCCGGAGCCCAAAACGGACUCCAGAUCUGCCCUCCAGAUGAAGAACAGGAGGUGGCGGCGCCUCCGUAUCGUAAAACGCGAUGAAACCUUCUCUCUGAUUUUUUUCCGGGCGAGACGGAAGAUAUAGAGCUGAGUUUGGGGGCGGUGGUGCCAUGUGGGCCCCACAAGCCCUCACGGCGUGGCCUAGGGGGGUGACCGCGACCUGUGGGCUUGUGGCCCACUGGCAUGCCCCCUCCGGUGGAUCUUUGCGCACGUAUUUUUCUUUUAUUCCAGAAAAAAAAUUCGUAAAUUUUCAGGACAUUCCGAUAACUUUUAUUUCUGCACAAAAACAACAACAUGACAAUUCUGGUGAAAACAGCGUCAGUCUAGGUUAGUUCUAUUCAAAUCAUGCAAAUUAGAGUCCAAAACAAGGGCAAAAGAAUUAGGAAAAGUAGAUACGAUGGAGACGUAUCAACUCCCCCAAUUUUAAAGCCUUGCUUGUCCUCAAGCAAUUCAGUUGACAAACUGAAAGAGACAAAAGAAAAACUUUGACGAACUCUGUUUGAUCUUGUUGUUGCAACUAUGUCUAACUCAUAUCCAGAGUUUCAGCAAGAUCACAAGCAAACCACAUAAGCAAAUGACAUAUAGGUCUCGCGGUAAACUCAUAUCAAUGGCAUAAUCAACUAGCGAGCAAAUAAUAAUAAGCCUCAAAUGUCAACACUUCAAUCAAAACAACAUGAAGCAGUACAAGUAGAUGGUAUCUCGCUAGCUCUUUCUGAGACCGCAAAACAUAAAUGCAGAGCACCUUCAGAGACCAAGGGCUGACUAAACAUUGUAAUUCAUGGCAAAGAAGAUCCAGUCAUAAUCAUACUCAACACAGCUAAAAGCAAAGCAUAAAAAUGACAGAGGUGCUCUCUAAUUGGUGCUUCUGUAAGAGGAGGAUGACUCAACAAGAACAUAGAUAGACAGGCCCUUCGUAGAGGGAAGUAUUGAUUUGCACAGGUGCGAGAGCUCAAGCUUUGAAAACAGAGAUAAUAAUUUUGGGUGGCAUGCUUUCAUUGUCAACGCAAUGACUAAGAGUUCUCAACAUCUUCCACGCUACACAUGCUAUAGGUGGUUCCCAAACAGAAAAGUAAAGUUUUGACCCCCCCCACCACCAAUCAAUCACACUCCACGGCUAGCUGAAUCCUCGGGUACCGUUAAUACCAACAUCAAUCCUGGCGGAGUUUUGUUUGCAAUUAUCUUUUCGAUUUGAGCAUGGAACUAGGAAUUCCAAUUAGCGGCCCCUUUCUCGUGAAUGAUAGUGAAUAAACACAUAUCGAGGAUAACACGCCUAGCAUGGAAGAUACCAAUAGCCCCCUCUCACCACUCAGCGGUUCGGGCAUGCAAAACAGAUUAUUUCUUGAAGGUUUAGAGAGUGGCACAUGCAAAUUUACUUGGAACGGCAGGUAGAUAACGCACAUAGGUAGGUAUGGUGGACUUAUAUGGAAUAACUUUGGGUUUAUAGAAGUGGAUGCACAAGCAGUAUUCCCGCUUAGUACAAGUGAAGGAUAGCAAAAGACUGGGAAGCGACCAACUAGAGAGCGACAACAGUCAUCAAAAUGCAUUGAGAUUAACUAACAUUGAGUGCAAGCAUGAGUAGGACAUAAAUCACCAUGAACACGAACAUCAUAGAGGCUAUGUUGAUUUUGUUUCAACUACAUGCAUGAACAUGCGCCAAGUCAAGCCACUUGAAACAUUCAAAGGAGGAUACCAUCCUAUCAUACCACAUCAUAGUCAUCUCAACAUUCAUGUUGGCAACCAAGACAAACCAUUAUAAGCUCCUAGCUAAGUAAGCAUGGCAUAAGCAACUAUUAUCUCUAAGUUGUCAUUGCAAACAUGUUUCUCUCACAACAAAGCUGAACUAGGAGCGGUGAGCUAGUCAUAUUUACAAAAACAAAAUAGAUCGAGUUCAUACCAGCUUCUCCAGGCUCAGUCUCUUCAUCAUAUAUCGUCAUUAUUGCCUUUCACUUGCACGACCGAAUGAUGUGAACAAUAAUAAGAGUUCUCGUGCAUUGGACUAAAGCUGGAAUCUGCAGGCAAACACAAAGGAGAAGACAAAGUAAUAUGGCUCUUUGAAAGCUAAAUAGGUAUGCAUGCAAGAGCCACUAAACAUUGUAACCAAUAUCUUCUACCUUGACCCAAAGAGAAAGAAAACUAUCUAUACACGAAAGCUCCCAACAAGCAAAAGAAGAAAAGAAAAUCUUUUGGGUUUUCUCAAACUAGACAGACACAUGAAAAGAAAACGAGAAAAAGAAAAUAAACUAGCAUGGAUGAUACAGUGGUAAAGUGUGAACACCGACGAACAAAGUGAAAGCAUAAGCAAUAAUGUAAAAACGAUGAGAACACGUACUCCCCAAGCUUAGGCUUUUGGCCUAAGUUGGUCUACUCCCAAGGAGGGAAAUAACCAGCUCCGGGGUGCUCCGGAGUGGACUGAGGAUGCCACUGUUGUGUGAGCUCCUCUGGCUCCCACUGAUAAACUGGCGUAUGGUACUCGACUGGCGGAUCGGGCACGAGCACCUAUGGUUGGGCCAAGCCCCAAUAUGCAUAGAUGUCCGAGGGCAUAAUAGUGUACCUGCCUGCAUGAAGAUUAAACAAAGAAGGAGCAGGCAAAGUAAUAGUCUCAUGAGUACCGUGACUUAAUACCAGGUUAUAAAUCAUCCUUCUAUUUAUAUCUCUAUCAAGAAAGUCAUGGUGAACCAUGCUAUCGUAAUCUAGAUAUCUCUCGGGAAGAAGAAUCUCUUCUUCCUCCUCCAGUCUAAUAGGUAUCUCGAAAUGUCUAGCAAGACGAGUAGCGUAGAUACCUCCAUAGACAACGCCUUUAGAACGGUUCAGGUUCAACCGUUGAGCUACUAUAGCGCCCAAGUUGUAAGUUUAUCGUUAUAAAGGGCUUCGCGCAAGACCGCAAGAUCUGGCGAGCUAAGGGACCCAGCCUUCCCACGGCCAAUCAAUCAUUUUCCCACAAAUAAUGAGAAGUACCGAAGCACGGGAAAAUGAAUGCUAGCAGCUCUAGCGCAAGACACUCCUCUCUCCUCUCCUACAACAAUUGUAUCGAUGAAAGCAUCCAAGUCCCGUGGACGAGGUUCAUGAAUAUCCCCAACAUAAGGUAAUUUGCACACAUUGCAAAAAUCCUGAAGUGACAUGCGCUGGGGGAUAUCAUAAAGUUUAAACUCAACCAUAGGAGGAUUCUUCCUCGGAUAGAAGUUAAAGCUUUGUACGAAGAUAUUAGUGAGGAGGAGGUAUUGCGGACACUUAUCUUCAACUAAGGCGGUAAGGCCUGCGUUCUCCACCAAGUGAUAAAAGUCCUCAUAAAUUCCAGCGGCGCGUAUGAACACGUCGCUUGGGCACUAAUACGUCUCCAUCGUAUCUACUUUUCCAAACUCUUUUGCCCAUGUUUUGGACUCUAAUUUGCAUGAUUUGAAUGGAACUAACCCGGACUGACGCUGUUUUCAGCAGAAUUGCCAUGGUGUUGUUUUUCCGCAGAAAUGAAAGUUCUCGGAACGUCCUGAAAAUUUACGGAAAAUAUUUUUAGAAAUAUGAAAAAUACCUGCUCAAAGAUCCACCGGAGGGGAUGGGCCAGUGGGCCACAAGCCCUGUUGCCGCGGCCACCCAAUGGCCGCGGCAACCAAGCUUGUGGGGCCCACGUGGCUUUGCCGCCCCCAACAACAGCCCUAUAAAUUCACUUUCGUCCAGAAAAAAAAUCAGAAGAGAAGAUUUCGUCACGUUUGCGAUACGGAGGCGCCGCCACAUCCUGUUCUUCAUGUGGAGGGCAGAUCUGGAGUCCGUUUUGGGCUCCGGAGAGGGGAAAUCAUCGCCAUCGUCAUUAUCAACCUUCUUCCCUAUCCAAUUCCCCGAAGCUCUUCAUCGUUCGUGAGUAAUCCAUUCGUAGGCUCGCUGGGCGGUGAUGAGUAGGAUGAGAUCUAUCAUGUAAUCGAGUUAGUUUUGACGGGGAUUGAUCCCUAGUAUCCACUAUGUUCUGAGAUUGAUGUUGCUACUACUUUGCCAUGCUUAAUGCUUGUCACUAGGGCCCGAGUGCCAUGAUUUCAGAUCUGAAAUUAUUAUGUUGUCACCAAUAUAUGUGUGUUUUAGAUCCGAUCUUGCAAGUUGUAGUUACCUACUAUGUUUAUGACCCGGCAACCCUGGAGUGACAAUAACCGAAACCACUUCCGGUGAUGACCAUAGUUUGAGGAGUUCAUGUGUUCACCAAGUGCUAAUGCGUUGUUCCGGUUCUUUAUUAAAAGGAGAACCUUAAUAUCCCGUAGUAUCCUUUUGGACCCCGCCGCCACGGGAGGGAUGGACAAUAGAUGUCAUGCAAGUUCUUUUCCCUAAGCACGUAUGACUACACACGAAUGCAUGCCUACAUCACAUUGACAAACGGGAGCUAGCCAGAUAUCUAUCCGUGUUAUAACUAUUUCAUGAUGAAUGUCAUCCAAAUGAAUCAUCGACCCAUUGCCUACGAGUUUGUCCCACUGCUGCUGUUACUUGCUUUGCUCUGCUGCUGUUACUUGCUUUGCUCUGCUGCUGUUACUACUGUUGCUGCUACUGUUAUUUGCUUUGCUCUGCUGCUGUUACUACUGUUGCUACUUGCUGCUGUUGUUACUCGCUACUGUUGCUACUUGCUACUGCUGUCACUACUGCCGUUCCUUGCCACUAUUGUUACUCGUUACACGGCUGCUAUCUGCUACAGUACUUUUCUGGCGCCAUUGAUACAACAGUUAGGAAUAGUCUGCCUUGUUACCAGAUCGUUUCUGACCCCGUUGUUAUCAUACUACUUUGCUACUGAUACUCCACUUGCAGAUACUAAUCUUUCAGGUGCGGUUGAAUCUGACACAUUCAGCUGCAUUCUUCUAGUGUCGUUGUUGUGGACUGCUAGCAAGCAGCCACUCGCACGCUCGAACUUCUGCGACUCGAGGGACCAGAUACUUGGGCUUCUUCUCACUCCCAUCAUCCUUGGGGUCACGGCUUUACUAGCCUCUUAAGAACCUCCUCAUCUUUUCCCUUUUCUACCUGUGAAAAUUUCUGAAAUUUUUAGUGAUUCAAAGGAAAAGUGAAUAAGGCUCAAAAAAACUCGUAGCAACUACUCCCACAAGUGCCUAGAGACCAUAUUACACAUCUAAACUACUUGGGACCAGCUAAAAUUAGCAUGCAAAACUCAAGAACAUGGUCACCAAGGCAGCAAAAAUACGCGGAGUAUAAGGCACUAGAGCAAAAACUAAUUGGACCAAUGGAGGAGUCACUUACCAAGGAGUAAUUUCCCCAAAACAGUUCGGAGAACGGUGAUUUGGGCAAAGAGAUCAAAAAUCCCAGCAAGAGGAGCAAGAACACGGGUUUGAGCUGCGAAACGAUUUUUUCUGGAGGUAGGAGAACCAGAUGAGAGCAAGAAUGAGUGGAGGGGGUGCCUGUGGGGCCCACAAGCCUGGGUUGCGCGGCCAGGGGGUGCCCGCGCCCCAAGGGCUUGUGGCCCACUAGUGCAGCCCCGAGACAAACUCUUUGUCUCGAAACUUUUAAAAAAAUCUAGAAAAAAAUCAUACUAGAUUUUCAGGACGUUCGGAGAAAUUUUAUUUUCGGGGUACUUUUCUACCGGACGCUAAAACAGAAAACAGGGAAAACUAAACUAAAUCUAUCAUUUUUCUUCUAAGCAACCUAAAGUGAAAGCUUGGAACAGAGGUUUGUGGCUCCUUGAUUUAUCCAUCUCAUGGUUAUCGAAAGAAAUCCGUCAAUGGGGUUGAUCAAAUCCCCUCGACAAAACUUUCUUGAAUCGCAAAAGAAGACGGUGAGUUUUCGAAUAGUCACUAGGUCACCUCAAUGGGGAUGUGAAUUUCCCCAACAAGCAAAUCAUACUUCAUCUUGACACGAGGAAUAGGGCAUUCAAAGCUCCCAAUAAGAAUUGAUGAAGUUUUUUCGAUAGCAUUGGUGCAAUGUACUCGAUAUUGUUUCUUCGGAAAGUGCACCGUAUGCUCAUUACCAUUGACAUGGAAAGGGACAUUGCCUUUGUUGCAAUCUAUAACAGCCCCUGUAGUGUUUAAAAAGGGUCUUCCGAGGAUUACAACCAUAGCAUCGCCCUCGGGAAUAUCCAGAAUAACAAAGUCCGUUAAGAUAGUGACGUUAGCGACCACAACAGGCACAUCCUCGCAAAUGCCGAUAGGGAAAUUAGUUGAUUUGUCGGCCAUUUGCAGAGAGAUUUCACUGGGUGUCAACUUAUCCAGUUCAAGUCCACGAUAGAGAGAGAGAGACAUAACACUAACACCGUCUCCAAAGUCGCAUAACGCAGUUCUCACGUAGUUGGCUUUAAUGGAGCAAGGUAUAAUGGGCACACCGGGAUCACCUAGUUUCUUAGGAGUUCCACCCUUGAAGGUAUAGUUAACGAGCAUGGUAGAAAUCUCAACCUCAGGGUAUCCUCCUCUUAUUAGUCACAAUAUCUUUCAUGUACUUAGCAUACAGAGACAUCUUGAGCAUAUCCGUCAAACCCAUUUGCAGAAAGAUAGGUCUGAUCAUCUCAACGAAUCGCUCAAAAUCCUCAUCAUCCUUUUUCUUGGAUGGUUUGGGAGGAAAGGGCAUAGAUUUCUGAACCCAUGGUUCCCUUUCUUUACCAUGCUUCCUAAAAGUGAAGUCAUUCUUAUCGUAUCUCUUAGUCUUAGGAUGUGGGUUAUCAAGAUCAACACCAGGUUCAAUCUCCACAUCCUUAUCAUUGCUAGGUUGAGCAUCUUCAUGAACAUCACUAUUGAUAUUAUCAUUAGGCUCAUGUUCAUCACCAGAUUGUGUUUUAGCGUCAGAGAUAGAGGCAUCGUUUGGACUCUAAGGUGUAGCAGCAACAGGGUUGCUAGCGUGCCGGUUCCUAUCAUAUUUUUUCUUCUUAGGAUGACUAGGUGCAUCAGUGCCAACUCCUUGAGAAUCUUGUUCAAUUCUCUUCGAAUGACCCACAGGAUACAAAGGUUCCUGGGUCAUUCUACCGCCUCUAGUGACGACUCUGACGGAAUUGUCAUUCAACUCAUUGAGCAAGUCAUUUUGAGCUUUAAGUACUUGUUCUACUUGAGUAGUAACCAUAGAGGCAUGUUUACUCAGAAGCUUAAGAUCAUUAACAUUUCUGUCCACACAAGCAGUUAAAUGACUAAGCAUACGAGCAUUCUUUUCCAAUUGUCUGCUAACAUAAUCAUUGAAACUGUGUUGUUUGGUAACAAAGUUAUCAAAUUCAUCCAUGCAUAAACUAGCAGGUUUAUCAAAAGGAAUAUCACUCUCAUCAAACCUAUGCAGAGAAUUUACUUCUACUACCUGUAUCGGGUUAUCGAGACCAUGGAUCUCUUCGAUAGGUGGUAGAUUUUUGACAUGUUCAGAUUUAAUGCCUUUAUCUCGCAUAGAUUUCUUGGCUUCUUGCAUAUCUUUAGGACUGAGGAAUAGAAUACCUCUUUUCUUCGGAGUUGGCUUUGGAGGUGGUUCGGGAAUAGUCCAAUCAUUCUCAUUGCACAAGAUGUUAUUCAGUAGAAUCUCAGCUUGUUCUACGGUUCGUUCCCUAAAAACACUACCGGCACAACUAUCUAGAUGGUCUUUGGAAGCAUCAGUAAGUCCAUUAUAGAAGAUAUCAAGUAUUUCAUUCUUCUCAAGAGGGUGAUCAGGAAAAGCAUUCAGUAGCUGGAUGAGCCUCCCCGAAGCUUGUGGGAGACUCUCUUCUUGAGCUUGAGCAAAGUUGUAUAUUUCCCGUAAGGCAGCUUGCUUCUUAUGGGCAGGGAAAUAUUUUUCAGAGAAGUAGUAGACCAUAUCCUGGGGGCUACGCACACAACCAGGAGCAAGAGAAGUGAACCAGAUUUUAGCAUCAUCCUUUAGCGAGAAAGGAAACAACUUGAGCAUCUAGUAGUGACGAAUCUUUUCCUCACUAGUGAAUAGGGUGGCUAUAUCGUACAGUUUGCUAAGAUGGGCUACAACCGUUUCAGACUCAUAACCGUGAAAAGGAUCAGAUUCGACCAGAGUGAUUAACUUAGGGUCGACAGAGAAUUCAUAAUCCUUAUCGGUCACAAAGACAGGCGAAGUGGCAAACUUCGGGUCGUAUUUCAUCAUAACGUUCAGAGAUUUUUCUUUCCACUUGCGCAGUAAUUUCUCAACAUCAUAGCUAUCCUUACACGCAAGAAAGUCCUCAGCUAUCUCUCCCUCCAUAACAUAGCGCGUAUCAGGCAUAACAGGCAAUUCAGGCAUAGGAGAGCUAGUUCUAGCAGGCAAAAUAGCAAGUUCUACUUCAAUAGUAUCAACAGUUUUAGAAGUAUCGUCACGUUUAGCAGCAACUCUAGCAAUAUGUGCAUCAAGGAAUGCACCAAGUGGCAACGGCGCCAGAAAAAGGUCUUGAUAACCCACAAGUGUAGGGGAGCGCAACAGUUUUUUAGGGUAGAGUAUUCGACCCAAAUUUGUUGAUUCACACACAAGGGGAAGCAAAAGAGUAUUCUCAAGUAUUAGCAGCUGAGUGUGUCAGAUUCAACCACACCUGAAAUAUUAGUGACUGCAAGCAAAGUAUCAGUAGCAAAGUAGUAUGAUAGAAACGGUGUCAGAAACGAUCUGUUGACGGCAGACUAUUCCUAACUGUUGUAUCAAUGGCGCCACUAAGUUGCACGUGGGUGGAGAACUAUUCUUCCUCGACAACAGUGUUGGAAAGGAUCUUGCAACAAGUAAUAACGAAGUAGCAAGGAACAGGAGCAGCAACAACAGUAGCAACAGUAGCAGCAAAGUGGCCCAAUACGUUUUGUAGCAAGGGACAAGCCUGGACAACGUAACGUAGCAAGGACGAGUAGUAAAAGACUCGUAGGCAGUGGAUCGGUGAUGGAUGAGUAUGACGGAUGUGAUUCAUCAUGUAACAAAUAUAACACGGAGAGAUAUAUAACUAGCUCCCGUUCGUCAAUCUAAUGUAGGCAUGUAUUCCGUAUGUAGUCAUACGUGCUUAGGGAUAAGAACUUGCAUGACAUCUAUUGUCCAUCCCUCCCAUGGCAGCGGGGUCCUAAUGGAAACUACGAGAUAUUAAGGUUCUCCUUUUAAUAAAGAAACGGACCAACGCAUUAACACGCGGUGAAUACAUGAACUCCUCAUACUAUGGUCAUCUCCGGGAGUGGUUCCGGCUAUUGUCACUCCGGGCUUGCCGGGUCAUAACACAUAGUAGGUGACUACAACUCGCAAGAUAGGAUCUAAAACACAUAUAUAUUGGCGACAACAUAAUAGGUUCAGAUCUGAAAUCAUGGCACUCGGUGUUGGAAUUAUGCCCUAGAGGCAAUAAUAAAUGUAUAGUUAUUAUUNNNNNNNNNNNNNNNNNNNNNNNNNNNNNNNNNNNNNNNNNNNNNNNNNNNNNNNNNNNNNNNNNNNNNNNNNNNNNNNNNNNNNNNNNNNNNNNNNNNNCAACCCCCCCCCCCCCCAAGUCUCCAAGGGGGAUCCAACUUCGUCCCUUUGUGGCACCUUGUCCCCUAAGGAAGUGGUGGGCACUAGGCACGUUCUAGAACAUUCUAAAAGAUUUCAAAGUCUUCUUAGACCAUUUCAGAAGAUUCCUCCACCUUUCGGGAACCUUUGCAAUUCCAUUGGGACACUUCGGGACCUCCUCAAGCACUUUCGAGGUCAUCUGAAACACUCUCGAAACCCUUCUCUCUCAUUCUCUCUCGUAGUGCUUCUACAUACCACUAGUCAUUAGGCGUGUGACCCUAUAGGUUUGAGAGUACGCGAACAUGUGUGGAACAACUCCCGGUCGAUCAAGAUCAUUAUCGAGUGAAUCUUUUGUUAUCGCAAACAAUUUCCUUUGCCUCAUGGUACACUACAAAACACAAGGCGAGACUUUUAAUAGUAUCCCCCUGAUCAACACCUCGAUUACUAUGCCUAGUUAUUCUCGUUAUUGGCUUGUACUCUUUUCUCAUUUUUUUAUUACAAUAUUCCCAUGAAUAACAUCUUAAUCACUGUAACUGGUCACGCAAUGCUAGGUGGUGUAAUACCGAGUGAGUCCAGAGUAUAUCUCUCCAUCGCUGGAGGGGCAAAUCCUAGUCUUGACACAUCAAGCACUAGGACAUAUUCUUCUGGCGUACCCGAAAGUCGCCUUUAUAAUUACCUACUUAUGGAGUAACAUUUGGCAACCCCAAAGUAACCAUCUCUAGUAUCAAGGUCUACGAUAUUAGCAUGGUCUAAGAAUGCAAGUAAACGUUAACACUCUAUUUGAAAAUACCGAUGAUAGAUUGACGACAUGAUCUUAUAGUAUUUCGUAAGUUGGGUCUAUCCACACUACUGCUAGUCUAACAAUGUGUUCUUAUUAUUGCAUGAACCCUUGUUACUUUAGAAAUGCCAAUAGUUAGGGAAACAUAACUAUCAACAAUACAUGAUCUAGUCCAGAGGCAUGACCAGGGAACUGUUUAGCGUUUCUUUCUACACAUGCAACUAAUUUUGCAUCUGAAUCUCAUAUUAAAGUACCAUUGUCAUUCUAGCAUAGGAAUGUGAAUUUAAUCAUGAAUACGGAAAUAGAAUAAUAACACUUUUAUUAUUACCUCUAUAACAUGUGCUCAACAGGAAAACACCGAACCAAAGUGCAAGCUCUUUGCCUAGCUCCUACUGUUUCUGAAAGCCCUUAUUACGGAUCUCCUUGCUGCUCGUUGGUGGCCGCAAGAGGAGUCUUGCAACUCACGAAGUUUAAAAUUAACAAUCACCCUGCAAGAUUUGUUUUUUUGUUGGAGGCAUUGUUGCGAGCUGCCUUUCAAUUGCUAUAUAUUUGGCAUUAGUUUUCUCAUGUCUUCUUGUCUACGCCAACAAUUUCUCAAUCGUUACUUUUACAAGCUCCUGAAUUUCAACUAGUUUUUUCUUUUCUGUUUGAACUCUCGUGCAUUCGACUUGCUUGUGAUGGCUUCGUGCAUCAUAUCAAAGGUUUUGGCCAACACUCAUUUGCACGCUGCACCAGGAGGCGCCAAGGAGUUUCGCCGGGUUUUUUUUUUUUUGCAGCCUAUGGUCCACCGUCCGGCUGCCUUGAAUUGUUCCUCUUCCAAAAACAAAACAAAAAAUAUUUAUGCUUGCCUUGGCCUCUGAUUUACUAUUUCAUCACCAAAGCGCUGCAUGUUACGUCGACGCUAGUACCGGCAAUAUGGUCCUGGAUUGUCCGUGUCGUGCUCAACUUUAGACGUGUGCUCAUCUUUUUUUCUGAAGGGAAAAGAUACAGAGGGAGCUUUUUUUUUAAUCUCCUGGGCCACCAACGGGCCACGACUGAAAACAUAUGAAGUUUCAAAACAGAUUCAUCCGAGAGCGAUGGGCUGCUCCCUGCGGGGUCCACGUCGCCGCCGGCCUCGCCAGUCAUUUUUUAUUGUGGCCCCUGAAUUUCCCCUCCCUUCCCCACAACAUUUCCGUCGCCGCUUCUUUUAACCAGUAAACCCUCGACGGUGUUUCUAUUUUCACCUCCUCACCGCACAAUCCCCUUCGCCGUCUUCCUGGCUGCGGAUUCUCUCGUUCGGCUUCUUCCGGCAGCUCCCCGCCUCCUCCGGUGGUACUGAUUCUUCUUCCCCAACACCUUUGCUUCCCUGUCUUUUGAUCUGGUUCCGGUUGAACGGAUUGAUUUAUCUGCAUCUGUCCGAUCCGGUACGCGCAGUAUUUGGCUGUUUGGGGUUUGGAUUUCUGGUCUGGAAGAAUCUCCAGUUCCGUGUCAUUUCCAAGAUUUUCACUAGGCUGGGCUGUCUGCGGUCGAGAAAUAGCCGAAUUUGUGCGUGGGCCAUUCACGAGCUACUGAUUUGUACAACUUGAUGCUUGCUGUCCAUCUUGGUUAUGCAUAUCCUCGUAUGGCGCACUAAAGUAAUCAACAGCAUGGGAAUCUCAAAAUAAAAGGAUGUCGUAGUAUGUAGAGUGCUCUAGUAGCUUGUAAAUUUUAAACUUUAAAUUCAGUAUGUGUUGCAAGAAGUAGAGAGGAUCUUUGUGAGUAGUACAGCACCGGCAGUUUUCUGUUGCAAUUUUCCUUAUCUGUGGCUGAUCAAAUCAUUCUCUAUUGUAGACUUAAGUUGCCGGCGGCUUCUGAAAUCCUGUCCAGUUGCCGGAGAAAUGUGCGAGCACCUUGCCGCAGCUUGAUGAGCGACCAGUCAUGCCGGCGCUACACGGACCCGUUCUGUUCGUCAGGCCCGGUGCUUACCAAGAGCUGAAACCGUUCCCCAAAAACGCCGCUGGUUCGUGUAGCAAUUUAUUGGGUGGCAACGCAGUUUGUAGUUCCGUUGAAGGCCAUCAUGUACAGAAGCCACACAUUGUUUCUAGCUUCAGAGUCAACUUUACCAGAGUCAGCCAUUAUCUUCAGAGAAGCUUAAAUGAGAGAACUGCAAGGCACUGGCUGGUACGGUAUGCUUAUCCACUGACCUCCCAUGUGUGAUGUGUUGAAUUCUCAAUCACCUUUUGUUUAUAUUGAACCAUUGUGUUGUGUGCAGCAUCGGUUUCAUGUUAAUGCUUCAUCGGAUGAGGACUUCCGCUCAUCGCGCAAUAUAGCGACCAGCCUAUUCAAGCAGUAUAAGAAUGUCAUUGAUCGAGGAGGAGGAGAUAACAUAAAAGUACUGGUUCUUGUUGAGAUUCUUCAUUAUUUGAUGUGCUUGACAUAAUUUCUGUCCAUAAUAAUCAUAAAGUCUGUCUUUUAAUGUUACCAGGGGUUUGUUAGUGCUGGAGUGCAGGCAUAUGCCCUAGGCUGUACAGAAGAGGGGCUUAGGAAGGAACUUCUGGAUAUCAAAGAUUCUGGCGUCAAAAUUGAAGGCCUACGAUCCUAUGGAGGAGGAACAAGCUUGAGCUUCAAAGUCAGUUCUUUUGAGGUUAGCACAUUCUCAAACAUGAAUUAGACCACUUCAGUUAACAACUUGUACCAUUUAUGUCCAAAUAUCUUUGAUCUAAACUAUGCUCUGCUCUGUAGUAUUCAGAGUCUUACACUCAAACCGACGAGUUUUGCUUUGAUAUAUUCCAUCACCAUAUCUUUACUUUCUUCUAAAUAUGUUAACGAUUGUCGGUAGAUGCAGUCCAACAAAUCAUAUUUGGGAAAAUAUGAAGCUUGAUAUAAGGUAUACCAUUUAGGCUGUAGCCCAACAGAGGACAUGUUCAUCAUUGUAAGCACCCUUCACAAGAUCUUCGGUGUUCUCAUUCCAUUUGUCUCAACGAUGGUUUUUUCAUGUACUGUAGGUAAAGGAGUGCAUCCUGUGGCUUAGUAUAGUGUUCAUUACAAUCCUGUGCACACCGCAGCCAACGGUCAUCAGGUGGUCCACUACCCCACCGGUGUCAGCCGACGUCUUGCAUCAGUGGAAAGGAUUUUGUGCGCUGAUAGCAAACGCUUAUUACACCAAGGGCAUGGCAUGGUAAGAAAGUUUUCUGUAAGCAUUUUCUUCCCUUUUUGUCUAAUGAUCCUGACCGCAUUCAAACCGGACAUGCAGGCUGCCAGUGAAGACAUUGCAGUUGGAACAGAUGGCUGUGACAGGCAGUUCAGAGGAGCCAUCAGUGGUCGCAAGUCGGAUGCAGCUAGUUUUCAGCACAUUAGAGGUUCGUAGCAGCGCCUUCGAAUCUGCGGAAACUAGUCAAAUGAAAUUGCAUCCUCAUUGUUUCAACUCUGCAGGUAGUCAGCCCACAAUGGCCAAGGGUGUGAUGAAGGAAGUAAAAGCGUUAUGAUCAUGCAAAGGCAUGUGGGUUUACAGAAAUCACAUGUCUGAACCAUAUCCAGGGACGAUGAAUCUUCUUUUGUGAUACUGAAGAUAGUGAAGUAAUUGCUCAAUUCAUGUAUAUAGAACCCACAGCUGCUGUAAAUCUGCCUGAUGCACCUUUGUCGUUUCCGCACGUUUUUGCUGUUUAAUUUGCGAGAGAUGUACGCAUAUUUCUUCAAGAAUUAAGCUUGGUCUAUUUGGUGUUAUGAUUUAGUGGUAGCAGAUUUCUUCCUUUUCUUUCACUGCAACUCUGAUCUACCAUGUACGUAUCGGAGUGUGUGUGUGGACUUCCAUGGGUCCAACCAUUGGUGUAUACCCACUACUAUCCCGCUAAUGACCAAUGGAGGCCGGGCUCCAGUGAGCUCGUUUUAAAAAAAACAUAUUUAUACAGCGCAAAAAAAAAAUCAUUUUUUUUUGUACAUAUACAAAUACAUGUUUAACAGUUCCAGACCAAUAUGAAUUCAUAUGUGGUCUACACAAAAAAGACAAAUACGUAAAUAAAAAUGGGCCAAUUUGUUUUUGUUGUUGGGCCUACAUUUUGUCUGUUUUACACAGCAUGCAAAUCAGAGUAUUUUUGAACGAAAAUUUUCAGAUCAGUCAAGAAUAUGUAUAAGUUCUCACGGGAUUAUUUUUUUUGAAUUUUUUCGAAGCUCGGAAAUAUCAUUUUUGAAGAUUUUGACAAAAAGAGCUCCAUGGAGCCCGGCCUCCAAAAAUUUGCACCCCUACUAUCCAUGAUAUUUUGAAGCCUUUUGGCAUUCUGAACACAAAAUUACAACCAGGAGGCUCACAUAGAUCAACCAAUCAUCGACAUUCUCUUCUACUUGAUCAAGCUGGGGUAUAGUGGAACAAGAGAGAACAAGAACUUUGUACGAGGAUUACAAACUUGGUGACACAUCAUCAGUACUCUUGACACCUCUUUUUUUCUUCUUUUCGAUAUGAAGACUCUGAGGAUUAAUUAUGUAUCUAUGUUCCACAAGUAAGCUUCACAUUUCAUAAUAGUUGAUGCUAAAGGUACAAGGUGAUAAAUUAAAAAGAGGAGUGUUUUUUUAGACUAGCACCAAAGAGAGGGGGUGAAAUGCUACAAUAUGACAGAAAAUAUUCCCUGUUGGAGCCAUCUGCUGCUGCCAUGCCAAGUAGACGGUGCCCUAGACCCUGUUGUACCCCACGUUUUUACUGAACAGGCGGCGGAUGUAAACGACUUGCAACGCACUGGCAGCCAUGAAAGCCGCGUACUCCGCCAUUGUGUAGAACAUGACACGCCUUCUGGUGCUCUCGUUUGCUGGAUUCAGUUGGUCAUGAAGAUCGUCAUCACAAAAUCAUACAAGAAAAGAAAAAAAAAAGUGAAAAUAGCAGGCAAUGUCCUUGACAGCUUGGAUGAGUUAAAUAUCAAUAACUAAUUUGACACUUCAGAGUUUUUCAGACUAAAGAAAGAACUUUUUGAACUGACAUAGGCAGGUUAAAUAAAAUAAGGUUGAAUAUUGUCCCUUAUUCAAGAUCAUGUGGUUGUCACCACUGAACAACACGCCACUAUGGUGUGGGUAAAAGGAUGCCAAUUCUACAACGGAGCAUAACUGCAGAAAAGGAAGCUUAAACUCCAAAUGAACUUAGUCACCACAUCCACAAUCAAGAAACCGUGGACAAAUAAGUGUUCCAACUGUCCUAAUGCAUUUCCUACACUAGUUCUGGUGUUUUCUGACUAGUUGCUAGCUUUAGGAAUUGUCUCCAUCUUUAGGAGUCUACUGCCUCUAUACAAAUAAGUCUCCUUCAUUAGUUUAUCCCUGCCCCUGAGGCAUGGUUGCUAUCAAGCCGACAUCAUGCCUCUUGUGGUUGUUAGGAAGUAUUAGUAUUAGUCUAGGAGUCCUUAUUAGUCUAUUAGUAUUAGUCUAGGAGUCCUUAUUAGUCUAUGUUUACUUUCCUUGCACCUCAAGUCUUGUGUAAUAUAUAUAUGCCCCUUGGGCCUUCAAUAAACAUAAGUUGCUUUCCUAACAUGGUAUUAGAACCUAGGUUUAGGUCUCCGGACGCUGCAACUCGUCCUUACGAUCCAACUUUUUUUUUCUUCCUCUCGAUCGAUCUGUUCUGGGUCGAUCUCGUCUUCUCCCGUCGUUCCCAAGCUGUGUGGGCACAUACCACGAAGCACCUGCCGUCGUCGCGCUGAUAUACUCGCUGCAGUCCCAGCCGUCGUCGCGCCGAUCUCUUCCCUGGUCGUCACUGCCGUUCACGGCCGUCGUCGCGCCGCCCUCGCCAGUCUGCCGCCGCCGCCGUCCUCCACUCCGGCCGCCGGAUCUUCGUUGCUCCACUUCGGAUCGGCUCUGCUUCUCCUCCAGAUCGGGUGGUGGCGUUGCAGUCCAGGUCGACGAGCUGCUGGCCCUGCAUGCCGGUCGACGCGGCAGGGGAUGGCGAUGGCGCCCUGGUGCCUGAAGCCGUACUCGCGCUCGGCCUCGUCGAGGAGGACCCUGUUGCUGCGUUCCUGCUAGCCUGCUUUGUUCUGCUGCUGCACACGCGCCUGCAGCUGGCUUUCCCACUGCUGCUGCUAGGUUGCUGUUCUACAAGCCACGUACAUGACAUGAUCCCCCGUGCUACUCUUCUCCUGCACGUCCAUCUGCGUGCUCCUCUGUCUACUUCCGCUUGCAUGAUACUGCUUUGCCACUCUUCUUUGCUAGCUUGUGUGCUGCAUCUCGUGCUUCCCAUGGCCGUUUAUCAUCGCUUGGCCUGCUGCUACUCUGUUUUGGUCUCUGAUUUUUUUUACGCUGCUAUUGCAUCUAGUCUUGAGUUUAGUCUAUGCUACUAGCUUUCUAUAUUUUUCCGCUGCGUCCACCAAAUCCGUCGAUGUUUUGUGUUAUCACGUCAUGCGAGUCCACCAUACCUUUGUCCGUCGGCCUUUUCUCUGGUCCUGAUCCUUUCUAUGCAACUUUUGUGGCCUACUUGCCCUUGUUGUUUUCUAUAGGAUUGUGUGGACUUCUUCUGCAUUGUCGAUCUACGUCCAUCGUGCCUUAUCCGCCGAGCUUCUUUCGCCGACGGUUGUCGUGGACUAUGAUUUUCUGCACAAUGCUUUAUUCUCUUGAUGUGCCAUCUUCUUUUGACAACCCAUCUUCUCUUGAUACUUUUCUUCUAUCUUCAAGUGAUGCGGUGUCUACCUCUGAUGUGCCAUUUCUUCGUUCUCUCCUUCGGCGACUCGACAAGUUUUGAAGACUCUUCAUGCUACGACGACACUCUCAAGACGCGGAUUUGGAUUAUCAUUGUUUUUUAGUAUUACACUUCUUCAAAUGCAAUGCUAUUGCAUACGCUUUGCAUUUGAGGGGGGGGUGUUAGGAAGUAUUAGUAUUAGUCUAGGAGUCCUUAUUAGUCUAUUAGUAUUAGUUUAGGAGUCCUUAUUAGUCUAUGUUUACUUUCCUUGCACCUCAAGUCUUGUGUAAUAUAAUAUGCCCCUUGGGCCUUCAAUAAACAUAAGUUGCUUUCCUAACAGUGGUUAAGUCUAGUAUCAUACACUUAAAAAGUCUAGUAUCAUACUUCACUUAAGAAGUCUAGUACCAUAACAUGCUCCGUAAAACAAGGGGAUUGGGUGGAUCAGAGUAAAAUCACAGGAAAUUUAUGCACUCUAUAUGUGGUUAACAGGACCAUACAAGAAGGCCAAAUUCACUAGAUAACAUCUACAGAAGAAAGUUCAUGAAGCUUACUGUGUCGGUGACGAGCGUCACGUGCUUUUAGGUACUUCUGCUCGGCAGUGACAGAUUCCAGUGCUUCCUUCAGCUCUGCAAUUUUCACAUUGAUAGGGUCCAAGUGCUCUGGAACAGAAACAAAUAAGUGUUAAACAUAAAGGAAUGGGAAGUUGAGAACAGAUAUUUUGAUGAACUAGUAAACCUGAGAUCACAUAAAGCAAUCAAAUUGAUUAUUGCUCAAUACACGCAAAAGAUACUCCCUCCAUCCCAUAAUGUAAGACGUUUUUUGACACUACACUAGUGUUAAAAAACGGCUUGCAUUAUGAGAUGGAGGGAGUAGUAAUUUUAAAGAAUAGAAAGAUGCUGAAAAUCUCAAGGGACAGUCAGUACACUGACCAUCUUUCGCCAGAUUGUGCUCAUUGGGUAUGUGCCCAACAUGAAUGUAGAAAGAAACGGUUUCAGGUGCCCCAUAUGGAUUAUGGAAGCAAAACUUAUACAUUCCGCCCCUUGGAGCUUUGAACUCAAAUUUGUCACCAGACUUUCCCUUCAUUGUAUAUACAGUGUUGCCACCUGGUGAAGUUACCUACAUUGAUGGAAAAUGCAUUAUAGACUAUCAGAAGUAGUUCUUGACGGAUUGUUUUUUUGAGAAGGUUCUUGAUGAAAAUGCAUUAUAGACUAUCAGAAGUAGUUCUUGACGGAUUGUUUUUUUGAGAAGGUUCUUGAUGGAUUGUUAAGUGAACAUAGUAACAUACUUAAAUGCUCACAUAAAAUGCAAGCUUACAAUUCAAUAUUUCACAAGUGAACAUAACAGGUGCAACCAAUGCAAAAUUAGCUUUGCUAUAGUAAGGAUAUUAACAAAUUAAAUGAACAAAAGAGGAGUGGAUAAGUCUAUGAAAUAGGUCAACUUUAUUAAGAAAUAAAUAAUUCUUCACAUGGAAAACCAAAAUGACACAUCCCAGCCGAAGUAAGAAAAUCACAUUAGUAAUACACAAAGUAGGAUGGACUCCAAUAUUUACCAGUAGCAAACAGCAUUGUUGGUCAUAAGGUGAAACAAAUAAUAUAUGCACUGGCAUAAAAUAAACCACCAUUUUUCUCAGCACGUGAACUAAACCAUCUAAUAUAGCUGGAGUGAAGUCAAUUGUUUACUGAUGCUAGUAUUGAAGUGAAGCAAAAACAAUUUGGUGUUUAAUUUACCUCAUGACUCAUCUACAAAAUGGCUACCCAGCUACCCUAACUAGCAAUAGUGCAAGACCAAUUCAUUUAGCAUAACCCUCAACCAAGUAUAUCUUAGAUUUUAGACAAAAAUGGGUAAGAAGUGAUUUGUGCCCUCUACUACAGAACAGGGCAUUUAACCAUUUAAACUUUGGGAACAGGUUCUCCCACGUUAGCUGUUUAUGCAACAUCCCAGCGUGACAGGAAGCAACUCCUUUAGAGCCUUCUCCACUGAUGUGAUUCUUUUCCGAGUUCAACUGUUGUGUUGCUUUGGUAAACUGAAUCACCGUAGGAAAAUAUUUCAGUAUUUUGAUGACCAGUUGGGCCUGAAUUCUCAACUUAAGUCCACAUUUGUUGAAAGCAAACUCUAACAAAACAGGUCGACUGAAUCAAAUUGUCAACUAAAUCCAGAUGUCAGUCUUAUUGUCCCUUAUACACCAGAUAACAAAGCAUCCAAAUACAAAGGAACCAGAGAAGACAAUCAUUUUACACGUAGAUAAACAAACACAUCAAUUAUCAAGCAUGUAUAUAAUAACUCUAAAUAUAUUUUUAUAGAAAGUACGCCUAGGCGUACCAUAGCUUUAUAGAAGGCAGAAUUACAGUACAAGAAAUCUAUCACUCGAUGCGAACAACGAGUAUAGCACGGACACCACAACCGACAAACCCAAAGAUAAACAACACCGCCCAGCGAGCUACAACCCAAAAGAGCCUAUCCUAAGCUGAAACAAAGCACAGCGUCUCGACUGACGCCGAACAGCACCGAAGACCAAACAACUUCCGCAGAGAACUGAUCCUUUAACAGUGAUUCAAGUAAAGGAAAACCUAUCGCUGUUGGGAAGGUACCGUACGUUCAUUGACUCCUAUACACCAAGGAUUAUGAAUGCAGAAAUACAAGUGUGAAAGGAUUAAUACAAUGUUUUAUCCAGUGGACAAAUAACCAAAUCAUAAAAUAGACUACCCAGACGUAAAUUAGCAUCUUGUGGGGUAAAUGUAUCCACACGCAAUACAUCCAGCCUGAAGGAUCGGUAGCUUGCUGUGGCAAAUGUAUGACAAAAGAGCACGGCAAUCCACCAAAGAUCCGGACUUUGAGCCAGAGCACAACAGAAUUUGAUCGACAUCGCUUGAAAUCACCAAAUCGCCAAAGGUAUUUCGCACCACAAGCCGCAGAUCCCACGAGGAGGCCCAAAUUCCACUUGAUCCCCAAAUCAACCCCCCAGAUCCCAACUAAAAUAACCCAUAAACCCAGCUAAAUCCAGACCGUCGUAGCUAGAUUACAAGCGCGAGUAGAAGGUAGGCGAUAGGAGGUGGGGGGAUCGGCCGGGGUACCGUACCGUGAGGUCGAUGCCGGGGUGGUCGGAGCUCCAGAAGAUGUCGUGGUCGACGACGACGAAAUUCCCCGUGACGGAGUCGCCCUCGUAGGGCACGAACUCGUGGAUGCACUCGGUGUCCGUCACGGUAACCGACAGCGCCUCCGCCCGCCACCCUGCGGCCGCCGCCAGCGCCAGCGCCGCUACCAGCAGCAUCGCCGGCCGCCACCUCGCCAUGGCCCGCCGGUGGGUAGCCGAUCGAACGCUCGUACCAGAAGCACCAGCGCCGCUGGUCUAGGGCUGGGGUUCAGGUGGGGCGGGCGGUGAGCUCCGGUCGCGCACGGCGGGGUCGGGGAGGGGAGGGGAGGGCACGCGAGACGGAAGUCACGAGGGCGAGAUUGGAGACGGGGAAGGGGAAGAUGUCGCGUGUUUUUGCAAUAAAGGACUCUGCUAUUUGCGUAAUAGUGCGACAUGCCGACGUGGAGUUUGUGCGACGUGGCCGUGUAACUACGAGUAGCUGAGCUGUCGAGUGCGUGGCGUCCUUGAGCUGCCCGUCAAAGGCGCCUCUGUAAUUUUACGUAAACAUAAUAAUGGACACGCAUUAGGGUUAGCCACAGUGUUGCCAAGUGGCGGACGGAGAGGAGAUGGGAAGGUGCUGAUUGUAUAAGAAUGUAAAUGACUGAACAAUGAUCUCUUUCUUUCAUUCAUCUCAGAAUCACAUAUGUAUACAAGGAUUCGGGACGCAUCAAAGAGGCGUCUGUACGGUCGAAUUUGUCCGUACGACGCUUGGACACUAAUAACUGACUAAUGACAAACUAAUGAUGGUUUGUUAAUGACUGUCCAUAUUUGUCGGUUCGUAACACUCCCCCUUAUACAACGUCAUCUUGAAUAAUCCAUUAUUGAAAGCUUCUUACAUAUUCAUCAUUCAUCUCUUGAGAUUCUUCCCUAAAACCCCGUGGGAAAUAAUAUGAGAAGAAAUGUAUAGAUAUGUUGUUAAAAACUUCUUUAAACCCAGUGGGAAAUGAUAAGGAGAAAAUGAUGCAACACAUAGUGAUUAUUCUCUCUUGAUAACUCAUAUGAGAAAAACCUUCAAAGAAGAAGAAAAUUAUUAGUGAGUUUUAGAGAACAAUAUAAUGUUCAUGCUUAACGCAGGCACUAAAUAACAAUUAUUUAAGUUCAUAACUAAUCCUGAUGGUAACUGAAGGGAAACUGUGCCGACGACGAUUGCAUCAACCUUGGAACCAUUUUCCUUGCACAUCGUCACUUCAUCCUUCGCCACCCUUCGCUUAUUCCGCAGUUCCUGUUUCGAGUUGCAAAUACGAGCAACAAAACCGGUAUCGAAUACCCACGCACUACUACGAGAGCUGGUUAAGUACACAUCAAUAACAUGUAUGUCGAAUAUACCUGAUUUUUCCUUGACCGCCUUCUUAUCAACCAAAUAUUUGGGGCAGUUGCGCUUUCAGUGACCCAGUGCCUUGCAAUAAUAACACUCUGUUUCAGGCUUAGGUCCAGCCUUGGGUUUCUUUGUCGGAUUGGCAACAGGUUUGUCGCUCUUCUUGGAGUUACCCUUCUUGCCUUUGCCGUUUCUCUUGAAACUAGUGGUCUUAUUCACCAUCAACACUUGAUGCUCUUUACGGAGUUCUGACUGUGCGACUUUCAGCAUCAUGAAUAACACGUCGGGUGACUUGUUCAUCCCUUGCAUGUUAUUGUUCAACACAAAGCUCUUGUAGCUUGGUGGCAGUGAUUGAAGAAUUCUGUCAGUCAUAGCCUCUUGCGGGAGUUCAAUCCCCAGCUCAGCUAGACGGGUUGAGUACCCAGACAUCUUGAGCAUAUGUUCACUGACAGACGAAUUCUCCUCCAUCUUGCAAACAUAGAAUUAUCGGAGGUCUCAUACCUCUCGAUCCGGGCAGCAUUCUUCUGAAAUAUAAACUUCAACUCCUGGAACAUCUCAAAUGCUCCAUGACGCUCAAAGCGACGUUGAAGUCCCGGCUCUAAGCCAUACAAGACUACACAUUGAACUACUGAGUAGUCCUCCUUACGUGUUAACCAAGCGUUAUUAACAUCUUGGUCAGCCGUAGCGGGUGGUUCAUCUCCUAGCGCAGCAUUAAGGACAUAAUCCUUCUUUCCACCCUGCAGGAGCAACUUAAGAUUACGAGCCCAGUCUACAAAGUUGCUUCCAUCAUCUUUUAACUUAGCUUUCUCUAGGAACGUAUUAAAAUUCAGGGUGACUGUCACGUGAGCCAUUGAUCUAUAACACAAAUAUUUCAAAGUGGACUUAGACUAUGUUCAAGAUAAUUAGAGUUUAACUAAUCAAAUUACUUGCUAAACUCCCACUCAAAAAGUACAUCUCUCUAGUCAUUUGAGUGGUACACGAUCCAAAUUCACUAACUCAAGUCCGAUCAUCACGUGAGUUGAGAAUAGUUUCAGUGGUAAGCAUCUCUAUGCUAAUCAUAUCAACUAUACGAUCCAUGCUCGACCUUUCGGUCUCAUGCGUUCCGAGGCCAUGUCUGCACAUGCUAGGCUCGUCAAGCUUAACCCGAGUGUUCCGCGUGUGCAACUAUUUUGCACCCGUUGUAUGUGAACAUUGAGUCUAUCACACCCGAUCAUCACGUGGUGUCUCGAAACGACGAACUGUAGCAACGGUGCACAGUCGGGGAGAACACAAUUUCCUCUUGAAAUUUUAGUGAGAGAUCACCUCAUAAUGCUACCGUCGUUUGAUCGCGCAAUCUCUGGUGUUAGCUAGACGAAUGCUUAUGACAACAAAUCUUCUCCUGCAACGGUACUAGAAGAAUGCUGCUAGCACUCCCCCGCAAUGAAACUAGAAGAAUGUUGUUGAUGGCCCACCAGCGCGUGGGUUCGCAGCAGUUUCCGAGGAUAGAGUAUUCGACCCAAUUUGUAGAUCGUCUGAAGGAGGUUAGAGAAUACUCUCGAGUAUUAGCAGCUGAAUUUUCUGGAUUCAACCACACCUGAAAGAUUAGUAUCUGCAAGCAGAGUAGUAACAUCAAAGUAGUAUGAUAACAACGGUGUCAGAAACGAUCUGUUGACGGCAGACUAUUCCUAACAAUUGUAUCAAUGGCGCUUCCGUUGCCGCGUUGACGGAAGUUGUCAGUUCCCGUCAACGGUCUGGCGAAUCAACAGUGUAGCAGGUAGCAGCAGUGUAACGAGCAAUAGCAGUGGCAAGGAAAAGCGGUAGUGACAGCAGUAGCAAGUAGCAACAAUAGCAAGCGACAGUAAUAGCAACAGUAAUAGCAACAGUAGUAGCAGCAGAGCAAGACAAGUAACAGCAGUAGCAACAGUAAUAGCAGCAGAGCAAGACAAGUAACAACAGUAGCAACAGUAAUAGCACCAGAGCAAGACAAGUAACAGCAGUAGCAACAGUAGAACAAACUCGUAGGCAAUGGGUCGGUGAUUUGUUUGGAUGAUAUUCAUNNNNNNNNNNNNNNNNNNNNNNNNNNNNNNNNNNNNNNNNNNNNNNNNNNNNNNNNNNNNNNNNNNNNNNNNNNNNNNNNNNNNNNNNNNNNNNNNNNNNUCACAGGUUUUGCGAUGAACUUGCUCAAACUACAUCUCUACUUUUCUUCUCAUACCACAUAUCCACUACUCUGCUAUUAUCUAAAAACGGAACCAAUGCCUCGGACAUCCGGCUUCCUCCGGACGUCCGGGGGACGGACACCCGACCACUUCGGAAAUCCGGAACCUUAUACCAGAGAAAUCCAGAGUCAAACAACUCGGACUUCCGGCUCUCUUGGGACGUCCGAGGGCCGGACGCCCGACAACUUCGGAAAACCGGAACUUUGCACCAGAGAAAUUUGAGUCAAAUAACACGGACUUCCGGCCACCUCCUGUCGUUCGAGGGCCGGACGUCCGACCUCCUUCGGAAAUCCGGUGCCCUUGAACAGAGCCAAAGUCUCGGACAUCCAGCUUCCUCCGGACGUCCGGUCCCUGUUCGACUUCACGGCUUCCUUCGGACGUCCGGUCCCUGUUCGACUUCACAAUGGUUCCUGAUAUAUGUACAUCCCUCGGACGACCGACCCCUGUCGGACGUCCGACCCCUUGUGGGCGUCCGGACAUCCGAGAACUGCCGGACGUCCGACCACUGUCAGACUUAAGUGACCCCAACGGUCACUUUCCCUUCUCCACUAUAAAUACCCCCCUCCCACUUCGUGAGAGGGUGCCCAAAACAGCCAUAUCCUCAUAAGAACACAUUUCUACCUCACACACAUUUGCUCACACCAAAUCUUAGAUCCCAAGAGCAUUUGUGAGCCCCUUUGAGAGUUGUUCCAAUCAAAAGAUAGAUCAUCUCCCUCUCCUUCUCUCAACCCAAGCUAUUUGAGAUUUGAGCAAGUUUUGAGCAUUCCCCGUGAUCUUGUUACUCUUGGAGGUUGGAGACUCCUAGGCGGUAGGAGUUCUUCGGAGAGGAAUCAAUCCGUGUGAUUACCCCCCGGAAAAGUUUGUGAGGGUUUGGAAGCCACCUCAAAGGCUUACCACUAGUGGUUGAGAAACGCCUUCGUGGUGUUAUCUCAAAGGGAGAAUAGGGUGAGCCUUCGUGGCGUUGGUCUGCCUUUGUGGUAACAUCCACCACUCUAACGGUGAUUAGCUUCCCUCCAAGGAAGUGAACAUCGGAAUACCUCUCUAACGGUGAUUACUUCCCUCCAAGGAAGUGAACAUCGGGAUACAUCUUCGUCUUAGUGACCUUGGUUAUCCUUAACCCUAACUCCUUACUUGUGGUUUACUUGUGUUACUUGAGCAUACAUACAUUGCAUAUUGUUUGUGCUCAUUAUAUUGUGUUGGCUAUCUCUUUGUACAAGAUUAAUCGUUCAAGCAUACCCUCUAUAUCCACACGUUCACACUUGCAGAUUUUGAUAUAUCGUGUGCUAUAGUGUGAUCUAGUAUCUUGUGUCGUUCACCUACUUGUCGUGUGAUAUAGCUCAAGUAAGUUUGUGUAACUUGCUUGUGCUUGUUAGUAACUGUAUUGUGUCCAUCUUGGUAGAUCGUGUUGUUGAUACACGUUGCGGUGCCUAUUGCAUUUAGGAUUUGUGCUUGAAAAGUAUCCUCUUAGUUUAUUUCCGCAUUAGGUUUAAGCCAAAUCCGAAGAAGUUUUUAAAUAGCCUAUUCACCCCCCCCUCUAGGCGUCAUCAUGGUCUUUUCAAUUGGUAUCAGAGCAAGUCUCUCUUUAAUUAGGUUUCACGACCUAGAGAGUAUCGAUGUCGACUAUUGGAUUAGUGCACAAUGACACCUUUGACUUUGAUGGCACAAAUUAUACCCUAUGGAGAAUUCGUAUGCUUCAUCACUUUCGGACCAUGGGCCCAAAUACUUUACGAAUUGUUCUUGUCGGGAUUGCCGACAAAAAGGAUGAUGCAUCUUCAUCUACUAAUGAAAUGUAUCUUGAUUGUGAGGCUUUUCUUGCCAUUCAUCGAACCAUAAGUCCUGAGGUGUUUAAGUCUAUCUCAACUUGCAAGUCAGCUCAUGAAGUUUGGACUACACUUGAAGAUUUAUAUGGUGGGUCCAAUCUUGAUGAAGACGAUAUUACGAUGAAGGAGUUGAUGCAUGAGCUCUUCACUCUUUUCGAUCAUAAAGAGUCCACCACUACUUCCAUAUUCGAUUGCUUGCACACCUCAGCAUCUUCAAUCUCACAAGGUAAUGACAUGGUGAGUGAAGAAAUAUAUGUUGAUGAAAAUGUCAUAGCCUCUAUGGACACGAGCAUAUCUAGCACCACACAUAGUGUAAAUUAUUGUGCUGAUAGGUCAUGCAUUUCACCUAAAUAUCCCUCGACAAAUGUCUGUGGUGAUAUGCCUGCUAUCCCGUGUCUUCUUGAUCAAAAUAUCUUUUUUCUCCCUAGUUGCUCUAUGACUAAUCAUUUAGGGGAAAUCAAGAAAUAUGAAGUACUUUUGACUAAUGAAGAAUCUGAGUCACCAAAAGAAUCAUCAUCAACUCCACCAGUUCACAUGUGCCUCAUGGCAAGAGGUAAUAAUGAGGUAUCAUCUUCCGUGUGCAAUAACGAUGAUAUUUGCGAUAAGGAUGAUGAUGAUGACUUGACUGAAAAUAUCUAUGUGAUCAGUAAAAUUCUUCAUAAAGCUAAAAAUAACGCUCUUCAAAGAUUCCAAGAUUUCCUUGAAUUCAAUAGUGUCAAGGGAGAGCUCAUCAAAACCUCUAAGAUCUAUGAGGAGCUUCAAUCUACUCAUGAGAAGUCUCUAACUGCUACUUACUCCUCUCAUAUUGUUGAUGAUACUUGUACAUCUAACUCUAACUCAUUUGAAGUAUCAACAUUGAAGGAGAAUGUUGAGCUACGUGCUCAACUUGAUUUACUAACUAGCAAUUAUGGGAAGUUGGAAAAAAACCAUGUAAUGCUCACAAGCUCUCAUGCCAAUCUUCUAACAUCCCAUAAUGUGCAAAAGUUAGCUCAUGAGGCUAUCAUCACCAAGGUAACAUCAAGUGAGCCUCAUGUGGACAAUGGCACUACUUCUAGUCAAAGUACUAUAUUUCCAUGUGCUAGUCCUCGUAAUUCAUCUACUCAUAAUGUUGCUACCUCGUGUGAUGAAUUACUUUCCUUGCCUUGUUGCACUAACAUUGAAGCUUACACUUCCUCUAGUACUUGCGUUGAUACUAACCAUGCAGAGGAAAUCGAAGAGCUCAAGGCCCAGUCACUUCUUUGAAGAAAGACUCGGAACAGUGUCAUGAAGGGAUGUCCACACCCAACAACGUCCUGUGUGAGCAAACAUCUCCGAAUGAAAAAAAUGAUGUUGGAGUAAACUCAAAGAACAAGAGUGGCCUAGAACAAGUUAAGAAUUUGGCCAAAAUCAUUUGCUUCAAGUGCAAAGUUAAAGGGCACCAUGUUAGAUCUUGCCCUCUGAAGACGAAGUCUCAAAGUCACAAGCAACAAGGGAAGCGGCCACAAACUCAAUCACAUACUCAGCUACAAGUUGAAGGAAGGCCUCUUCCCAAUAAGACCCAAGCCAACACUCCCCGGGGUGAGAAAUCAACUCGGAAGAAAGCAAAGGGUAGAUGUUGCUACUUAUGUCGUGAGAAGGGUCACGUCGCUUCGUCUUGCACGAGAGGUAACUUAUCCAACCCAAUCACUAUUGAUGAUAGCUAUUCCCUUGGGAAGGAUAAGGUUGGCAAUGUGUUUGCCAAGUUUGUUGGUACUCAAAAUGGUGUCAAGAAAAGAACCAUUUGGGUUGCCAAGCCUAUUGUGACUAACCUCUUAGGACCCAACAUAGUUGGGGACCAACAAACUCAAACUUGAUCAAUAGGUGACUCUGGAGGACAUUGGGGACUUGGAUACACAAUGAAGAUUUGAGCACUCUUCAUCAUUCGUAUUAUCUCAAGCCAAGUCAUUUGGAUUAUCGAGCCCAUAUCCCAUAUCCAAUGUACCUCUUUGCGGUAACUUAUACUUAAAUUGUUUACAUUGAAAGUUGCCUGCCCCACUCCUUCUCAUGUCUAGGUUUGGUACCUAGCAUGUACUUUGACAUGUUGCGCCUACUAGUAUGUUUGUUAUGUGUUAUCUAUCAUGUGUAGGUCGUUAUGUAUGUCAUAUAAUUGUGUAUAGUCCUGAUCAUUACUUGCAUCCUAGUUGCACCGUUGUGUGGGUCUUUCGAGACGUUAAUAGCUCAUCACAUUAAGGGGGAGUGUUCUGCUCUACGCACAUCACUAACCCAAAAUAUGUAUAUAUGUAUUGGACUCCAUCUAGUAUUCACGGUGCAAGAUUAUCCAAUCAAUUCGUUUGAUGUCAAAGCCAUCCGAAGUUCAAAUUGGCAUCCACUUAUCAGCUUAGUGGGUUGAUUGAUUGCCUUGGAUGAUAAAUACAUGGAUUAUCACAUUAAGGGCGUGUGAUAUGCUUUUUGCACGUCACAUCCCCUGGUAAGAUAAAACAUCUGAUGUAUGCCACUCAGAAUCUACCACACAGGGUUAUUCUAUAACUGUGUGGCGUGUCAUGCUCCACAUGUCUUAACUCGCAUAAUAACCCUGUUGGUGUCUAAAUCCCUUAGAUGUGCGUGAGUAUGACGUCCUACUACACCAAUACUCAUGGCUUAGCCGCUAGAUCGUACCUAAAAGAAGGGCAUAGUUGAUGCAUGCCUUUCGAAUUAUUUCUCUACACUAUGAUCUAACUAAUUGGGAUGUUAACGUAUGGCAUCUAAACAUUAUGCUUAUGGUUGAACUCACAUAUCACACUUGUGUGAGUAUAAAACGAUCUUUGUGCUCGUUUGGCAUCUACCACCACUGAUAAUUCUAAAUACCAUUGUGUUCUCUCACACAUGGUAUCUCUGGCUUAGUAGUGUUUUCAUGGUCAUUUUAUUUCGGCUUUGUCUUCAUUUGACCUACAUAACUCGCCGAGAAAUUCAUGUGUCUCCCAGUAAUCUCCCAUGCAUGUCUUUGAGCUUGUACUAUUUAUUUCAUAAUGUUGUGGGAGUUAUAAUCAUAUUACCUACACUUAUACAUCUACUGGGGUGAGACAUGCAUGUAAGGUUGUGCAAAAUGCAUACCUUACAUGGUUUGAUGCCUUGACCGGUUCAUGUGUUGAACUUGGGAUGCGAUCAUAUGUUGAUUUGUCACCCUGAUCCAUUUUGGACGACAUGAAUGUUCUGUAAUUGACAAUUAUGUGUUCAUUUGUCCAAAUUGUAUAUCCUUGGAUUUUGAUAGGCUUGUGUAGGCAUAUCUACUAUGUGUAGAUGCACAUGCCGUGUCUAUCGUAUCUUUGAUCCAAUAUAUGUAUAUGAUAAAUCAGACGUAUCCAUUAAAAGGUUAAGGUGUGCUUGAAAGUAAAACUUAUAUCUAUAUGCACAUAAUUGAGUGAUCUUACCCUAUAUAUAUUGUAGUUGGACUAACUACUUCGGACCCAAUAAGUUUGGGGACCAUAUUGUGCUUAAUUGGUGGUUUAGGUACUUUGGAGAAGCAUUGCCAUCUUGACUUAUUCUCAGAACAAGAUGGUGCUGGUCACGAAGAAAUUAGAGUCAAGACAGGACUCGGCUACUUCUACGCCAUACCAAUGCUUUUCCGGUAACAAGUAUUUACUUCAUACAUGUAUAACAUUAGAGUCAACCAUGUGUAGGUUGCAUCAUUGCAUGAACAUAAUACUUUUUCCACUUUGUAAUUUCCUGCAUGUCCUUGUGAAUCACACUGAUGAAAUGCUUAGUGUUGGUGUUCUUUUUGCACUUCGUGGUCAUAUGAAUGAGAAAAAUUUGUGCCAUGGCCCUUGUGUCAUGUGCCUUGCUCUCAUAAUAGGAAAACUUGUGCAUGAUUCUAUGCACUCAUGCGUUUGACCGUAUUUUGGACCCACACUUAUCAUAGUAACCGAAUUAGAAGAUUUACAUCAUACCAUGUCCAAAAUAUGUUUGUUGAGAGGCCUUUGGUUGCUACACAUGCGAGAAUACUCCUUAUCACCUCAUCAUCCAAAUCCUAGAAAUUGCCUCUGCCUACUUCUCUCUCGGUCGUCCGACGAGUCUCGGACGUCCGACGGCUAAACUCACUCCGGACGUCCGGCACAUGUCGGUCGUCCGACGGCUGAUGCACUCCGGACGUCCGACGCCCGUCGGACGUCCGACACAUCGGGAGCCUAUAUAAAUAGAGGGGCGCGGGCUGGGCCUUGCCCUAGCCCCCACGCGCCCUCCCUUUCUCCCAGCCGCCUCCACAGCCGCCGCCAGCUGCCUGAGGUGCUCGACCGCGCCCGCCGCCACAGGGGCCCUGCCCCGUGAUCUGGCUGAUCUCCUCCGUGGGAUCCGUCUUCCAUUCCUCUCCUCUCUCGAUCUGCAGGUAUCCUCUCGGUCUCUCUCGCGAUUGGUUCCCCUUUCUCACUAGUUCAUGUGUUUUGACCGUGACCGGUCCCCAUUGGGUUUCCAAUCGUGUAGGCCUUGUUCCAUCAUGCCCAAGAUUAAGCACACUGCCCGGAAGAACUCUGCUGUCUCAUCCGCUCGUGCCCCUCCUGGCACGGGGUCGGAUGACUCCGAUGUACCACGCCGUCCCUUCAAACGGCUCGCCCGGCGUCCUCCUCCACAUCCCCGCUCCUCGUCUGAUGACUCUGACUUCGAGGAUGAGCUUGCAGAUGAGGAACGUGCUGAACACGUUGCCGUUCGGAAGACUAUGCCGAAGCCGAGGACUCGCAGGCCCUCAUAUAUGCCACCACCUCCUCCGGAACAUCCUGAAGGUGAAGCUCGUCGCAUCUCCCUUGAACCUCCUCCUACUUUAGGUCGUGAAGUCAAGGACUUCACCACGGUUCCUAAGUCUUCCUACUUUACUUUCCGCCGCGAUGUUAACCAAUUUUCUGUUGUACGUGACUCUAUGGACUCACGUUUCCGCACACACGUCCAAGCGGACAUCUUUUCUACUGUCAUCAUUCCUAAGGGUCUCUCAUUCCAUCAUUAUAUUGAUCUUGAGCAUAUUCGCACUCACCCGGCGAAAUACCCUGGUGCCAUUGAGCUCAUUGAGUCAUCGGGGCUCGCUGCCCCCUUUGCUUUUCGGUGCGAUUCUAACAGUGCUGCUACUCAUCAAUUUUAUGCCACGUGUUUCUUUGGCUCAAACAACACUAUUAGCUCGAUGACUUCUGAUGUUGAGUUCACAACCUCUUAUGAUGAGUUUGUUGCCGCACUCGGUUUCCCCGACUCCGGCUUCAAAAUCCAUAAGAAUGAUCCUAACCAUGCACAUAAGACCAUUGAGGCGCGUGGGCUUCUCCUCAAACCACUCCGUGAACUUGAUGCAGACGAACGGAUGAAGGAUCUUAACCAAGUAUCCAUCUGGCGCUCUCCCUUCUUUAUCCGCUCUCCCUUCCCUCAUGCCCCUUCAUCCAGGCUUUUAUUCACCAUGUUGCUGAAUUCACUGUUGCUCCCACUCACACGCAUCACAAGUGGGUCAUUCCCACUCACAUGGCGGAUGACUAUGCUCCUAAGAAAACCUCAUCCACCUCCACUCGCCGCACUGCUGCACGGUCAGCAACCCCUUCAUCCAGCUCAGCUCCUCUCGGUUGCUUUGCCAAAUUCAUUGGCAAGGCACAUUCUGCUAUGAUGAAGGCUUUCUCUUUCCAGCGCGGUCAAACUCAUGAUGUGGUUUCUCGCCUCGUCUCCUCCAAGAAUGCCCUCAAGGCUCGUCUGAGAGACUCGGGCGCUCUUGAUGUGAGUGACGAUGAGGAUCUUCCUGCUGCUCCUCCUUCUGACUUUGGCUUCCCAUCUGGUCCUGAGUGGGCUGAUUUUCUUGACGAAGCUGGUGGCAGUGGUUUGCCUGAGGAUGAGUGAAAAGGAUCGAGAUGGACCUAGAGGGGGGGGGGGGGGAAUAGGUACAAAUCCAAAUUUUAAUAAUUACUUAGCAAUUUUAGGCAAAAGUGCGGAAUAUGGGUGUAAGCCUAAUAAUUGCUAUGACAAGGAGUAAGCUAUUUAUAGUGAGGUAAGACAAGCGGUAAACAAUAAUCAAAUACAAGUACGUAAUAAGGAUUAACACAAGUAGAGAGUUAGGGUUAGGAAUAACCAAAACUCCAAGAGAGACAAGGAUGUAUCCCGAUGUUCACUUUCUUGGAGGGAAGCUACGUCACUGUUAGAGGGGCGGAUGUUACCACGAAGGCACACCAACGCCACGAAGGCUCACCCUAUUCUCCCUUUGAGAUAACACCACGAAGGCGUUUCUCAACCACUAGUGGUAAGCCUUUGAGGUGGCUUCCAAACCCUCACAAACUUUUCCGGGGGGUAAUCACAUGGAUUGAUUCCUCUCCGAAGAACUCCUACCUCCUAGGAGUCUCCAACCUCCAAGAGUAACAAGAUCACGGGGAUUGCUCAAAACUUGCUCAAAUCACAAAUCACUUUGGUGGGAAGGAGGAGAGGGAGACGAUCUAUCUUUUGAUUGGAACAACACUCAAAGGGACUCACAAAUGCUCUUGGGAUCUAGGAUUUGGUGUAGACAAGAGUGAGUGAGAGGAAAGGUGUUCUUGGGUGUAUUCUAGCUGUGUUGAACACCCUUUCCCGAGGUGGGAGAAGAGUAUAUAUAUAGUGAGGAGUGAAAUCCAGCCGUUGGGGGCACUUUAAGUCACACAGGGUCCGGACGUCCGACAGUUGCCGGACGUCCGGGCGUCCGCGAGGGGUCGGACGUCCGACAGGGUUCGGUCGUCCGAGGCCUAUAGAUAUGACUGAAAAUACUGUAUAUUGAAUAGUGACCGGACGUCCGGAGAGGACCGGAAUUCCGGGUUAUUCGACUCAACUGCUACUGGUGGGUGGUUCCGGAUUUCCGAAGAGGAACGGACGUCCGGCCCUCGGACGUCGUCCGGGCCUCGGAUGUCCGGAGGGAGCCGGAUUUCCGAGUUAUAUGAACCACAAACUUCUGGUGAGGGGCUCCGGAUUUCCGAAGCCUGUCGGUCGUCCGGCCCUCGGACGUCCGGAGGGAGCCGGAAAUCCGAGUUAUAGAGCUCAUGUUCUUCUAGAGCCGGAUUUCCGAGUUAUACGACUCGCAAACUUCUGGUGAAGGGCUCCGGAUUUCCGAAGCCUGCCAGUCGUCCGGCCCUCGGACGUCCGGAGGUAGCCGGAUGUCCGAGGCAAUAAACCUGUUUUGAGAUAAGAACAGAGUGGAGAAUAUGUGGCAUUGGGUAUGACAGUGAAGAUGUGGUAUGAGCAAGUUCAUCGCAAAAACCUGUGAUCCCCUCUUAAUAGUGCGGGAUCCCUAUAAUCAAUAUCAGUAAACUCAAAAGACUAGUCUACAUCAUCUUUUCUUAAUCCCGAGCCUGCUCGAAAUAUAAAUCCCAAUCUUCUCAGACAACCUUUUGGCACAUAAUUCUCAAUUUACUAAAGUACUUGCCAUCCUGAGAUACACUCAACAAAUAGGAUUAGUUUCCUAUGUAUGUGUUGUCAUUAACACCAAAAGUCGAUUAGGGGCAUAGCAUGCAGUUUCAAUGAGGAUGAUGAGGAUGAUGACUGAUGAUNNNNNNNNNNNNNNNNNNNNNNNNNNNNNNNNNNNNNNNNNNNNNNNNNNNNNNNNNNNNNNNNNNNNNNNNNNNNNNNNNNNNNNNNNNNNNNNNNNNNUUCCUCUCCGAAGACUCCUACCGCCUAGGAGUCUCCAACCUGCAAGAGUAACAAGAUCACGGGGAUUGCUCAAAACUUGCUCAAAUCACAAAUCACUUUGGUGGGAAGGAGGAGAGGGAGACGAUCUAUCUUUUGAUUGGAACAACACUCAAAGGGACUCACAAAUGCUCUUGGGAUCUAGGAUUUGGUGUAGACAAGAGUGAGUGAGAGGAAAGGUGUUCUUGGGUGUAUUCUAGCUGUGUUGAACACCCUUUCCCGAGGUGGGAGAAGAGUAUAUAUAUAGUGGGGAGUGAAAUCCAGCCGUUGGGGGCACUUUAAGUCACACAGGGUCCGGACGUCCGACAGUUGCCGGACGUCCGGGCGUCCGCGAGGGGUCGGACGUCCGACAGGGUUCGGUCGUCCGAGGCCUAUAGAUAUGACUGAAAAUACUGUCCGAGGCCUGUAGAUAUGACUGAAAAUACUGUGUAUUGAACAGUGACCGGACGUUCGGAGAGGACUGGAAUUCCGGGUUAUUCGACUCAACUGCUACUGGUGGGUGGUUCCGUAUUUCCGAAGAGGAACGGACGUCCGGCCCUCGGACGUCCGGAGGGAGCCGGAAAUCCGAGUUAUAGAGCUCAUGUUCUUCUAGACCCAAAAGUAUUAGUCAAACAAUUAAGAAAUAUGUAUGAUUUCUUUAACAAUGAACAUUUGUAAAACAACAUGGCGAAUAUUUAUUAAAUAUACGAUUACCAUUUUUGAUUACUCGAUAGUUUUCUUUAGGAAUAAACAAUGAACAAUUUUUUUAGUACAUCAUAUUUUUUUAAAUACAAUGAACUUUUUUAGUGGACAAUGAUUGUUUUGGAAAAAUAUGAUUUAUUGUAAGAUGAGUGUUGAACCUUUUCUUAGAAUAUGUUUAGCAGUUUUUUGAAAACUUUUUAAUACCCACUGGUAUUUUUGGUAAAACUAGUAACAAAAAUAUUUCAUAAACAUAUAUUGAAAAGUUAAAUGCAUCAGAGGUCCUGAAAGUUUUGUCGGGGUGUCAUUUUAGUUCUAAUUCUUCCAAAAUGCACCUUUAGGUCCUAAUUCUUUAGUAAGUGGUUCAUCCGAGGUCUAUUUUUCACGAGUGCUCGCUGACCUGCGUGUGUGACAUGUUGACACACGCCACGCUGACGCAGGGCGCAACCGCCCGGCGUGAAAAUACACUAGAGGUCCUAAAAGUUUCUCGUCAUUUUAGUCCUACUUCUUUUAAAAUGCACAUUUAGGUCCUAAUUCUAUAAUAAGUGUUUCACGCGAGGUCCUUUUUUGAACAAGGGUGCCGUGGUUGCUCUUUUUUUAACAAAAGAGUACCUUUGUAAACCUUCUAUCUCUCUCUCCCACCCUCCCUCCCUCCCUCCCGCUCUCUCUACACUGUCGCAGCAAGCUCCUUGGCACGGUAGUGGGUGACGAAGAGGAGCGUUGCAGCAUCGUCAGCAGCGCUGCCUCCUCCACAACCUCCUAUCGGCUGACCUGAAAUCAAAGCAAGUGAUUUGAGAAACUUAAUGAAAUAGUGCAAAUCAAACUAAAUCAAUGCUUAGAGCUAGUUUGGGAGAGUAGAGGAAAUCACAUAGCUAAGGGAUGAUAGCAUAAAAAAGAUUAGGUUUUGCCAAUGUUCCUCAUCUGAUAGUGACCCUAAGUUGGCGUGGCGUGGGNNNNNNNNNNNNNNNNNNNNNNNNNNNNNNNNNNNNNNNNNNNNNNNNNNNNNNNNNNNNNNNNNNNNNNNNNNNNNNNNNNNNNNNNNNNNNNNNNNNNCAUAUCUCUCCGUGUUAUAGCUGUUGCAUGAUGAAUAUCAUCCAAACGAAUCACCGACCCAUUGCCUACGAGUUUGUCCCACUGCUGCUGUUACUUGUUUUGCUCUGCUGCUGUUAUUACUGUUGCUGCUGUUGUUACUUGCUCUGUUGUUACUUGCUACUAUUGCUACUUGCUACUGCUGCUACCUGCUACAAUACUUUUUCUCGCGCCGUUGACGGGAAAGAAUAUUUUCCGUCCACGGGCAACUUCUGGCGCCAUUGAUACGACAGUUAGGAAUAGUCUGCCGUCAAUAGAUCGUUUCUCACACCGUUGUUAUCAUACUACUUUUCUGCUGAUACUUUGCUUGCAGAUACUAAUAUUUCAGGUGUGGUUGAAUCUGAUAAAUUCAGCUGCUAAUACUUGAGAGUAUUCUCUCACCUCCUGUCUGGCGAAUCAACAAAUUUGGGUCGAAUACUCUACCCUCGAAAACUGUUGCGAUCCCGCGCGCUGGUGGGCCGUCAACAACAUUCUUCUAGUUUCGAUUGCCUGAGAGUGCUAGCAGCAUUCUUCUGGUGCCGUUGAGGGGAAGGUGUGUUGUCACGGAGUCACACCGCAAAGAGGAUUACAUAGGAUAGUUCACCGCGGGAAUCGUAGUGACCUUUGCAUUGAAGAACAUAGAGAGAGAGAUAGCCAUAUAGGUACUAACUAUGAACCCAUAGGUCCGUGGUAGACUACUCACACAUCACCAUGGGAGCAACAAGGUUGAUUUAGAGGCCCUCCAUGAACGAUCCCCCGAGAGCGCAUCGAAACAAGCCUACAGAUGGGAUCACAACGGAACAUAAUCUUGCGGCGGCGGGAAAAGUAUUUUUGGUGGCUCUCUGGUGGUUUCCCAACAUAUUAGGAUUUAUAGGAGCGGAUUAGGUCAAGAUGCGUCAGGAGGUGGCCCCAAGCCAUCAGGGCACGACCACCCUCCUGGACGUGGCGUGUUGGCUUGGCGCCACCUUGUGUGGCAUAUGGUCUCCUGUGAAGCUUCCAUGUGUUAUUUUUAUCCAGAAAAAAUCAUCAAAAAGUUUUGUUGCAUUCGGACUUUGUCUGGUACAAAUUUCCUAAAAAGUCAAAACCACGUAGAAAACAACAACUAGCACUAGGUACUGGGUUAAUAUAUUAGUUCCCAAAAAUGAUAUAAAACAACAUAUAAAUGCAUAUGAAGGAUAUACGAAUGAUAAUAUAAUAGCAUGGAACAAUAAAAGAUUAUAGAUACGUUGGAGACGUAUCAACAUCCCCAAGCUUAAUUCCUGCUCGUCCUCGAGUAGGUAAAUGAUAAAAACAUAAUUUUUGAUGUGACAUGCUACCUAACAUGUAAUAUUUUUCAGGUGUGAUCAUUGAGAAAUGAUGAAUUGAUAAACAUCAACAUAGUAAUAUCCAUAACAUAAGUAACACAACCAUCGACUUUCGAAACACACGAUCCCUAAAGAAUGUCACUCCCCAUUCAUUUAAUCAUAUUAACAUGGCAUGGCUCCGUAUUUAACACAUAAAUACAAAUGUCAAGCACCAUGGUGUUAUGCCAGGCAAUUGGGUCGUACUUCUUAACGCGCUUCAACAUUUUAAACCUCACCCAAUACAUGAGCGUGAACCAUGGACAUAGCAUAUAGAUGGAAUAGAAUAUGGUGGUAGAUAUCAAAGGAGUAAAAGUGGAGAACAAAGUCUCGCAUCAACUCGGCGGACCAACGGGCUAUGGAGAGGCCCAUCAAUCGAUAUCAAUGCGAGGAGUAGGGAUUGCCAUGCAACGGAUGCACUAGAGCUAUAAGUGUAUGAAAGCUCAUCGGAAGCUAAGUGGGUGUGCAUCCAACUUGCUUUCUCAUUAAGACCACGGGCAUUUGAGGAAGCGCAUCACUGGAAAUAUACAAGGCAAGUUCUAUAAUAAAAAAAUUCCACUAGUAUAUGAAAAUGACAAAACAUGAGACUCUAUAUAUGAAAAACAUGGUGCUUACACUAAGCACAAGUGUGGAAAAAGAGCUAGUAGCACUAUCCCUUCUCUCUUUUUUUCUCUCAUUUUUUUAAUUUCUUUCUUUCCUUUUUUACCUUUCUUUCUUUUUUGUCUGGAGUCUCAUCCCAACUUGUAGGGGAAUCAUUGUCUCCAUCACCUUUCUCCAUUGUGAUAGUUCUCUAAUAAUGAUAAACAUCAUGCUUCUAUUUACUUACAUCUCGAUAUGAAAAACUGCUAAACAAGAUGACUCUAUAUGAAUGACUUUGGUAGUGUACCUAGAUGUGCAAUGAUCUAACAUAGCAAAGAUAUAUAAAAAAGGACAAGCCAUGGAAAUAUCAUGCUAGCUAUCUUACAAUCAUGCAAAGCAAUAUGAUGAUGAACACACAAUUCAUGUGAUGUAAUGGUGGAAGUUGCAUGGCAAUAUAUCUCAAAAUGGUUAUGGAAAUGCCAUGAUAGGUAGGUAUGGUGGAUGUUUUUAGGAAGAUAUAAAGUGUCUUAUGUGCAACCGAAUGUAUCAUGUCGUAGGGUUUGGAUGCACCAACGAAGGUUCCACCGAUCCUCGAGGUGAGAAUGGGCAAAGCAUGGUGUCGAAGAGGCUAGCAAAUAUGGAAAGAUGAGUGUGCGUACAUCCAUGUAUUCACAUUAGUCAUAAAGAACUCAUAUACUUAUUACAAAGCCUUAUUAGCUCUCUCGAAGCAAAGUACUACUCGCAUGCCCGUAGGGAGGUGGUUGGUAGGAGUUAACCAUCACGUGCCCCGACCUGAACAACACUAGGAUUUCAACAAGGAAUAAGAGUGCUCACACAUCAUCACCAUGCCAUAACCAAUGUUUAGAUGAACAACAAGUUAAAACCCUUUAACUAUCAAUAUUUCUACUAACCAACAACCAUGUACUCACGCCCUUUCAUAUUACCACAUCAAUAUCAUUAACCCACAAUUUCUCUUUGGUGUGCUACAUGCAAGUUUUUAUUAUAUCUUCCUUGAAUACCUAUCCUUUUUGGACGAGUCUUAUAACCCAUGCAAAUUAAUUUUAGACCCUAUUAGACACUCAAACAAAAAUAAGUAAAGAACAAGAGUGCAAUUACUUCUAUAAAAUCUACACGCCACCGUGCUCUAAAAGAUAUAAGUGAAGCACUAGAGCAACUACUUAGCUCAAAAGAUAUAAGUGAAGCACAUAGAGUAUUCAAACAAAUCAUGAUGAACAUGUGUCUCUAUCAAAUAGGUAUGUCCAGAAAACAAUGAUUGUGGUAAACUAAAACAAAAUCAAACUAUAAUACACGNNNNNNNNNNNNNNNNNNNNNNNNNNNNNNNNNNNNNNNNNNNNNAUCAAAACACAUAUCAUGUGAUGAAUAAAAAUAUAGCUCCAAGUGACAUACCGAUGGAAUGAAGACGAAAGAGGGGAUGCCUUCCAGGGCAUCCCCCAAGCUUAGACACUUGCGUAUUCCUAGGAUAUUACCUUGGGGUGCCUUGGGCAUACACACUAUUAGGGUCUUGCUAGUCCUUAUUCCUCCAUCCAUCAUGAUCGCACCCAAAACUUGAAAACUUCAGCACAGAAAACUCAACAGAAACCUCAUGAGAUCCGUUAUUAUAAUAGGCAAACCAUAAAAUUUAGGUACUGUUCUAAAUUGAUUCAUAUUUAAUUAUUGUAUAAAUUACUGCAUUAUAACUUCUCCAUGGCUUAUACCCCCUGAUAUAAUCCAUAGCAUCAUCAAAACAAGCAAACUAUGCAAGCAAAAAAAACAGAAUCUGUCUAAAACAUAAGAGUUUGUAAAGAUCAGCACUAAAACCAUACUUCUGUAACUCCAAAAAUUCUGUUUUUUCUAAAACUGAGGAAUUUAUAUAUAAAUGGUGUGUAAAAAUGCAGAUCAAAAAGAUGUUCCAGUUAAAUCAUAGAAAUUCUGCACUGGACGUAAAAUUUUCUGUUUUUCACAAGAUCAAAUCUACUUAUCAUCCAAAUCAUCCCAAAGGCUUUACUUGGCACAAACACUAACCAAAAUCUAAAACCACAAUCAUUACAGUAGAAAUAAUCAUGUGAACACAUAAUAACAUAAAGUAGAACACAAAAAUAACACAACUAUUGGGUUGCUUCCCAACAAGCGAUAUUGUUUUACACCCCUAGCUAGGCAUACACGAGUAGAAAAGAGGGCUUUGGUCCACUUGAUGAAAUCCCAUUAGUCCCGGUUCACUCACGAACUGGGAACCAUGUGGGCAUAGGUCCCGGUUCGUGAGGCCAGGGCGCCGGCCGGGUCUCACGGGCCAUUUGUCCCGGUUCGUUUGUCACCUUCGGUCCUGGUUCCAGACACGAACCGGGACUAAUGUUCCUCGCUCCUGGCCCACAACCAGUAGUCCCGGUUUGUGGCUGGAACCGGGACCUCAGGCUGUCCUUUGGUCUCAGUUCCAGCCACAAACCGGGACCAACGGUUGGCCUACAUAUACCCCGACGAGCAGAGUAGUGCACUACUCUAUUUUUUCGUCCGGCCGUGGGAGAGCUUUGUGGUGCUCUAGCUCACCUCCUAUGCACAUGAGGUGUUCGAUGAAAUGCCCGAGCCACACUUAAGCUUUCUCCUUUAGAAGAUCCUUGUUCAAGCUCCAUUUUCAUCAAGAUUUGUGUAGUUUUUAAUACACUUUAUUAUAUAACGCACGUAGAUGAACCGUCAAUGGAUAUACGAUGAUCGACGCACCUCCGAGUAUAUUAAUGGCCUGCAUAAUUUUCUCGAAGCGGCUAAGGCAAACAAGCAGAAUGGUUUUAUGCAUUGUCCAUGCACUGUCUGUGGGAAUACGAAGGAAUUUGCCGACUAUAAAACCCUUCACUUCCACCUGCUUCAGAAGGGUUUUAUGCCACACUAUAAUGUUUGGACCAAGCACGGAGAAAGAGGGGUUAUGAUGGAAGACAACGUAGAAGAAGAGGAUGAUGACAACUACCCGCCCCCUGAAUACGGUGAUGCUGCAAUGGGGGAAUCUCAAGAUCAAGAGGAACCAGACGAUGUGCCCGAUGAUGAUCUUCGUUGGGUCAUUGUUGAUGCACAUAGAGAAUGCGGAAGUGAAAGGGAGAAGUUAGAGGAUCACAAAAAAGGGUUGUACCCAAAUUGCGAAGAUGGCAACACAAAGCUUGGUACCGCACGUGAAUUGCUGCAAUGGAAGGCAGACAAUGGUGUAUCUGACAAGGCAUUUAGUUCGCUACUGAAAUUAAUGAAGAAGAAGCUUCCAAAGGAUAAUGAAUUUCUCGACAGUACGUACGAAGCGAAGAAGGUUCUAUGCCCUCUAGGAUUGGAGGUGCAGAAGAUACAUCCAUGCCCUAAUGAUUGCCUCCUCUACUGCGGUGCGUACGAGGAUUUGAACGCAUGCCCGGUAUAUAUGUUGAGUUUUAUUCAUAUAUAUGCAUGUAUUGACCCCCUUCUUUAAAUUAGAUCUGGAAGAAGCGGGAUGCACCCUAUCAGAUGAUGGCAUGCGAGCAAUUCAAGAGGAAUUGGCGGGAUUCUUUCUUGACCACGUCAUACCUAAAGACGGAGAAUACCAUGUGAGCUAUUUGUGAUUGGAUCUUCGGUAGAUGAUGUUAGGCAUUGUAAAUGGUUUCCUUCAUUUUCUUAUUAGCUAGCGUCAUGUUCUCUCUAUAUGUAUAGUAGCUAGCGUCGACCAAGCACGAAGAAAGAGAGGGCACUUCUCUCUAUUAGCUAGCUAACACAAUAUGAAACCACUAAAUUAACCCUCCACCCCCCCCCCCCCCCCCCCCCCCCACCCCCCCCCCCCCCCCCCCCCCGCAUUAAAAAAACCCAACUCCGGCCAGAUGUUGACGCGUGGAUGCCAUGUUGUCCUGGUUGGUGUGACCAACCGGGACUAAAGGCCCUCCUCCCCGGGGUCCCCGCAGCGGCCACGUAGAGACCAUUCGGUCCCGGUUCGUAAGAGAACCGGGACUACAGGUUUUUGGCUUUAGUCCCGACCAUUUAGUCCCGGUUCAAGAACCGGGGCUAAUGGGCCUCUGGAACCAGGACAAAUGGGCCAUUUUCUACUAGUGAUAAUGGUAGUUUCAAGUGUUGUCAUUUUUAUCGUCCACUUUAGCUACCUUAGCGGGACUAUUAUCGAACCUCGAAGAUUCCUUCCUUCUACUCACAACCUCUGAAAGUGAAGUCACCAAUUUCUCUAGGGACUCAAGUUUUUUAUUGGAAGUAGUGAGAAAAGAAUUCAUUCCAUGAAGGCUAGGGCGUAAGGUUUUGAUAGGUUCAUUAUUUUUUUGUAUCACACUUGUUUUUUUUGUAAAUCCCCCCGUUUCUCUAGUAUUUGGACCCCUUCGUGUGUAAAAGGGGAAAUUUAAGGUAAUAGAGGGGUUCCCACCAUUCCUUCUACCAUCUCAUAAGCAACACAAUAAUUCAUCUCGAUAAAAUUUCCUUUGGCAGCAAAGUCUAGAACUUGCCUAUAGGACAUCCGAAGUCCCACAUAAAAAUUACGAAGAAUGAUCUUCAUAUCAUUUUUUAUAGUGGAAUUAUAGUGAGACUCUAUUAUACGGUAUCAUGCAUCUUCCAAAUUCUCACCUUGUUUUUGUUUAAAGUAAAGUACUUCAAAAUCCGGAGAAACAUUAACUAGUGUGUUAGAGUAUAUAUAAUAUAGACAUGUACCCUUUUGUAUUUAUCCCAAUAUAUAAUGGGGUUUCCUGCAUACAGUUCACCACCUGUACAUGUAUAUAUACCGGCCUAUGGCCUCAUGGGAAUACAAGUUGCUUAUUCCUAACAUGGUAUUAGAGCUUAGGUUCUUUUAGCACGCGCAACUCGUGCUUCUAUCAAUCCCGUCACGUUCUCUCGUCGGAUCUCGAUGCUCCCCCGUCGUAGUCUUCCCCUCGGAUCCGGCUUCUCUCCCCUCGAAGACCUCCCGCUGGCUGCUCUCGAUCUGGCUGCCGAGUCCUCCCGCGAUGAAUCUCCCACUGGUUGCUUUGGAUCCGGCAACGAAUCGAGUCCUCCCGCAAUGAGUCGAGUCCUCCUGCUGCGCUCGCCAGUCUUCUCCAUCCCGCCGCCGCCGGUCUUAGCUGCGCCCGUCGGUCUUCUCCAUCCCGCUGCCGCCGCCCCAUCCUGCCACCGUUGCCCCAUCCCGGCCGCAGCAGCUGCUGUCCGCUGCCCGAUCUCGCCCCUUUGCCGUGGUAUAGAGGUAUAUCCUGCAGAUCGAGUCUCGGACUCCAAAUCCGUUGCUGACGCGAUUCCAAAUCGACGCGUUCUCUGUGUUGUCGGCACAUUCUCUCUACUGUUGACUGAGUUCCUUUCCUAAAAAAAUGUCUACUACAUCGGGCUACGUUGUUGUUCCUCACUGCCCGGUGAUUUUUGAUGGCUCUAACUACACCGAGUUCGUUGGCUUCAUGCACAUUCAUAUGCAUGGCAUUCGGCUAUGGGUCGUUCUUUCUCGCAAGGUCAGCAGUCCGCCACGUCUGGUUUCUCCAGUGGCCCCUACCCCACCGACUCCACCGGUUCUUCCUGCGGAUGCUCCUCAGGCCGCCAAGGAUGCGGCUAAGCUUGCUAAUGAGGCUGUUGAUCGUGCUUAUAAGGAGAAGUAUUUGGCUUAUGAGGAGGCUCUUUAGACGUAUCAUGGUGCUCUGUAUGUUUACACCCAGUGGCUUGAUGAUGAUGCUCCUGUUGCAGCUGUUCUCACUGCUAGUGUUCUGCCUGAGUUUGCUUCUGAGUUUCUGGGCCUUCCUACUGUAUUUGAGAUGUGGACCCAUCUUCGUCAGCGCUAUGAGCCCUCUGGUGAUGCCUUAUACCUCUCUGAGGUCCGUCAGGAGCAUGCUCUUCAGCAGGGUGACUCUACUAUUGAUGACUUCUAUGCACAGAGUUCUGCUAUCUGGCGCCAGCUUGAUUCUCUCCCCAAUGCUGGUUGUCGUACUUGCCCCUGUUGUGAGGCUUUCUAGGCCAAUUUGGAGUUUCAUCGCGUCUACGAGUUCCUCUCCCGGCUCCGCAAGGAGUUUGAGCCCCAACGUGCUCAGUUGUUUGCUCGUGGCCAUAUUUCCCUUAUGGAGGCGCUUUCUGAGAUUCGUGCUGAGGAGACUCGCUUACGUGGGGCUAGUUUACUAGAGGUUCCCUCUGUGCUCGCUGCUCGGGCUCCUUCUACGCCACCUGCUGCAUCGACCCUUCUCGCUCGAGUGCUCUGUCGCUCUUGCCCACUCCUUCCGGAGGCUCAGGUCACCCCCGUCCACAUUGCGGCUAAUGCAACAAUGAUGGUCAUAUUGAGUCCCAGUGCUACACGAAGAGGAAACACCUGCACAAGGCGCGAUCAUCAUCUUCCGGGACUUCAUCAUCUACCUCGACAGCUUUAGCCAUCGCUUUGACUGAGCAGGAUAUUCCGAGACUUAAGCGUCUGCUCGCCGCUUCAGGUUCUUCCUCGACGGGUACUGUUGGUUCUGUGACAGAUGCUUCCUGCACUGAGAAACCACCUUCUACAUAGUCAGGUACAUCCCCCUGGGUUCUAGACUCUGGAGCUUCUUUUCAUAUGUCUUCUCAUUCUUCCACUCUGUCCUCUCUUCGAUUGCUUGAUUCUCCUAUUCAUGUCCUCAUCGCUGAUGGUACUCCUCUUUCUGUCGUUAGUAGAGGCAAUCUUACCACUCCUUAUUAUGUUCCUGAUGUUGCUCAUGUUCCUCGACUUACCAUGAAUCUGUUUUCUACUGGUCAACUUACUGAUUCUGGUUGUCGCGUCAUCCUUGACAUUGACUCUUGUUCUGUCCAGGACCGUCGCACGCACACUCUGGUUGGGGCUGGCCCUCGCCACCGUGAUUCUCAGGGUCUUUGGGAGUUGGACUGGCUUCAUGUUCCUUCCGCCGCCACCACUAUCGCCAGUUCCUCCGCUUCGGUUGCCUCAGCUACUGGUUCCUUACAGCAGUGGCAUCAUCGACUUGGUCAUCUGUGUGGUUCUCGUUUAUCGUCUUUAGUUCGUCGAGGUCUUCUGGGGUCUGUCUCACGAGAUGUCUCUUUGGAGUGUCAAGGUUGUCGUCUUGGCAAGGAGAUUCAGUUACCAUAUUCACAUAGUGAGUCAGUGUCUAAGCGUACUUUUGAUUUAGUCCAUUCUGAUGUAUGGGGCCCGGCUCCCUUCGCUUCGAAAGGGGGUCAUAAAUACUAUAUUAUUUGGAAAACGCUUGGAAACAGUCGGUUGAUUUGUUGGCUCGUCAGCCGUGUCCGACACCGUCCGAUACUAUGCCAUCGUGUGACGCGAGCGUCUCUCUGUCCCCACGCGCAGGUAGCCCACCCAUCGUCGAGUUUGUAAUCUGCGGUAGCAUCCCAGUUCUGAGCUAUCCUUUCUACUAGACUUACGUCGCACAAAGUGCUUUCCACAAAUACAAGAACACCAUCUACUAGAUGAUGAUCGUGGGGUGUUGAUAUACUAUCAAACUCAUGGAGUCAAGGUUGCUUGAUACACUAGCACACACCGACCCCUCUUCCCACCCCCACACACAACAUGCUCAGAGUACCGUCCUUUAAUCCGCCGCCGCUGCCACCACCUUUGAAGCAUGCGACUGUAGUAUCACCGAAGCAGACGGACUGUCAUUGUCAUUGUCACAUCGCUGCGUCUCUCACAACAUCAUCAAAGCAACCAUGUCUGUCGUCACAAAAUGGUCGCGUUCAUGAAACACUGCCGCACCACCGUGGAAGUAAUCAGGCCUCCGUUGUAGCAUCAUCGCGGGUGUCGAAGCACGACAUCGCAACAUCACCAUGAUUAUUCAGAGCACGUCGUCUAGUAGCAUCGCCUUAUCCAUUGAAGCAUGCCGAUGUAGCAUCAUCGGUGCCGUCGAAGCACACGAUCAGCGUUAGAAGCAUGUCGUCGCACCAUCACCAUGGCCGUUGCAACACGUCAUGUAGCAUUGCCUCAACCAUCAAAGCACGCCAUUGUAGCAUCAUUGAUGUCGUCGAAGCACACCACCGGCAUUCGAAGCAUGUCCUUGCACCAUCGUCCUAGCCAUCGCAGCACAUCAUCGUAGCAUCGUCUCAACCAUCGAAGCAUGCAACAUCAUCGCUGGCGUCGAAGCACACCACCGCCGUUAGAAGCAUGUUGUCGCACCAUCAUCGUGGCCGUCGCAACACAUUGUCGUAGCAUCACCGCAACCAUCAAAGCAUGCGGCAUCAUCGCUCUCGUCAAAGCACACCACCGGCAUUAGAAGCACGUCGUCGCACCAUCGUCAUGGCCGUCGCAGCACGUUGUUGUAGCAUCGCCGCAACCAUCAAAGCAUGCAACGUAAUCGCUGUCAUCGAAGCAGACCACCAACAUUAGAAGCAUGUCAUCGCACCAUCGCCGUAGCCGUCGAUGCUCAUCAUCGUAGCAUCGCUGCAGCCAUCAAAACAUACAACACCAUCACUGCCACUGAAGCACACCACCGACAUUAGAAGGAUGUCGUCGACCAUCUCCGUGGCCGUCGCAACACGUCGUCGUAGCAUCGCCGCAGCCAUCGAAGCAUGCGGCAUCAUCGCUCUCAUCGAAGCACACCACCGGCAUUAGAAGCACGUCGUCGCACCAUCGUCGUGGUCGUCGCAACAUGUUGUUGUAGCAUCGCCACAACCAUCAAAGCAUGCAGCAUCAUCGUUGUCGUCGAAGCACACCACCCGCAUUAGAAGCAUGUCGUCGCACCAUCGCCGUAGCCGUCUGAUACGUCCAUUUUGCAUCAUGUUUUCAUGUUGAUAUUUAUCGCUUCUUUGGCUGUUAUUUCACUUCACGGUACAAUUCUUAUGCCUUUUCUCUCUUAUUUUGCAAGGUUUACAUGAAGAGGGAGAAUGCCGGCAACUGGAAUUCUGGCCUGAAAGUGGAGCAAAGUUGAGAUACAUAUUCUGCGCAACUCCAAACGCCGUGAAAAUCAACGAGGAAUUUUUUCCCGAUUUAUCAAAAAUACUGGGCCGAAGAAGUGCCAGAGAGGCACCAGGGGGUGCCCACAAGCCUGCACGGCGCGGCCACCCCCCAGGACGCGCCAUGAGGGCUUGUGGGCAGCCCACUGGCCCACUGGCUCCCCUCUUUUGCUAUAUGGAGGGUUUCGUCCAGGAAAAAAAUCAAGGAGGAGCUUUUUCGUGGUUUCGCCGCCGCCACGAGGCGGAACUUGAGCAUAACCAAUCUAGAGCUCCGGCAGGACGAUCCUGCCGGGGAAACUUCCCUCCCGGAGGGGGAAAUCGUCUCCAUCGUCAUCACCAACACUCCUCUCAUCGUAGGGGACUCGUCACCAUCAACAUCUUCAUCAGCACCAUCUCAUCUCCAAACCCUAGUUCAUCACUUGUAACCAAUCUCCGUCUCGCGACUCCGAUUGGUACUUGUAAGGUUGCUAGUAGUGUUGAUUACUCUUUGUAGUUGAUGCUAGUUGGAUUACUUGGUGGAAGAGUUUAUGUUCAGAUCCUUGAUGGUACUUAUUACCUCUUUGAUCAUGAAUAUGAUUAUGCUUUGUGAGUAGUUACUUUUGUUCCUGAGGACAUGGGAUAAGUCAUGCUAAUAAUAGUCAUGUGAAUUUGGUAUUCGUUCGGUAAUUUGAUAUGUUGUAUGUUGUUUUUCCUCUAGUGGUAUUAUGUGAACGUCGACUACAUAACACUUCACCAUUAUUUGGGCCUAGAGGAAGGCAUUGGGAAGUAGUAAGUAGAUGAUGCGUUGCUAGAGUGACAGAAGCUUAAACCCUAGUUUAUGCGUUGCUUCGUAAGGGGCUGAUUUGGGUCCACUAGUUUAAUGCUAUGGUUAGACUUUGUCUUAAUUCUUAUUUCAUAGUUGUGGAUGCUUGCGAGAGGGGUUAAUCAUAAUUGGGAUGCUUGUCCAAGUAAGGGCAGUACCCAAGCGCCGGUCCACUCACAUAUCAAACUAUCAAAGUAACGAACGCGAAUCAUAUGAACAUGAUGAAACUAGCAUGAGAGAAAUUCCCAUGUGUCCUCGGGAGCAUUUUUCCUCCUAUAAGACUUUGUCCAAGCUUGUCCCUUGCUACAAAAGGGAUUGGGCCACUUUGCUGCACCGUUGCUACUUUUGUUACUUGUUGCUCACUGCGAAUCAUCUCACCACACAAUCACUUGUUACCGACAAUUUGAGUGCUUGCAGAUACUUCCUUGCUAAAAACCACUUGUCAGAUCCUUCUGCUCCUCGUUGGGUUCGACACUCUUACUUAUCGAAAGGACUACGAUUGAUCCCCUAUACUUGUGGGUCAUCAAGACUCUUUUCUGGCGCCGUUGCCGGGGAGUGAAGCGCCUUUGGUAAGUGGAACUUGGUAAGGAAACAUUCAUAUAGUGUGCUGAAAUUUAUUGUCACUUGUCACUAUGGAUACUAAUCCUUUGAGGGGAUUGUUCGGGGUAUAUUCACCUCGAACGGAAGCACAAAUAGUUGCUCCUCAACCUGCUGCACCUACUGAAAAUAUUUGCUUUGAAUUUCCUUCGGGUAUACUUAAGCUUGUGGUUUAUUUAAGCUUGCAGGUGUGCCCGAGGAUGAGGUCAAGAAGAAGGUCUUUCCUUUAUCUUUGAAGGAUAAGGCGUUGACAUGGUAUAGGCUAUGUGAUGAUACUGGAUCAUGGGACUACAAUCGAUUGAAAUUGGAAUUUCAUCAAAAGUUUUAUCCUAUGCAUUUAGUACAUCGUGAUCGGAAUUAUAUUUACAAUUUUUGGCCUCGUGAUAGAGAAAGCAUCGCUCAAUCUUGGGGGAGGCUUAAAUCAAUGCUAUAUUCAUGCCCCAAUCAUGAGCUCUUGAGAGAAAUUAUCAUUUAGAACUUCUAUGCUCGGCUUUCUCAUGAUGAUCGCACCAUGCUUGACACUUCUUGUACCGGUUCUUUUAUGAAGAGAGGUAUUGACUUCAGAUGGAAUUUAUUGGAGAGAAUUAAAUGAAACUCUGAAUAUUGGGAGCUUGAAGAAGGUAAGGAGUCAGGUAUGAAUUUCACGUUUGAUUGCGUUAAAUCCUUUGUUGAGACAAAUACCUUUAGUGAUUUUAGCGCUAAGUAUGGACUUGACUCUGAGAUAGUAGCUUCAUUGUGUGAAUCCUUUGCUGCUCAUAUUGAUCUCCCCAAAGAGAAGUGAUUUAAAUAUCAUCCUCCUUUAGAAGUCAAUGUAGUUAAACCCACUCCAGUUGAAGAGAAAGUCAUUGCCUAUAAUGAUCCUGUUGUUCCCAGUGCUUACAUUGAGAAACCACCUUUCCCUGUUAGGAUAAAGGAUCAUUCUAAAGCUUCAACUGUGAUACGUAGAGGCUAUAUUAGAACACCUACACCCCCUGAGCAAACUAGAGUUGAACCUAGCAUUGCUAUUAUCAAAGAUCUUCUGUCUGAAGAAGUUGAGGGACAUAAUAUUCACUUCUGUGAAGAUGCUGCUAGAAUUGCUAAACCUCACGUUAGAGACAAACAUAGGCCUGUUGUUGGCAUGCCUGUGGUUUCUGUUAAGAUAGGAGAUCAUUGUUAUCAUGGUUUAUGUGACUUGGGUGCUAGUGUUAGUGCAAUACCUCAAUCCUUACACGAUGAAAUCAAAGAUGAGAUUGCACCUCUUGAGAUAGAACCCAUUGAUGUCACUAUUCAGCUUGCCAAUAGAGAAACUAUCUGUCCUGUGGGGAUUGUUAGGGAUGUUGAAGUCUUGUGUGGUAAAACGAAGUAUCCUGCUGAUUUCCUCGUUCUUGCUACCGCACAAGAUAGAUUUUGUCCCAUCAUAUUUGGUAGACCUUUUCUCAACACUGUCAAUGCUCAUAUUGAUUGUGAGAAGCAAACUGUCACUGUUGGCUUUGAAGGUGUGUCACAUGAGUUCAAUUUCUCUAAGUUUGGUAGACAACCCCAUGAAAAGGAGUUGCCUAGUAGGGAUGAAACUAUUGCCUUAGCCUCUAUUGUCGUGCCUCCUACUGGUCCCUUAGAGCUAUACUUGCUUGAGCAUGAAAAUGAUAUGCAUAUGGAUGAAAGGGAUGAGAUAGAUAGAGUUGUCUUAGAGCAAUAUCCUAUCCUUAAGAAUAACUUGCCUGUUGAACUACUUGGGGAUCCAUCUCCACCAAAAGGUAAUCCUGUGUUCGAGCUUAAACAGUUGCCUCAUACUCUUAAGUAUGCUUAUCUUGAUGAAAAAGAGAUAUAUCCUGUUAUUAUUAGUGAUAGCCUCUCGGAGCAUGAAGAAAAGAAGUUACUAAAAACUCUGAGGAAGCAUCGUGCUGCUAUUGGAUAUACUCUUGAUGAUCUUGAGGGCAUUAGUCCUACUCUAUGCCAGCACAAUAUUAAAACUGAUCCUGAUUUCAAACCAGUUGCUGAUUAUCAAAGGAGAUUAAAUCCUAAGAUGAAAUAAGUAGUAAGAAAAGAAAUAUUAAAGCUACUGGAAACAGGUAUCAUCUAUCCUGUUGCUCAUAGUGAUUGGGUGAGUCCGGUGCAUUGCGUUCCUAAGAAGGGAGGCAUUACCGUUGUCCCUAAUGAUAAGGAUGAAUUGACCCCUCAGUGAAUUAUUACUGGCUAUAGGAUGGUGAUCGAUUUUAGGAAAUUGAAUAAAGCCACUAGGAAAGAUCAUUAUCCUUUGCCUUUUAUCGACCAAAUGCUAGAAAGACUGUCUAAACACACACACUUCUACCAUCUAGACGGUUAUUCUGGUUUCUCCCAAAUACCAGUUGCACAAUCUGAUCAGGAGAAAACCACUUUCACCUGCCAUUUUGGUACCUUUGCUUAUAGACGUAUGCCUUUUGGCUUAUGUAAUGCACCUGCCACCUUUCAAAGAUGUAUGAUGGCUAUAUUCUCUAACUUUUGUGAAAAGAUUGUUGAGGUUUUCAUGGAUGACUUUUCCGUUUACGGGUCUUCCUUUGAUGAUUGCCUCAACAACCUUGAUCGAGUCUUGCAGAGAUGUAAAGACACCAAUCUUGUCUUGAAUUGGGAGAAGUGUCACUUUAUGGUUAAUGAAGGCAUCGUCUUAGGACAUAAAAUUUCUGAAAGAGGUAUUGAAGUUGAUAUGGCUAAGGUUGAUGCAAUCGAGAAAAUGCCAUACCCCACAGAUAUCAAAGGUAUAAGAAGUUUCCUUGGUCAUGCUGGUUUCUAUAGAAGGUUCAUUAAAGACUUCUCUAAGAUUUCUAGGCCUCUAACCAAUCUCUUGCAAAAGGAAAUUCCUUUUGUCUUUGACGAUGAUUGUGAGGAAGCCUUCGAAAUACUUAAGAGGGCAUUGAUAACCGCACCUAUUGUUCAACCACCUGAUUGGAACUUACCUUUUGAAAUCAUGUGUGAUGCUAGUGAUUAUGCUGUUGGUGCUGUUCUAGGGAAAAGAGUUGAUAAGAAGUUGAAUGUUAUUCACUAUGCUAGUAAAACCCUAGACAGUGCCCAAAGAAACUAUGCCACUACGGAAAAGGAGUUCUUAGCAGUCGUGUUUGCAUGUGAAAAGUUUAGGUCUUACAUAGUUGAUUCCAAAGUCAUUAUUCACACUGAUCACGCUGCUAUUAAGUACCUCAUGGAGAAGAAGGACGCUAAAUCUAGACUUAUCAGAUGGGUUCUCUUGCUACAAGAAUUUGAUUUGCACGUUGUCGACGGGAAGGGUGCUGAUAACCCUGUAGCAGAUAACUUGUCUAGGUUGGAGAACGUUCUUGAUGACCCACAACCUAUUGAUGAUAGCUUUCCCGAUGAGCAACUGAAUGUCAUCAUUGCUUCACGUAGUGCACCGUGGUAUGCUGAUUAUGCAAACUAUAUCGUUGCCAAAUAUAUACCACCUAGUUUCACAUACCAGCAAAAGAAGAAAUUCUUCUUUGACUUGAGACAUUACUUUUGGGAUGAUCCUCACCUUUGUAAGGAAGGAGUAGAUGGUGUUAUUAGACGUUGUGUACCUGAACAUGAACAGGGACAGAUCCUACAGAAGUGUCACUCCGAGGCCUACGGAGGACACCACGCAGGAGAUAGAACUGCACACAAGGUAUUGCAAUCUGGUUUUUAUUGGCCCACUCUCUUCGAGGAUGCCCGUAAGUUUGUCUUGUCUUGUGACGAAUGUCAAUUAAUAGGUAAUAUUAGCAAACGUCAGGAAAUGCCUAUGAACUAUUCACUUGUCAUUGAACCAUUUGAUGUUUGUGGUUUUGAUUAUAUGGGACCUUUUCCAAAAUCCAACGGGUAUACUCACAUCUUAGUUGCUAUUGAUUACGUCACUAAGUGGGUAGAAGCUAUCCCCACUAGUAGUGCUGAUCACAACACCUCUAUCAGGAUGCUGAAAGAAGUUAUCUUCCCUAGAUUUGGAGUCCCUAGAUAUCUAAUGACCGACGGUGGUUCACACUUCAUUCAUGGUGCUUUCCAUAAAACGCUCGCUAAGUAUGAUGUCAACCAUAGAAUUGCGUCUCCCUAUCACCCUCAGUCCACUGGUCAAGUUGAGCUAAGUAAUAAGAGAUUAAACUGAUUCUACAAAAGACUGUCAACAGGUCUAGAAAGAAUUGGUCUAAGAAGCUCGAUGAUGCACUGUGGGCUUAUAGGACUGCCUAUAAGAAUCCCAUGGGCAUGUAUCCGUACAAAAUGGUGUACGGUAAAGCAUGUCAUUUACCUCUUGAGCUAGAGCAUAAAGCUUAUUGGGCAAUCAAAGAGCUCAACUUUGAUUUCAAACUUGUCGGUGAGAAGAGGUUAUUUGAUAUUAGCUCGCUUGAUGAGUGGAGAACUCAGGCAUAUGAGAAUGCCAAGCUGUUCAAAGAGAAGGUUAAGAGGUGGCAUGAUAAGAGGAUACAAAAGCGUGAGUUCAGUGUAGGUGAUUAUGUCUUGCUAUAUAACUCUCGUUUAAGAUUCUUUGUAGGCAAGCUUCUCUCUAAAUGGGAAGGUCCCUAUGUUGUUGAGGAAGUAUAUCGUUCCGGUGCUAUCAAGAUCAACAACACGGAAGGUAAUUGUGCGAGAGUGGUAAAUGGGCAGAGAAUCAAGCAUUAUAUCUCAGGUACUCCCAUAAAUGUUGAAAGCAAUAUUAUCAAUACCAUAACUCCGGAAGAAUACCUAAGGGAUAUUUAUCAGCCUGUUUCAGACUCCGAAAACGAAGAGGUAUGUGAUUCGGUAAGAAAACAGAGUCCAAAACUUUUCGAGUAGGAAAUUUUCUCCGUUUUGGAAUAUUUGAAAAAAAUAAAAAAAUUGGAAGUAGUCCGGAAAGUGCACGAGGAGGCGACAAGCCUGCACGGCGCGGGCCCACCCCCUGGCCGUGCCGUGAGGGCUUGUGGCCACCUCGUGCGCCUCCCGGACUCCGUUUUCGUGCGGGGUACUCCUUCUGGUCUAAAAAAAAUCAUUAUAUAUACUCCCGUUUGGUCUGACCCGUGCAUCACGCAAAUCUCUUCUGUUUUUCGUUUCGAGCCUGUUUUCUGCCGCAAAUUUAGAGCAAAAUGUCGUCCCAGGAAUCUGUGGGGGGGAACAAUCUCCGUCAAAUCUAUGGAGAAGUUCAUGCUGAUCUGAAAAGGAUGGAGGGCAUGAAGGCUAAGGGAAGGCUACCUAAAGAAACCAAGGGCAAAGCUAAGGAGAAAGAUCAGGCAUGUGACAAAGUGCAAUCUGUGCUCAACAAGAAAGAAGUUGAAGAAGUGGAUUUCCUCCAACCCUACCUCCACCUGCUGUCUCCAUCUUUGAUUGAACUCUUGAGGUUUUGUGAAACAACUCGUGCUCGCAAUACUUGUCUCACUCGUGAAGUUGUUUUGCUGGAAAAACAUAUCGCAGAUCUCCAAGGUAUAAAUCAAAGAUUAAUGGCCCUCUUGGAGUCAAAGAUUGCAACAACUCCACCUUCACCACCAAAGGAAUACAACUGAGCAUUGGUAUGGGCAAUCCCCUUGGCUUGUGCCAAGCUUGGGGGAGUUGCCCCGGUAUCGUAUCACCAUCACAUCUUUUGCCUUUACCUUUGUUUUAGUUUUCCUUUUCAGUUUUCUCUUUCUCUAGUAGUUUAAAAGUCUUAGUGUUUUAGUCUUGAGUUUUGCUUUGUGUCACCCCCGAUGUAUUCGAGCUCGUGAGCCAUAUAAUAAAGAGUGUCUUAGUUGAAGGGCUUUGCCUCUUGCCAUGAUCAAUAGAUUGAGAAAAGAACAAAAGCAAGAAAGAUCAUGUAAUGAUCUUAUGGGAAGUGAUGGCUUCACAAAUAAAAAGAAUGAUGGUUGAAACUUGUUGAGGGUAGACAAACGUAGGCCUUGGUCAUUGUUGCAAUUAAUAGGAAGUGAUAAGGAAGGAGAGGUUCACAUAUAAAUAUAUCAUCUCUGACACCAUCUAUGAUUGUGAACACUCACUAAACUAUUACAUGCCUAGAAGUAGAUGUUGGACAAGGAAGACAACAUAAUGAAUUGUGUUUGCUUGGCUUCGAACAAUGUUAUAUGAUUAGAGAUCCCUUAGCAUGUGACGAUUGCUUCCACCUCAUAUUAGCCAAAACUCCCGCACCAAGUAGAGAUACUACUUGUGCAUCCAUAAACCAUCAACCAUGUUUUGUCAUGUGAGUCCACGAUACCUACCUAUGGAUUGAAUAAGAUCCCUCAAGUAAGUUGUCAUCGAUGCAAGCAAUAAAAAUUGCUCUCUAAUAUGUAUGAUCUAUUAGUGUGUGGAAAAUAAGCUUUGCACGGACCUAUGAUGAGGAAGACAUAAAAGCGACAGACUGCAUAAUAAAGUUCUUUAUCACAGGAGGCAAUAUAAAGUGACGUUCCUCCACACUAAGAGGACACGCAUCCAAACCUCAAAAGCGCAUGACAACCUCUGCUUCCCUCUGCGAAGGGCCUAUCUUGUACCUUUACUUUUUUUCCUUGAAAGAGUCAUGGUGAUCUUCACCAAUUCCCUUUUUCGCCUUUGUAUUGGCUAACGUCAUAUGCUUGGGAAAGAUCUAUAUUCAUAUGUCAACUUGGAGGUAAGUAUUCAUGAAUUAUUAUUGUUGACAUUACCCUUGAGGUAAGCAGUUGGGAGGCAAAACUGUAAGCCCCUAUCUUUCUCUCUGUCCAGCUGAAACUUUGAUCUCAUGAGUACCACGUGAGUUGUAGCAAUUGUAGAGAAUGAAAGAAUGAUUGAGUAUGUGGAUUUGCUUUACAAGCUCUUAUUUGACUCUUUCUGAUGUUGUGAUAAAUUGCAAUUGCUUCAAUGACUAAAGGUUAUCGGUUGUUACUUCUCGGUAAGGUUCUUGAUCCAUGCUUUACUUUGUGAAGGAAUUAUCACUUUAGCAUGAGAGAUUAUAUGUUGGUAUCGAUGUUCUGAUCUUGAUCAUGAUGCAUGCAUGUUCGUAUCUUGUUUUGUCGACACCUCUCUCCCUAAACAUGUGGACAUAUUUAUUGAGCUAGGUUUUCGCUUGAGGACAAGCGAGGUCUAAACUUGGGGGAGUUGAUACGUCCAUUUUGCAUCAUGUUUUCAUGUUGAUAUUUAUCGCUUCUUGGGCUGUUAUUUCACUUCAUGGUACAAUACUUAUGCCUUUUCUCUCUUAUUUUGCAAGGUUUACAUGAAGAGGGAGAAUGCCGGCAACUGGAAUUCUGGCCUGUAAGUGGAGCAAAGUUGAGAUACCUAUUCUACGCAACUCCAAACGCCAUAAAAAUCAACGAGGAUUUUUUUUCCGGAUUUAUAAAAAAUACUGGGUCGAAGAAGUGCCAGAGGGGCACGUGCAGGUGGCCACAAGCCUACACAGCGCGGCCACCCCCUCAGGCCGCGCCAUGAGGGCUUGUGGGUAGCCUGCUGGCCCACUGGCCCCCCUAUUUUGCUAUAUGAAGGGUUUUGUCCAGGAAAAAAUCAGGGAGGAGCUUUUUCGUGGAUUCGCCGCCGCCACGAGGCGGAACUUGAGCAGAACCAAUCUAGAGCUCCGGCAGGACGAUCCUGCCGGGGAAACUUCCCUCCCGGAGGGGGAAAUUGUCGCCAUCGUCAUCACCAACACUCCUCUCAUCGGAGGGGACUCGUCACCAUCAACAUCUUCAUCAGCACCAUCUCAUCUCCAAACCCUAGUUCAGCUCUUGUAACCAAUCUCCGUCUCGCGACUCCGAUUGGUACUUGUAAGGUUGCUAGUAGUGUUAAUUACUCUUUGUAGUUGAUGCUAGUUGGAUUAUUUGGUGGAAGAGUUUAUGUUCAGAUCCUUGAUGCUACUCAUUACCUCUCUGGUCAUGAAUAUGGUUAUGCUUUGUGAGUAGUUACUUUUGUUCCUGAGGACAUGGGAUAAGUCAUGCUAAUAGUAGUCAUGUGAAUUUGGUAUUCGUUCGAUAUUUUGAUGUGUUGUAUGUUGUUUUUCCUCUAGUGGUGUUAUGUGAACGUCGACUACAUAACACUUCACCAUUAUUUGGGCCUAGAGGAAGGCAUUGGGAAGUAGUAAGUAGAUGAUGGGUUGCUAGAGUGACAGAAGCUUAAACCCUAGUUUAUGCGUUGCUUCGUAAGGGGCUGAUUUGGAUCCACUAGUUUAAUGCUAUGGUUAGACUUUGUCUUAAUUCUUUUUUCGUAGUUGCGGAUGCUUGCGAGAGGGGUUAAUCAUAAGUGGGAUGCUUGUCCAAGUAAGGGAAGUACCCAAGCGUCGGUCCACCCACAUAUAAAACUAUCAAAGUAACGAACGCGAAUCAUAUGAACAUGAUGAAACUUGCAUGACAGAAAUUCAUGUGUGUCCUCGGGAGCGUUUUUCCUCCUAUAAGACUUUGUCCAGGCUUGUCCCUUGCUACAAAAGGGAUUGGUCCACUUUGCUGCACCGUUGCUACUUUUGUUACUUGUUGCUUGCUACGAAUCAUCUCACCACACAAUCACUUGUUACCGACAAUUUCAGUGCCUGCAGAUUUUACCUUGCCGAAAACCACUUGUCAGAUCCUUCUGCUCCUCGUUGGUUCGACACUCUUACUUAUCGAAAGGACUACGAUUGAUCCCCUAUACUUGUGGGUCAUUAGUAUGAUAUUUGCAACAAUAUUGAAAGUGGGAUUGGAGAAGUCAUGACUUUAUUUGAUGAUAAUCCCACUAUUUUUUAAGAGCGUCAACUUUGCAUGCAUGUGGAUCAUGAAAAUAAUAUCCUAUGUGAUAGUUACAUUGUUGAAUUUGAAUAUGAUCCCACAUGUAAUUGCUAUGAGAGAGGAAAAUAUUGUGGUAGAAACUUUCAUGUUACCAAAUUACCUCUCGUUAUGUUGUGGUAACUAUUGGUUGUCUGGCCAAUUUGUUUUCCUAUAAAAUGCCUAUGCAUAGGAAGUAUGUUAUACUUAGAUGUGAUUUUCACAUGCUUUAUGAUGCUCUCGUUGUGCUUCAAUUCUUGUCUUUUGUGUGAGCAUCAUUGAAUUAUCAAUGCCUAGCUAAGGGCGUUAAACAAUAGCGCUUGUUGGGAGGCAAGACAAUGAAUUUAUUUCUUUUUCUUUCUGUUUUGUUGCGUACACACCAUCAUAAUUCUGUUAUGAUUGUGUCUUUUGUGUUCCUUUUUGUGUUUGAGCCAAACAAAACCUUUAUGACUAGUCUUGGUGAUGGUUGUUUGAUCCUCCUGGAAAAAGACAGAAACUUUUCACUCACGAGAUUAUUUUUCAUUUUUAUUCAGAGAGAGCUUUUGAGUUGAUUCUUUCUGAUUCUGGUUGAUAUGCCUUUUUCCCAGGCAGUCGUAAUGUUUCAGAAUUUUUGAGGUACCAGAAGUAUACAAAGUAUAGAGAUUGCUACAGACUAGUCUGUUUUGACAGAUUCUGUUUUUGUUGAGUUGGUUGCUUGUUUUGAUGAAACUAUGGAUAGUAUCGGGGGGGGGGGGGACUAGCCAUGGAAAAAUGAGAAUACAGUAAUCCAACACCAAUAUAAAUAGAAAUCAAGAUUGCUACAGUACCUAAAGAGGUGGUACUUUGUUUUCUUCUGCUAAUGUUAUCACGAGUUUCUGUUUAAGUUUUGUGUUGUGAAGUUUUCAAGUUUUGGGUGAUAUUCUCAUGGACAAAUAGAUAAGGAGUGGAAAGAGCUCAAGCUUGGGGAUGCCCAAGGCAUCCCAAGCCAAAUUCAAGGACACCAAAAUGCCUAAGCUUGGGGAUGCCCCGGGAAGGCAUCCCCUCUUUCGUCUUCAAUCCAUCGGUAACAUUACUUGGAGCUAUAUUUUUAUUCACCACAUGAUAUGUGUUUUGCAUGGAGUGUCUUGUAUCGUAGGAGUCUUUUAUUUUUUUUGUGUCACAAUCAUCCUUGCUGCACACCUUUAGAGAGAGACAUGCACUCAUCGUGAUUUUGCCAGAAUGCUCAUAGUGCUUCACUUAUAUCUUUUGAGCUAGAUAAUUUUGUUCUAUAUGCUUCACUUAGAUCUUUUAGAGCACGACGGUGCGUGACUUGGUAGUUGGCUUGUGCUAUGAAAGUAGUCCCCAAAGGUGAUAGGUACCAAAAGAGUAUACAGAACCUCCAUCUUCAUGUGCAUUCAGUAGAAAGAGAAGUUUUGAUUCCUCUCAAUUAGUUUUGAGACGUGGAUUUGGUAAUAUUAAGAGUUAUGUUAGUAGGCUGUUGUGAAUCUAGAAAUACUUGUGUUGAAGUUAGUGAUUCCCGUAGCAUGCACGUAUGAUGAACCGCUAUGUUAGGAAGUCGGAGCAUAAUUGAUCUAUUGAUUGUCAUCCUUUGUGUUGAGGUCGGGAUCGCGCGAUGGUUAACACCUACCAACCCUUCCCCUAGGAGUAUGCGUUUAGCACUUUGUUUUGAUUACUAAUAAAAACUUUCGCAACAAGUAUGUGAGUUCUUCAUGACUAAUGUGAGUCCAUGGUAUAGAUGCACUUUCACCUUCCACCAUUGCUAGCCUCUCUAGUGCCGCGCAAUUCUCGCCGAUGCACAAACCCACCAUAUGCCUUCCUCAAAACAGCCACCAUACCUACCUAUUAUGGCAUUUUCAUAUCCAUUCCGAGAUAUAUUGCCAUGCAACUCCCACCAUUCCGUCUCAUGACUUGUGCCGUCACUCUCAUAUUGCCAUUGCAUGAUCUUAAGAUAGCUAGCGAGAUGUUUCAACGUCAUACGCCAAGCUAGAUCGUUGCACAUCCCGGUACACUGCCGGAGGCAUUUCCUAUAGAGUCAUUUCUUAGCUUUGAGCUGCGAGUAAAUAAAAGGGUAAUGAUCAUCAUUAUUAGAGCAUUGUCCCAUGUGAGUAAAUACAAAAAAGAGGACAAAGAGCCCAAAUUAAAAAAAGAAAAAAGAGAGGCCCAAGAGCCCAUAAAAAAUAAAAAAUAAAAAGAGAAAAAGAGAGAAGGGACAAUCUACUACCUUUUUCCACACUUGUGCUUCAUAAUAGCACCAUGUUCUUCAUCAUCAUAUGCUAGUGGGAAUCUUCAUUAUAUAACUUGGCUUGUAUAUUCCAAUGAUGGGCUUCCUCAAAAUUGCCCUAGGUCUUCGUGAGCAAGCAAGUUGGAUGCACACCCACUAGUUAUCCUUUUGAUCUUUCACAUACUUAUAGCUCUAGUGCAUCAUUUGAAUGGCAAUCCCUACUCAUUCACAUUGAUAUCUAUUAAUGGGCAUCUCCAUAGCCCUUUGAUACGCCGAGUCAAUGUAACCAUCUCCUCCUUUUUGUCUCACAACCACCACCACACUCUAUUCCACCUAUAGUGUUAUAUCCAUGGCUCACACUCAUGUAUUGCGUGAUAGUUAUAAAAAGUUUUGAGAAAGUAAGAGUGCAAAAACAAUUACUUGGCCAAUACCAGGGUUGUGCAUGAUUUACAUUAGUUGUGUGAGGAUGAUGGAGCAUAGCCAGACUAUAUGAUUUUGUAGGGAUAACUUUCUUUGGCCUUGUUAUUUUGAAAGUUCGUGAUUACAUUGCUAGUUUGCUUGAAGUAUUAUUGUUUUCAUGUCAAUAGCAAACUAUUGUUUUGAAUCUUAUGGAUCUGAACAUUCAUGUAACAUGAAAGAAGUUACAAAGGAUAACUAUGCUAGGUAGCAUUCCACAUCAAAAAAUCAGUCUUUAUCACUUCCCUACUCGAGGACGAGCAUGAGUUAAGCUUGGGGAUGCUUGAUACGUCUCCAACGUAUCUAUAAUUUUUUAUGGUUUCAUGCUAUUAUAUUGUCAAAUUUUGGAUAUUUAGUAUGCCUUUUAUAUCUUUUUUGGGACUAACUUAUUAACUCAGUGCCAAGUGUUAGUUCCUGUUUUUUUCCAUGUUUUUGACCCCUUUCAGAGGAGGAUUUUAAACGGAGUCCAAACGGAACGAAACUUCCAAAAAGAUUUUUUCCGAAACAGAAGAAGAUCGGGAAACCUGAGAAUCAGGGCAGGGGCCCAGCAGGGACCCCACAAGCUCCCUAGCCACGGCCACGGGGGCCCGCGCCUCCCAGGCUUGUGGGCUCCCUGGGCCAACUCUGCCCUAGGUCUUUCGCCUAUAUAUUCCCUAAAAUCCUAGAAAAAUCAGGAGAUCGUCGAAAGUACUUUUCCUCCACCGCAAGCUUCUAUCUUCACAAGAUCCCAUCUGGGGCAUGUUCUGGUGCCCUGCCGGAGGGGGGAUUCGGACACGGAGGGCUUCUUCAUCAACACCAUGACCUCUCCGAUGAUGCGUGAGUAGUUCACCACAGACCUACGGGUCCAUAGCUAGUAGCUAGAUGGCUUCUUCUCUCUCUUGGAUCUUCAAUACAAAGUUCUCCAUGAUCUUCAUGGAGAUCUAUCCGAUGUAAUCUUCUUUUGCGGUGUUUUUGUCGAGAUCCGAUGAAGUGAAUCUUAUUUGAGUUUCUUAUGAUCUCUUAUAUGCAUGAUUUCAUAUCCUUGUAAUUCUCUUCGAGUUGUGGGUUUUGUUUGGCCAGCUUGAUCUAUGAUUCUUGCAAUGGGAGAAGUGCUUGGUUUUGGGUUCAUACCAUCCGGUGACCUCACCCAGUGACAGAAGUGGUAGCGAGGCACGCAUCGUGUUGUUGCCAUCAAGGGUAAAAAGAUGGGGUUUUCAUCAUUGGUUUGAGUUUAUCCCUCUACAUCAUGUCAUCUUGCUUAAGGCGUUACUCUGUUCGCCAUGAACUCAAUUCACUAGAUGCAUGCUGGAUAGCGGUCGAUGUGUGGAGUAAUAGUAGUAGAUGCAGAAAGUAUCGGUCUACUUGUCUCGGACGUGAUGCCUAUAUGUAUGAUAAUUGCCUUAGAUAUCAUCAUGACUUUGCGCGGUUCUAUCAAUUGAUCGACUGUAAUUUGUUCACCCACCGUAAUAUUUUCUAUUUUGAGAGAAGCCUCUAGUGAACACUAUGGCCCCGGGGUCUACUCCACACCAUAUUUUCAGCCUUAAUCUUUUUCUUCUUUGCACUUUCCGCCUUCAGAUCUCACUUUGCAAUCAAUCUUGAAGGGAUUGACAACCCCUUUAUAGCGUUGGGUGCAAGCUAUUUUGUGUUUGCGCAGGUACUCUGGACUUGACGAGAUUCUCCUACUAGAUUAAUACCUUGGUUCUCAAACUGAGGGAAAUACGUACUACUCCUGUGCUGCAUCACCCUUUCCUCUUCAAGGGAAAAACCAACGCAAGCAAGUCUCCAUCAAUGUGUCAAAUUUAGGCGCUGUUGUUUGAGAAGUAGUAGGGAUCACCUUAUAAUGCAACCAUCGCUCUAAGCAAAAUAAGGUGCAUAAAAGGAUUAACAUCACAUGCAAAUCAUAAGUGACAUGAUAUGGCCAUGAUCUUGUGCUUCUUGAUCUCCAUCACCAAAGCACCGGCAUGAUCUUCAUCGUCACCGGUGCCACACCAUGAUCUCCAUCAUCAUGAUCUCCAUCAUUGUGCCGCCAUCGAGGUUGUUGUGCUAUCUAUGCUAUUACUACUAAAGCUACUACCUAGCAAUAUAGUAAACGCAUCUGCAAGCAUAAUAGUUAGUUUAAAGACAACCCUAUGGCUCCUGCCGGUUGCCGUAGCAUCGACGUGCAAGUCGAUAUUUAGCUAUUACAACAUGAUCAUCUCAUACAUCCAAUAUAUCAUAUCAUGUCCUUGGCCAUAUCACAUCACAUGCAUACCCUGCAAAAACAAGCUAGACGUCCUCUAAUUUCUUGUUGCAUGUUUUAACCAUAUCGCAUCUUACUUACGCAAAGCCACAACGGUGAUAUGCAAUUUGUUAUUUAACCUUCUCCAAGGACGGCCUCGGUCAAAUCCGAUUAAACUAAAGUUGAAGAACCAGACACCCGCCAGUCAUCUUUAUGCAACAAGUUGCAUGUUAGUUGAUGAAACCGGUCUCUCGUAAGCGUACGAGUAAGUUUUGUCCGGGCCGCUUCAAUCCAACAAUACAACCGAAUCGAGAAAAGACUAAGGAGGACAGAAAAUCGAACAUCAACACCCACAAACUCUUUUGUGUUCUACUCCAAAUAUCAUAUACGCAUGAACCUAGCUCAUGAUGCCACUGUUGGGGAACGUCGCAUGGGAAAUAAAAAAUUUCCUAUGCACACGCAAUACCUAUCCAUGGUGAUGAUCAUCCACAAGAGGGGAGAGUGCAUCUACAUACCAUUGUAGAUCGCUAAGCGGAAGCGUAAAUAACGCGAUUGAUGUAGUGGAACAUCUUCGUGAUCCAAAUCGCAGCCCGUCCCGCGAUCCCAUCACGAUCCGUCCCGCGAUCCCAUCAUGAUCCAUCCCAGUCUAGUGCCGAACGGAUGACACCUCUACGGUCAGCACACGUACAGCUCGAUGACGAUCUCCGCCUUCUUGAUCCAGAAAGAGGGGUGAAGAGGUAGAUGAGUUCUCCGGUAGCGUGAUGGUGCGCCGGUGAUGGUGGUGAUAUAUUCCUGCAGGGAUUCGCCUAAGCACCGCAGAAAUCCGAUCUAGAAGAAGAACUACAAACUAUAGGAGAUGGUAGCACGUGGCUGAAAUUGUGUGUGUCAAAAACCCUCAAUACCUCUAGUAUAUAUAGGAGGGAGGGCGGGGAGGAGGCAGCCUCAAACCCUCAAGGUUUGGCCGAAAUUGGAGGUGGAGGAGUCCUACUCCAAUCCUACUAGGAGUAGGAUUCCUCCUUUCCACUUGGAAACCCUUUCCACCUUUCGGUUUUUUUGCCUCUCAAACCUCAUGGGACUUAGUGGGAGCUUAUGUCAGCCCACUAGGGGCUGGUUUGUAUCCUCCCAUAGCCCAUAAGGCCCCUCGGUGCGUGACACCCCUCCCGAUGGUCCCCGGUACCCUCCCAGCACUCCCGGUACACUACCGAUGAGCCCGAAACUUUUCCGGUGACCAAAACAGGACUUCCUAUAUAUCAACCUUUACCUCCGGACCAUUUCGGAGCUCCUCGUGAUGUACGGGAUCUCAUCCGGGACUCUGAACAAAUUUCGGUUACCAACACCUAUAACUCAAUUAUACCUAAACGUCACCGAACCUUGAGUGUGUAGACCCUGCGGGUUCGAGAACUAUGCGGAUAUGACCUGAGACAUUCUCCAGUCAAUAACCAAUAGCGAGACUUGGAUGUCCAUAUUGGCUCCUACAUAUUCUACGAAGAUCUCUAUCGGUUGAACCUCUAUGUCAAGGAUUCAGUUAAUCUCUUAUGUUGUUCCCUUUGUCCUUCAGUAUGUUACUUGCCUGAGAUUCGAUCGUCGGUAUCUCCAUACCUAGUUCAAUCUCGUUAACAGCAAGUCUCUUUACUCGUUCCUUAGUACAAGAUCCCAUAACUAACUCCUUAGUCAGAUUGCUUGCAAGGCUUGUUGUGAUGUUGUAUUACCGAGUGGGCCCCGAGAUACCUCUCGAUCACACGGAGCGACAAAUCCUAGUCUUGAUCCAUGCCAACCCAACACACGCCUUUGGAGAUACAUGUAGAGCACCUUUAUAGUCACCUAGUAACGUUGCAACGUUUGAUACACACAAGGUAUUCCUCCGGUGUCCGGGAGUUGCAUGAUCUCAUGGUCAGAGGAACAGAUACAUUGACCUGCAGAAAAACAGUAGCAAUAAACUGACACGAUCAUAUGCUACGUUUAUAGUGUGGGUCUUGUCCAUCACAUCAUUCUCCUAAUGAUGUGAUCCCGUUAUCAAGUGACAAAACUUUCCUGUGGCUAGUAAACCUUGACCAUCUUCGAUCAACGGGCUAGUCAACUAGAGGCUCACUAGGGACAGUGUGUUGUCUAUGUAUCCACACAUGUAUUUAUGUUUCCAUUCAAUACAAUUAUAGCAUGGAUAAUAAAUGAUUAUCAUGAGCAAGGAAAUAUAAUAAUAACCAAUUUAUUAUUGCCUCUAGGACAUAUUUCCAACAGAAUUCACCCAGGAUCAUGGAGCUCAAUAGCUGGGAAGGCCUCCGCCCACUUCUUCUUGAUCAGGUAAAACAGUUAUGGGCCGUAGAUGGGAACCUUACAGUUAAAAACUGCUGAAAGAAGCUCACUCCACAUGACGUGAGACACAUCAAGCGGUCCAGAGGCACGAGUUCGCCCUUUCUAACACAUCAAGAGCAUAUCCACCAGGUAUGAAUGCACCUCGUCCUCAUUGCCAACGCGCGGAAAAAGAGUGUUGCGAAAGAUACGGUGCAUGACAUCAAGGAAUGGGCUCAGCACGUGGGAGAACUCACCAGAUGGGAUAUCUUCUCAAUAAAGAAUGGCAACAACUUCUCCUUAGCUGUAGCAGAUGGCUUAGCAUGUGGGUGCAAACUAACCGAGUGCUCAAGCCCCUCAUCACGGGCGUUCAACAAAUUCAUAAACUCCUUCCAAGUAGCAGUCAGACUCUCCCCAUUGGUCAUCCAAGACAUGGUGUGCUCCUCAUCAGAGUGAAAGUGGACAAUAACAAAGAACUGAGCCACUAUCUCAGGAUCAAAGUCAAAGUGAAACGUGAUGAGCUCCGCAAUCUCAAGUUGUUCCACCAUGGACAAAGCAUCACCAAAGUAUGUCGGGUCCUUCUUCACAUGGUCCAUGUCAAUCCACUGAACUGGGACAUAGAUAUUCUUCUUGGUCUUGAUCACAUCUUCAUAAAUAAGAUCCUGGUGCUUAGACCAGAACAUUUCACAUCCGGGGAGCUGAACCCUAGCGUUGUCAUAGGGGGUUGACCUUUCGGCGAAGCUAAAACUCAGAAAGUGGCAUAUCAUCCCAAUCCAUAGUGUUUGCCUUGUUCUUGUGAGUGGGCCUCUUGAAAUUGCGCUUCGGAGCCUGUGAUCCCUCGGGUGCAUCUGAAGAGCGAGGUCGCUUGGAACUGGCAUCCUGAGGUGGGUUAGAGCGCCUGGAGCCACCACCUAUGACACACAACAUAAACACAAGAAAAUGACAAAAGAGGUCAAGGCAAAGACCAAAGCAAAUUAGAAAACCCAGAUAAAGGAGAACUGGAAGGUCAUAACAUGUGUACUUAGGGGACAACAGUAGUACCGCUGAUCAAGCGGUAAUAAAAUUUUACUACCGCUCUGAUAGUGGUAGUACCGUCCUCACAGCGGUAGUACNNNNNNNNNNNNNNNNNNNNNNNNNNNUUCAGGCGGUUGUAAAAAAAUUACUACCGCUCUAACAACGGUAGUACUGCUCCACAGCGGUAGUACUUCUCUAGGAGGAGCAGUAGUACCGCUCCACAAUGGUAGUACUGCUCCAGGAGGAGCGGUAGUACCACAUGGGCGAAAAAGUGCUAGAUCUGACAAGUGGAACUUCGGAUCCGGUACUACCGGAGACCCAAACCCACAUGUUGCAACCUACAUAGUAAAAUUGCUAGCACACAAGUACUCUCCAACCCUCCUUGCAUGAAAAGAUUGUGCCAUGAAACGAUGAACACACAUAUGCCCCUAACCCUAGAUUCAACAAGAACGAAGCAAAGAGAAGGGAACGAGGGGCAAUACCGAGAUCCAUGGCACGAGGGAGAGGAGGGAGACGAUUCCACCAAACGGAAUCGGAGGAGAGUGGCCGGAGAAGGAGAUCCGGCGAGUCCCUCCAGCACCGUUUCUUGAGAAGAGAGAGAGAGAAAUAGAGAGAGCCAUGAGAUGAAUGGGUAUGUGGGAGAAAGAACUGCCCUACCCUAAAAUAACCCCGCGUGGCCUUGACGGCACGGUAGUACCAUGGUCAUCGCGGUAGUACCGCUUGGCCAGUGAAAGGACGUGGAUGUCGCCUAGAGGGGGGGGGUGAAUAGGCGCUUUAAAAUAAUUAAGGUUUAGGCUUGAACAAAUGCGGAAUAAAACUAACGUUUAAUAUGUCAAGCACAAAACCUACAAACAACUAGGCUCACCUAUGUGCACCAACAACUUACGCUAAGCAAGAUAAACAACUAAGUGAUAGCAAGAUAUAUUACAAUAAACAAUAUGUCUAUCACAAAGUAAAGUGCAUAAGUAAAGGGUUCGGGUAAGAGAUAACCGAGGCACAGGGAGAGAUGAUGUAUCCCGAAGUUCACACCCUUGCGGAUGCUAAUCUCUGUUGGAGCGGUGUGGAGGCACAAUGCUCCCCAAGAUGCCACUAAGGCCACCGUAAUCUCCUCACGCCCUCGCACAAUGCAAGAUGUCGUGAUUCCACUAAGGGACCCUUGAGGGCGGUCACCGAACCCGUACAAAUGGCAACCCUUGGGGGCGGUCACCGAACCCGUAAACGUGGCAACCCUUGGGGGCGGUUACCGGUACCCGUACAAAUUUCUCGGGGCAAUCUCCACAACCUAAUUGGAGACCCCGACGCUUGCCCGGAGCUUCACACCACAAUGAUUGAGCUCCGAGACACCACCAAGCUUAUAGGAUGCCAAAGCAUCCACGAAGAACAAUAUCUAGGGUACUAAGUACCAAAGGUAGUAAGCUUGUCAACUUCUCACUUCCACGUAUCACCGUGGAGAACUCAAACCGAUGCAACUAAUGCAAUGGCAAGAACACACGAAGUGGUCAAGUCCCUCACACUGAAAUCCCUCCACAACAACGAAAGCUAUGGAGAAAUAUGAGAGGAAGAACAAGGAGCUCACAAAGAACUCCAAGAUCUAGAUCCAAGGGGUUCCCCUCACAUAGAGGAGAAAGUGAUUGGUGGAGAUGUGGAUCUAGAUCUCCUCUCUCUCUUCCCUCAAGAACAAGCAAGAAUCAUUGGAGGGAUUGAGAGUAAUCAAGCUCUAAGAAUGUCAACAAUGGAGGUAGAACAAGAGCUCAACGGAUAGAUAAGACCAAGGGGGAAGAAGACCCCCUUUAUAUAGUGGGGGAAGGAAUCAGACCGUUACCCCCACUUACAGCCCGAGCCCAGCGGUACUACCGCUGGCUGCAGCGGUACUACCGCUGAGCCCAUGGUAGCGCAAAGAUACUACCGGGCCAACCACCGCCAAGAAAGUCUUCGCAAAAAUGUCCGACGCAGUACAACCGCAAAGAUGACGGUACUAAAAACUUGGAGCGGUACUACCGCUGGCCAGGGGCGGUACUACCGCUGGGACAGUGGUACUACCGCCAGCUCUAGCGGUACUACCGCUAGGGCCAGCGGUACUACGCCAACUCUAGAGGUACUACCGCUAGGUCCAACGGUACUACCGCUCGCCACUGAAACAGCCAUAACUUUCGCAUACGAGCUCCGAAUCGAGCAAACCCAAGCUUGUUGGAUUCAGGACGACAAGACCUAUCCAAACAGCGAGAUGAUGCAUAUAUGAAAAUGCCAAUGAUAUAGAGAUGUGAGUCCUCUAUGAAUGAAGAACCGGCAAAAACUCCAACAUCGAAAACAUCAUAGUAGAUGCAUAUGGACUCCGUUUUCGAUGAACUCGAGCUUGUCACGAAGAUGACCAUAAGCUCUAAAACUCACAAAGAGAAACACCAAACAAGAACCAAGAAGUAUGAUGCAAGGAUGCAAAUGGUUUGAGCUCUCAACGAACGAUACGGUCAAGCUACUCACUUGAGAGCCCCCCUUGAUAGUACAACAAUCUAUCCUAAACAGAAAACCUAUCAAGGGCAAACCUAUACCUUGCACCUCGUCCUCUUGAGCUAGAUGAUGAUGAUCUUGGCUUCCUCAAGAUGGACCACCUUUCUUGAUUGUGUUGGCUUGAUGAAGACUAGUUGAUUGCUCCCCCAUACUCACUAUGGGUGAGCCACUCUUCAGCAUAUCUUCACAAGUCCAUUGCCACCACAAUGGAGGAGAAGCUUCAAGCAUGAUAUCUUUGUGUUGAUCCACUUGAACUUGCACAUCGCAAUCUUGAUGACGAUCACAACUUGACGUCAUACUUCAUGGGUUGUAUGAGAUCUUCCCUUUGACACAAGCCCAUGGAAACACACCUAACCCCCACAUAGAACUCUCACGAAGACCAUGGGUUAGUACACAAACACGUAAUGGAAAAUGCUUACCAUACCAUGGGAUCACUUGAUCCCUCUCGAUACAUCUUGUACGCUUUGUGUGUUGAUCAUCUUGAUUUACUCUUUGUCUGAGAUCUUGAUCAACCAUGUGUCUCUAUGACCAUUCUUUGGAUAAUACCUUGAAUACCAUCUUGGUCAUCAUAUAAACUCCUUGAACCCAACAGAUGGACUUCAAGAAGUGCCUAUGGAGAAAUCCUAUAAAUGUAACUUAAGGCAACCAUUAGUCCAUAGGAAUUAUCAUCAAUUACCAAAACCACAUAUGGAGAUAUAUGCUCUAACAGCCAGUGGUAGUAAAUUUUUACUACCGCUAGCUGAGAGGUAGUACCGCUCGUCCAGCGGCACUAAAAAAUUACUGUCGUGCCUGGAGCGGUAGUACCGUUCCCCUUUUUACAAAAACACUUUGAACCUUGCCUCCUGUUUACGAAAACACUUUGAACCUUGCCACAGGAAGAGAGAAAGCACAUGAAAAACCCAGGGGAAGAUAAAAAAGAAACACGUACGCAACUUGAAUACCGAACCGAAUCUUCUGACGAAGAGAGGGCGGUGGCUGGAGCCACCAAUAUUUGAUACAAAUGGUAUGACACCGCGAAGAAUUAUCCUUGGGUUCAUGACCAAAGACCGUCCUUGAAACACAAGUGCCAUCAACAAUGGCUAAUGUGAAAGACUUGAUCAACUUAUGCAUAAUGGGGGGAGGGAAAGUUCAUUGAGAGAACAACACACACCCUAUGUCCAUGCCUACACCUAGAGCAAAAUAUAAUGAUGAGUGAGGUGUGGUGUGCCUAGUUUAAUCCACAUUACUUGACUCAAUGAUAUUUAGCUCAUUCCAUAAAUCACGAAACCUUGCUUCAUCUAGAGGUUUGGUGAAAAUAUCUGCAAGUUGCUCUUGAGUGUUGAUGAAGAAGGCCUCAAUAUCUCCUUGCUUGAUAUGAUCUCGAAUGAAAUUAUGACAAAUAUCAAUAUGCUUGGUCUUGCUAUGUUGCACCAAAUUGAGAGAUAUCUUGAUGGCACUUUAUUGUCACAUAGAAGAGGCACUUUGUCACAAGUGACACUAUAAUCCUUUAAAGUUUGCCACAUACAUAAUAAUUGAGCACAACAACUUGCGGCAGCUACAUACUCAACCUCGAUGGAAGAAAGUGACACACAGUUUUGUUUCUUCGAAGACCAACUUACAAAGAGCGACCAAGGAAUUGGCAUCCUCGAGAAGUUGACUUCCUUCCGACACAGUCUCCAGCCCAAUGAGAGUCAGAGUAACCUACUAAACUAAAGCUUGCUCCUUUGGGGUACCAUAAGCCAAAGUUUGGGGUAUGAGCCAAAUAUCAAAAGAUUCGUUUGACUGCCACAUAGUGGCUUUCCUUUGGUGCGGAUUGAAAUCGUGCACAAAUUCCCACACUCAACAUGAUAUCUGGUCUAGAUGCACGAAGAUAAAGCAAGGAUCCAAUCAUGGAGCAAUAUACCUUUUGAUCCACUGCUUUACCAUUGGGAUCAUUGUCAAGCUUGCAUUUGGUUGGCAUGGGAAAUUUGACCGGCUUGACAUCCUCGAGCUCGAACCUUUUGAGCAUGUCUUGAGUGUAUUUGGCUUGUUUGAUGAAUGUUCCUUCUCUUCCUUGUUUGAUCUCAAACCCGAGAAAGAACUUCAACUCUCCCAUCAUAAAUAUCUCAAACUUCUCGGUCAUUAGUGCAGCAAACUCUUCAUUGAAAGAUUCGUUGCGAGAACCAAAAAUAAUAUCAUCAACAAAUCCCCUUUGACCUAUUUGGUAAAAAAGGUGGGAUCAAUUUCCCAAUUUCAAACCCACGAUCUUGCAACAGCUCGGUAAGGUACUCAUACCAUGCACGUGGGGCUUGUUUAAGGCCAUAGAGCGACUUCUUGAGUUUGUAUACAUGCAUGGGGAACUUGGGAUCCUCGAAUCCCGGGGGUUGUUUGACAUAUACCAACUCAUUUAAGGGACCAUUAAGAAAUGCACUCUUCACAUCCAUUUAUUGCAAUUUGAAAUCAUGAUGAGAAGCAAAUGCAAGCAACAUGCGAAUAUAUUCAAGACGAGCAACAGGGGCAAAGGUUUCACCAUAGUCUAUACCCUCGACUUGGGAGUAUCCUUGAGCCGCCAAUCUUGCCUUGUUUCGAAUGACAACACCAUUUGCAUCCUGCUUGUUCUUAAAGACCCAUUUGGUUACAAUGACAUUAUGUUCCUCCGUUGUCCUUGGCUCUAAUUCCCAAACUUGAUUGCGCUCGAAGUUGUUAAGUUCAUCAUGCAUGGAUUCAAGCCAAUCCUCAUCAUCGAGCGCAUCAUGUACCUUUUGGGGUUUAACACACGAAACAAAUGCAUGAUGCAAACAAAAGUUUGAUAAUUGUUGACGAGUAGUUACCUUGGCGGCGCAACGCUUCAAGACUUCCUUACUGGAUAAUUUAGGAGCGUCUUCUUGAACAUCUUGAGCACCGUCUUGGGCUUGCUCACUAGUUUGCCCUUGAUCUUGUGAUUGCGCUUGAUCUUAAGGACCGUCUUGGGCUUGCUCACUAGUUUUCCCUUGAUCUUGUGGUCGCACUUGAUCUUGAGCAAACUCAGAGUCUUGAGCAUGAUCUUGGACAUCAUUUGGUGCAACACCAUCUUCAUGAGGUUGAUCUUGUCCUUGAUCGUGUUCAUUGGGUUGAGGGCCUUCACUUUUGUUCUUCGAAAGCGUGUGGGACUAGUGAGGGUGAUGUCUCCACUUGAGUAGAGCAUUGUCCUUCUCCUUCCACCACAAGGGGUUCCUCAAUGGGGAGUAUUUGACCAAUCCCCAUUCUUCUUAUGGCUUGAGGAGGAAUUUCAUCACCUACAUCACAAAAGACCACUUUGCUCCACUUGGGAGCCAUUAUUUUCAUCAAACUCUAUGUUACACGUCUCCUCAAUGAGUCUGGUGGACUUGUUGAGAACACGGUAAGCAUGAGAGUUUGUAGCAUAACCAACAAAUAUGCCCUCAUGAGCUCUAGCAUCAAAUUUAACCAAAUGAACACCUUUCUUGAGUAUGAAACACUUACAACCGAACACCCGGAAGUACUUGAGGUUGGGCUUGUUCCCGGUAAGAAUCUCAUAUGGAGUCUUGUUCAAGCCUUUGCGGAGCUAGAGUCGAUUGAAUGCAUGGCAUGCAGUGUUGAUGGCUUCGGCCCAAAAGUUGUACGGAGAUUUGAAUUCCUCCAUCAUGGUUCUUACCGCGUCCAUCAAUGUCCGGUUCUUCCAUUCCGCCACACCGUUUUGUUGAGGGGUAUAGGGUGCUGAAUAUUUGUGCGUGAUCCCCUCGUCACUAAGAAACUCAUUCAAGGUGUAGUUCUUGAACUCGAUGAUGUUGUCACUUCUAAUCAUCAAUAUCUUUGAUUCAUGUUGACGUUGAGCUUCAUUAGCAAAGUCAAUGACGGUUUGUUGAGUCUAACUAUUCUUCUUGAAGAAGUAUACCCAAGUGUAUCUUGAGUAGUCAUCCACAAUCACCAAGCAAUACUUUCUUCCCCCAAAACUAUCAAAAGAUGGAGGACCAAAGAGACCAAUGCGAAGGAGCUCCAAGGGCCUUUUCGAGUAGAUGAUAGUUGUGGGACGGUGAGUGGUUUCAUGAAGCUUUCCUUCAAUACAAGCACUUCAAGUACGGUCUCUGAAAAAACUCACAUUUGUUAGUCCACGAACAUGGUCCCCUUUGAGGAGACUUUGCAAACAUCUCAUAUUGACAUGAGCUAGCCUGCGAUGCCAAAGCCACCCCACAUCAACUUUAGCCAUUAGACAAGUUGCGAUCUUAGUGGGUCGCUCCGAAAAGUUCACCACAUAGAGACUAUUCUCGACAUGUCCAACAAAGGAUACUUUAAGAGUCUUGCUCCACAAAAGGGACACGGUAUCAAGAUUAAAGAAUGUGGCAAAGCCCAUAAUUGCAAGCUGAUGAACUGAAAGCAAAUUGUAUGCAAGGGACUCAACAAGCAUGACCUUCUCUAUAGAUAAAUCUUGAGAGAUGACCACCUUACCAAAUCCCAUUACCUUAGAUGUUGAGGCAUCAACAAAUUGGACAUGGGUGGGCAUAGAUGGAAUUGGAUGCACAUCCACCACCAAGUCCUUGCUCCCGGUCAUAUGAUUUGUGGCUCCAUUAUCGAGCAACCAUGACACUCCACCAGAAGCAAACUCCUACAAGAGAUCAAUGCUUGGAUUUAGGUACCCAUUCUUGAAUGGGUCCUUUGAUGUUAGAAACAAGGGUAUUAGGAAUCCAAAUAGCCCAUUCAAUGUACUCAUAAUAAGAACGAACAAAUUUGGCAUAAACAUGCCAUCACUAGCAUGACAUAAAACAUAAGAGGGGUUAAAGUCGUCGGCUUUGUUGGUAGAGGUGGUUUUGCCCUUCUUGGCAUUGUCACCCCCUUCCUUUUCUUCAUAUUCUUAUGAGUAAUCUCACCCUCUUUGACAAAGAUGUCCUUGAGAGGGGGAGAAAGCUUGGUCUUGUUCUUCCUUUUCUUUUUAGAUUUGGGUGCAAACCCAAGUCCUUCCUUUCGUACCACUUCCUUUUGAUUACUCAAAAGGUCAUUUAAAUUCUUCUCGCCUUGGAUGCAUGACACAAGGCCCUUUUCAAGUUGUUCUUUCAACUUGGCAUUCUCCUCCACAAGAUGCACAUGCUCACAACAAGGGUUAGCAGCACAAGCAUUAUCAAUUAGAACAAAAGGAGGACAAGUAGACAUCUCCUUGAUUAGUUUUACUUGGAGUUGAUCAUGAGACUCCUUAAGAGAGAAAUGAGCACCUUUCAAGACCUUGUGGGCCUUUUCAAGUGUGUCAAAUUGUUCCUUGAGUCUAUCAUGGCCAAUCCCAAGUGCAACUUUCUCAGAUUUAAGCACACGGGUAAGAACAAGAGCAUAUGAUCAAGAUCUUUUUGCAAUUUAGCAUGAUCAAUGUUGUGUGACUCCUCAAGAGCCAAACAAAGACCACACUCUUCUUCUAGAGCAAGGAUAGUUCCGCUAUCUCAUCGGCGCAAUCAUGACUAUGUCCUACCAACUUGGAGAUAGUCUCCUCAUGAGUCUCAAAAGAAACAUUGGCCUCACCAAGUUGUUCCUCAUGAGUCUCAAUGAAAGAGCAACUAAGUGCUUUUUGGUGUCACCUUUGAUUUUACACAGGAAUUUGUCAAACUCAUUCUCAUCAAGCUCCACUACUUCACUAUCAUCAACACAAUCUAACAAUGAAGGAGAGGUAGUGAUAGUGGUCUUUAUGUUGGGGGUUACCUUAUUGAUACCUUUGGCCAUGAGGCACUUGGCGAUGCGGUUCUCGUUGGUGGCGCCGGAGAGAGACACCUUGGGGGAGGAAGUGGCAAUGGCCACGGUAGCCGUUGCCAUCCCCUCACGACCUGUAUCAUCCUCGUCAUCACCGGAGGUGUACACUUCAUGGGUAACCAAAUCCCUUGGAGGAGCCUUUUUGGUGAAGGUGUUCUUGCUUGGGAAGGACUUGGCUCUAUCUUUGCGAAUGAGCUUUCCCCCGUUGUCUUCCCUCUUCUCAUAAGGACAAUCUGCCACAAAGUGACUCACAUUGACGUAGUUGUAGCAUGUCCAUACUCGUUGCUUGUUGUUGGACCCACUUGAGUUGUCCUUGGAGAAGUUGGGCCUUGAGUUUCUCCUGUUGCCCCAAAACUGCCUUGAUGCAAGAGCCAUGUGCUCGUGAUAAGCAUACUUUGUGUCUUCGAGGCAGCCAUCUUCUUCCUCUUCUUCUUCAUCAUCAAUGGCCUUGGCUCUCAAGGAAAGGUUGGAUGAGGCUACCUUCGACCGGACACGAGCAAGAGCAUUGUCGACGGUCUUGUUCAUAAAAUCUGUUAGAGCAUAUAUCUCCAUAUGUGGUUUUGGUAAUUGAUGACAAUUCCUAUGGACUAAUGGUUGCCUUAAGUUACAUUUAUAGGAUUUGUCCAUAGGCACUUCUUGAAGUCCAUCUGUUGGGUUCAAGGAGUUUAUAUGAUGACCAAUAUGGUAUUCAAGGUAUUAUCCAAAUAAUGGCAUAGAGACACAUGGUUGAUCAAGAUCUCAAACAAAGAGAAAAUCAAGAUGAUCAACACACAAAGCGUACAAGAUGUACCGAGAGGGAUCAAGUGAUCUCAUGGUAUGGUAAGCAUUGUCCAUUACGUGUUUGUGUACUAACCCAUGCUCUUCGUGAGAGUUCUAUGUGGGGGUUAGGUGUGUUUCCAUGGGCUUGUGUCAAAGGGAAGAUCUCAUACAACCCAUGAAGUAUGACGUCAAGUUGUGAUCGUCAUCAAGAUUGCGAUGUGCAAGUUCAAGUGGAUCAACACAAAGAUAUCAUGCUUGAAGCUUCUCCUCCAUUGUGGUGGCAAUGGACUUGUGAAGAUAUGCUGAAGAGUGGCUCACCCAUAGUGAGUAUGGGGGAGCAAUCAACUAGUCUUCAUCAAGCCAACACAAUCAAGAAAGGUGGUCCAUCUUGAGGAAGCCAAGAUCAUCAUCAUCUAGCUCAAGAGGACGAGGUGCAAGGUAUAGGUUUGCCCUUGAUAGGUUUUCUGUUUAGGAUAGAUUGAUGUACUAUCAAGGGGGCUCUCAAGUGAGAAGCUUGAUCGUAUCAUUCAUUGAGAGCUCAAACCAUUUGCAUACUUGCAUCAUACUUCUUGGUUCUUGUUUGGUGUUUCUCUUUGUGAGUUUUAGAGCUUAUGGUCAUCUUCGUGACAAGCUUGAGUUCAUAAAAAACGGAGUCCAUAUGCAUCUACUAUGAUGUUUUUGAUGUUGGAGUUUUUGCCGGUUCUUCAUUCAUAGAGGACUCACAUCUCUAUAUCUUUGGAUAGCCCUUGUCGUCCUGAAUCCAACAAGCUUGGGUUUGCUCGAUUCGGAGCUCGUAUGCGAAAGUUAUGGCUGUUUCAGUGGCGAGCGGUAGUACCGCUGGACCUAGCGGUAGUACCGCUAGAGUUGGCGGUAGUACCGCUGGCCCUAGCGGUAGUACCACUGGCUCGCGGUAGUACCACCCCUGGUUAGCGGUAGUACCGCUCCAGGAGCUUAGUACCGCCUGCCUAGCGGUUGUUCGUGGACGGACCUUUUUGCGAAGACUUUCUUGGCGGUGGUAGUGCCAUUGCACUACGAGGGGCCCAGCGGUAGUACCGCUGGGGCCAGCGGUAGUACCAUUGGAGUGCCAGCGGUAGUACCGCUAGCUGGCGGUAGUACCGCUGGAGUGCCAGCGGUAGUACCGCUGCAGCCAGCGGUAGUACCGCUGGAGCUUGGGUAGAAAGUGGGGGUAACGGUCUGAUUCCUUCCCCCACUAUAUAAAGGGGGUCUUCUUCCCCCUUGGUCUUAUCUAUCCGUUGAGCUCUUGUUCUACCUCCAUUGUUGACAUUCUUAGAGCUUGAUUACUCUCUAUCCCUCCAAUGAUUCUUGCUUGUUCUUGAGGGAAAAGAGAGAGGAGAUCUAGAUCCACAUCUCCACCAAUCACUUUCUCCUCUAUGUGAGGGGAACCCCUUGGAUCUUGAUCUUGGAGUUCUUUGUGAGCUCCUUGUUCUUCCUCUCAUAUUUCUCCAUAGCUUUUGUUGUUGUGGAGGAAUUUGAGUGUGAGGGACUUGACCACUUCGUGUGUUCUUGCCAUUGCAUUGGUUGCAUCGGUUUGAGUUCUCCACGGUGAUACGUGGAAGUGAGAAGUUGACAAGCUUACUACCUUUGGUACUUAGUACCCUAGAUAUUGUUCUUCGUGGAUGCUUUGGCAUCCUAUAAGCUUGGUGGUGUCUCGGAGCUCAAUCAUUGUGGUGUGAAGCUCCGGGCAAGCGUCGGGGCCUCCAAUUAGGUUGUGGAGAUAGCCCUGAGCCAUUUCUACGGGUACCGGUAACCGCCCCCAAGGGUUGCCACGUGUACGGGUUCGGUGACCGCCCCCAAGGUUUGCCAUUUGUACGGGUUCGGUGACCGCCCUCAAGGGUCCCUUAGUGGAAUCACGGCAUCUUGCAUUGUGAGAGAGCGUGAGGAGAUUACGGUGGCCUUAGUGGCAUCUUGGGGAGCAUUGUGCCUCCACACCGCUCUAACGGAGAUUAGCAUCCGCAAGGGUGUGAACUUCGGGAUACAUCAUCGUCUCCCCAUGCCUCGGUUAUCUCUUACCCGAACCCUUUACUUAUGCACUUUACUUUGUGAUAGACAUAUUGUUUAUUGUAAUAUAUCUUGCUAUCACUUAGUUGUUUAUCUUGCUUAGCGUAAGUUGUUGGUGCACAUAGGUGAGCCUAGUUGUUUGUAGGUUUUGUGCUUGACAUAUUAAACGUUAGUUUUAUUCCGCAUUUGUUCAAGCCUAAACCUUAAUUAUUUUAAAGCGCCUAUUCACCCCCCCUCUAGGCGACAUCCACGUCCUUUUCAAAAUCCAUAGCAAUGAACUCAUCCAACACUUCGCCUGAGGUCAAGGUGUGGAAAUCUGGCCUUUGACAAAUGACGGAAGACAUGUCUUUGUUGAAUGGCAUGAUGACCUUGAGAAACUUGCGCUUGAUCCAAGUGUCAUAUGUAUCCUUGCUCCCAUGGUCUUGGAGAGCAACGGCAAGAGCAGUCACCCUUCGAUAGAGAUCACGAGGGCCCUCAUCUUCUAGCAUCAUAAAAUCAUUGGCCUUAUCAAGAACCACUUCAAAGUUAGUCCGUUGAAUGCUUGGGCUCCCCUUGUACAACACCAUGAUGUGCUCCCAACAAUCCUUUGCACGGGAGAAGGGGCGCAAGUGUGGUAGAUCUUUGGGACGAACCGCGGAUUGAAGGAUGAACAACACGGAAUGAUUGUAUUGAUUGUCCGCCCCUUCUCCUGGAAUGAGGUUGUUUGGAUCUUGUGGGUAAAAUCCUUGUUCGAUGAUUCUCCAAAGAUUUGUUGAGAUAUGAUUCAAAUGAGACUUGACGGAAAAUACCCAGUUAGCGAAAUCACCUUUAACAAGUUUAGGAGGAGGACCAAGGUUAUUAAUAUGCGGUGUAGGGACCGGUCCUUCAUACACCGGGUGAGGAGGAACCGAGGCAAAGGUUCCCGUCCCAUUAUUGUCAAGAAGGGAAGAAGUUCGAGUACCUUUAGUCAUUUCCGUAUCGGACUUUGCCUCCGACUCCGAUGUGAUGGGUUUAACCACAAGCAACGGGUCGAGACAAUUCUUUAUCCCCUCAAGUAAUUCUUUAAGCAUGGAAUUGACUUCGGUCAUCAUGGAUGUCUUGAGUGAGGCCAUGGCCUCAUUCAAGUCGUCCCGUGUGAUCGAACUCAAUUCCAUGACCUCGGACCCUUCGGGCACAACCCCACCAUCGUCAACCAUACUCUCCGGGUGGUGAAACCCUUAAUACAGAGACGUGGCUCUAAUACCAAUUGAAAGGAUCAAUAUGGUUGACUAGAGGGGGGUGAAUAGUCAAAUACCAAUUUUUAGCCUUUCUUAACAAAUUAGGGUUAGAAACAGAAGGUUCUCUAGAUGAAAAACUAGGUGAGCAAGCUAUAUGAUGUUAACAACAACGGCAACAAGUGCAAGCAAGGAAUACACCACAACAAUAAUAAGUACAAGGUAAAGGUAAGAGAUAAGUGCAAGUGGAACCGGUGGAGACGAGGAUGUGUUACUGAAGUUCCUUCCCUUUGACAGGAAGUACGUCUCCGUUGGAGCGGUGUGGAGGCACAAUGCUCUCCAAGAAGCCACUAGGGCCACCGUAUUCUCCUCACGCCCUCACACAAUGAGAGAUGCCGUGAUUCCACUAUUGGUGCCCUUGAAGGCGGCGACCGGACCUUUACAAACAAGGUUGGGGCUAUCUCCACACAAAGCUUGGAGGCUCCCAACAAGACCACGAUGCUUCACCACAAUGGAAUGUGGCUCCGAGGUGACCUCAGCCGUCUAGGGUGCUCAAACACCCAAGAGUAACAAGAUCCGCAAGGGAUUAGUGCGGGGAAUCAAAUAUCUCUUGUUGGAAGUGUAGAUCAGAGCCUUCUCAACCAAUCCCUAGGAAAUCAACAAGUUUGAUUGGCUAGGGAGAGAAAUCUGGCAAGAAUGAGCUUUGGAGCAACAAUGAAGUUUGGGGAGGUAAGAGGUAACCUUCUCGGGGAAGAAGACACCUUUAUAUAGUGGGGGGGACAAUCCAACCGUUACCCCCACUUACUGCACUAGCAGAGCGGUACUACCGCUGCUAGGAGCGGUACUACCGCACGACAGUUCACCAACCACGGUAGUAAGAAAAUACUACCGUGCCUACCACUGUUGAGGCAAAAGGAUGCGCAAAAAGUCCGACGGAGUGGUAGUAAAAAACUACUACCGCCCAUAGUGCAGUAGUAAAAAACUACUACCGCCCCGAGUUCGGUACUACCGCUGGCCCUUUUGCACAUACAAGGAAAAAUAUGGUUGGAGCUCCAUUUUAAGCAAGGGAAAGGUGGUACAAUAGAAAUGUGUACGUGUUGUUUCCACCCAAACUUUUCCGAAGCGGACCCACUCUUAAUAGUACGGCUUUCGUACGACUCAAAUCCAUCCAAAGAGAAACGUAGAAAGCAACCAUCUUUGAAAGACUCCGAGGGGCACCGAAUCGUCUUAUGCCUAGUCAUGAAUUAUCUGAAAUGCUCACUACACAUGAUUAGUCCGCACACGCAUUGUCAUCAAUCACCAAAACCACUUAGGGAGAAAUUUGCCCUAACAGAAAGAGCACAAGAAUUACUGCAACAACUAAGUACUUUUCCCAAGUCCCACACUCACUUUACAUUGUCCAAUGGCCUGAUUAAGUACAAGAACAUAAUUUGGAUUGGUAGUUCUGCUCCUUUACAUACACAAAUUGAAACAACAUUUCAUGAUAGUCUUGUGGGUGGUCACUCUACUUUUCCUGUGGCUUACAAGAGAAUCCAUGCAUUAUUUUACUAGGUGGGCAUGUGCAAACUUAUUAGAGAUUAUGCUAAUCUUGCAUCAUUUGCCAACAUGCCAAACAUGAGAAGGUACCAUAUCCUGGAUUGCUUUGUCCUUUACCUGUUCCAAGGCAAGCUUGGGAAAUGGUUUCUAUUAAUUUUAUCAGUUGAUUGCCCACCUUUGACAGAUAUAAUUAUAUCUUGGUAGUUAUUGAUAAGUUCACUAAAUAUGGCCACUUCAUUCAUGUGCAACAUCCUUCACCCGAAGUGUAGCAAAAGUUUUUGUGGAUAAUGUUUACACGCUUCAUAGCCUGCCCAAGUUUAAUAUCUCAGACAUGGAUCCUAUCUUCACUUGUAUAUUCUGGAAAUCAGUGAUGAAGGCUAUUGGCGGCAAGCUUAAGAUGAGCACAUCUAACCAUCGUCAAACAUGCGGUCAAAUAGAGAGUGUUAAUCAACAAGUGGAGUGUCAUCUCAUAUGUUUUAUUAGUGCACAUCCCCAUAAGUGGUCUAAAUGACUUCCUUUGUGUGAGUUCUGAUACAAUACCAACUAGCACUCCUCUCCGGGCCACACAGUCCUUUUGAAAUACUCUAUGGAUAUGCUCCUGGCAUUUUGGAAUCUCUGCAACUGAUAUUGUUCUGCCUCAAAAUAUUGUGGAGUGGCUUGAUAGUAGAGAUGUUGUGCUGGACUCAUUAAAAUAACAUUUGAUGCGUGCACAUCAUCGUAUGAAGGUUCAUGUUGAUAAACACAUGACUAAGCACCAUUUUGCUAUGGGUGAUAAGGUGUUGCUUAAACUGCAACCUUAUGUGCAGUCUUCUAUUAUCAGAAUGGCCAACUAGAAGCUAUCUUUCAGAUAUUGUAGCCCUUAUGAGAUUACUGAGAAGUUGAGGGAACUUGCCUAUUGUUUGGAUUUGCCAGCAACAAGUNNNNNNNNNNNNNNNNNNNNNNNNNNNNNNNNNNNNNNNNNNNNNNNNNNNNNNNNNNNNNNNNNNNNNNNNNNNNNNNNNNNNNNNNNNNNNNNNNNNNGAUGGACAAUAGAUGUCAUGCAAGUUCUUUUCCCUAAGCACGUAUGAUGACACACGGAAUGCAUGCCUACAUCACAUUGACGAACGAGAGCUAGCCACAUAUCUCUCCGUGUUAUAACUGUUGCAUGAUGAAUAUCAUCCAAACAAAUCACCAACCCAUUGCCUACGAGUUUGUCCCACUGCUGCUAUUACUUGUUUUGCUCUGCUGCUGUUACUUUCUAUUGUUGCUACUUGCUACUACUGCUACCUGCUACAAUACUUUUUCUCGCGCCGUUAACAGGAAAGAAUAUUUUCCGUCCACGGGCAACUUCUGGCGCCAUUGAUACGACAGUUAGGAAUAGUGUGCCGUCAACAGAUCGUUUCUGACACCGUUGUUAUCAUACUACUUUGCUGCUGAUACUUUGCUUGAAGAUACUUAUCUUUCAGGUGUGGUUGAAUCUGAUAAAUUCAGCUGGUAAUACUUGAGAGUAUUCUCUCACCUCCUGUCUGGCGAAUCAACAAAUUUGGGUCGAAUACUCUACCCUCGAAAACUGCUGCGAUUCCACGCGCUGGUGGGCCGUUGUGACGCCCUCGAUUUAAUCGUACGCUAAUCAUACACGCAAAUGCGUACGAUCAAACCCAAGGACUCACGGGGAGAUACCACAACACAACUCUAGACACAAAUAAAAUAACAUCAGCUUCAUAUUACAAGCCAGGGGCCUCGAGGGCUAGAAUACGACAGCUCGAUAAACACACGAGUCAGCGGAAACAACAAAUAUCUGAGUACAGACAUAAAACAUGGGGUGCCUUAGAGAAGGCUAGCACAAAAGAUACAACGAUCGAACGAGGCGAGGCCUCCUGCCUGGGAACCUCCUAACUACUCCUGAUCAUCAGCGGCCUCCACGUAGUAGUAGGCACCGUCGGGGUAGCAGUCGUCGGUGGCGGGGACCUCCAUCUCCUGGGCUCCAUCAUCUGGUCGCAGCAAACGGAUCAAGGGGACAAGGGGGGAGCAAAGCAGCGGUGAGUACUCAUCCAAAGUACUCGCAAGUCUUACAUCAGAACUAUUUUAAUUAUGCAUCAGUAUCAAAGAAGGGGGGUUAUAUGUGGACUGACUGCAGCAAUGCAAGAAUAGAGAGAGAAGGCCUAGUCCUAUCGAAGACUAGCAUCUUCAGGGUCUUGCAGCAAUAGACGAGAGUAGAACACGGGGUAAAACAUAAAUAGUCAUAUUGUUGCAGCAAUAUUAAAGUGAGGUCACGCCUAAAGAUCCUCCCUCGACUCCCUGCGAGGAAGCAAUCCCGAGGCAAACUAAAAUUCCAGUUAAGUAACAAUUGUAGUUGUAAAAGAUCGGGGCACAACUCCAAGUCGUCCUGUAACCGUGGACACGGCUAUCCGAAUAGUUAAUUUUCAUCCCUGCAGGGGUGCACCACAUGUCCCGUCACGCUCGAUAACACUCUGGCCGGACAUACUUUUCUGGGUCCUGCCCGGCCUCGGAACAUCGACACGUCGCAGCCCCACCUAAGACUAAUCGGAGAGGCCAGCCCGCCGGUCUAAAUCCUAAGCACAAAGGGUUCGUGGGCCCAGUUCCCCUUCACGCUCCUGCACGUGGCGUGGGCGGCCGACGUCAGUCCUAGCAUCCCUUAAUCACAAGCGCGAUGCAUCUCGGGACCACUCGGGCGCGCGCCGCUACAUUGCUGGCAUCUGAAAAGCUUCGGCUGAUACCGCGACGCCGAGUACCCAUAAUUCUUCCCGCGUAGCCGGUUAGUGCGAAAAGGUCUCCGACCAACCCAGAUCAAAUACCCAAAUCCAUUAGCAUUUUUAAUUAGUCCACCGACACAAUCUCACGGGAAUCCACCCGUCUUACAACUAAUCACCCAUGAUCCCAGUAACAUGGUCGAGUAACUGUGUGGUUGUAACAUCGGGGGGGGGGGGCCGAGGUAUCACCCUCGUUGGACACCGAACGAUGUACCCGUCAAGGUGGGCUUAGAGGAAUCACCCUCGGGGGUCCCACACUCGCGGGGUUGGACGACAGAGGCGUCAUCGGGAAUGGUGAAAGAGGAAUCACCCUCGAUAACCACGACCGACUAGCUAUACUACAGAGAUAUCAUCAGGAGUACUUAGCGAGGUGUCACCCUCGGUACCCGAUAGUAUCUCUGUAGCGUCGUACAACGAAGGGGGUGAAUGUGCUGUGUCGGGUCUGGCUCGUCGAUCAGAGAUCGAGAUUAGAAAACAAGCGGGGCAACUGAACUACGGGGUCAGAGGGGAUGACUGCUCCACCUAUACUAAGCAGAUUAAAGGUACAGGAUUGAAAGUAGCAGUUCAUCAAAAACAGGCUAUGCAUCAGAUAUAGGAGCUAACUACAACAGUAGCAAAAUACUAAUGCAAGCAGUAGGAAGAAAGACAUAGGCGAUAUAGGAAUGAUCAGGGGGUUUGCUUGCCUUGCUGCUCUGCGGCAAAGGACUGAUCGGCAGGGUCGUAGAUGUACCCGGCAGCAGCGUCAGUCUCGGGGUCUACCGGUAAGAAGAGGGGGAAGAAACAAUAAAUAAUAGCACCGAUGCAACACAAAGCAUGACAUGGAAAGAUGCAGGCUAGACAUGAGCUAACGCAGCAACAUCCGUCAUAGACGGGUCGGAAGAAUAUCUGACGAUAUUUUCCGGGUCUCGGGCUACUACCGGUUAUACUGGAAACGAUGGAAAAGUUCCAAGUUUGCUAUGCUAGGGACGCGUGACAGACGAACGGGUCGUGUAUCCGGGUUCGUCUCGCUCUGCUGAUCAACUUUCAUGUUGAAAAUAAUUUGAUCUGACUUACGGAUUAUUUUAUAUUAAUUUUCAAAGUUUUAUUAAUUAUCUAGGAAUUAAAAACAGAUUUAAAAGAUUUAAUAAAAUCCCAUUAUGACAUCAUCGCGAUGUCAUGCUGACAUCAACAUUUGACCGGUCAACUGACCAGUGGGUCCCGAACGUCAUAGGCACAAGUUUUAUUUAAGAUUAAAUAUUAUUUAAUCAGAUUAAUUUAGUGGGGGACCCACGUGUCAUACUCUNNNNNNNNNNNNNNNNNNNNNNNNNNNNNNNNNNNNNNNNNNNNNNNNNNNNNNNNNNNNNNNNNNNNNNNNNNNNNNNNNNNNNNNNNNNNNNNNNNNNNNNNNNNNNNNNNNNNNNNNNNNNNNNNNNNNNNNNNNNNNNNNNNNNNNNNNNNNNNNNNNNNNNNNNNNNNNNNNNNNNNNNNNNNNNNNNNNNNNNNNNNNNNNNNNNNNNNNNNNNNNNNNNNNNNNNNNNNNNNNNNNNNNNNNNNNNNNNNNNNNNNNNNNNNNNNNNNNNNNNNNNNNNNNNNNNNNNNNNNNNNNNNNNNNNNNNNNNNNNNNNNNNNNNNNNNNNNNNNNNNNNNNNNNNNNNNNNNNNNNNNNNNNNNNNNNNNNNNNNNNNNNNNNNNNNNNNNNNNNNNNNNNNNNNNNNNNNNNNNNNNNNNNNNNNNNNNNNNNNNNNNNNNNNNNNNNNNNNNNNNNNNNNNNNNNNNNNNNNNNNNNNNNNNNNNNNNNNNNNNNNNNNNNNNNNNNNNNNNNNNNNNNNNNNNNNNNNNNNNNNNNNNNNNNNNNNNNNNNNNNNNNNNNNNNNNNNNNNNNNNNNNNNNNNNNNNNNNNNNNNNNNNNNNNNNNNNNNNNNNNNNNNNNNNNNNNNNNNNNNNNNNNNNNNNNNNNNNNNNNNNNNNNNNNNNNNNNNNNNNNNNNNNNNNNNNNNNNNNNNNNNNNNNNNNNNNNNNNNNNNNNNNNNNNNNNNNNNNNNNNNNNNNNNNNNNNNNNNNNNNNNNNNNNNNNNNNNNNNNNNNNNNNNNNNNNNNNNNNNNNNNNNNNNNNNNNNNNNNNNNNNNNNNNNNNNNNNNNNNNNNNNNNNNNNNNNNNNNNNNNNNNNNNNNNNNNNNNNNNNNNNNNNNNNNNNNNNNNNNNNNNNNNNNNNNNNNNNNNNNNNNNNNNNNNNNNNNNNNNNNNNNNNNNNNNNNNGGGCGUUGUUUUUCUUUUCUUUUUGUUUUGUUGUUUUAUUUUGUUUUGUUUUAUUUUGCCUUAUUUUAUUAUUUCUUUCUUUCUAAUUUCUUUUCUCUAACUGAUUUUUCUUUUUAAAUACUUUCUUUUAUUAUACUUUCUUUUACAAUUCAUUAUACAUACUUUUAAUUCUUUCUUUCAUAUACAUAUUCUUUUAAUAUUUGUAAUGAACUUAUAAAGUACUUUUCUUUUGCUUUCAAAUUUUGGAUCCGGACAGACUCGAAUCAACGCGGGUCUGAGAUGGGAAUUCGAUGACGUGGCAUCAUUAGCGGUUGAUCACUGUAGCUUAAUUACAAUAAUUACUGUUGCAAAAGUCGAGGAUGUCACAGCCGUCAACAACAUUCUUCCAGUUUCGAUUGCUGGAGAGUGCUAGCAGCAUUCUUCUGGUGCCGUUGCAGGGGAAGGUCUGCUGUCAUGGAGUCAACAUUUUUCUGGCGCCGUUGCCGGGGUGGUAUUGCUAUAUACUCUGAGUCACUUGGGAUUUAUAUCUGCUGAUCACAAUGAAGAAUCUGAAGGAUCCAAAAACCAAAGUCUUGCCCUCAACUACGAGGGGAGGUAAGGAACUGUCAUCUAGCUCUGCACUUGAUUCACCUUCAGUUAUGAGUAAGUUUGCGACAUCACCUCCUGCUAGAAAUCUUGAUAUGUCGCCUGUGCUUGAUGAUGCUUAUGAUGCUACUUCUAGAGAUGCUAUGCUUGAUACUAUGCCUGAUGAUGCUAUGCUUGAUACUGCUAGAGACACUAUGCCUGAUAUUGCUUUGCCUGAUAUUGCUAGUGAUGCUAUGCUUGAUACUGCUAGAGAUGCUAUGCCUGAUGAUGCUAUGCUUGAUACUGCUAGAGAUACUACCUUGUCUGAUGUUCCACUAGUGGUGUUCCUUGAUGCUCAUAUUGCUAGAGUUACUGCCAAUGCUCGUGAUGCUUCUGAUACUGCCGAUACUAUUAAGAUAGAACCUGCUUUUGCUCCUAUUAGAUCUAGCUCUCCUAGAUAUGAAUUGCAUGAUAUACCUGAGGGUUACGUUAUGGAGGGAGAGAUAGCUGAGGAUUUUCUUGCGUGUAAGGAUGCCUAUGACACUGAUAAAUUACUUCUCAAGUGGAAGCAAAAAUCUCUGAAAGCUAGGAUGAAAUACGACCCGAAGUUUGCCACUUCACCUAUCUUUAUCACCGAUAAGGAUUAUGAAUUCUCCGUCGAUCCUGAGAUAAUCUCUCUAGUCGAAUCUGAUCCUUUUCACGGUUAUGAGUCUGAGACGGUCGUAGCCCAUCUUACCAAACUACACGAUAUAGCCACCCUUUUCACUAGUGAGGAGAAGAUCCGCCACUACUACAUCCUUAAGCUGUUUCCUUUCUCUCUAAAGGAUGGCGCUAAAGCCUGGUUCACCUCUCUUGCUCCUGGAUGUGUGAGUAGUCCCCAGGAUAUGGUCUAUUACUUCUGUGAGAAAUAUUUCCCUGCCCAUAAGAAGCAAGCUGCCUUGCAGGAAAUAUACAACUUUGCUCAACUCCAAGAAGAGAGUCUCCCACAAGCUUGGGGAAGGCUCGUCCAGCUACAAAAUGCUUUGCCUGAUCACCCUCUUAAGAAUAACGAGAUACUUGAUAUCUUCUAUAACGGACUUACCGAUGCCUCUAGAGACCACCUAGAUAGUUGUGCCGGUUGUGUUUUUAGGGAACGAACUGUAGAACAAGAUGAGACCCUGACGAAUAACAUCUUGAUCAACGAUAAUGCUUGGACUAUUCCCGAACCACCUCCUAAGACAACUCUGAAUAAAAGAGGUAUUCUAUUCCCCAGUCCCGAAGAUAUGCAAGAAGCCAAGAAAUCUAUGCAAAUGAAAGGCAUUAGAUUUGAAGAAGUCAAAAAUCUACCACCUAUCGAAGAGAUCCAUGGUCUCGAUAACCCGAUACAUGUAGUAGAAGUGAAUUCUCUGCGUAGGUUUGAUGAGAGUGAUAUUCCUUUUGACAAACCUGCUAGCCUAUGCUUUGAUGAAUUUGACAACUUUGUUGCCAAACUACAGAGUUUCAAUGAUUAUGUUAGCAGACAUUUGGAACAAAGUACUCGUAUGCUUAGCCAUUUAAGUGCUUGUGUAGACACAAAUGUCAAUGAUCUGAAGCUUCUGAGUAAAUAUGCCUCUAUGAUUACUACUCAGGUAGAACAAGUACUUAAAGCUCAGAAUGACUUGCUCAAUGAAUUAAAUGACAACUCUGUCAGAGUCAUUACUAGAGGAGGCAAAAUGACUCAGGAACCUUUGUAUCCUGAAGGUCAUCCUAAGAGAAUUGAUCAAGAUUCUCAAGGAAUCAAUGCUGAUGCACCCAUUCAUCCUAAGGAGAAGAAGAAGGAUGAUAGAAACCUACAUGCUUGUUCACCAAAUACUGUCACACCUAAAGAACCUAAUGCUAUUUCCGCGUCUGAUGCAGAAAUACAAUCUUGUGAUGAACAUGAACCUGGUGACAAUAUGGACAAUGAUGUUCAUAAUAAUGCUCAACCUAGCAAUGAUGAGGAUGUGGAGAUUGAACCUACGGUUAAUCCUGAUAACCCACAACCUAAGAGAUACGAUAAGAAUGACUUCACUGCUAGGAAGCAUGGUAAAGAAACGGAGCCAUGGGUUCAGAGAUCUAUGCCCUUUCCUCCUAAGCCAUCCAAGAAAAAGGAUGAUGAGGAUUUUGAGCGCUUCGUUGAGAUGAUAAGACCCAUCUUUCUGCAGAUGCGGUUAACUGAUAUGCUCAAGAUGUCUCCGUAUGCCAAGUACAUGAAAGAUAUCGUGACUAAUAAACGGAAGAUACCAGAUCUUGAGAUCUCCACCAUGCUUGCCAAUUACACUUUCAAAGGUGGAACUCCUAAGAAACUUGGUGAUCCCGUAGUGCCCACUAUACCUUGCUCCAUUAAAGGAAACUACGUAAGAACUGCCUUAUGUAACCUUGGAGCCGGUGUUAGUGUUAUGCCGCUCUCUCUUUAUCGUAGACUUGAAUUGGAUAAGUUGACACCCACUAAAAUUUCUCUGCAAAUGGCCGACAAAUCAACUGCUUUCCCUAUCGGCAUUUGCGAGGAUGUGCCUGUUGUGGUUGCUAACACCACUAUCUUAAUAGACUUUGUUAUCUUGGAUAUUCCCGAGGACGAUGCCAUGGCUGUCAUCCUCGGAAGACCCUUUUUAAACACUGUAGGGGCUGUUAUAGAUUGCAACAAAGGCAAUGUCACUUUCCAUGUCAACGGUAAUGAGCACACAGUGCACUUUCUGAAGAAACGAUAUCAAGUACAUUGCAUCAAUGCUAUCGAAAAGACUUCAUCGAUUCUCAUUGNNNNNNNNNNNNNNNNNNNNNNNNNNNNNNNNNNNNNNNNNNNNNNNNNNNNNNNNNNNNNNNNNNNNNNNNNNNNNNNNNNNNNNNNNNNNNNNNNNNNAUGACUGCUCUAAUAUACAUGGAAAAAUGGUUCCUAAAACAUGGGCAUUUAUACUACGGCAUUCGGGCAAACCGGACACGCGCGAAAAAUAAACUACGGGCAAAAACAUUAUAGGCAGCACACGAUUCUAGGCAUACAGCGCGUUAAACGACGUCAAAUAAUUAUGCAAGUUGUAAAUUCGUAAUCUACGCGUAAUUCUACAUGAAAUACAUGUGCCACACGUCGCGAUCCGACUUACGGAAUAAAAAUUACGGACGUUCUAAUAUUACGAUAUUUCCUGAAUACACUAAUUCGAAAACUAAAUAAAAUAAAAAAAUCUACUGGGCCGAAACUACAGCAGUUGCAUGAGCGCAACAUAACCAAAAGGCGCUCGGGGCGAGGAAUAGGUAGCUCACCUCGCUCUGGGCCGGCCGGGCCGAAGCGGAGCUGGAGGCGCUGGGCCUUGGGAGCCACCCCACGUAGGCUGCAGCAGCUGGGCCGAGGCUCGGCCUGGGGAGGCAGCUAGGGAGGCCGUAAUGCUCCUGGGCCAAAGGGGUGGCCCAUGCGGCUGGGCGAGGCCAGCGGCUCGGCCUGGGCUGGCGCUUCCCUGCCGCGGGCGGCGCUCGAGCGGGAGGUCGCGGGAGCUGGCGCCUGGCGGAGUCCACGGGGCCUCCCUUCCCGAUCCGAUCGAGACCGGUUGUAGGCGGCGACGCGGGGCCUGGAGAGGCGGCUGCAGGAGCGGGAAUGGGUCACCGGAGGCGGUCCUGACCCCGGGGAGGACCGGAUCUGGAGCGGGUCGCACCGGAGACCGGCGACGGAGGCGGCGCUCGCGAUGGGAGCUGCUGGAGGAGGCCGCGACGGGAGCAGGGAGACGCUCGAGCGGCUCGGGACGAGGCGGUCUCGCGAGAUGGGCUCGGCGGGGCGGGCGCGGGGUCGGUGGGCUCGGCGGGCCGGUCGCGGGCUCGGCGGGCCCGAUGGCGCUGAGGAGGUUGAGGGGAGGAGAGAGAAGAGAGAGAGAGGAUUAGGGUUAGGGGGAGGCACGAAAAUUGAUGCAGGGGAUGGGGUGGCUGUCUAAAAUAUAUGCGGGGGUCUAUUUAUAGACAUAUGGGGGGCUAGGUUAGCCGGAAUUCCGUUCCGGAUCCGACCGUGCGGUCGGAUUCAGACGAUUCCGAAUGCGGGAACGGUUACGAGGCCGUGUAGAGUGGAUAUCUGGAGACGAGAGGAAAAACAGGCGGCGCGUCAACGAGUUUUAAAACACCGACACACGUCCGACGGUAGACCGAAUAGUGUGUCGCUACGAUCGACCGUUCGGGUACCACACGGACUCCGGUCGCGACGAAAUUCGACACGCGGCCUAGCUAAAAGAAAUCACGACCGUAUGCCAAGUUUCACCCCGAUCAGAGAAAGUUUUACGCACACUUUUAAAACAGGGUUUCAACGAUGCCGCGGGCGCGUGCGAGUGCGGUCGGGCUCAGAAUGGACACCGACGAGAACCGGCAACUACUAAUGGAUGCAUGUUUUGAAAACUGGCGGCAACGGAGAUGCCGAUGCAAUGCAGAUGGUGCGAAUGAUGCGACAAAUUAAAAUACCCACAUGACGGAAACGGAAAGGAAAGGGGAAUCUUCUGGAACGUCGGCAUUGGGCUGUCACACAACCCAAGCUAUUUGAGAUUUGAGCAAGUUUUGAGGAUUCCCCGUGAUCUUGUUACUCUUGGAGGUUGGAGACUCCUAGGAGGUAGGAGUUCUUCGGAGAGGAAUCAAUCCAUGUGAUUACCCCCCGGAAAAGUUUGUGAGGGUUUGGAAGCCACCUCAAAGGCUUACCACUAGUGGUUGAGAAACGCCUUCGUGGUGUUAUCUCAAAGGGAGAAUAGGGUGAGCCUUCGUGGCGUUGGUCUGCCUUUGUGGUAACAUCCACCACUCUAACGGUGAUUAGCUUCCCUCCAAGGAAGUGAACAUCGGAAUACAUCUUCGUCUCAGUGACCUUGGUUAUCCUUAACCCUAACUCCUUACUUGUGGUUUACUUGUGUUACUUGAGCAUACAUACAUUGCAUAUUGUUUGUGCUCAUUAUAUUGUGUUGGCUAUCUCUUUGUACAAGAUUAAUCGUUCAAGCAUACCCUCUAUAUCCACACAUUCACACUUGCAACUUUUGACAUAUCGUGUGCUAUAGUGUGAUCUAGUAUCUUGUGUCGUUCACCUACUUGUCGUGUGAUAUAGCUCAAGUAAGUUUGUGUAACUUGCUUGUGCUUGUUAGUAACUGUAUUGUGUCCAUCUUGGUAGAUCGUGUUGUUGAUACACGUUGCGGUGCCUAUUGCAUUUAGGAUUUGUGCUUGAAAAGUAUCCUCUUAGUUUAUUUCCGCAUUAGGUUUAAGCCAAAUCCGAAGAAGUUUUUAAAUAGCCUAUUCACCCCCCUCUAGGCGUCAUCGUGGUCUUUUCAGUGGGUCAACGCGCAACCAAGCACGCGAGCGAAAAAUCGUGCCAAAAAGGACCUCGAGUGAACCACUUACUAUGGAAUUAAGACCUAAACGUGUAUUUUUAAAGAAGUAGGACUAAAAUGGCACUGCCGAGGAACUUUUAAAACCACCACUGUAUUUUUCUCGCCAAACGGUUUGUCCCUCCGUCGACGUGGCAUGUGUCAUGCGUGUAGGUCAGCGAGUGCUCGUGAAAAAAUGACCUUGGGUGAAUCACUUACUAUAGAAUUAAGUCCUAAAGGUGCAUUUUGGAAGAAUUAGGACUAAAGUGACACCCCGAUGAAACUUUGAGGACCUGUAGUGCAUUUAAGUCUUUUUGAAAUAUGUCUAGAAAGGGCAAGAUAUAGAGAAAAUAAAAAGGUAAAAGAAAAACUGAAAACUCUAGGCAGCAGCACGCCACAAGUAUACGGAUAAGCAUCCGAUAUGGCUCCCGAAAAGCAUGCUAUAUACGAACCCCUGUGUGCCUUGGCUAACUAGGACAUCGGCAAUACAAGGGAGCUAUGCCUCCGAGAAAUAUGACCAUAAGGGUUGCGAUGGGUUGGGGAGGGGUGUUAAAUUUGUUUACUUAGAAAAUGUGUAAAUGGAAAAUUUUCAUUCAUUGAUAAAUUCAGUUUUCUUCUUCUUGCUUCUAACAAUCAGUUAUGUGUCGUUAGAAUUCGCUAACAAUCCAAAACAUUCAACUCCUUGAUAGCCCUAGCCAUAAGAAAUAACAAUAUGUGAACCAAUAAUUAGGAAGCACAAGUUAUCCAAACUUCUCAAAUGUUUAUGCACGCGCCAUUAUUAUAUUACAGGAAACAUGAGAAUUGAUCAUUUUAUAACAAACAACAAAGAAUAUGUACUGCAUAAAGGGCUAAACUCAAUAAGUUACAACUUAUAGAAGCUAGCAGAGAAUUAUUCACCCAUUGAGAAAUAUGGUCUUGUGUAGGACAUACCUCGAAUGUGUUUAAGUAUGAUGAUUUGUGCACAAUAUACAUGGUUCCGAUAUAAUGGAAUUACAUUUAACACCACAUCGAGAAGGUUGCAAUUCGAAUAUAUCAGAUGCUUUUUUUGAUCGAAUAAACAGAAAAGUGGAACCGACACACUGAUCAAGUUAUGCAAUAAACAUUUUUUCGGGUCCCGCAACAACUAGGGGGCGAAAUGCAGUCGAGUUUUGGACCUUGGUUAUUUGUUUUGAAGUCUCAACAAAAUAUUUGCCCUCGUACAAUUAUCUCCUACCAUCACUUGCACUAAGAAGUGAGUUUACAUCCACGUGGUAUUGGAGCGAGCACCAUCUUCAUUUUCUAGAACCAGGAAGAUCAACCCCAUUAUAAAUUUGCAUUACAAUCAAUAAACCAUGAACUUAUAGUCUUGCACUGGAAACAAGGUUGCACACCAUGUUCAAGAUAUACUGUAUUUAUGUUCAAUAUGAGGACCAAUUGAAGGAUAACUAGUACUAAUCAACUCAUGACACGUAGGCACCUAUCCUAGUGAGACCAAAUAAAUAUAUUCCAUCACAAUUGUCAUCAUAUAUAGUUCUCCAAGAUUUUCCCUUGCUCUUUCUUGAACCACUCAAGAUGCAUAAACCAUAUGCACUAUGAGCUUAAUUUAAUUUCUUGAUUCAACAUACCAACAUGUUUCCAGUUUACUCUACACGAAUCAUCAGGUUGCUUUUGUUAUCAAAUCAUUUGCAAUAAAUAUUGAAUAUACAAGUUGAUACCUUCUUCAACAGUUGUAGCCAUGAAAUUUUAAGGUCACACCAGAAGGUGCCUAACAUGUGCAAAUAUAGAUAUAACCUCGAAGUAAACAAACAAUUGCCCUACCAGUUACAAACACAUAGGUGAUCUAAACUCUUCCUAACUUCUCCAAUGUUUAGACAUGUGCCAUAAUUCAAUUUCCUCAAUAUUACAAUAAAUACGAGGGUUGAUCAUUUUACAACAGAGAAUAAAGAAUGGAUAGUACAUAAAGGGCUAAACCCAUCAAGUUACAACGUAUAGAAGCUGCCAAAGCAAUACUCACCUAUUGUACAAUAUGGUGUUGCGUAGAACAAACCUCCAUUGGGUUUGACUAUCAUGAUUUCUGCACACCCUACGGGGUUGUGAUAUAAUCGAAUUAUAUUUAACACCACAUGGAGAAGGGUGUCACUCCAAUCUUUUCGAAGCUUUUUUGGCUAAAUAAGUAAAUAAAAGUGGGACUAGCACACUGAGCAAGUUGUGCGAAAAAAUACUACUUUUCCCGUUCUGCAACUACUUGGGGCGAAAUGGGGUUUACCGGGAAGCCAUGGUCAAGUGUUGGACCUUGGUAUGCAAUUUUGACUCGCUCUUAGAUAGGGAAGUAAACCUUUUCGAUGUUAAAUAAGGAAACAAAAUUUAAGAUAGUGUUAAAUAAGGAAUUAUUUCUAAGAACAAACAAUAUGUGAACCAACAAUUACAAAAUGCAAGUGAUCAAACUAUUCUUAAGUUCUCCAACAUAUAUGGACAUGCCAUAAUCCAGUUGUCCAAUAUUACAAAAGAACACCAAGGUUGAUCAAUUUACAAAAAAUAAACAAAAUAAUAGCUAGUACGGAAAUGGAUAAACUCGCCAAGUUAAAAUUAAUAGAAGCUGCAAAAUUAUUACUCACUCAUUGUGACAUAUGGUGUUGUCUAGGACAAACCUGUGAGAAGUUUGAAUAUUUUGCUUAUGCAUUAUCGACAGAUUUAUGUUACACUUGAAUUACACGUAAGACCACAUGGAGAAGGUUUGAACCUCAACUUGUAUGAUGCAUUUACGGCCAAAUAAACAAAAAAAUUGUGGCGCCAACAUAAUGAGCAAACAUGUCCAAAAAACAAUUCUUUUUUCUAGUUCUGCAACAACUUGGGGGUGAAAUGGGGUUCUACCAAGUAACCAUGGUCGAGUUUUCAACCUUGGUUACUAGUUCUCAUGUCCCAACUAAACAUUAUUAUCCUUGUAAGUUUGUCACCUACGGUUAAUUUCACUACAAAAUGAGUUUACCUACGUGCGGUAUUGGUACCGCCACCAUGUGCAGUUUUCUAGACAUAAGAAAAAUUGACCACAAUAUUAAUCUCCAUUAUAAACAAUAGACAAUCAAUUCGUAGUCUUGUACUGGAAACAAGGUUUCACACGAUGUUCAUGAUAUGUUGCACAUUAUGUUCAACACAAGGACCUAUCAAAGGAGAAUUAGUACUAAUCAAACCAUGAUAGGCAUGGAUCUGUCAUGACAAGACCAAAUAAAUAGGCAAUCACGUUUUCCAUCACUAAUCUAAUAUAGUUAUCAAAGCUUUUUUACUCGCUCUUGUGUUGAACCAUUCAAGAUGCAUAUCCGAUAUUGAGGAUCAACUUGAAUUAAUUGUUGGAAAUAUGCCCUAGAGGCAAUAAUAAAUUAGUUAUUAUUAUAUUUCUUAGUUCAUGAUAAUCGUUUAUUAUCCAUGCUAUAAUUGUAUUGAUUGGAAACACAAUACUUGUGUGGAUACAUAGACAAAACACUGUCCCUAGUAAGCCUCUAGUUGACUAGCUCGUUGAUCAAAGAUGGUCAAGGUUUCCUGGCCAUAGGCAAGUGUUGUCACUUGAUAACGGGAUCACAUCAUUAGGAGAAUCAUGUGAUGGACUAGACCCAAACUAAUAGACGUAGCAUGUUGAUCGUGUCAUUUUGUUGCUACUGUUUUCUGCGUGUCAAGUAUUUGUUCCUAUGACCAUGAGAUCAUAUAACUCACUGACACCGGAGGAAUGCUUUGUGUGUAUCAAACGUCACAACGUAACUGGGUGACUAUAAAGAUGCUCUACACGUAUCUCCGAAGGUGUUAGUUGAGUUAGUAUGGAUCGAGACUGGGAUUUGUCACUCCGUGUGACGGAGAGGUAUCUCGGGGCCCACUCGGUAAUACAACAUCACACACAAGCCUUGCAAGCAAUGUAACUUAAUGUAAGUUGCGGGAUCUUGUAUUACGGAACGAGUAAAGAGACUUGCCGGUAAACGAGAUUGAAAUAGGUAUGCGGAUACUGACGAUCGAAUCUCGGGCAAGUAACAUACCGAAGGACAAAGGGAAUGACAUACGGGAUUAUAUGAAUCCUUGGCACUGAGGUUCAAACGAUAAGAUCUUCGUAGAAUAUGUAGGAUCCAAUAUGGGCAUCCAGGUCCCGCUAUUGGAUAUUGGCCGAGGAGUCUCUCGGGUCAUGUCUACAUAGUUCUCGAACCCGCAGGGUCUGCACACUUAAGGUUCGACGUUGUUUUAUGCGUAUUUGAGUUAUAUGGUUGGUUACCGAAUGUUGUUCGGAGUCCCGGAUGAGAUCACGGACGUCACGAGGGUUUCUGGAAUGGUCCGGAAAUGAAGAUUGAUAUAUAGGAUGACCUCAUUUGAUUAUCGGAAGGUUUUCGGAGUUACCGGGAAUGUACCGGGAAUGACAAAUGGGUUCCGGGUGUUCACCGGGGGGCAACCCACCCCGGGGAAGCCCAUAGGCCUUGGGGGUGGCGCACCAGCCCUUAGUGGUCUGGUGGGACAGCCCAAGAAGGCCCUAUGCGCCAUAGGAAGAAAAUCAAAGAGAAAAGGGAAAAAAGAGGAGGUGGGAAAGGGGGAAGGACUCCUCCUUCCAAACCUAGUUGGACUCGGUUUGGAAGGGGAGGGUUGCCUCCCUUGGCUCGGCCGACCCCCUUGGGAGUCCUUGGACCACAAGGCAAGGCUCCCCCUCCUCCCCCUAUAUAUACGGAGGUUUUAGGGCUGAUUUGAGACAACUUUGCCACGGCAGCCCGACCACAUAUCUCCACGGUUUCACCUCUAGAUCACGUUUCUGCGGAGCUCGGGCGGAGACCUGCUGAGAUAAGAUCACCACCAACCUCCGGAGCGCCGUCACGCUGCCGGAGAACUCAUCUACCUCUCCGUCUCUCUUGCUGGAUCAAGAAGGCCGAGAUCAUCGUCGAGCUGUACGUGUGCUGAACGCGGAGGUGCCGUCCGUUCGGUACUAGAUCGUGGGACUGAUCGCGGGAUUGUUCGCGGGGCGGAUCGAGGGACGUGAGGACGUUCCACUACAUCAACCGCGUUCUCUAACGCUUCUGCUGUACGAUCUACAAGGGUACGUAGAUCACUCAUCCCCUCUCGUAGAUGGACAUCACCAUGAUAGGUCUUCGUGCGCGUAGGAAAAUUUUUGUUUCCCAUGCGACGUUCCCCAACAUUAAUCCCUUGAUUUAAGACAACGACAUGUUUCCAAGAGCUUCUCGACAUGCAUCAUUGGUUUCUUUUGUCAUCAUACUUCAUGUCAUAAAUAUUACAGAUCCAAGACGAUACCUCCACCAAUAGUUCCAACCAUAAAAAUUUUGAGGGCCCACCCCAAGGUGCCCCACAUGCCCAUAUAUGUAGAUACCUACAACAACCUCACACAUCACUUAGCUAUAGUCACCAUAGGAACAUUCAAUAGUCCUACCUAUAGACCUAUCUAGAAGAACACAAAUAUGUAAACCAAUAAGUAAAAAACACGAGCGAUCCAAAAUGUUCUUAAGUUCUCCAACAUUUAUGCACGUGCCACAAUUAAAGUUGUUCAAUGUUACAAGAAACAUGUGGGAUGAUCGUUGUACAACAAAUAACAACGAAUAGGUAGUACGAAAAGGGAUAAACUCAUAAAGUAAUGAGUUAUAGAAGUUGCCAAAGCAUUACUCUCUCAUUGUGAAAUAUGGUGUUGUGAAGGACAAAUCUUAGAUGGGUCUCACUAUCAUGAUUUAUGCAUAAUAUACAGAGUUGGAUUAUAUGGAAAUUACACUUAACACCACAUGGUGAAGCUUAAGGUUGGAACUCAAACUUGUUCUAUGAUUUUCCAACCAAAUGAAUAGAAAAGUGGGACUGGCACACUCAUAACCUUUCCUAUCACCACUCAAGAUGCAUGUCUCAUAUUCAGGAUAAACUGAAUUUCAUCCUUCCAUUUAUGAUCAAUAUGUUUCCAAGAGUUUCUCCCCAUGCAUCAUCACAAUGCUUUUGUUAUCACGCCACUAGCAUUAAAUAUUGCAGAUCCAAGACGAUACCUUCUCUAACAGUUCUGACCAUGAUGUUUUCUAGGGAACCCUAGAAGGUGCCCAGCAGACCCACAUAUAGAUACCCACAACAAUUUCAUAGUUUAUGUAGUUAUAACCUCCAAAGGAACAUUCAACAAUUCUACCGGUCGCCUUGCCACAAGAAAAAACCACAUAACACAAGUGAUCCAAACUACUCUUAAGUCCUCCAACAUUGAUGCAAGUACCAUAACUCAAGUUGUCGUUUUGAAGCACUCAAGAUGCAUAAUCCAUAUUCAGGAUAAGCUUAAUUUCAUCCCUUCCUUUAAGAGAUCGAAAUUUUUUCAAGAGUUUCUCCACAUGCAUCAUCAUGCCGCUUUUGUUAUCACACAACUUACACUAAAUAUGACAACUCCAAGCCGAUACCUCUAUUUUACUUCCAUGAUGGAAAAAUAGAUGAUGAAUUCUUCGGAUAAAUCUAUGCAUCCUCUUCGGUCGUUGCACCAAGCAUCAUCGAUGUUCAGAGGUAUGAUCUUGGACCAAGGAAUGAUUUCAUUAAACAAGCAAAAAGGGAAUGUCCAAGUUGUGUGUUGGCAAAAAUUUCCCGUUACCACGGGAGGCAUCGUUAAAAGAUCAAUUAUAUACACUUAUAUUAUUAUCUGGCAUGUGUUUUUAGUGAAGAAAAAUAUCAGAACUAGUUAAAAUUUCUUAGAAUCACGAAAACAUGGGCUCUCAUUAGGUUAAUAUUAUUUCUUGAUGGGAAAUUCACAUGCCAGAUUGUAGUUUCAAAAAUGAUUCUUUACCUUGUGACUAUAAAAUCUACAACAUAUUUUUUUAUUAUGGCUAGCAUACGCAACACGCAAGGAACGAUGGUGGGGCACAUCUGAUCUAGUCCCGUCAUUAUCUCCAAACUGAAUAAGAGCAAACAUAAUUACCUUUUAAUAAGAUAGUCUAGAAUAUCAUAACAAAACAAAAGAAGUAAUGUGAAUUAAAAUGCUCGUGCGGUUAGUGUUAAAUAAAACAUAACAUUUUUUAGUAGCCAGAGAGAGAGAAAUACCCUAACGAAUUAUGUGGAAAUACGGGAUCUCCCACAACAAGCAAUCUUGACCCCCUCACUUUGAAUUNNNNNNNNNNNNNNNNNNNNNNNNNNNNNNNNNNNNNNNNNNNNNNNNNNNNNNNNNNNNNNNNNNNNNNNNNNNNNNNNNNNNNNNNNNNNNNNNNNNNGGGUCACGGAUAUCCCCAACAUAAGGUAAUUUGCAUACAUUGCAAAAGUCCUGCAGCGUCAUGCACUGGGGAACAUCGUAUAUCAUGAACUCAACCAUGGGAGGAUUCUUCCUCGGAUAAAAGUUGAAGCUUUGAACGAAAAUAUUGGUGAGGAGGAGAUAUUGUGGGCACUUAUCUUCAACGAACGCAGUAAGACCUGCGUUCUCCACCAAGUAAUAAAAGUCUGCAUAAAGUCCGGCGGCGCGAACAAAUUCAUCACUUGGCCACUCGCACGCUCGAACUUCUGUGACUCGAGGGACUACGUACUUGGGGUGGUUCUUCUCAUCCUCCUUGUGGUUACGGCUUUUAGAGAUUUUCUAAAACCCCCCUUGUGGUUACGGCUUGAAGAGAUUCUCAAGAACCUCCUCAUCUUUUCCCUUUCCUAGCUCUGAAAAAUUCUGAAAUUUUUAGAGACUUCAAAAGAAAAGUGAAUAAGGAUUAACCCAACUUGUAGCAACUACUCCUACUAGUGCCUAGAGACCGUAUCGUGCGCUAAAACUACUUGGGACCAGCUAAAAUCAACAUUUCAAGCUUAAGAACAGGGUCACCAAGGUAGCAAGAAUUCGCGAAGGAUAAAGCACUAGAGCAAAAACUAAUUGGACCAAUGGAGGAGUCACUUACCAAGGAGUAAUUUCCCCAAAACAGUUCGGGGAAUGGUCCUUUGAGCCCAAAACAGUUCGAGAAUGGUGCUUUGAGCAAGGAGAUCGAAAAUCAUAGCCAAAUGAGCAAGAACACGGGUUUGAGCCGCGAAACAAUUUUUUCUGGAGGUGGAAGAAGAGGCUGGGAGCUGGAAUGAGUGGAGGGGGUGCCUGUGGGCCCACAAGCUUGCACCCCGCCACCAGGGGGGUAGGUGGCGGUGGGGGGGCUUGUGGCCCACUGGUCCGGCCCCCAGGCCAGCUCUGAGGCCCAGAAAUUUUCAAAAAUUCCACACAAAAUCAUACUAAAUUUUCAGGACCAUCGGAGAACUUUUAUUUUCGAGGUAUUUUUCUCCGGGACGCUAAAACAGAAAACAGGAAAAGCUAACUAAUUCCAUCAUUUUUCUUCUAAGCAACAGAAAAGGAAAACUCAAAACAGAGGUAUGUGACUCUCUAAUUCAUCCGUUUCAUGGUCAUCGAAAGAAAUCCGUCAAUGGUAUUGAUCAAGUCCUUAUGACAAAACCUUCUUGAAUCGCAAGAGAGAACGAAGAAUUUUUGAAUAGCCACUAAGUCACCUCAAUGGGGAUAUGGAUCUCCCCAACAAGAAAAUCAUACUUCAUCUUGACACGAGGAAUAGGGCAUUCAAAGCUCCCACUGAGAAUCGAUGAAGUUAUUUCGAUAGCGUUGAUGCAAUGUACUGGAUAUCAUUUCUUCGAAAAGUGCACGGUGUGCUCAUUACCGUUGACAUGGAAAGUGACGUUGCCUUUGUUGCAAUCUAUAACAGCCCCUGCAGUGUUUAAAAAGGGUCUUCCGAGGAUGAUAGCCAUGGCAUCGUCCUCGGGAAUAUCCAAGAUAACAAAGUCUGCUAAGAUAGUGGUAUUAGCAAUCACAACAGGCACAUCCUCGCAAAUGCCGAUAGGGAAAGCAGUUGAUUUGUCGGCCAUUUGCAGAGAAAUUUCAGUGGGUGUCAACUUAUCCAACUCAAGUCUAUGAUAAAGAGAGAGCGACAUAACACUAACACCGGCUCCAAGGUCACAUAAGGCAGUUCUUGCGUAGUUUCCUUUAAUGGAGCAAGGUAUAGUGGGCACUCCAGGAUCACCAAGUUUCUUAGGACUUCCAUCUUUGAAAGUGUAGUUGGCAAGCAUGGUGGAGAUCUCAAGAUUUGGUAUCUUCCGUUUAUUAGUCACGAUAUCUUUCAUGUACUUGGCAUACGGAGACAUCUUGAGCAUAUCAGUUAACCGCAUCUGCAGAAAGACGGGUCUUAUCAUCUCAACGAAGUGCUCAAAAUCGUCAUCAUCCUUUUUCUUGGAUGGCUUAGGAGGAAAGGGCAUAGGUCUCUGAACCCAUGGCUCUCUUUCUUUACCAUGCUUCCUAGCAGAGAAGUCAUUCUUGUCGUAUCUCUUAGGUUGUGGAUUAUUAGGAUUAACCGUAGGUUCAAGCUCCACAUCCUCAUCAUGGCUAGGUUGAGCAUUAUUAUGAACAUCACUGUCCACAUUGUCACCAGGUUCAUGUUCAUCACCUGAUUGUGUUUCUGCAUCAGACGCAGAAAAAUCAUUAGGUUCUUCAGGUGUGAUAGUAUUUGGUGAACUGGCGUGCAGGUUUCUAUCAUCCUUCUUCUUCUCCUUAGGAUGACUAGGUGUAUUAGCAUUGAUUCCUUGAGAAUCUUGAUCAAUUCUCUUAGGAUGACCUUCAGGAUACAAAGGUUCCUGAGUCAUUUUGCCUCCUCUAGUAAUGACUCUGACAAAGUUGUCAUUUAAUUCAUUGAGCAGGUGAUUCUGAGCUUUAAGUACUUGUUCUACCUGAGUAGUAAUCAUAGAGGCAUAUUUACUCAGAAGCUUCAGAUCAUUGACAUUUGUGUCUACACAAGCACUUAAAUGGCUAAGCAUACGAGCACUUUGUCCCAAAUGUCUGCUAACAUACUCAUUGAAACUCUGUUGUUUGGCAACAAAGUUGUCAAGUUCUUAAAAGCAUAGGCUAGCAGGUUUAUCAAAAGGAAUAUCACUCUCGUCAACCCUACGCAGAGAAUUCACUUCCACUACCUGUAUCGGGUUAUCGAGACCGUGUAUCUCUUCGAUAGGUGGUAGAUUUUUGACUUCUUCAAAUCUAAUGCCUUUCAUUUGCAUAGAUUUCUUGGCUUCUUGCAUAUCUUCGGGACUGAGGAAUAGAAUACCUCUCUUCUUAGGAGUUGGCUUAGGAGGUGGUUCGGGAAUAGUCCAAGCAUUAUCGUUGAUCAAGAGGUGAUUUAGUAGGGUCUCAGCUUGUUCUACAGUUCGUUCCCUAAAAACACAACCGACACAACUAUCUAGGUGGUCUCUAGAGGCAUCGUUAAGUCCGUUAUAGAGGAUAUCAAGUAUCUUGUUCUUCUUAAGAGGGUGAUCAGGCAAAGCAUUCUGUAGCUGGACGAGCCUCCCCCAAGCUUGUGGAAGACUCUCUUCUUGGAGUUGAGCAAAGUUGUAUAUUUCCUGCAAGGCAGCUUGCUUCUUAUGGGAAGGGAAAUAUUUCUCANNNNNNNNNNNNNNNNNNNNNNNNNNNNNNNNNNNNNNNNNNNNNNNNNNNNNNNNNNNNNNNNNNNNNNNNNNNNNNNNNNNNNNNNNNNNNNNNNNNNCAUAGUCAUCUCAAAAUCUAUGUUGGCAUUCAAGACAAACCAUUAUAAUCUCUAAGUUGUCAUUGCAAACAUGGUUCUCUCACAACAAAGCUAAAUCUGGGUCGACAAGCUAGUCAUAUUUACAAAAACAAAAUAGAUAGAGUUCAUACCAGCUUUUCCAGUCUCAGUCACUUCAUCAUAUAUCAUCAUUAUUGCCUUUCAUUUGCACGAUCGAACGAUGUGAACAAUAAUAAGAGCAUUGGACUAAGUUGAAUCUGCAGGCAAACACAAAGGAGAAGACAAAGUAAUAUGGCUCUUUGAAAGCUAAGCAGGUAUGCAUGCAAGAACCACUAAACAUUGUAACCAAUAUCUUCUACCUUGACCCAAAGAAAAAAGAAAACUAUUUACACAGGAAAGCUCCCAACAAGCAAAAGAAGAAAGAAAAAUCUUUUUGGGUUUUCUCAAAAGGACACAAAACAAGAAAACAAGAAAACGAAAAUAAACUAGCAUGGAUAAUACAGUGGCAAAGUGUAAACACCAGCUAACAAAGUGAAAGCAUAAGCAUGAAUGUAAAGUCGGUGAGAACACAUACUCCCCCAAGCUUAGGCUUUUGGCCUAGUUGGUCUACUCCCAUGGAUUGUCCUGGCGAAACCCAAAAUCAUAAUGGGUGUUAUAUGGGAGUGCUGCAGCCACUGCCUGAAUAGUUGCCUCACGUAGUCGAGCAGUCGUCGCCUCCCUCUCAUACUCCUCUGCCUCUCCUAUGGUUAUGUAGUGUCUUCGUUUUACCUGAAAGUCAAAAAAAGCAGGAGCAGGAAGGGUAACAUGGAAAACACGUUGCCGGUUAAAUAUCAAGUGGUAUAGGAGGGAUCCAUGAUCUCUCUCAAGGAACUGGUAGCGUGUUAGAGCGACACGAUCAAGGUAGGUUGUACGGAGAGGAGGGUCUUCUGAACGGAUGGAUACUCCAAGAAAAUUUGCUAAGCGUGUAGCAUAAACUCCACCAAAGAAAUCCCCCUCACUCGCAUUAUUAUUCAGCCUCCUUGCUAUUAUAGCUCCCAUAUUGAAGCUCCUGUCACCUGUUACCGCGCUCUUAAGGAUACUAAGGUCACAAGCGCAUAGGUGACAAUGUGCACCCUUGCCGUUAAUGCACCUACCUAUGAAGAGGGCAAAGUAGUGCAAGGCAGAGAAAUGGAUGCUUCCUAUGGUGGCUUGCGUGAUAUCUCUGGUUUCUCCAACAGUUAUACUGGAGACAAAGUCUCUGACCGAAGACUUAGAAGGAUCAUUAAUACUACCCCCGUCGGGUAUCUUGCAAAUCCUAUUGAAAUCCUCCAAAUCCAUGGCGUAGGAUUUAUCGUACAGAUCAAACAGUAUGGAUGAGUCACGGCCAAUUGAAAAUUUAAAUCUACGCACGAAAGAGGCAGUGAGCAUAGCACACUGUUCACAUUUAUCUGAGAGGAAUCCUUCUAACCCGGCAUUGCGGACAAGUGUAUCAAACUCAUCCUUGAAACCUGCUUCGAUCAUGAACUCAUCGGAAGGCCAUUCACAUGGUUGUACCGGUGCGUCCCUUAGUUGAAAAGGUUCGGGAUCCCGAAAACAAAGACGGGGACCCUUCUUACUUGAGGAACCACCAUGAAACUUCCUCCUGAACAUAAUUUCCUUUUGCUGAAAUUUUUGAAGUUCAAGAUAAAAGUGAAUGAAGACCAACCACACCUUGUAGCAACUACUCCUACUAGUGCCUAGAGACUGUAUCACGCGCUAAAACUACUUGGGACCAACUAAAAUCAACAUUUCUAGCUCAAGAACAGGGUCACCAAGGUAGCAAGAAUACGCGAAGGAUAAAGCACUAGAGCAAAAACUAAUUGGACCAAUGGAGGAGUCACUUACCAAGGAGUAAUUUCCCCAAAACGGUUCGGAGAAUGGUGCUUUGAGCAAGGAGAUCGUAAAUCACAGCCAAAUGAGCAAGAACACGGGUUUGAGCCGCGAAACAAUUUUUUCUGGAGGUGGAAGAAGAGGAUGGGAGCUGGAAUUAGUGGAGGGGGUCCAUGUGGGCCCCACAAGCUUGCUAGCUGCCACGAGGGGGGUGGCGGUGGCAGGCCUUCUGGCCCACUGGUCAGGCCCCCAGGCCAGCUCUCAGGCCUAGUAAUUUCAAAUAUUCCAGAAAAAAUCAUACUGAAUUUUCAGGACCAUCGGAGAACUUUUAUUUUCAAGGUAUUUUUCUCCGGGUCGCUAAAACAGAAAACAGGGAAAAGCUAAACUAAUUCUAUCAUUUUUCUUCUAAGCAACAGAAAAUGAAAGCUCAAAACAGAGGUAUGUGACUCCUUGAUUCAUCCAUUUCAUGGUCAUCGAUAGAAUUCCGUCAAUGGGGUUGAUCAAGUCCUCAUGAUAAAGCCUUCUCGAAUCGCAAGAGAGAACGGAGAAUUGUUGAAUAGCCACUAAGUCACCUCAAUGGGGAUAUGUAUCUCCCCCGACAAGCAAGUCAUACUUCAUCUUGACACGAGGAAUAGGGCAUUCAAAGCUCCCAAUGAGAAUCGAUGAAGUCUUUUCGAUAGCAUUGAUGCAAUGUACUUGAUAUCGUUUCUUCAGAAAGUGCACUGUGUGCUCAUUACCGUUGACAUGGAAAGUGACAUUGCCUUUGUUGCAAUCUAUAACAGCCCCUACAGUGUUUAAAAAGGGUCUUCCGACGAUGANNNNNNNNNNNNNNNNNNNNNNNNNNNNNNNNNNNNNNNNNNNNNNNNNNNNNNNNNNNNNNNNNNNNNNNNNNNNNNNNNNNNNNNNNNNNNNNNNNNNCAUGGCACUCGGGCCCUAGUGACAAGCAUUAAGCAUGGCAAAGUAGUACCAACAUCAAUCUCACAACAUAGUGGAUACUAGGGAUCAAUCCCCGUCAAAACUACAUGAUAGAUCUCGUCCUACUCAUCACCGCCCAGCGAGCCUACGAAUAGAUUACUCACGAACGACGAAGAGCUUCAUGGAAUUGGAGAGGGAAGAAGGUUGAUGAUGAUGACGACAGCAAGAUCACAAGUUAACCACAUAAGCAAGUGACACAAAGGUCUCACGGUAAACUAAUAUCAAUGGCAUAAUCAUCUAACGAGCAAAUAAUAAUGAGUUUCAAAUACCAACACUUCAAUCAAAACAAGCAUGAAGUGAUAUGAAUAGGUGGUAUCUCGCAAGCUCUUUUUGAGACCGCAAAACAUAAAUGCACAGCACUUUCAAAGAUCAAGGGCUGACUAAACAUUGUAAUUCAUAGCAACGAAGAUCGAGUCAUAGUCAUACUCAAUAUCAAUCAAAAGCAAAUCCUAAAAAUGACAAAGGUGCUCUCUAAUUGGUGCUUAUAUAAGAGGAGGAUGACUCGACAGGAAAAUAAAUAGACAGGCCCUUCGCAGAGGGAAGCAUUGAUUUGCAGAGGUGCCAAAGCUCAAGCUUUGAAAACGGAGAUAAUAAUUUUGGGUGGCAUGCUUUCAUUGUCAACGCAAUGACCAAGAGUUCUCAAUAUCUUCCAUGCUACUCAUGCUAUGGGCGGUUCCCAAACAGAAAAAUAAAGUUUUAACUCCCCCACCACCAAUCAAUCAAACUCCACAGCUAGCCGAAUUCUCGGGUACCGUCCAUACUAACAUCAAUCCUGGGGGAGUCUUGUUUUACAUUUAUAUUUUUGAUUUAAGCGUGGAACUGGGCAUUCCAAUUACUGGCCCCUUUCUCGUGAAUGACAGUCAAUAAACACAUAUUGAGGAUAACACUCCUAGCAUGGAAGAUACCAAUAUCCCCCUGUCACCACAUGAGCGGUUCGGGCAUGCAAAACAGAUUAUUUCUUGAAGGUUUGGAGAGUGGAACAUGCAAAUUUACUUGGAAUGGCAGGUAGAUACCGCAAAUAGGCAGGUAUGGUGGACUCUCAUAGAAAAACUUUUGGGUUUAUGGAAGUGGAUACACAAGCAGUAUUCCGCUUAGUACAAGUGAAGGCUAGCAAAAGACUGGGAAGCGACCAACUAGAGAGCGACAACAGUCAUCAAGAUGCAAUGAGUUUGACUAACAUUAAAUGCAAGCAUGAAGAGGAUAUAAAUCACCAUGAACACGAACAUCAUAGAGGCUAUGUUGAUUUUGUUUCAACUACAUGAAUGAACAUGCGCCAAGUCAAGCCACUUGAAACAUUCAAAGGAGAAUACCAUCCUAUCAUACUACAUCAUAGUCAUCUCAAAAUCUAUGUUGGCAUUCAAGACAAACCAUUAUAAACUCUCAGCUAACUAGGCAUGGCAUCAGAAACUAUGAUCUCUAAGUUGUCAUUGCAAACAUGGUUCUCUCACAACAGAGCUAAAUCUGGGUCGACAAGCUAGUCAUAUUUACAAAAACAAAAUAGAUAGAGUUCAUACCAGCUUUUCCAGUCUCAGUCACUUCAUCAUAUAUCAUCAUUAUUGCCUUUCAUUUGCACGAUCGAACGAUGAAAACGAUAAUAAGCGCAUUGGACUAAGCUGAAUCUGCAGGCAAACACAAUGGAGAAGACAAAGUAAUAUGGCUCUUUGAAAGCUAAACAGGUAAGCAUGCAAGAACCAAUAAACAUUGUAACCAAUAUCUUCUACCUUGACACAAAGAAAAAGAAAACUAUUUACACAGGAAAGCUCCCAACAAGCAAAAGAAGAAAGAAAAAUCUUUUUGGGUUUUCUCAAAAGGACACAAAACAAGAAAACAAGAAAACGAAAAGAAACUAGCAUGGAUAAUACAAUGGCAAAGUGUAAACACCGGCUAACAAAGUGAAAGCAUAAGUAUGAAUGUAAAGUCGGUGAGAACACGUACUCCCCCAAGCUUAGGCUUUUGGCCUAGCUUGGUCUACUCCCAAGGUGGGAAAUAACGAGCUCCAGGAUACUCCGGAGCAGACUGUGGAUGCCACUGCUGUGUGAGCUCCUCUGGCUCCCACUAAUAAACUGGCGUCUAGUACUCGACUGACGACUCGGGCACGGGCGCCUGUGGUUGGGCCAAGCCCCAAUAUGCGUAGAUGUCCGCGGGCAUAAUAGUGUACCUGCCUGCAUGAAGAUCAAACAAAGAAGGAGCAGGAAAAGUAAUAGUCUCUCGAGUACCCUGACUAAACACCAGGUUAUAAAUCAUCCGUCUACUAGCAUCUCUAUCCAGAAAAUCAUGGCGAACCAUGCUGUCAUAAUCCAGAUAUCUCAGGGAGAAGCAUCUCUCCUUCCUCUCCCAGUCUAAUCGGUAUCUCAAAGUGUCUGGCAAGACAGGUAGCGUAGAUACCUCCAUAGGCGACACCCUUGGAACGGUUCAGGUUCAACCGUUGAGCUACUAUAGCGCCCAAGCUAUAAGUCUUAUCGUUAUAAAGGCCUUCGCGCAAAACCGCAAGGUCUGGAGAACUAAGUGAUCCAGCCUCCCCACGGCCAAUCAAACAUUUUCCCACAAAUAGUGAGAAGUACCGAAGCACAGGAAAAUGUAUGCUAGCAAUUCUAGUGCGAGACACUCCUCUCUCCUCUCCAACAGCAAUAGAACCAAUGAAAUCCUCCAAGUCCCGUGGACGAGGGUCACGGAUAUCCCCAACAUAAGGUAAUUUGCAUACAUUGCAAAAAUCCUGCAGCGUCAUGCACUGGGGGACAUCGUAUAUCAUGAACUCAACCAUGGGAGGAUUCUUCCUUGGAUAAAAGUUGAAGCUUUGAAUGAAAAUAUUGGCGAGGAGGAGGUAUUGUGGGCACUUAUCUUCAACGAACGCAGUAAGACCUGCGUUCUCCACCAAGUAAUAAAAGUCUUCAUAAAGUCUGGCAGCGCGCAAAAAUUCAUCACUUGGCCACUCGCACACUCAAACUUCUGUGACUUGAGGGACUACGUACUUGGGGUGGUUCUUCUCAUCCUCCUUGUGGUUACGGCUUGAAGAGCCUCUCAAGAACCUCCUCAUCUUUUCCUUUUUCUAGCUCUGAAAAAUUCUGAAAUUUUUAGAGACUUCGAAAGAAAAGUGAAUAAGGAUUAACCCAAUUUGUAGCAACUACUCCUACUAGUGCCUAGAGACCGUAUCACGCGCUAANNNNNNNNNNNNNNNNNNNNNNNNNNNNNNNNNNNNNNNNNNNNNNNNNNNNNNNNNNNNNNNNNNNNNNNNNNNNNNNNNNNNNNNNNNNNNNNNNNNNNNNNNNNNNNNNNNNNNNNNNNNNNNNNNNNNNNNNNNNNNNNNNNNNNNNNNNNNNNNNNNNNNNNNNNNNNNNNNNNNNNNNNNNNNNNNNNNNNNNNNNNNNNNNNNNUGGUGCUUUGAGCAAGGAGAUCGAAAAUCAUAGCCAAAUGAGCAAGAACACGGGUUUGAGCUGCGAAACAAUUUUUUCUGGAGGUGGAAGAAGAGGCUGGGAGCUGGAAUGAGUGGAGGGGGUGCCUGUGGGCCCCACAAGCUUGCACCCCGCCACCAGGGGGGUAGGUGGCGGUGGCAGGGCUUGUGGCCCACUGGUCAGGGGCCCAGGCCAGCUCUCAGGCCCAGAAAUUUUCAAAAAUUCCGGAAAAAAUCAUACUAAAUUUUCAGGACCAUCGGAGAACUUUUAUUUUUGAGGUAUUCUUCUCCGGGACGCUAAAACAGAAACCAUGAAAAACUAAACUAAUUCUAUCAUUUUUCUUCUAAGCAAAAGAAAAGGAAAACUCAAAACAGAGGUAUGUGACUCCUUGAUUCAUCCGUUUCAUGGUCAUCGAAAGAAAUCCGUCAAUGUGAUUGAUCAAGUCCUUAUGACAAAACUUUCUCGAAUCGCAAGAGAGAACGGAGAAUUUUUGAAUAGCCACUAAGUCACCUCAAUGGGGAUAUGUAUCUCCCCAACAAGCAAAUCACACUUCAUCUUGCCACGAGGAAUAGGGCAUUCAAAGCUCCCAGUGAGAAUCGAUGAAGUCUUUUCGAUAGCAUUGAUGCAAUGUACUGGAUAUCGUUUCUUCGGAAAGUGCAAUGUGUGCUCAUUACCGUUGACGUGGAAAGUGACAUUGCCUUUGUUGCAAUCUAUAACAGCCCCUGCAGUGUUUAAAAAGGGUCUUCCGACGAUGACAGCCAUGGCAUCGUCCUCGGGAAUAUCCAAGAUAACAAAGUCUGUUAAGAUAGUGGUGUUAGCAACCACAACAGGCACUCCUCGCAAAUGCCGAUAGGGAAAGCAGUUGAUUUGUCGGCCAUUUGUAGAGAAAUUUCAGUGGGUGUCAACUUAUCCAAUUCAAGUCUACGAUAAAGAGAGAGCGGCAUAACACUAACACCGGCUCCAAGGUUACAUAAGGCAGUUCUUACGUAGUUUCCUUUAAUGGAGCAAGGUAUAGUGGGCACUACGGGAUCACCAAGUUUCUUAGGAGUUCCACCUUUGAAAGUGUAAUUGGAAAGCAUGGUGGAGAUCUCAAGAUCUGGUAUCUUCCGUUUAUUAGUCACGAUAUCUUUCAUGUACUUGGCAUACGGAGACAUCUUGAGCAUAUCAGUUAACCGCAUCUGCAGAAAGAUGGGUCUUAUCAUCUCAACGAAGCGCUCAAAAUCCUCAUCAUCCUUUUUCUUGGAUGGCUUAGGAGGAAAGGGCAUAGAUCUCUGAACCCAUGGCUCCGUUUCUUUACCAUGCUUCCUAGCAGUGAAGUCAUUCUUAUCGUAUCUCUUAGGUUGUGGGUUAUCAGGAUUAACCGUAGGUUCAAUCUCCACAUCCUCAUCAUUGCUAGGUUGAGCAUUAUUAUGAACAUCAUUGUCCAUAUUGUCACCAGGUUCAUGUUCAUCACAAGAUUGUAUUUCUGCAUCAGACGCGGAAAUAGCAUUAGGUUCUUUAGGUGUGACAGUAUUUGGUGAACAAGCAUGUAGGUUUCUAUCAUCCUUCUUCUUCUCCUUAGGAUGAAUGGGUGCAUCAGCAUUGAUUCCUUGAGAAUCUUGAUCAAUUCUCUUAGGAUGACCUUCAUGAUACAAAGGUUCCUGAGUCAUUUUGCCUCCUCUAGUAAUGACUCUGACAGAGUUGUCAUUUAAUUCAUUGAGCAAGUCAUUCUGAGCUUUAAGUACUUGUUCUACCUGAGUAGUAAUCAUAGAGGCAUAUUUACUCAGAAGCUUCAGAUCAUUGACAUUUGUGUCUACACAAGCACUUAAAUGGCUAAGCAUACGAGUACUUUGUUCCAAAUGUCUGCUAACAUAAUCAUUGAAACUGUGUUGUUUGGCAACAAAGUUGUCAAAUUCAUAAAAGCAUAGGCUAGCAGGUUUGUCAAAAGGAAUAUCACUCUCAUCAAACCUACGCAGAGAAUUCACUUCUACUACAUGUAUCGGGUUAUCGAGACCAUGGAUCUCUUCGAUAGGUGGUAGAUUUNNNNNNNNNNNNNNNNNNNNNNNNNNNNNNNNNNNNNNNNNNNNNNNNNNNNNNNNNNNNNNNNNNNNNNNNNNNNNNNNNNNNNNNNNNNNNNNNNNNNAAUUAUUCUAGUUAAUUAAUUUAACUAAUAUAUCUAUUAAUUUAUUUAUUUAAUAAAAACAUAUAUUUUUAUUAUUUAUAUUAACUAUCGCGUGGGGCCUCCUUGUCAUAGACAGCGGGUGAAUUGGCCCCACCGGUAAGUGACCCAAGGCCAUUUACUCAUUUUAUUAAUCACAAAUACAUAACCAUACAAAUGUCGUAUCCCUCUAAAUAUUCAUAUACGCAAAUACAUACAUCGCAUCUCAUACAUACAUACAUACAUACGCGUCUAAUACAUCAUUUAUCUUUUAUUCAUUUUCUCUCAAAACUCUCAACACUCAUCUCUCUCUGUGUUAACAAAGAGAGAACAACUCUCUGCUAACUAACAUAAAAGACCCAAAAGUUCAAAUCCUCCUACCGUCGCCGGAUCGGGGUCCCGUUUGCCGGAACGGAACCGGGGCGGCGAGGAGAACGACAUGGUGGGAGGAGCCCGAGGAGGGGCUCACCGACGGUGACGAGACGGCCCGAUGAAGCCGGAGUUCGCACGAAGGUGAAGGUGACGACGGUGACGCGGUUCCGGUGAAGACGGGCGUGCCGGCGAGGAGGAGCCGACCGGAGGUUCGUCGAGAGGGGCCCCGGUGAGGAGGGGCCCCCGGAGAUGGAGCCGCCGACGGGGAGGGGCGGCCACCGUAGAGGUGAGGGCCGCCGGAGAUGGACCUCCCGGAAGGGGCCGGCCGCCGAGAUGGGGGGGCCGAGGUGGCCGGGGCCCCUGCCGGCGGGGUGGAGGCCGAGGGGGGGGCUCGCCGCGGGAGGGAGGAGGCNNNNNNNNNNNNNNNNNNNNNNNNNNNNNNNNNNNNNNNNNNNNNNNNNNNNNNNNNNNNNNNNNNNNNNNNNNNNNNNNNNNNNNNNNNNNNNNNNNNNUGUUUCUACUACUUUGCCAUGCUUAAUGCUUGUCACUAGGGACCGAGUGCCAUGAUUUCAGAUCUGAAAUUAUUAUGUUGUCACCAAUAUAUGUGUGUUUUAGAUCUGAUCUUGCAAGUUGUAGUUACCUACUAUGUGUUACGAUCUGGCAACCCCGGAGUGACAAUAACCGGAACCACUCCCGGUGAUGACCAUAGUUUUAGGAGUUCAUGUGUUCACCAAGUGCUAAUGCGUUGGUCCGGUUCUUUAUUGAAAGAAGAACCUUAAUAUCCCGUAGUUUCCUUUUGGACCCCGCUGCCACGGGAGGGAUGGAUAAUAGAUGUCAUGCAAGUUCUUUUCCCUAAGCACGUAUGACGACACACAGAAUGCAUGCCUACAUCACAUUGACGAACGGGAGCUAGCCACAUAUCUCUCCGUGUUAUAGCUGUUGCAUGAUGAAUAUCAUCCAAACAAAUCACUGACCCAUUGCCUACGAGUUUGUCCUACUAUUGUUGUUACUUGUCUUGCUCUGCUGUUGUUACUACUGUUGUUGUUGCUGUUACUUGUCUUGCUCUGCUGCUGUUACUACUGUUGCUGCUGUUACUUGUCUUGCUCUGCUGCUACUAUUGCUACUACUGUCGCUUGCUACUGUUGCUACUUGCUACUUCUGUCACUACUGAUGUUCCUUGCCACUGUUGUUACUCGUUACACUGCUGCUACCUGCUACACUUUUGGUUCGCUGAUCGUUGACAGGAACUGACAAUUUCCGUCAACGAGGCAACUUGGCGCCAUUGAUACAAUCGUUAGGAAUAGUCUGCCGUCAACAAAUUGUUUCUGACACCGUUGUUAUCAUACUACUUUGCUUGCAGAUACUAAUCUUUCAGGUGCGGUUGAAUCUGACAAAUUCAGCUGCUAAUACUCAAGAGUAUCCUCUCACCUCCUGUCUGGUAAACCAACAAAUUGGGUCGAAUACUCUACCCUCGAAAACUGCUGCGAACCCACGCGCUGGUGGGCCAUCAAUAACAUUCUUCUAGUUUCGUUGCCGGGGAGUGCUAGCAGCAUUCUUCUGGUGCCGUUGCAGGGGAAGGUUUGUUGUCAUCAGCAUUCGUCUAGCCUUCGCCUGAGAUUGCAAUCAGCAUUUUUCUGGCGCCGUUGCCGGGGAGGUAUUGCUAUAUUCUCUGAGUCACUUGGGAUUUAUAUCUGCUGAUCACUAUGAAGAAUCUGAAGGAUCCGAAGACCAAAGUCUUGCCCUCAACUACGAGGGGAGGUAAGGAAUUGCCAUCUAGCUCUGCACUUGAUUCACCUUCAGUUAUGAGUAAGUUUGCGACAUCACCUCCUGCUAGAAAUCUUGAUAUGUCGCCUGUGCUUGAUGAUGCUUAUGAUGCUACUUCUAGAGAUGCUAUGCUUGAUACUAUGCCUGAUGAUGCUAUGCUUGAUACUGCUAGAGACACUAUGCCUGAUAUUGCUUUGCCUGAUAUUGCUAGUGAUGCUAUGCUUGAUACUGCUAGAGAUGCUAUGCCUGAUGAUGCUAUGCUUGAUACUGCUAGAGAUACUACCUUGUCUGAUGUUCCACUAGNNNNNNNNNNAUGUGCUUGAUGAUGCUUAUGAUGCUAUGCCUGAUACUACUAGAGAUGCUAUGCUUGAUACUAUACGUGAUGAUACUAUGCUUGAUACUAUGCCUGAUACUGCUAGAGAUGCUAUGCUUGAUACUAUGCCUCAUCUAUGCUUCAUACUGCUAGAGAUGCUAUGUCUGAUACUGCUAGAGAUGCUAUUCCUGAUACUGCUUUGCCUGAUGAUGCUAGAGAUGCUAUUUUGCCUGAUGAUUCUAUGCUUGAUACUGCUAGAGAUACUCCUUUGCCUAAUGUUCCACUAGGAGUGUUCCUUGAUGCUCAUAUUGCUAGAGUUACUGCCAAUUCUCGUGAUGCUUCUGAUACUGCCGAUACUAUUGAGAUAGAACCUGCUUUGCUCCUGCUAGAUCUAGCUCUCCUGAUAUGAAUUGCCUGAUAUACCUGAGGGUUACGUUAUGGAGGGAGAGAUAGCUGAGGAUUUNNNNNNNNNNGCUGAGAAAUUACUUCUCAAGUGGAAGGAAAAAUCUCGGGAAGCUAGGAUGAAAAAUGACCCGAAGUUUGCCACUUCGCCUAUCUUUGUCACCGAUAAGGAUUAUGAAUUCUCUGUCGACCCUGAGAUAAUCUCUCUAGUCGAAUCUGAUCCUUUUCACGGUUAUGUGUCUGAGACGGUCAUAGCCCAUCUUGCCAAACUAUCCGAAAUAGCCAACCUCUUCACUAAUGAGGAGAAGAUCCGCCACUACUAUAUCCUUAAGUCGUUUCCUUUCUCUCUAAAGGAUGACGCUAAAGCCUGGUUCACCUCUCUUGGUCCUGGAUGUGUGCGUAGUCCCCAGGAGAUGGUCUAUUAUUUAUGUGAGAAAUAUUUUCCUGCCCAUAAGAAGCAAGCUGCCUUGCAGGAAAUAUACAACGUUGCUCAACUUCAAGAAGAGAGUCUUCCACAAGCUUGGGGGAGGCUCGUCCAGCUACAAAAUGCUUUGCCUGAUCACCCUCUUAAGAAGAACGAGAUGCUUGAUAUCCUCUAUAACGGACUUACCGAUGCCUCUAGAGACCACCUAGAUAGUUGUGCCGGUUGUGUUUUUAGGGAACGAACUGUAGAACAAGCUGAGACUCUACUAAAUAACAUCUUGAUCAACGAUAAUGCUUGGACUAUUCCCGAACCACCUCCUAAGCCAACUCCUAAGAAAACAGGUAUUCUAUUCCCCAGUCCCGAAGAUAUGCAAGAAGCCAAGAAAUCUAUGCAAAUGAAAGGCAUUAGAUUUGAAGAAGUCAAAAAUCUACCACCUAUCGAAGAGAUCCAUGGUCUCGAUAACCCGAUACAGGUAGUGGAAGUGAAUUCUCUGCGUAGGUUUGAUGAGAGUGAUAUUCCUUUUGAUAAACCUGCUAGCCUAUGCUUUUAUGAAUUUGACAACUUUGUUGCCAAACAACACAGUUUCAAUGAUUNNNNNNNNNNNNNNNNNNNNNNNNNNNNNNNNNNNNNNNNNNNNNNNNNNNNNNNNNNNNNNNNNNNNNNNNNNNNNNNNNNNNNNNNNNNNNNNNNNNNGAUCAUCGCCAUCGUCAUCAUCAACCUUCCUCCAUCGACAAUUCCAUGAUGCUCUUCAUCGUUCGUGAGUAAUCUCAUCAUAUGCUUGCUGGAGAGUGAUGAGUUGGAUGAGAUCUAUCAUGUAAUCGAGUUAGUUUUUUACGNNNNNNNNNNAUUCGUGAGUAAUCUCAUCGUAGGCUUGUUGGACGGUGAUGAGUUGGAUGAGAUCUAUCAUGUAAUCGAGUUAGUUUUUGACGAGGAUUGAUCCCUAGUAUCCACUAUGUUCUAGAUUGAUGUUGCUACUACUUGGCUAUGCUUAAUGCUUGUCACUAGGGCCCGAGUGCCAUGAAUUCAGAUCCCUAUUAUGUUGUCGCCAAUAUAUGUGUGUUUUAGAUCCUAUCUUGUAAGUUGUAGUCACCUACUAUGUGUUGUGACCCGGCAACCCCGGAGUGACAAUAGCCGGAACCACUCCCGGAGAUGACCAUAGUAUGAGGAGUUCAUGUAUUCACCGCGUGUUAAUGUGUUGGUCCGGUUCUUUAUUAGAAGGAGAACCUUAAUAUCCCGUAGUUUCCAUUAGGACCCCGCUGCCACGGGAGGGAUGGACAGUAGAUGUCAUGCAAGUUCUUUUCCCUAAGCACGUAUGACUACAUACGGAAUACAUGCCUACAUUAGAUUNNNNNNNNNNUUGGGGAACGUCGCAUGGGAAACAAAAAUUUUCCUACGCGCACGAAGACCUAUCAUGGUGAUGUCCAUCUACGAGAGGGGAUGAGUGAUCUACGUACCCUUGUAGAUCGUACAGCAGAAGCGUUAGAGAACGCGGUUGAUGUAGUGGAACGUCCUCACGUCCCUCGAUCCGCCCCGCGAACAAUCCCGCGAUCAGUCCCACGAUCUAGAACCGAACGGACGGCACCUCCGCGUUCAGCACACGUACAGCUCGACGAUGAUCUCGGCCUUCUUGAUCCAGCAAGAGAGACGGAGAGGUAGAAGAGUUCUCCGGCAGCGUGACGGCGCUCCGGAGGUUGGUGAUGAUCUUGUCUCAGCACGGCUCCGCCCGAGCUCCGCAGAAACACGAUCUAGAGGAAAAACUAUGGAGGUAUGUGGUCGGGCAGCCGUGAGAAAGUCGUCUCAAAUCUGCCCUAAAAGCCCCANNNNNNNNNNGGGCUCCGCCCGAGAUCCGCAGAAACACGAUCUAGAGGAAAAACUAUGGAUGUAUGUCGUCGGGCAGCCGUGAGAAAGUCGUCUCAAAUCUGCCCUAAAAGCCCCAUAUAUAUAGGAGGAGGGAGGGGGACCUUGCCUUGGGGUCCAAGGGACUCCCAAGGGGUCGGCCGAGCCAAGGGGGGGAGGACUCCCCCCCAAACCGAGUUGGACUUGGUUUGGUGGGAGGAGUCCCCCUCCCUUCCCACUUCUCCCCUCUUUUUUUUUUCUUUUCCUUUGAUUUUCUUAUCUUGGCGCAUAGGCUCCCUUGGGGCUGUCCCACCAGCCCACUAAGGGUUGGUGUGUCCCCCAAAAGCCUAUGGGCUUCCCCGGAGUGGGUUGCCCCCCUCCGGUGAACUCCGGGAACCCAUUCGUCAUUCCCGGUACAUUCCCGGUAACUCCGAAAACCUUCCGGUAAUCAAAUGAGGUUAUCAUAUAUAUCAAUCUUCGUUUCCGGACCAUUCUGGAAACCCUCGUGACGUCCGUGAUCUCAUCCGGGACUCCGAACAACAUUCGGUAACCAACCAUAUAACUCAAAUACGCAUAAAACAACGUCGAACCUUAAGUGUGCAGACCCUGCGGGUUCGAGAACUAUGUAGACAUGACCCGAGAGACUCCUCGGUCAAUAUCCAAUAGCGGGACCUGGAUGCUCAUAUUGGAUCCUACAUAUUCUACGAAGAUCUUUAUCGUUUGAACCUCAGUGCCAAGGAUUCGUAUAAUCCCGUAUGUCAUUCCUUUGUCCUUCGGUAUGUUACUUGCCCGAGAUUCGAUCGUCAGUAUCCGUAUACCUAUUUCAAUCUCGUUUACCGGCAAGUCUCUUUACUCGUUCCGUAAUACAAGAUCCCGCAACUUACACUAAGUUACAUUGCUUGCAAGGCUUGUGUGUGAUGUUGUAUUACCGAGUGGGCCCCGAGAUACCUCUCCGUCACACGGAGUGACAAAUCACAUUCUCGAUUCNNNNNNNNNNNNNNNNNNNNNNNNNNNNNNNNNNNNNNNNNNNNNNNNNNNNNNNNNNNNNNNNNNNNNNNNNNNNNNNNNNNNNNNNNNNNNNNNNNNNUGAACUGGAUAAGUUGACACCCAGUGAAAUCUCUCUGCAAAGUUGCUUCCAUCAUCUUUCAACUUAGCUUUCUCUAGGAACGUAUUAAAAUUCAGGAUGACACUUGCGUGAGCCAUGAUCUACAACACAAAUAUAUUCAAAGUGGACUUAGACUAUGUUCAAGAUAAUUAGAGUUCAACUUAAUCAAAUUAUAUGCUAAACUCCCACUCAAAAAGUACAUCUCUCUAGUCAUUUGAGUGGUUCAUGAUCCACUUACACUAUCCCAAGUCUGAUCAUCACGUGAGUCGAGAGUAGUUUCAGUGGUAAGCAUCCCUAUGCUAAUCAUAUCAACUAUAUGAUUCAUGAUCGACCUUUCGGUCUCAUGUGUUCCAAGGCCAUGUCUGCACAUGCUAGGCUCGUCAAGCUUAACCCGAGUGUUUCGCGUGCGCAACUGUUUUGCACCCGUUGUAUGUGAACGUUGAGUCUAUCACACCCGAUCAUCACGUGGUGUCUCGAAACGACGAACUGUGGCAACGGUNNNNNNNNNNNNNNNNNNNNNNNNNNNNNNNNNNNNNNNNNNNNNNNNNNNNNNNNNNNNNNNNNNNNNNNNNNNNNNNNNNNNNNNNNNNNNNNNNNNNCGUUACUUUGUCGAGGCUUGUCCCUUGCUACAAAAGGGAUUGGGCCACUUUGCUGCUACUGUUGCUACUCUUGUUAUUUUGCUGCUACGCUGUUACUUUGCUGCUACUGUUGCUACUGUUGUUCCUUGCUACUUCGCUGUUACUUGUUGCAAGAUCUUUUCCGACACUGUCGUCGGGGAAGAAUAGUUCUCCGCCCACGUGCAACUUACUCGCGCCAUUGAUACAACAGUUAGGAAUAGUGUGCCGUCAAUAGAUCGUUUCUGACACCGUUGCUAUCAUACUACUUUGCUACUGAUACUUUGCUUGCAGACACUAAUCUUUCAGGUGUGGUUGAAUCUGACAAACUCAGCUGCUAAUAGUUGAGAAUAUUCUUUCGCUUCCCCUUGUGUGCGAAUCAACAAAUUUGGGUCGAAUACUCUACCCUCGAAAAUCGUUGCGAUCCCCUACACUUGUGGUUAUCAGAUAGCACCUCCGCUUCCAGCACACGUACAGCUUGAUGAUGAUCUCCGCCUUCUUGAUCCAGCAAGAGGGGGCGGAGAGGUAGCUGAGUUAUCCGACAACCUAACAGCAUGGCGGCGAUGGUGGUGGAGCUGAUCCGGCAUGGCUUCGUCGUGCAGUGCCGAACCUAAUCUAGAGGAAGAACGAACUAGUGGGAGGGAGAGGGGUCAUGCCUUAGAUUGAGGUGUGGCUGCCCUCUCUCCCCUCCAUUAUAUAUAGGAGGGAGGGGGAAGGGGUGGCUCCCUAGGGUUUCCUCUAGGGUUGGCCGACCGCGCCCAAGAGGAGGAGGAGACCUCCUCCAAAUGGGUUUGGUGGAGACGCUAGCAGGACUCCUCGUCCUAGUCAAACUCCUCCCCUUAUCCACUAUUUCGGAUGCAUAGGCCCAUGAGGUAGGCCUCCCAGCACACUAGGGGCUGGUGCGCUUCCUCUUAGGCCUAUGCGCCCCCCCGGGGUGGUUGGCCCCUCUCGGUGAACCCUUGGAACCCAUUCAUCACUCCCGGUACACUAUUGGAAAUGUACGAAACUUUUCCGGAGCCCAAAUACCCUUUUCUUAUAUAUAACCCUUCGUCUCCGGACCAUUCCGGAACUCCUCGUGACGUCCGGGAUCUCAUCCAGAACUACAAACAACCUUCGGUCACCAACAUACAUAACUCAACUAUACAAAAAUGUCACUGAACCUUAAUUGUGCAGACCGUGCAGGUUCGAGAACUAUGUAGACAUGACCGAGACACUCUCCGGUCAAUAAUCAAUAGCGGGACCUGGAUGCCUAUAUUGGCUCCUACAUAUUCUACGCAGAUCUUUAUGGAUCAAACCUCUAUGUCAAGGAUUCAGUUAAUCUUGUAUACUAUUCCCUUUGUCCAUCGGUAUUUUACUUGCCCGAGAUUCGAUCGUCGCUAUCUCUAUACCCAGUUCAAUCUUGUUACCGGCAAGUCUCUUUACUCGUUCCGUAAUACAAAAUCUCGUGACUAACUCCUUAGUCACAUUGCUUGCAAGGCUUGUUCUGAUGUUGUAUUACCGAGUGGGCCCUAGAGAUAUCUCUCCGCCAUACGGAGUGAGAAAUCACAUUCUCGAUUCACGCCAACACAACAGACACCCUCGGAGACACCUGUAGAGAACCUUUAUAGUCACCCAGUUACGUUGUGACGUUUGAUACACGCAAGACAUUCCUCCAGUGUCCAGGAGUUGCAUGAUCUCAUGGUCAUAGGAACAAAUACUUGACAUGCAGAAAACAAUAACAAUAAACUGACACAAUCACAUGCUAUGUUUUGGCUCAGGAUGAACAUGACCAAUGAGCGUGAGUUUUGGCUCAGGAUGAUCAUCAACUAAGGAGACUCUCUUGGCAAAUUUUCAACUCAAACGGAGGAGCCUAGGUGGCACUUGCUUUGCAAAGUACGACACUAGAUAGAAAUAUGAAUGUUGAAGUUGGGCUCAAAUGAUUGAAUGGAUUGAGCUGAAAAUUGGUAGAGGAUGGUAAUUUGGGCGUAGGUGGGUACUGUACAAAAUUUGAUACCAUUUGGACGUGCCAAAGUGGUACUUUCUUCACAAUGCUCUUCUGUGUACAGAAACUUGGAAAAAUUAUUGAGAGAAAUUGUCUAAAUGAAAUGAGCUAAAAUUUGGUGGAUAUAAGUUAUAUAGGUAUCAACAUUCCCUGGUAAAGCUUCAUAAAUAAUUAUGCAAUAUAAAAUAUACUUGCUUCACAAACUGAAAAUAUGACCAGAAUAAAAGUUUGGAUGAUGAGGUUACAUGGAUUGGUGGAUAAAUCUAAAAUUUUGCGGAGGGUGAUUAUUUGAGCAUAUGAAACAUUUGGAAAAAUCUCAGAUCAUUUUGAUAAUCCUAGCUAGUACUUCCUUAAUAAAGCUUCUUUUUGGAUAGAAACUUUGGAAAUUUGCUGACCAAGUUUUACUAGGCAAAUGGAGCUAAAUAUUGGUAUGUAGAAAUAAUUUGAAUAUGUAAGAGAGCCCGAAAAGUCUGAGUGAAAUGGGAGGGGUGUGGAAAGCACUUGCUUUGCAAUGUGCUAAUUUGGACAAAAAAUAGAAAUUGAUGUUGGGCUCACAUAGAUGAUUGGAUUGAGCUCUAAUUUGGAGAAGGAUGAUAAUUUGGGCAUACGAAGGCGCUGUAAAAAUUUCAUAACAUUUAGAUAAAUAAAUAUGUUACUUCCUUCACAAUACAUUUAAAAAGGAGGUGACCUUAAGUACCAAUGCAUCCACGUUCAUAACCUCCUCCCAUUUAUAUUGGUUAUAAUCAGAUAGAAAUAAGGUCGUUGACUGUUGUUGUCUCCUUUAUUACCAUUUGGUGUAAGGCAAUUUGAGGGUUUGAACCCUUAACGAAAUGGUUGUGGAUUUACGACCAAUUCAGUUGGGGUUAGUGAGAGAAUGUCACGAGUUGAUAUAUUUCUUGUAGUGCAUGCAUUUUAAGCCCGAAGCAUAUGUCGGGCCGGGCCUGGACUUGCUAUUUUUGCGUUUUAGGAAAGGGGCCCAGCUCGAGGCCCGAAGCCCAACGGAAUUAAGCAGCGAUGGGCUGGGCCUGGGCCUGAAAUCUAGGCCCAACGACCGGGCCGGGCCGGGCUUGGGCCUAGGUUUUUUAGGUUUGGCCCAGUCCGGCCCGAGCGAUGGCCAGGUACACUGCACCCCCUACCUAUCCGUAAUUCCGUAUAUACCUUGACGCGAGAACAACCGUCAAGCUUACGAGAGUCUUGACUUGUACUCCGGCGCGAACGGAUUAUACGAGGCGUGCGACGUACGAAUUGCAUAUACGUAGGCGCCAUAGGCCUUUCUCUUUUCCUGAUGACGUCGACGGCCUAUCCAUCGAUCGACCGUAUCAUGCGGCGGCCAAUAAACUACGUAUAUACCGCUCGCUUGCCGUUCGAACCGACGACGUACAGGUAUAGCACAGGUGCAUGAACGCGGCGACGCAUGAUGCACCGGCUUGUUCAGCUUCGUGGCCACCGAUAUACUUUUAAAACUAAGGAGGAAGGAUCUCUGGAACGUUCGCGCCGCCGAUCGGCGUAACUUCUUGCCGGGAGAGGCCGAGCAUGGCACGAGCGCCGCGCCGCUCCGCGGUCGGGGGAGCCGGACAGACACGGGCCGCGCGUGCACGCACGCACGCACUGUAUUACAUAUGCACCGGAGUACGAGACGGGAGGUGGCUACUGGAUUCUUUGUUAGAUCGAUCAUCGACGAAGAUUCCUCCAUCCUUCGUCGUCGGAAAAAGUAUGCAAGAAAUAAUUUCUGGAUAGAUAUCCAUGCUGUAUACAGUAUAUAUAUAGUAAUUGCCACGCAUGGCCGGAUCACGUAGGCACGAUGGAUCACUCGUUCAAGAGACGUCGCUCUGGCCAAGUCACGGCGCGACCCGGUGCACGCAUGCGCAUGCGCGGACCACGACCUGGACCUGGACCGUGUCAAUCCAAACAAAACAGAGCGUGGAGAUUAACGUCCCGACCGCUAUAAUAUUAUCCAUUGGCCUGCCGUCGCGGUCGGUCUAGCGUGCGCCCACGAUAUUCUUGGACGCCCUGCUGCACGAACGAACGAACCUGCGCCAUCGACCAGGUGAUACUGAUCACACCCCGUGGGUUCACACGGUUCCAAACCACAGCUCAAAAGCGAGCACCACUACGAGCCGAGCCGAUCAAAACCGAGCACACACGGCUCGUAGCUCGUCUCAGUGCUACGUUUGCCCAACGGAAACUGAAAGGGAGAAUGGAAAUACUGCUGAACUUUCUCCCCCAAAAAACGGUGUAGUAGCUUCUCCGCCACUGCAGUUAUUAGAUAGAAAAGAAAAGCUUCUCCGGUAGUAUGCUGCAAAUUAUUGCCACCACGUGCGCGCCGAGGCGACGCACUGAUACUACCGACUAGUACGUCGUACGUACCCCCGCUGUAGGUCUCGGACGUCCAUGACCGUCCACUGGCCCGAUCGAUCGGUCGCCGGCGGCGCACACACAUGAAUCAUGGCGUCUAGUCAGAUCCAGAUUUGCCCGGAAAGAAGGCGGGCGGAAAUAAUUAAACUGCACUAGAAUUCACAAACUCAUGUUGAACUACUUCUUUCGUUUUAAAUAUAAGUUUUUUAAGAGCUUUUACUAGCAAACUACUUACGAAUGUACAUAGACAUAUACUCCAUCCGUUCCUAAAUAUAAGUCUUUUUUAGAAGAUUUCAUUAAUGGGCUACAUACGGAUGUACAUAGACAUAUUUUAGAGCUCAUUUUGCUUCGUAUGUAGACACCUAGUAAAAUAUCUUAAAAGACUUAUAUUUAGGUACCGAAGGAGUAUUAAAGUGUAGAUUCAUUUAUUUUGCUCCGUAUGUAGUUCUUUAAUGAAAUCUCUAAAGAGACUUAUAUUUAAAAACGGAGGGAGUAAUAUAAUUCAUAAAUUCAGAAUUAUGCCAGUAUGUUUAAAGAUCGCUGAGAAAAAUAUACGUAUGCGGCAACUUGGUCAACCGAGAAACGACGCACGUAAUAAGAGCGAUCAUGUGAAACGACAUUACAGUAAUCACCGGUGGGCGACCAGCGAUCCAAUACGGCCUCUCUGCGACCCUGCCGCCGGUGACCACCGCCGGCUAGGAGUAAUUAACAAGCCAGGCCAAGCAAAUGCUGCUACUAGUCUCCUGGCCUAGUUUGAAUUAGUAGUAGUACCACCGAUCAGUGACCAAAAAAAAAGUGACGCCGUCAGGCGACUGCCUUUGUCUCCACGCCUGCGACGUCACCCGCCGGGCUCCGCUCCGGACAGAAGACCAGCGCGGUGCUCGCCGCGUGCGCCUCGUGAUUCGUGAGAGGAGCGUCGCGCCGGAUAAGAUUUGGUGGGGGGCCGUGGGGGUGCGGCGCGGGGCCCGCUUGGAGAGAGGCCCGCACGUCUGCCCCCGCGCUCCCACGUGGAGCGGGUCGUCCGGCGCGGCCAGCCCAGGACGGGACGGCCGUUUGCUGUUGCCGGAAAGCCUCUUCCUAAUGAUGGUUUUGUGGAAAAUUACUUGAGAGCCAAAGGUGGAAAGGAACGGCAUUCGAAACUUGGGGAAGAAAGAACGAUAAGGAAAGAAAGGAAGGAGUAAGCAUUCGAAACUAGGGAUGGAGUUGUCAGGGGAACGGGUCUAUGAUGUACUUACUACUAGAGCAUUAUCAAACUAUGCAAUUUUUGCAGCUCGUUUGAUGCAUGAGCUGUCAUCAUACCUCAUGCCUGCGUAUCUAUCUGCCUUUACAUUAUUUCUAUAUAUUUCUAAUGAACCGUAUUUUUGCCAGAUUUGAUAGAGGGGUAUUAGAGCAAGUACAAUAAGGUACAGUCAGCAUGCUGUAAAGAUUAAAAUACUAUAUUUUUACUGAGUUCGAUUAGAGAGAAGAUGAGAGAGAAGGGAAGCGGACUCUUUGUGAAGAGUCAGCUCUAGCACGUGCUCCUAGGUGCUUUGUUAGAAUGAAAGGUGAACCAUAUAUGAUAAAAGUAGUAUUUUUUAUAGCUAACUAUUGUACAAAUUGGCUAUAAGAUGGGCUAUAAGAUGGCUUAUAGCCAGCAGUUGGCUAUACUAUUAACCAUGCUCUUAUGCAUUGUAGGUGCUUUUCUUUCUAAACGUUGUGAAUUGUUGUCUUGCCCUUCUAUAUCCUUCUUUGUAUAUCGGACGAGAAUCGUUAAAUGAAAUUGAAGGACCCGAUGUUAUGUGUCAUCGCUAAGCAUUGCCCUCUUUAUGCAUUUUGACAUUAGAGCCAUUGGAUUGAACCCAACACCUAAUUGAUCGAUGUCAUACCGAUUUGCAAUGCUUUUGUUAUUUUUAUAUAAAAAUGUGCUAUUCGUAUAACCACGAGUAAACCUCGGUAUUUAUGGGGUCGGGCUUUAUCAAGCUCAAAUCCGUCCUAAUCCAUCAUGAAUGAAGAAGAUACACAUCUUUUCUAUGUUAUAAAAUUAUUUAUACAAGGUGUUGACGUACGUGGUGCGUGGUGUCAUCAUACGAGGUUUUACCCGUUUAAUGCAUGAGUUGCCGUUAUACAUGGUGUGUGUAUCUAUCUGUUUUGACGCCAUAGCCUGAUGCUUAACUCCUUUCCAUAUUUUUUCUAAUGAACCAUAUUUGAUAGAUUGAUAUGCUUGUGUCCAUUUAUUAAGGCAAUUUAUUUAUACGAUGUAGAAAGAUACUGUGUAAUAAUGGUAUCUUUUGUAAAUGUUGCAAAUUAAUGUCCAACCAUUUUUGUAUGCUUCAACCUGCAUCCGGUUAACGUGUCUCCCCUUUAUGUAGUACAAAGCCAUAAUUUUAAAAAGUGAAACAAAAUAUUGAGGCUGUUGGAUUAGGUUUUCACGGAUGGUACCGUCAUCUCACCGUUUCAUGUCUUGUUAUUUUACUAUAAUUUUUAAAAAUGAGUGACAACAAAAGGACCUCAACUAAAGUGUUUUUUUACCAUGACCUCAACCAAGGUGGUUACUAAGAGCAUCUACAGCCGGACCCCUCAUACCCGUCUCAAACGCCCGGGCAGGUCGCGUGAUCAUUGUCCGGUCAUGAAAAUACAACCCGGACGGGCCUCUCAACCCGACCUCAAACGCCCAGGCUGACUGGCACCCCCGUUUCUAGCCCAAAUAUGGAGCAGGUAUGGGGGAGCCCGGACGCCCCCGGGCAUGCCCACCACGUUGGACUGACGACGUGGCCCCACGCGGACCCGUCGAGAAACCCGACGGUCCGACGUGCGCCUCGCCCGUUGGCGCGGUGUGAACGUCGCGUGACGCUGCUCCGGCUCCUCGCCCGAGGUCGGGGUCGGCGCCCUAGCACAUCUGCCUCCUCCCUCUCUCUGUCUCCACUUGAGCACAUCCGCCUCCUCUCACACUUCCCUCUCCGAGACCGUCAACCAUGCCACCACGCCAUCGGCACUACACGAUCCAUCACCAUCUUUUCCUACUUCAGCAAGUCUGAAUCCGGAGGAAAGCGCGACUAUCUCUGGAACCGGUGGAGGAUUUCGAGGAGGGGGGAUAUGGGGGAGGAGCCCGAGGAGGAGCCACGGGCGCCGAAGGAGAGGCCGUGGAACCGAAGGAGGAGGCACCGUCACAGGAGUCGAAUGAGGAGGCGCCGAUGUUCGUCGAUCCUGUGGCCGGAGCAGCUGGUCACCCUCAACUCCAUCUGCUCGAAGUCGGCUGCGGAGGCCAGGCGUCUUGAUCGACAACAGCUGGAGGAAGCGCAACGGCGCAUGCGGCGGCUUAGGCUCCAGCGCAGGCGGAUCAGGCUCCGAUGCAAAUGGAUCAGGCCAUCUCUGACGAGGAAGAAGCGUAAUACACUAGUUAGCACGUAGGAUAUAUUUUGUAUGCUUUUGUAUGAAUACGAUGGAUGAAAUAUGAACAAGUUAGAUGUAUAUAAGGAAAUUUGAGGCGUGAUCGGUCAGUGUCCGUGGACACGUUCGGACGCGUCCGCGGGCGUUUAAGGUGCCGAAUUUGCAAGGUCCGGCUGUAGAUGCUCUAAGUAAAGAGUUAGAUUUCAGCCUGUCGCCCGCAUGGCUUGGUUCUUUUGUGUUUCCAUGUUGGUUUCGGGACAACCAUUAGCUUAAGGAUUCCUGUUAAUUGUAUGCACAUACACAUUAUUUGUAUUUUGGUCGAUACUGGUUCAUCUCUCGCUGAACCAUCAUUUUUCUUCCUUGUCCGGGGAAUCCCUUACACGUGUCAUUGAUGUCAGAUCCAACUCUCUCAUUCAUACCAGCCCAUCCACCAGUUGUUCCACCAGCUUCAGUUACCACCACAUAAUUUACGCCUUUUCUCCUCGUCGUCUCAUUACCUCUCCGCCGCGCUAUCUUGUUUUAGUUCAAAUAGCCAUCCGUCUCCCCCCAAAGGAAACAAUUCCAUGGCUUUGAUACACCGUCGUCCACCAUCCGCUGUCCUCAGACACAGAUCUAGGUUUGAGGAGGUCACGAGCAUGCGAAAGGUUAGGCCACACUCCCCCGUAGAUCUAGGGACCUAGAUCCAGAGAUCUAGAGUCGGUGUAUAGAAGGCGACCCACACGUCCUUCUAGCUCUUGCAACCAACGAGAUUUUGUCGACGGUCCGCUGAUGUGUAUGGUGGUGGUGGUGGCGGCGGCGGCGAUGACGCGUCGAUGGGAGGAGGAGGGCAGGGGGCGGGUUCAUAAGGACCCGUGCAAAAAGGGCAUAGUAUUAUUCGUUUUCCUUUGAAGGCCUGCCAUAAGUUAAAAGAGAUAAUGGAUCUGCAAGAGGUUGGUUUGUGCCCCCUUCAUCGUCGUUGGUUUCGAAUCCUUUGAUGUACCUACCAUCGAGAGAUUUGUUAAGAAUGCAAAAUACCAAGUUCGUGUCUUCUACCAGUGUUAUAGGAUGCGCGAACCUGCUAUGACACAUUUUUAUCAGCUCUCUGGAUGUUUGCAGGGAAGUGCGGAACCAAUCUAUGAAAGAUUGAAGGACCCAUGGCCCCAAACCUUGCCAAUGAGGAGGCCAGGAAUGCCUCGGAUCCGCGCCUUCGAUGUCUUCUAUCUUCGAAAGGUAUUUUCCCUUCAUCUUCUAUGUGUAUACUGUAAUUUUUUUUGUGCGUGUGCGCACCAAACAUCAAACAUCAAAAUCUAUGGGCAUGAUCCCAGAAAAAAAUCAUAAUCCUGGAAAAUUCUUUGUGUGUUCACCCCGCUGCUUGGCAAUUUACCCCUUUUUUAGUGCACCACUAGGCACUAGCAGUCUCAUUGUGCAAAAUUCACACUCACCAAACACAGCAGUACGUCAGACACAAGUCGCAAAGAUUAAAGUUAAUCGGACACAAAGUCAGAGAGGGGUUAGUAGCAGUCGUUAACGAUGUUACCCGCAGAUUUUUUUCCUGCGUUUAUUUCUUUUGAACUGGUAAACCGAUAUUUAUCGUCACGGAAGGGAGGGGAGGGAGGAAGCGAGCAGGCGACGACCAAACCAAACAGAGAAGACACAGUCCGCAAUACAAAAAACACACCCAACGAAAGGAAACAGAGAGGAGGAGGAAGAAGAGAGAGAGAGAGAGGGGGAAGCGCGUGAAGAGAGAAAAUAAGGAAGGAAAGAAAAGAGGAAAAAGGGAAGGAAAUAAGCGAGGAGGCAGAGAGAGAGAGAGAGAGAGAGNNNNNNNNNNCAACAAAAAUAGGAGUCGGAGGCGACGAGGGAGAGGAGGCGGAGGGAGCAGGCGGCCACGCACGCGCGCACGCCGGGGAAAUCAUUUCUGCUGGAGGGGGGGAACGAGGGGAGCGCGAGGAGGGGGAUCGCGUCGGAACUCCGGCGAAUCGGCGGGAUCCGGCCGGGAUCUGCGCGGCGGAUGAGGGGCCGGCACCAUGAAAUGGUCGACAUUGCUCAGUAAGGUCGUCUUCGCUGCCCCGCAGCAGCCGCCUCCGCCGCCGCCGCCCCCGGCGUCCCCGCACCACAGCGACCAGGCCGACCCCGCCACCCCGCGCCUCAGCUCCGCCUCCGCCUCCGCCAGCGACGACGGCGGCGCCAGCGCCGCGUCCGGGAACUCGCCCUCCUCCGCCGCCGCCAGGUGCGUCGCCCCCCCCUACGCGUUUCCUCCUGCCCGGGCGCGAUCCUGCCGCGCGUUUUUGCGGGCCGAGCAAUGGGCAUCGGAUUUGGAUUCCGCCAAGCUCUCGAUCGUGGACGGCCUGUUUCCCCCCUCCCCCCCAUGCGUUUCCUCUCUGGUGAUUCUGUUUGGCAGAUGCGGGAUUCGGCGUUAGAUCGACGUUUUUUUUUUUCACUGACGGAUUGAUUCACCUGAUUACGUUUCUAGCUCAAGCUUACGAUGUAGCUGCAGUUUUCUCCCUCUCUUCGAUUCACCUAAUUACGUGUGCCGUCGGGUGAAAUGAUGCUGGGUGUUGUUGGACGAGGCGUUAGCUGCACGGUCAAUUCAUGGAUUCGAACGCGCCUGCAGCUUGCCCUCCUGCUUCUCGUUUUCUUAUGCGUUUGGCAUGCGUUUCUUAGAAUCACAGGGCCGUGCUUUUAUACAUCCCUUUUAGGACAGAAACUGUAACUUUUACUUGUUAUGAUCGAUGCCAGCUUUGGUGAACUGGAAUGUUCACAUUUCCGAUGCUGUGGGAUUAAGAUGGUGUGUAUCACUCUUAACACGCCAUUCAACUUCUUUGGUAGAAACCAUGUUAGAUUGCCUGCGUGGAGUUGCCUGUUAGAUUCGAAUGUUCAUUGCUAGGGUUGUCUUGUUAGGGUUAUGCUCGUGUUUCCACUGGAAACAAGCAUGAACUAUUCAAUUAGUAUUUUGGAUUUUUCGACAACUCCUAUUUUGUACUGCAAAUAGGCACACUUUAUAUAUGAGCUAGGUGCUAACACAUUCUGCAAGCAUGCAAACUGAGCACAUAUGUUAUUACCAUUAAAUUGAUAUUCCAAUAGGAGGUUAGCAUUCUCUGUGACCCUUUCUAGAUCAUGGUCAGUUAAUAUUGGCUUGACAAUUGCUAAUUGCUAAUGAAAGCUGCUACCGUAAUCACAACGAGUUAUGUAAUGUUUCUGGUUUGAAACCAUUGCAUAUAUGUCCUAUGUGAAGAACCGGUUAUAUGAUUAAUCGGAUAUAAGUCGUAUUUUCUUUUCUAUAUGCGUGAUUUCUUGUCUAGAAAUGGAUUUUCUCUGUAGUUGUUCCCUUUGCCAUUGCUCUAUUAUCUGUUAAACACCCUUAAGCUACCAAGAAGAAAGAAUUACUUUUGCACUUUCAGUACUAAUGCCAGUCUCAUUCUUUAUCUGAAUCACCACUAGAUAAUCUAUUGUCAAGGGAUGAAUAGUCUGGUCAUUUACUAAAUGAAAAAGGGAUAAUAUUAGGACUUGCAAACCGUAGACCUGAUACGAUAGUUCCCUCCUUUACCCGUUAGAUUUACCUUUAACCUUUGCAGGCAACAGGUGUGUGCAUGCAUACUGCCACACAGCCCACACUCACACAUUGUAUGAUUCUGAUGCAUGAAUUCUACCUUAAAACAAUGAAAGAACCAUUGCAGUCCUUCUUUUCAAAUAUUGUUGAGGGCUGAGGCAUUUGAUCCUGCCAUCUGAAGUGAAUGAUGAAAUUCUUCUGCAGAGGUUACAUGGUUUAUCCUUUAUACUGUCAUUCUUAAUAUUCUCCCUCUUGUACUUGCAGGGGAAAAAAUGAACUGGUGUCAGACUUCAGGAGGUUCUGGGAAGAAUUCCGCUCUUCCAGCUCUGAAAAGGUAUCUUGAUGUUACCUUUUUGUCACUGUAAGCCAAUAACAUUUUGCUAUUUGGUUCUUAGUCUAACGAUUUUUUCCUGCGCAGGAGAAAGAAAGGGCCUUAAAUUUGGCAGUAGAUGUCUUCUGUAGGCUAGUGAAGCAGCAGUCUAGUGUAGCUCAAUUAGUUACCAAGUAAGACUCCCUAUACUCCCACUCUUUCAGAUAUUGUUAUCGCAUUGCUUUAUUGUUAUUCUCUAUGCGAAAAAUCUUCCUGCAUACCUUUUUGUUGAUAGCUUGUCUCAUAAUUGGUACAGGUUAGUAGAAGCACAUGUUUUUGCUUUUGUUAUUGGAAGGGCUUUUGUCACAGAUGUGGAGAAACUAAGAAUCCACAGCAAAGGAAGAUCCUUGCAUGUUGAUGCUGUUAUUGGCUUCUUUUCUGAGAUCACAGAGGUUUGGCCUUGUUAUGUUUAUUUGUAUGGUGCAAAUUUCCAAAUUUCAGCUGACCAUACACUGUCUGAUAACUCGUUUCUAUGAUCCAGCUUGGCAUAUGUCCGGGUUCAAAUUUGUUAUAUGCAGUUGAAGUUCUUGUGACAGAGGUUUGUCAAGUUACCCUUUUAACAUCUUGAAAUACCAGUUUCCAUUUAUAUUUUAUUUUUCUGCCAUCAUGUGUUCAUCUGACGUUUAGUUUUGACAGUCACUGGUACGGCAGUCUGUGUAAGGUUUUAAUAGCCAAUAAUGCUAGCUGGUCCAAGUUUCAUGGCAACAAAUGCUUAUUGGUUGGUUUAUAAGCCACAAGAUUAUAAUCUCAUAUGUCAUCAUAUCAAAUCUUUUUAAUUUCAUAAUGCUAUUAUGUAGCAGCUGAUAGUGUGUGUAUUUCCGUUUGCAAUGCUGUUUACAUCAGUAUCUAUUGUUACUUUGCUCGCUCUGUUAGUGCACUGUCCAAGCUAUCUGGAGGUUUAAAGUAAUUCUAAACAUCCAGUAAAAAGAGCACUUCAUUGUUAUUGCAAACCUUAUCAAAACAGUGCUGGUCAUUGUUGUACUGUAUAGCGCUGCUUCAUUAUUUUGCCAAUGGAAUUUUCUUCUAAUAUUUGCCAGUGGGUGUUUUGAAGGGAUCAUAGGUCUAAUGUUGCUAAUGUUUGGUGUUAUAUUGCUGUUGCAGUGUGCAAGCAGGUAGAUUAGUGUAGCAUACAUCAAUUUUAGUUUUCUAUGCUUCCAUUUUCAACUUCUGUAGUCCAUUGAAAUUGAAGCAUGAAGUACAUAGUAUGCAUAAGAAAGAUGCAUGUGCUUUCUGAUAAAAAGAAAACUUAGCAAGAAUAGGGUCUUGCAUGGCUGAUGUCUGGUAUUUGAAAUCCAAAACGAAACAACAUUCACCAACUUAGAGUAACACACAUUUCAUGUUUAAUUUCUUGGUUACAGACUAUUGAUAAGCAGCCUCUGUUGGACUCUGGUAUUUUGUGCUGCCUUAUAUAUAUACUCAAUUCCCUAUUGAGUUCUGAUGAAUCCUGCAAAAAAUCCUCACCUGUUGGCGGAGAAGGAUCAGCAAGUGGGAAGAAUAAAGAUUGGGGUCCUUUGCAAUCUCGGCGGCUUGAGGUAACACUACUCUUCUGUUUCUCAUAGAAAGAGGACUUACUUUGCAAGAUUUCGUAGUUGUCGGCAUACGUUGAGGCAAAAUUGUAGCUUGUUAACAUUUUUUUGGUUGCACUUUAGAUAUUGUCCUCUUCCAUAUGUCCAUCUUAUUACUGCAAGUCUUCUGCUUUAUGUUCAAAUACGUGAUAUGUUUAUCCUAUUAUUAUUUUUAUUUUAUCAUGGGCAAUUUUGGUUUUGACUUCAUUUCUUGUUUUUGUUCUACGAAGAUCGAGGCAAGUGUAGUGCAUAUAAUGAAGGCUCUAGCGAGCCAUUCAUCUGCUGCACCAAGUUUGAUUGAAGAUGACGCUCUGCAACUUCUUUUCCACAUGGUUGCAAAUGGUUCUGUAUCUGUGUUUUCUCAGUUUAAGGAGGGUCUUGUUCCUCUUCACACAAUUCAGCUUCAUCGUCAUGCAAUGCAGGUAAGUUGAUAUGAUGUAGCGUUUAUCUAUGGAUAUUCCUGUCAGAUCACAAGUUAACUAUAUUAAGUUAAUAACCGAACAGGUCCUCGGUCUUCUUCUCGCAAAUGACAAUGGGACUUCUGCAAAGUACAUAAGGAAGCAUCAGUUGGUACUUAUAUUUUUCUCUCUUUACUGUGGAUGGAAAAGUAUUUCAGUUUUGUUUGUUCUGUUGUUGGUGUUUGUUUUAUUUGGUAGGUAAAAUGGCUCCUUGACAGCAAACAUCAUGUAAUAAUGUGACCUCAGUCACCUAGUCUUGAUUUAAACUAUGUCUCUCUAGCUGUAACCUGCUGUUUGUACUGAUAUUGCAUGGCAAAUGAUAAUACUCUGAAGAGCACAACUUCAAUGCAUCUAUAAUAUUUCAUUCAGACAAUUACCUUUUUGGGCAUGUGUGUGAGUGUGUGUGACUAGAACAUUUAUUCUUUUACAAAUAUUGCUAAUUAGUUUUACUGACCCAUUGUUAAUUAUGCCUUUUAGAUUAAAGUACUCCUUAUGGCCGUGAAAGAUUUCAAACCUCAAAGUGGUGAUGCUGCUUAUACCAUCGGCAUUGUGGAUUUGUUACUGGAGUGUGUUGAGCUCUCUUAUAGGCCUGGUAAAUCAAUAGACCUUUUGCUAUUCCUAUGCGUUUCUUCCAAGAAGAGAUGGUUUGAUUCGAAAUUCUCGUUGCUUAUGUAUUAAAUGUUCAGUCUUGAGCGCUAAUAUUAUGAUGUUCUGUCUAACUUCCAGAGGCUGGAUCCAUUAGGCUCAGGGAAGACAUACACAAUGCUCAUGGUUACCAGUUCCUUGUCCAGUUCACACUCACACUAUGCAGCUUACACAAAAAUCAGUCUCACCAAUCCUUGCCCAAGAUAGUAUCUGAAGAGAGUGGAUUGGAUGCUUCCCGCAGAUUAGAAGAAGAUACAUUCUCAUGUGAUCUUUCACCUCAGCUGUCCAGGUUGCUUGAUGUUCUUGUAAAUUUGUCGCAAACUGGUCCCUCUGAAGAUUUUGUUGGUAAAAGCAUGCAAUCUUCUCAUGGGAAGGGAACAGGUCACAGCAGAAGCCGAACCCCAUCUGCUGACAAGUUUGCGGAUGACAUUUUGGAAAUGAGUAGUCCCAAGGUAAAAGAUCUUGAAGCCAUUCAGAUGUUACAGGACAUUUUUCUGAAGGCAGACAACUUAGAAGUACAAGCUGAAGUUCUCAAUAGAAUGUUCAAGAUUUUCUCGAGCCAUCUCGAAAACUACAAGCUGUGUCAGCAACUGCGAACUGUUCCUCUUUUUAUCCUAAACAUGGGCGGUUUCCCUGCAGCACUUCAAGAGGUCAUCUUAAAAAUUUUAGAGUAUGCAGUCACUGUUGUAAACUGCAUUCCAGAGCAGGAGUUGUUAUCACUCUGUUGCUUACUGCAACAACCAAUUUCUACCAGUCUUAAGCAUACUGUGCUUUCUUUCUUCGUAAAGCUCCUGUCCUUUGAUCAGCAGUACAAAAAAGUUCUCAGGGAAGUGGGUGUUCUUGGGGCAUUGCUAGAUGACUUGAAACAAAACAAGCUUUUCUCUGGAGAUGAGCAGCAGAGCAAGAUCUUUUAUUCUCCGGAGAUUAAGUCUGACACAGAUGAUAUUCAAAAACCUGUGGACAACAAAGACUCCAUUCUUUCACCGAAGUUGAUGGCUUCUGGUUCCACGAAAUUUCCCAUGUUUGAUGACGAAGGGACACUUACUGUUGCCUGGGAUUGCCUUUUUUAUCUGUUGAAGAGAGCUGAGACUAACCAACAGUCUUUCCGAUCUUCCAAUGGAGUCAACACCAUUCUUCCUUUCUUGAUAUCAGAAAGCCACAGAUCUGGUGUGCUACGACUACUGUCAUGCUUGAUAAUUGAAGAUUCUCUUCAGGUUUGUGCUCUUGCCUUAUUCUCCCAUGAAAAUAACUCAUUUUUCAUGUGGAAUCAUCAUACUACUUUAGGGUCCUAAGUUUUUUGGGCCUAAGUGGAACACCUAUGCCAGUUUAAGUGCCUAUGCUUGCCAUGACUCGUCGGUUCCAGUUAUGCUAAUAAUUGAACUUCAUCAGCAUGGCAGGUGAACUGUGAUUUCUUUAACUUAUGUAAACCUUGUUCUUUUCAGGCUCAUCCUGAAGAAAUAGGAUUGCUGAUUGAGAUCUUGAAGAGUGGGAUGGUAUCAACCUCACUGGGUUCUCAGCACAAGCUUGACAAUGAUGCAAAGUGUGACACAUUCGGAGCUUUGUGGCGCAUUCUUGGAGCAAACAGUUCAGCGCAAAGAAUUUUUGGAGAAGCCACUGGAUUUUCUCUUCUACUUACAACACUUCAUAGUUUCCAGAAUGAAGGUGAAAAUGAGGAGACUGAACCAUCAUUGUUUACUCACAUGAAGAUCUUUGGUUUUCUAAUGCGAGCUAUGACAGCUGCGGUAUGCAACAAUGCUGUUAAUAGGAUAAGGCUGCAUACAGUUCUGUCGUCACACACUUUCUAUGAUCUUCUCUCUGAUUCUGGGUUGCUUUGUGUGGAUUGCGAAAAGCAAGUUAUCUUACUUCUGCUUGAGCUUGCACUUGAGAUUGUUCUUCCUCCUACCAGCAACCUGCAGGUAGAGAGCAUCUCAUCUGAAACCUCAGAGGACGAACUGUGUUUCUUGUCUCCAACCUCGUUUGGACUUUCAAAGCUUGAUGUGGAACGUGUUUAUAAUGCUAGUGCAGUUGUUGUAUUGAUCCGCUCCUUGCUAAUGUUUACGCCUAAAGUUCAACUUGAGUUGCUGAAAUUCAUUGAGAAACUAGCAAAUGCUGGUCCCUUCAACCAAGAGAAUUUAACUUCUGUUGGUAUGGACAAAAGUUCUUGUUACCCUUUCUUUUCUUGCAACUCUGGUUGAAAAGAGCCCCUUAUGUUUCUGUUGCCCUUUUUGUUAUACAGGAUGUGUUGGUCUUCUACUCGAGACAAUCAACCCAUUUUUGGAGGGUUCCUCUCCUAUUCUUAAUCAUGCUUUGAGGAUUGUUGAAGUGCUAGGUGCCUAUAGGUCAGUUAUAUUUCAUGAGAUCCCAUCGCUGAUCUCAUCACACCAGCUCUUGUCCUUUGAUUUUGUCUUACAUGUAUUUUUUUGGUCAGGUUGUCUUCUUCCGAACUAAGACUUCUCGUGAGGUAUAUACUUCAGCUGAAAGUGAAGCGUUCAGGUCAUCUUUUUGUUAAUAUGAUGGAGAAGCUAAGUCAAAUGGAAGAUGUCAGACAAGGAGAUAUUUCUCUAGCCCCUUUCAUUGAGAUGGACAUGAGUAAAGCUGGCCAUGCAUCCAUUCAGGUUUCAUUAGGGGAAAGGACAUGGCCACCUGUUUCUGGGUACUCUUUUGUUUGUUGGUUCCAGUUUAGAAACUUAUUUAGAAGCCCUUCCAAGGAAACAGAAAAACCAUCAAAAGGGGCUUAUGGUAAAAAGAAUGCGCAAGUUCUGCGGAUCUUUUCUGUGGGUACAGUGGAUGAUGCCAACACUUUGUAUGCAGAACUUUAUCUUCAUGACAAUGGUGUUUUUACUAUAGCAACAAGCAAUUCAAGUUCAUUGUCCUUUCCUGGCAUUGAAAUGGUGGAGGGAAAAUGGCAUCAUCUUGCAGUUGUUCAUAGCAAACCAAAUGCAUUAGCUGGCCUUUUUCAAGCAAGUGUGGCAAGCAUUUACCUUGACGGAAAGCUGAGGCACACUGGCAAGCUUGGAUACUCGCCAUCCCCAUUUGGUAAAUCGUUGCAAGUAACACUUGGUACACCUGCUACCCGUGGCAAAGUUUCUGAUCUAUCAUGGCAGCUCCGCUGUUGUUACCUUUUUGAGGAAGUCUUGACACCAGGGAGCAUCUGUUUCAUGUAUAUUCUUGGACAAGGUUACCGGGGAUUGUUCCAGGACACUGAUCUUCUGAGAUUUGUACCUAACCGGGCAUGUGGUGGGGAGGUAAUGGCGAUUCUCGAUUCACUUGAAGUGGAAGUAACUGCACCUUCAAGCAGCCAGCGGAUAGAUAGUUCAGCGAAACAAGUGAGCUCUAGACUUGAGAGCAGUGGAAUUGUAUGGGAUAUGGAAAGAUUAAGAAAUCUCUCAAUGCAAUUGUCUGGGAGGAAGCUAAUAUUUGCAUUUGAUGGAACAUCAUCAGAUGCUUUUCGAGCAUCUGGGACUCUUUCCUUGCUUAACCUUGUUGAUCCAACUUCUGCUGCUGCAUCCCCUAUAGGAGGUGCGUGAACUUCUUCCAGUUAUUUGAUUUAUGUUUUUUCUUCCUCGAUUGGCUGGAGUAUGUCAAGAUUGAAUUAGCUUUUCAUAUUGGCAGGUAUACCACGAUACGGACGUCUAAGUGGUGAUGUUUACGUGUGUAAUCAAUGCACAAUUGGUGACACUGUUCAAACUGUUGGAGGAAUGCCUGUUGUGCUUGCUCUUGUUGAAGCUGCUGAAACUAAGGAUAUGCUGCAUAUGGCACUGGAAUUGCUUGCAUUGUCUCUUCAGCAGGGCCAUCAAAAUGUGAAAGACAUGCAGGCCUUGAGGGGCUAUCAUCUUCUUGCACUUUUUCUGCACAGGAGAAUGUCAUUAUUCGAUAUGCAAUCUCUUGAUAUCUUCUUCCGCAUCGCUGCCUGUGAGGCUUCGUUUCCUGAGCCACAGAAAUCAAAUAUAAACCGAACAUCAAGCUAUGCAUCUGGUAUCUCCCCAGAUGCCAGUCUUGAUGAUCUUAGCCUACCUAAGUUUGGCGAUGAUCUGUCUUCUGGUGGAUCACAUGGAGACCUAGAUGAUUUUUCAGCUCAAAAAGAUUCAUUCAGCCAUCUGUCUGAGCUUGAAAAUGCUGACUUGCCUGGUGAGACUUCUGAGUUCAUAGUUUUGUCAAAUGCUGAUAUGGUUGAACAUGUUCUCUUGGACUGGACUAUAUGGGUUGCUGCUCCUAUAUCAGUACAAAUAACUCUUCUUGGGUUUCUUGAGAGGAUGGUAUCGAUGCAUUGGUUUAGGAACCACAACCUCACAAUAUUGCGUCGAAUUAAUCUUGUGCAGCAUCUUCUUGUUACAUUACAGCGUGGGGAUGUUGAAAUUCCUGUGCUGGAGAAGCUAGUUGUGCUGCUUGGUGUCAUCUUGGAGGAUGGUUUUCUAGCUUCCGAGUUGGAGCUUGUUGUAAGAUUCAUAAUCAUGACAUUUGAUCCUCCAGAACUUACCCCGAACCGUCAGAUUGUCCGGGAGGCUAUGGGAAAGCAUAUUAUUGUGAGGAACAUGUUACUAGAAAUGCUCAUUGAUCUACAAGUAACUAUAAACGCUGAAGAGUUGCUGGAGCAAUGGCAUAAAGUUGUUUCAUCUAGACUGGUCACAUAUUUCCUUGAUGAAGCUGUGCAUCCAACAAGUAUGAGAUGGAUCACCACUCUAUUAGGAGUUUGCCUUACAUCAUCUGCUACAUUCGCUCUGAGAUUCCGUACAAGUGGUGGUUUCCAAGGGUUGAAUCAUGUGCUUCCAAGCUUUUAUGAUUCUCCUGAAAUAUAUUAUAUAAUCUUCUGUUUGAUUUUUGGGAAGCCUGUUUAUCCUCGAGUUCCGGAGGUCCGCAUGCUUGAUUUCCACGCUCUCAUGCCUAGUGAUGGAAACUAUGGAGAACUGAAGUUUGUGGACCUAUUGGAUACUGUUAUCGCAAUGGCAAAAGCUACAUUUGAUUCAUUUAUUAUGAAGUCUAUGCUUGCACAUCAGAAUAACAAUCUUUCACACCUUAAUGGCACCUUGGUUGCGGAUCUUGUGGAGGCAACAUCAGACAUGGGAGGAGAUCUUCAAGGAGAAGCUCUGAUGCAUAAGACAUAUGCGGCAAGGUUAAUGGGUGGUGAAGCCGCAGCACCUGCUGUUGCUACUUCUAUAUUGCGGUUCAUGGUUGAUUUGGCAAAAACGUGCCCACCAUUCUCCGCUGUUUGCAGGCGACAUGAAUUCCUAGAAAGCUGUAUUGAUCUAUAUUUCUCCUGUGCAAGGUUUGUAUGAUGUGCAUAUAUCAAGUUACUUGGUGUUCUAUAUGUUCAAACUGACCCUUCCUUUUGUUCUGCAGGUCUGAUUGUGCGUUGAAGAUGGCAAAAGAUCUAACAACUGCUGCAAUAGAUGAGAAGAACAUGAAUGAUGAUGACAAUGGAAGUUCAAAAGAUACCUUUCCAUGUUUGCCACAGGAUCAGGAACAAUCUGCCAAAACUUUGAGUGCUGCAAGUUUUCCUCAGGAGCAUAAAAGUACAAGCUCAGGAAGUACUGACAUGCAGAACUCUUCUGAUAAUGGUGAAGUAAAAGCAGAUAUCUCUCCCAGUGAGGAGCUCAGCACCAAGUUUUUAAAUGGAGAAGCAAGCCAAGUGUUUCAGAAUGUUCAUGAAAAAGGACAGUUGUCAGCUGUGAGAUCAAAUGGCAUUGCCGAUUCUCACCAACUAGUUGAUUCACCCAGCACAGUCUCUGUGAUUAACAUUGGAUCCCCUGUUUUGUCUGAGAGAUCGACUCAUAAACCAGCAAGCACCCCUACUGCGUCUCCCAUGGCUCCAUUCACUUCUUGGGCUGGUAGCACAGGAUCUUAUACUGAUGGUAGACACCUAACAGCCUCUCCAUCCAUGUCUUCAACUACAUCUGCGAUGGAUCUCGAUUCAUCUCCUGAUCUGAAGACAAACAUUCAGGGAUCACCUGCAAUGAAUACAUUUUCCCCGAUCAGUCCCAAGCUUUUGCUUGACAUAGAUGAUGUGGGUUAUGGGGGUGGCCCUUGCUCUGCAGGAGCUACUGCUGUUCUUGAUUUCAUUGCUCAAAUCCUUGCUGAUAUUAUCUCAGAACAGCUCAAAGCAACACUCUUCAUUGAGAGCGUUCUCGAGUCUGUGCCUUUGUUUGUGGAUGUUGAUUCUGCUUUGGUUUUUCAAGGCUUGUGUCUAAGCAGACUGAUGAACUUCCUUGAAAGAAAACUCUUGCUCGAUGAUGAAGAAGAUGGGAAGAAACUCGACAAGAGUCGCUGGUCUGUCAACUUGGAACCACUUUGCUGGCUGAUUGUUGACCGUGUAUACAUUGGCUGCUUUCCAACCCCAGUCGGUGUACUGCGAACGCUAGAGUUCUUGUUGUCCAUGUUGCAACUUGCCAAUCAAGAUGGCCGCAUUGAAGAUGCAGUACCUUCAGGUAAAGGUAUUUUAUCCAUUGCUCGAGGAACCAGGCAACUUGACCCCUACAUCCAUGCCAUAUUGAAGAACACAAACCGUCUGAUAAUGUACUGUUUCCUGCCAACAUUCCUUAAUAAUCUCGGGGAGGAUGACCUGCUGGCAAAUCUGGCUUUCCUAACGGAAACAGGGAGAAAUUUAGCUUCAAAACCUCCCCAAGAAGAGUAUUCUGUCGAUAUUUGUACCAUUCUUCAGCUUUUGAUUGCCAACAAGAGAUUGAUUCUAUGCCCCAGCAAUGUUGAUAAUGAUCUAAUGUGUUGUUUCUGCAUCAAUCUGAUGGCACUUCUUCGUGACAAGAGAUCAACUGCUCAAAACUUUGCGGUGGAUUUACUUAAGUACCUGGUGGUGCAUCGACGUCCAUCUCUUGAAGACCUGCUUGUUUGUAAGCCUAACCAAGGGCAACAAACAGACAUUCUGCAUGGAGGGCUUGACAAAUUGCUGACUGGCAGUACAUCGUUGUUUUUUGAGUGGCUCGAGAAUUCUCAGCAAACAAUUAGUAAAGUGUUAGACCAGUGUGCUUUGAUAAUGUGGGUUCAGUACAUUACUGGCUCAGCAAAAUUUCCUGGGGUGAGAAUAAAAGGCAUGGAAGUCAGGCGCAAGAAAGAGAUGGGACGGAAAUCACGUGAAAUUGUAAAACUAGAUGGCAGACACUGGGAGCAGAUAAAUGAGCGGAGGUAUAAUCUUGAUUUGGUUCGUGAUGUGAUGUCCACAGAGCUGAGAGCAAUUCGUCAAGACAAAUAUGGAUGGAUAUUGCAUGGAGAAAGUGAGUGGCAGAGCCAAAUUCAACAGCUUGUACACGAAAGAGGUAUUUUCCCCAUUCAUCAAGUAUCCACGGAACCUGCAUGGCAGUUAUGUGCUGUUGAAGGACCAUAUAGAAUGCGGAAGAAACUUGAGAACUCCAAAUUUAAGAUAGAUACUAUUCAGAAUGUUCUAACUAGUAGCCUUGGGUUUGAUGAUGUUACUAGAGCCAAGAAAGAGGAUGGAGACAUGAUGACAUCUGGGUCAGAUACAAUAUCGGGCUUGAAUCUUUUGACCUAUGACACUGAACAGAGGGAACUUGACGGUGCUGAUUUUGCAUCUUUCAAAGAGGAUGAUGACAUAUUCAAAGGAGAAAGCACCACAACGUCACCUCCAAUUGGCUGGACUGAUGAUAAAAGCAGCAUUAACGAACAGAGUCUUCACUCUGCAAACGAUUUCGGAGCAAAAUCAAGUUCCUUUUCCUAUCACAUGUCAGAGAGUGUCCAAGGUAAAUCUGAUUUGAAUUCACCAAGACAGCCACCUUCAGUUAAAGGUACUGAUACGAGAACCUCAGAGGAUAAAUCAGAUAAGGAGUUGCUUGACAAUGGAGAGUAUCUUAUCAGACCUUAUCUGGAACCUUCUGAAAAGAUCAGGCAUAAGUACAACUGUGAACGUGUUGCUGGUCUUGACAAGCAUGAUGGUAUAUUUCUUAUCGGGGAGCUUUGCUUAUACAUUAUUGAGAACUUCUACAUCGACGAUUCCAACUGCGUUUGUGAAAAGAGCGAUCAAGACGAGCUUUCUGUCAUUGAUCAGGCUUUAGGUGUGAAAAAGGAUAUAAUGGGAAGCAUUGAUUCCCAGCAAAAAUCACCUGCACCAUGGGGUGCAACUGCAAAGGACUCGCUUGGUGGUAGAGCAUGGGCAUACAAUGGAGGUGCUUGGGGUAAGGAAAAUCUUUGCAAUAGCAGCAACCUGCCUCAUCCAUGGCAUAUGUGGAAGCUUGAUAGUGUCCAUGAGCUCCUGAAACGUGACUAUCAGCUUCGACCCGUUGCAAUCGAGAUUUUCAGCAUGGAUGGGUGUAACGAACUUCUAGUUUUCCACAAAAAAGAGAGGGAGGAAGUUUUCAGAACCCUGAUUGCCAUGAACCUCCCACGGAAUAGCAUGUUUGUAUUCUUAAUCCUUUGCAGUUAUAUACACUCAGUUAAUUCUAUGCACACUUGCUUAGUGUUAAGAUUUUAUCAUUUCUCAUUUCUUACUAGCGACGACAAAUGAAAUGAUUUCCAAACAUUGAAUUAAGACCCUGUAGGAACCAUUCCAGCUACAAUGGCAUGAAAGACAUGUUUAUUCAUGUUUAGUUGUCUUAGUUGCUAACUUCCUUGCCCACUUUAUUUUUGUCUAAAAUGUUCAGUAUUUAGGCCUGUAGGUUAGAUCCCCACAGUGUCAUAACUGGUUCUAGCAUGGUAGGUUUAUGUUUUAGCAUUGUCUGAAAUUAGCAUUUUCUGAGAAGUGGACCCAGUCGGUCAAAACCAGCCAGUCAACUGCAAAUAUAUGUAAAUUUAUGAAAUCUGAGUUCUUAUUAGGUAGAUCUCGCCCGGUCCCUGUGUUUCACCAGAGCUGUUUGCUAUCAAUGUUUCUUCCUGAAUGGUCUCUUGUAAUUAAUAGCUCAGGAGGCAGUGGAAGGAUUUUUUUUAAUGAACCAUCUGAACUUGUAGGAUUUGACAUUUUAAUGUUUUCACUUGUCACCUUUACUUAUCAUUAGGAUGCUCGAGUAAAGGAACUUGACAAUAAACAUGGCUUUCCACAGGUUGGACACAACAAUAUCAGCUUCCUCAAAGCAGGAUAGCGGUGAGGGGAGCCGCCUUUUCAAAGUUAUGGCAAAAUCUUUUUCCAAAAGAUGGCAAAGUGGAGAAAUUACCAACUUCCAGUAUCUCAUGCAUCUAAAUACACUUGCUGGUCGUGGUUAUAGCGACCUUACACAGUACCCAGUAUUUCCAUGGGUUCUUGCAGAUUACGAAAGCGAUAACUUAGAUCUGAGUAACCCACGGAGCUUCCGUAAGCUUGAUAAACCAAUGGGAUGUCAAACAGAGGGAGGAGAAGAGGAAUUCCGCAAGAGGUUUGUUCAUUUAACAGUACUAGAAAUACCUCUUGUUCUUUUCUUUUUCAGUUGAAAAAUCCCUACUGUCUUCAGUGCUUCCCAACAUCUAACAUCAAUUCACUACCCUCUUCCGUUACUUUCAGAUAUGAUAGCUGGGAUGACCCUGAUGUACCAAAGUUCCAUUAUGGUUCUCAUUAUUCAAGUGCUGGGAUUGUUCUUUUCUAUCUUCUAAGGCUGCCUCCAUUCAGCAUGGAAAACCAGAAACUGCAGGGUGGACAAUUCGACCAUGCAGACAGGUUGUUCAAUAGUGUGAAAGAUACAUGGACAAGCGCUGCUGGUAAGAGCAACACAUCAGAUGUGAAAGAGCUCAUUCCUGAGUUCUAUUAUCUGCCCGAGUUUUUAGAGAACCGGUUUAAUCUGGACUUGGGGGAGAAACAAUCAGGAGAGAAGGUAUUACUUUCACACAAGUGCACCACUCUUUUCAGCUGGGUGUAACGCUGAUACUCUAACCAAGGCUCAGCUUUUUUGAGUCAGGCAUUCUAAACUUGUGAAAUAAUGCUCUCUCAGGUCGGUGAUGUUGUUUUGCCACCUUGGGCGAAAGGUAGCACCAGAGAAUUUAUUAGGAAACACCGGGAAGCUCUGGAAUCAGACUAUGUAUCUGAGAAUCUGCAUCAUUGGAUUGAUCUUAUUUUUGGGUAUAAGCAGAGAGGAAAGGUACAUAGCAUCUCAGGCUCCUGUAAUUUUUAUCUUCUCCCCUAGUCCUAGUGGGGCUGCCAUUUCCAUCAUUAUGACCACACAUACAUGUUUGUGGUUAAAUCAAGUGUAUUGGUUUUACAGUACCAUGGAAUUAUUUGCAUAUAGGUUUGUGUUUUCAUGGUCCCUGAGAUGUAGUUUUGAUCAUCGAUUUCUAUUGUGCUUUGUCCUGUGUCGGCAGAAAACCUUUUUGUAUAUAUUUGUCGACAGUAUAUUGUACUAAUAUCAAACAGAGGGAGUGACGUAUAAAGUGAAACAAAAGGAGUAUUCAUGUUAAUCGGCUUCCAUAUUUCACUUGGUUACUUCCACUUUUAUUCAUUGGUUGCAUUGUAAUGGCUAUUUUCUUUUGUGUAUGGCAGGCAGCUGAAGAUGCCGUCAAUGUCUUCUAUCACUACACAUAUGAAGGCAAUGUUGACAUAGAUGCAGUAUCAGAUCCUACCAUGAAGGCUUCAAUACUGGCACAGAUCAAUCACUUUGGCCAGACCCCCAAACAGUUAUUCCAAAAAGCUCAUCCACAGCGACGAACUGACCGGAAAGUUCCUCCUCAUCCUCUACGGUACAGCAACUAUCUUACACACCAAGAGAUCCGCAAGACAGCAUCUGCAGUGUCCCAGAUCGUGACCUACAAUGACAAGAUCCUAAUUGCUGCAUCAAACAGCUUGCUCAAGCCAGUUACUUACAGUGAGUACAUCUCAUGGGGAUUUCCUGACCGCAGCUUGAGAAUAUUGACAUACGAUCAGGAUAGACUUCAAUCAACACAUGAGAACCUUCAUGGUGGUAGUCAAAUUCAGUGCACUGGAGUGAGCCAUGAUGGCAACAUUCUCACCACAGGUGGCGAUGACGGAGUAGUUGCAGUAUGGAGAUUUGUGAAGGAUGGCAUUCGUCGUCUCCUGAGGAUGGAGAAAGCCCUGUGUGCUCACACUGCCAAAAUAACAUGCAUCUAUGUCAGCCAGCCUUAUUCGUUAAUAGUCUCAGGUUCUGACGAUUGUUCUGUCAUCUUGUGGGACCUGACAGGGCUGGUCUUUGUGAAGCAGCUGCCUAGGUUCCCAGCGUCAGUGUCUGCAUUACAUGUGAACAACCUCACUGGUGAGAUUCUGACUGGUGCUGGUGUUCUUUUUGCUGUUUGGAGUGUUAACGGAGACUGUCUUGCUGUGGUGAACACCUCUCAGCUUCCUUCUGAUCUCAUCUUAUCUGUGGCAAGCACCACACACUCAGACUGGCAGGAUACAAACUGGUAUGUGACAGGUCAUCAAAGUGGUGCUGUGAAGGUAUGGAAGAUGGUGCACUGCACGUCUGAUGAGGCAGCAAACAACAAAAACAAAUCCCCGACAACCACCUAUGGAGGGCCGGGUCUGAAUGUCCAGACGCUGGAAUACAGGCUAAUUCUGCAGAAGGUUCUCAAAUCACACAAGCACCCGGUGACUGCCCUUUGUAUACCGCCCGACCUGAAGCAGCUUCUGAGCGGGGAUGCCAAUGGUCAUUUGUUUUCUUGGUCACUGAAAGAUGACAGCUUUAAGGGCUCAUAGCGAUAGAGAAAUCAGGAUUCACCUGCACAUAUCAAAAACAUUGAUUUAAAGUAAUAUCUGGUAAUCUGACAAGCAUCUGCCCGUGGUGUUGACAGCAAAGAGCACAGGGUUGGCCUGGCUCGCAGAAACGUGCUACAUGAUGACCCGUCUUGACGCCCAGGCCAUUCGGCAUCGGAGGAUAGGCCAAACACAACAGGAAGGAACACAUUGGAAUGGGGGAGAAGUGGAUGAGACGAUGGAGGCGUCGGUUGUGCUGACAAUAGAAUCUUAUACUGUGCAUUAUGUGCUGGCUCCACCUCCUGCUCUUGGUUUUGUUUUGGUCAGGAGGAAAGAGUUCCAUGUGAGGUAGAGAGGCCAGUGUUUUGUAGAAGUGUGUGUAUAGGAUGCUUUGGUGGUGGUGGUGGUUGUGGUUGCGGUGGAACGAUGGUGAUGUUGUACUGUCUAUGGUUUUGUUUCGGGGGAUGGAUGUAAGGGAAGGGAAAGGGGGUGUUAGGUUCCUUUUUUGCUGUUUCAACUUGACCCCUCAGAAGUGGUGUUGUUCAUUCAUUUAGUGGGUGUAAUUUGAGCACCCUUCUGUUCACUUCACCUGAGUUGAGUUCAUUGCACAUACAUACAUGCAAGCAGUGUGAUUUUAUUGGCUCCAUCUAUGUGACUCCCAUUUGAUGGCAAAAGCGAACAGCCUAUAUACACCAACAGAGGAAGGCGAACAUAGAAUCAUGCAUAAGUAGAAAAAUGAUUAUAUGCUCAACAAGUUUUUACGUUCAUUGAUAGAACACCGAUGUCCGUGCCAAAUACCUUGUUUUUUGAGAUCUUAUUUUGACUAUCCUCUUCUCCCACUCGGCGGCGAGCCAUUCGUCUCCUUGCUUGGGGGGUGCGGUGCGGGUUGGGAUGCAGCGCUAGUUGCUGGACGCGUCAACACAUUGGCGUGAGCCGGCGACGGGUGCGUGGUAGUGAUGUGACGGGCGGCAUGGUGGUGGUGCAAGCCAGGCGGCGGCGGCUUCGUGCGUCUGGAUUCGCCUCUAACGUUGGGGGUUGCGGGCGGCCUGGGCUGCGGGUGGCUUCUCUCGUCGUGACUUGAUGGUGUGGGGGCGGCGCUCGGCGCAGGAGGCCCUCCAUGGUGAGCUACCUCAGUUGUGGUGAUGGGUCGAUUUGGCCUCUCUUGUCGGUGGACGCACACUUGCGGAUGGCCUUGCGGAGAGUUGUGCCAGCUACCACGGUGGGGCGACACGAGGGUGCUCCUCCUCCCCCUUUCCUCAUGCUCGAUGGGGAGCUCGGUUGGAGGGAUGGGUGGCCUCGACGCAGUCGCGUCACCUGUCGUCGGCACGGGUGUGCCGGUCCGGAUUCGUCCGCUACCCUCCCCCCCUCCCCCCCGCUCCUCAGCCGCGGGCGGGUUGGCGAAGCUUUACUAGCGGAGCGUCUACGGGUGGUUCUAUCGAUCGAGGGUCAUCGAUUGAUCCAAAGCCGGGGCCUUUGUGUAGGUCUCGGGUAUGUUUGGUUAUAGGGCGGCGGCUCUAGCGAUGGGAGGCGCUGCGUUUGUGGGCGGAGCAUGCGUCUCAGUUGCGGGCGAGCAACCAUGGCCUUGCGGGUGGCGUGGUUGUGGGUGGUUGACGGAGUUAGGGUGCGAUGGUGGGUGAGAGGGUCGGGGUACACCACUUGCCGAGUCCUUUGACUGGUCGAUGGUGGCGGCGAUCGUUGACACUCGUCAAGGCUUUGUCGCGAUAGUCCCCCUCACGUCGCCUUGCUUCGGGUGAAAACCCGAGCUUCGCGGAUCGGGCGGUGGCGUCUAUCCUUGGUCGUACCCUUCUUGGAGGCACCUUUUUGGAGGCCUGGCUUCGUUGUUGUCUGAUUCACCUCUCUAUUGUUGUCGGUGCGGUGGUGUGUCAGUGCCCGGCAGCUUUAUAUCAUGCCUUGUGUGUGUCUUGCGUGCAUCGUUUGGUCUCUCGGAUGUAUUCAGUGAUGGUUGCUUUAUAAUAUAAAGCGGGGAGAACCCUUUUUUCGGUAAUACCUCGUCUUUGUGCCUCCUUUGAUCCUCUUCUUGUGUAAAGCAUCUGUACACGGAAGAAUGGAGGUCAUGGACAAACUUUGUCGCAUCGGGAUCCAAGUCGUCCGCCCCGACGUAUGUCUUAUGCUUCUUGGAAGUUUUUUUGAUAGCAAUGUUCCUCUCCUUGAGCUUAAUCUUCUUAUUUUUGCAUCUCCAUGAACGUGUCAAACUUCUCCAAUUUCUUUUCCUCCUUCCAUUUCAUUGCACUUGUGAAAGUACAUGUAGUCCUUGUGCGAGGUUUUCAUAAUUAACGAGUCCUCGUGUCUUGGUCAACAUCCAGAUAUACAUCAAGAUUGAGUUCAAUGAUUGAAUCAAAUAUGAUCAUGAUGAAUUCCAUGUGAUGAACAAGAUGUGAUUUAGAUGGGGUCCAUUAGAGGAUCUCAGUGGUUGUCAUGCUUAGGCUAAUGAACCGAGCCACGAUAAAUCAAGAUCUCGAGAAAAUGAUUAAAGAGAAGAAUUCUAUAUAUGACUCGAAGAGGAUAUCGUGAUGAGCUCAUACGUUGAGUUCGGUGAUCAUGUUUUGAAGCAAUGCAGGCAUUUGUGAUAAGUAAGGUUUGUCUAUCCUGCAUGAAGCGAAUAGGAUGGCACGACAAUCCCCGCAGUUGCGUUGUCACUUAACACAACUACGCUCACACCCAAACCGGAGUUUUAAAAUAGUUCACUUAAGCAGGUUGCUAGGGAACAGUAACAAGGAGAAUUAAACUAUGUACUAGAGAGAACUGAAAAUAAAUACUAAACUAACAAAGUAAACAAACCUAUGAGAAGUAUGUGAUGUUUUAGAUGAGAUUGUUGACAUCUAGGUACGGCCCCAUUCGGUACCAAUGGAUUUCGGUUUUACGACUAUGCCACGUGGUGACUAAGUCACUACAUGCAUUAUAGGAUAUGGUGGUCUAUGUUUGGUCGACGGUCCCUCAGAUAACAUUAUCUCUCAAGAUACGCCUUGUUAAGAUAAGUCAAUCGCCCCACUUCUUGUCCCAUACCUUCAGUGGCUAACUUAAAGAUAUUAUGAUCACGAGGACCGGACGGAGGCAAUAAGUUCUAUGGACAAUCGUAAGUCCUCGAGUAAUUGUGUCCCCCUUAAGAUAUCUACACCUGUCACGUCACAGGUCUAUCAAUUUCCACAGUCAUCUAUCGACUUCAUGUGUGGCCUGGGGAGUUGGAUGUCUUCACCUAUGCUGAUGGAAAGGGCAUCUCCAAUCACUAAAUUACCACAGGUAAACGGGCAACAUGAAGCAACAAGCAUAAUUAGGCAACACAUGUCAAAUAACCACUUACUAAUUGAUUGCAAUCUCUGGUGAUGGCUAGACGAAUGCUGAUGACAACAAACCAUCCCCUGCAACGGCACCAGAAGAAUGCUGCUAGCACUCCCCGGUAACGAAACUAGAAGAAUGUUGUUGAUGGCCCACUAGCGCGUGGGUUCGCAGCAAUUUUCGAGGGUAGAGUAUUCAACCCAAUUUGUUGGUUUACCAGACAGGAGGUGAGCUGAAUUUGUCAAAUUCAACCGCACCUGAAAGAUUAGUAUCUGCAAGCAAAGUAGUAACAACAAAGUAGUAUGAUAACAACGGUGUCAGAAACGAUCUGUUGACGGCACACUAUUCCUAACGAUUGUAUCAAUGGCGCAAAGUUGCCUCGUUGACGGAAAUUGUCAGUUCCCGUCAACGAUCAACGAACCAAAAGUGUAGCAGGUAGCAACAGUGUAACGAGUAACAGCAGUGGCAUGGAACAACAGUAGUGACAACAGUAGCAAGUAGCAACAGUAGCAAGCGACAGUAGUAGCAACAGUAGCAGCAGAGCAAGACAAGUAACAACAACAGCAACAGUAGUAACAGCAUCAGAGCAAGACAAGUAACAGCAACAACAACAACAGUAGUAACAGCAGCAGAGCAAGACAAGUAACAACAGCAGUAGGACAAACUCGUAGGCAAUGGGUCGGUGAUUUGUUUGGAUGAUAUUCAUCAUGCAACAACUAUAUCACGGAGAGAUAUGUGGCUAGCUCCCGUUCGUCAAUGUGAUGUAGGCAUGCAUUCCGCGUGUCUUCAUACGUGCUUACGGAAAAGAACUUGCAUGCCAUCUAUUGUCCAUCCCUCCCGUGGCAGCGGGGUCCAAAAGGAAACAACGGGAUAUUAAGGUUCUCCUUUUAAUAAAGAACCGGACCAACGCAUUNNNNNNNNNNNNNNNNNNNNNNNNNNNNNNNNNNNNNNNNNNNNNNNNNNNNNNNNNNNNNNNNNNNNNNNNNNNNNNNNNNNNNNNNNNNNNNNNNNNNUGAAUUCACCCAAUAUUCCAUGUAUCUCAAUUGAGGCAAUGUGUUCUGCCUCCUCAUGAGGUAAAACUAACACUUCCUCCUAUUGACGCUCUUUUGCAGGUUCUUGUUAAAAUCUUGCUGCAAUGUGUUCGUCAUUGUGGCCAUAGGACAAUUCCUCAAAUGCUCAUCCAAUGGAGUGGCACUGAUGCUUCCGCGAUGACUUGGGAGGAUAUUGAUUCACUUCAACAACAGUUUCAUUGAUCAGCGGCUUGGGGUCAAGCCGGUUCUCAAGAUGGGGGGAUUGUCAAUGGUGGGAACACCAACUCAACCAGUGGGCCAGUGACCCGGACCAGACGAGAACAAAAGGCACCAACCCAACUUCCAAGUAGUGAAUGGGCUCAAUGAAGCCUUGCACAUGUUUCCUUUUAUUUACACUCGCUGCCUAUAGCAAUGGACUUUGGGAUGAAGGAAUGACCAUUUGGCCAUCUUGUAACUCGUGAUACGGAACAGAGGAGAGGGAGGAAGGGAGGAUGCCUCUAAUAUGCUAGAUCUCAUGAAUUCGUUCCCUAGUUCGAGCAAUACAACCCUAGAUCGUUCCUAUUUUGAAUACUGUUGACAAUGCUGCCGAACUCACUCAUGUACUCGCCAUCGUCAGAUCUCUCGUUGAUGUUGGGCCACGAUGGCAUGCUCGCGCCGAGUUUUCCUUCGCCGGAGUGCGAGGAGAGAAAGAGGACAUAAGUGAAGCAAAAAGUGAGCGAGGAAGAGUGAGUGAUACCGGGAAGGGCGAGCUGGUCGGUUGUUUUGACCUGGGUUGGCUCGUUCCGACCGAGCGGCGGCUUAAACGGCCGGUAGGCGCGUGCCGUGGACAAAUUCACGGUUUUGACCCGUUUUGCUAACUUUAGCCCGAUCUGAUCCCGUUUAUCAUUUUUUUCCGGAUCCAACCCUUUUUCCUACCGCCCUCAGCUGUGGCGAUAAGCACACACUCCGUACCGCCACAGGAGGUGGCGGUAGGGGUCGGGUCAAUGCGGAUGGUUCCUUCUGGGUAGCUGAGUCAAACGACCCUACCGCCAAUGUCUCUGGCGGUAGGAUGUGUAUGCCUACCGCCAAAGCGAGUGGCGAUAGGAAAAAGAGUUAGAUCCGAUUUUUUCGUAAAAUGGGUCAGAUCAGGCUAAACUAGGUAAAAAGGGUCAACACAGUGAAAUCGUCUACGUGCCAUUACUGUAGUCAUAUACCUGCCAUGUGGGCAAUACCUGUCAGAAAAGUGUUUAAAAUGACUAAAACAGUCAUCAACAUGACCUGAUAGUUUUAAUCACAAAAAUUUAAAAAUUGAUAGUUUUCGAUCAUUUUCUUAAAAUGGUACUCCAUCCGUUCCUAAAUAUAAGUCUUUUAAACGAUUUCACUAUGUGUCUACAUACGUAGCAAAAUGAUUGAAUGUACACUCUAAAGUAUGUCUAUAUACAUCCGUAUGUAGUCCACUAAUGAAAUGUCUACAAAGACUUAUAUUUAGGAACGGAUGAAGUAGUUCAGUAGGACGGGACCAGCGAUAGUUUCUUUUUUUGAAAGGGAGGAAGCACGAUCGGAGAUGAUGUUUUCCACGACUACACAUUUGGAAACGUGGGCGUCGACCCAUGCGAGCUUUGGAAAACAAUGGCUCUCCUCUCCUCUCCUCUCCUCUACUCUACUUCUUGGCACCAGAGAUAGAUUAGCUGGACGCGCUUAAUCUAACCCGAUCCCCAGGAAACCCGGCAGACCCUCCUAAGGCCUUGUUCGGUUGCAACUGAUUUGAAGGGGAUUGGAGUGGAUUGGGAAGGAUUAAAUUCCCUGUAAGUCAAAAUCCACCUCAAUCCCCUCAAAUCCUCUUCAAUCCACUUGUGGUGGGGAUUAACCGAACAAGGCCUAAGCUUUCCACGUCGAUAACGAGUGCGAAACUGGAUAAGAUUUCAAUCAAUCAACCAGAAAAAAAACGGAUAAGACCACAGGGACCAGAUCGGUUACUUACUAUUUACACAAGUUACCAAACUACCCCGGAACACAACAAGAUAACCUACAGAUAAAUGUACAACUUUUUGCUGCAGAAUUGCUCGGAAUUUCUGCGAUUUCCCCUGCAUUUUCAGUGGUUUAUUACACCCCACGUACGUGAAAGAGGAUGCAGAAAACCAUUGGCUUUCCAGCACAGUGGNNNNNNNNNNNNNNNNNNNNNNNNNNNNNNNNNNNNNNNNNNNNNNNNNNNNNNNNNNNNNNNNNNNNNNNNNNNNNNNNNNNNNNNNNNNNNNNNNNNNUAUAGAGCUGGAAUUGGGGGCGGCAGAGCCGUGUGGGCCCCACAAGCCUGCCCACCGCCACCAGGGGGUGGUGGCGGAGCCAGGGCUUGUGUCCCACUGGCCCACCCCCUGAGUUGGAACUUGGCGCAGAUAUUUUCCUUAUUUUCCAAAACUGCUCCCCGUAAAUUUUUAGGACGUUUGGAGAACUUUGAUUUCUGCACAAAAAUAACACCAAUGCAAAUCUGUUGAAAACAGCGCCACUCCAGGUUAGUUCCAUUCAAAUCAUGCAAAUUAGAGUCCAAAACAAGGGCAAAAGAGUUUGGAAAAGUAGAUACGAUGGAGACGUAUCAACUCCCCCAAGCUUAAAACCUUGCUUGUCCUCAAGCAACCCAGUUGAAAAACUGAGAGAGAAAGAAAAACUUUGAGAAACUCUGUUUGAUCUUGUUGUUGCAACUAUGCCUAACUCAUAACCAGAAUUUCAGCAAGAUCACAAGUUAACCACAUAAGCAAAUGACACAAAGGUCUCACGGUAAACUAAUAUCAAUGGCAUAAUCAGCUAACGAGCAAAUAAUAAUGAGUUUCAAAUACCAACACUUCAAUCAAAACAAGCAUGAAGCAAUAUGAAUAUGUGGUAUCUCGCUAGCUCUUUCUGAGACCGCAAAACAUAAAUGCACAACACUUUCAAAGAUCAAGGGCUGACUAAACAUUGUGAUUCAUAGCAACGAAGAUCCAGUCAUAGUCAUACUCAAUAUCAAUCAAAAGCAAAGCAUAAAAAUGACAGAGGUGCUCUCUAAUUGGUGCUUAUAUAAGAGGAGGAUGACUCAACAGGAAAAUAAAUAGACAAGCCCUUCGCAGAGGGAAGCAUUGAUUUGCAGAGGUGCCAGAGCUCAAGCUUUGAAAACAGAGAUAAUAAUUUUGGGUGGCAUGCUUUCAUUGUCAACGCAAUGACCAAGAGUUCUCAAUAUCUUCCAUGCUACUCAUGCUAUAGGCGGUUCCCAAAUAGAAAAGUAAAGUUUUAACUCCCCCACCACCAAUCAAUCGCACUCCACGGCUAGCCGAAUCCUCGGGUACCGUUCAUACUAACAUCAAUCCGAGGGGAGUCUUGUUUUACAGUUAUGUUUUCGAUUUAAGCGUGGAACUGGGCAUUCCAAUUACCGGCCCCUUUCUCGUGAAUGACUGUGAAUAAACACAUGUCGAGGAUAACACUCCUAGCAUGGAAGAUACCAAUAGCCCUCUGUCACCACAUGAGCGGUUCGGGCAUGCAAAACAGAUUAUUUUUGAAGGUUUAGAGAAUGGCACAUGCAAAUUUACUUGGAACGGCAGGUAGAUACCGCAAAUAGGUAGGUAUGGUGGACUCUCAUGGAAAAACUUUUGGGUUUAUGGAAGUGGAUGCACAAGCAGUAUUCCCGCUUAGUACAAGUGAAGGCUAGCAAAAGACUAGGAAGCGACCAAUUAGAGAGCGACAACAGUCAUCAAGAUGCAAUGAGUUUGACUAACAUUGAAUGCAAGCAUGAAGAGGAUAUAAAUCACCAUGAACACGAACAUCAUAGAGGCUAUGUUGAUUUUGUUUCAACUACAUGAAUGAACAUGCGCCAAGUCAAGCCACUUGAAACAUUCAAAGGAGAAUACCAUCCUAUCAUACUACAUCAAAGUCAUCUCAAAAUCUAUGUUGGCAUUCAAGACAAACCAUUAUAAACUCUCAGCUAACUAGGCAUGGCAUCAGAAACUAUGAUCUCUAAGUUGUCAUUGCAAACAUGGUUCUCUCACAACAGAGCUAAAUCUGGGUCGACAAGCUAGUCAUAUUUACAAAAACAAAAUAGAUAGAGUUCAUACCAGCUUUUCAGUCUCAUCACUUCAUCAUAUAUCAUCAUUGUUGCCUUUCAUUUGCACGAUCGAACGAUGAAAACGAUAAUAAGCGCAUUGGACUAAGCUGAAUCUGCAGGCAAACACAAUGGAGAAGACAAAGUAAUAUGGCUCUUUGAAAGCUAAACAGGUAAGCAUGCAAGAACCAAUAAACAUUGUAACCAAUAUCUUCUACCUUGACACAAAGAAAAAGAAAACUAUUUACACGGAAAAGCUCCCAACAAGCAAAAGAAGAAAGAAAAAUAUUUUUGGGUUUUCUCAAAAAGGACACAAAACAAGAAAACAAGAAAACGAAAAGAAACUAGCAUGGAUAAUACAAUGGCAAAGUGUAAACACCGGCUAACAAAGUGAAAGCAUAAGUAUGAAUGUAAAGUCGGUGAGAACACGUACUCCCCCAAGCUUAGGCUUUUGGCCUAGCUUGGUCUACUCCCAAGGUGGGAAAUAACGAGCUCCAGGAUACUCCGGAGCAGACUGUGGAUGCCACUGCUGUGUGAGCUCCUCUGGCUCCCACUAAUAAACUGGCGUCUAGUACUCGACUGACGACUCGGGCACGGGCGCCUGUGGUUGGGCCAAGCCCCAAUAUGCGUAGAUGUCCGCGGGCAUAAUAGUGUACCUGCCUGCAUGAAGAUCAAACAAAGAAGGAGCAGGAAAAGUAAUAGUCUCUCGAGUACCCUGACUAAACACCAGGUUAUAAAUCAUCCGUCUACUAGCAUCUCUAUCCAGAAAAUCAUGGCGAACCAUGCUGUCAUAAUCCAGAUAUCUCAGGGAGAAGCAUCUCUCCUUCCUCUCCCAGUCUAAUCGGUAUCUCAAAGUGUCUGGCAAGACAGGUAGCGUAGAUACCUCCAUAGGCGACACCCUUGGAACGGUUCAGGUUCAACCGUUGAGCUACUAUAGCGCCCAAGCUAUAAGUCUUAUCGUUAUAAAGGCCUUCGCGCAAAACCGCAAGGUCUGGAGAACUAAGUGAUCCAGCCUCCCCACGGCCAAUCAAACAUUUUCCCACAAAUAGUGAGAAGUACCGAAGCACAGGAAAAUGUAUGCUAGCAAUUCUAGUGCGAGACACUCCUCUCUCCUCUCCAACAGCAAUAGAACCAAUGAAAUCCUCCAAGUCCCGUGGACGAGGGUCACGGAUAUCCCCAACAUAAGGUAAUUUGCAUACAUUGCAAAAAUCCUGCAGCGUCAUGCACUGGGGGACAUCGUAUAUCAUGAACUCAACCAUGGGAGGAUUCUUCCUUGGAUAAAAGUUGAAGCUUUGAAUGAAAAUAUUGGCGAGGAGGAGGUAUUGUGGGCACUUAUCUUCAACGAACGCAGUAAGACCUGCGUUCUCCACCAAGUAAUAAAAGUCUUCAUAAAGUCUGGCAGCGCGCAAAAAUUCAUCACUUGGCCACUCGCACACUCAAACUUCUGUGACUUGAGGGACUACGUACUUGGGGUGGUUCUUCUCAUCCUCCUUGUGGUUACGGCUUGAAGAGCCUCUCAAGAACCUCCUCAUCUUUUCCUUUUUCUAGCUCUGAAAAAUUCUGAAAUUUUUAGAGACUUCGAAAGAAAAGUGAAUAAGGAUUAACCCAAUUUGUAGCAACUACUCCUACUAGUGCCUAGAGACCGUAUCACGCGCUAAAACUACUUGGGACCAACUAAAAUCAACAUUUCUAGCUCAAGAACAGGGUCACCAAGGUAGCAAGAAUUCGCGAAGGAUAAAGCACUAGAGCAAAAACUAAUUGGACCAAUGGAGGAGUCACUUACCAAGGAGUAAUUUCCCCAAAACAGUUCGGAGAAUGGUGCUUUGAGCAAGGAGAUCGAAAAUCAUAGCCAAAUGAGCAAGAACACGGGUUUGAGCUGCGAAACAAUUUUUUCUGGAGGUGGAAGAAGAGGCUGGGAGCUGGAAUGAGUGGAGGGGGUGCCUGUGGGCCCCACAAGCUUGCACCCCGCCACCAGGGGGGUAGGUGGCGGUGGCAGGGCUUGUGGCCCACUGGUCAGGGGCCCAGGCCAGCUCUCAGGCCCAGAAAUUUUCAAAAAUUCCGGAAAAAAUCAUACUAAAUUUUCAGGACCAUCGGAGAACUUUUAUUUUUGAGGUAUUCUUCUCCGGGACGCUAAAACAGAAACCAUGAAAAACUAAACUAAUUCUAUCAUUUUUCUUCUAAGCAAAAGAAAAGGAAAACUCAAAACAGAGGUAUGUGACUCCUUGAUUCAUCCGUUUCAUGGUCAUCGAAAGAAAUCCGUCAAUGUGAUUGAUCAAGUCCUUAUGACAAAACUUUCUCGAAUCGCAAGAGAGAACGGAGAAUUUUUGAAUAGCCACUAAGUCACCUCAAUGGGGAUAUGUAUCUCCCCAACAAGCAAAUCACACUUCAUCUUGCCACGAGGAAUAGGGCAUUCAAAGCUCCCAGUGAGAAUCGAUGAAGUCUUUUCGAUAGCAUUGAUGCAAUGUACUGGAUAUCGUUUCUUCGGAAAGUGCAAUGUGUGCUCAUUACCGUUGACGUGGAAAGUGACAUUGCCUUUGUUGCAAUCUAUAACAGCCCCUGCAGUGUUUAAAAAGGGUCUUCCGACGAUGAUAGCCAUGGCAUCGUCCUCGGGAAUAUCCCAGAUAACAAAGUCUGUUAAGAUAGUGGUGUUAGCAACCACAACAGGCACUCCUCGCAAAUGCCGAUAGGGAAAGCAGUUGAUUUGUCGGCCAUUUGUAGAGAAAUUUCAGUGGGUGUCAACUUAUCCAAUUCAAGUCUACGAUAAAGAGAAAGCAGCAUAACACUAACACCGGCUCCAAGGUCACAUAAGGCAGUUCUUACGCAGUUUCCGUUAAUGGAGCAAGGUAUAGUGGGCACUCCGGGAUCACCAAGUUUCUUAGGAGUUCCACCUUUGAAAGUAUAGUUGGAAAGCAUGGUGGAGAUCUCAAGAUCUGGUAUCUUCCGUUUAUUAGUCACGAUAUCUUUUAUGUACUUGGCAUAUGGAGACAUCUUGAGCAUAUCAGUUAACCGCAUCUGCAGAAAGACAGGUCUUAUCAUCUCAACGAAGCGCUCAAAAUCUUCAUCAUCCUUUUUCUUGGAUGGCUUAGGUGGAAAGGGCAUAGGUCUCUGAACCCAUGGCUCUCUUUCUUUACCAUGCUUCCUAGCAGUGAAGUCAUUCUUGUCGUAUCUCUUAGGUUGUGGAUUAUCAGGAUUAACCGUAGGUUCAAUCUCCACAUCCUCGUCAUGGCUAGGUUGAGCAUUAUUAUGAUCAUCACUGUCCAUAUUGUCACCAGGUUCAUGUUCAUCACCUGAUUGUGUUUCUGCAUGAGACGCAGAAAUAUCAUUAGGUUCUUCAGGUGUGACAGUACUUGGUGAACUCGCGUGCAGGCUUCUAUCAUCCUUCUUCUUCUCCGUAGGAUGACUAGGUGUAUCAGCAUUGAUUCCUUGAUAAUCUUGAUCAAUUCUCUUAGGAUGACCUUGAGGAUACAAAGGUUCAUGAGUCGUUUUGCCUCCUCUAGUAAUGACUCUGACAAAGUUGUCAUUUAAUUCAUUGAGCAGGUGAUUCUGAGCUUUAAGUACUUGUUCUAUCUGAGUAGUAAUCAUAGAGGCAUGUUUACUCAGAAGCUUUAGAUCGUUGACAUUUCUGUCUACACAAGCACUUAAAUGGCUAAGCAUACGAGUACUUUGUUCCAAAUGUCUGCUAACAUNNNNNNNNNNNNNNNNNNNNNNNNNNNNNNNNNNNNNNNNNNNNNNNNNNNNNNNNNNNNNNNNNNNNNNNNNNNNNNNNNNNNNNNNNNNNNNNNNNNNCUAUGAACAUCCGACAUACACGUUUCUGAUGACUACACGAUAGUUCAGUGCAAAAUACUUAACGGCUUAGAAGCAAGGCGCCGAAAACGUUGUAAAACGUCACGGAACAUAAGUGAUGUUCUAAAGAGAUGAAAUUGUGAUUUCAUGCUUGUGCCCUUGUUAAGAGGUACGAGACCUCCAACAAGAUUCUUUGUCCACAAAGUAAAGGAGAAAAGCUCAAUCGUUGAGCGUGUGCUCAGAUUGUCUGAGUACGACAAUCACUUGAAUCAAGUGGGAGUUAAUCUUCCAGAUGAGAUAGUGAUGGUUCUCCAAAAGUCACUGCCACCAAGCUUUGAGAGCUUCGUGAUGAACUAUAACAUAUCAAGGAUAGAUACAAUGAUCCUUGAGCGAUUCGCGAUGUUUGACACUGCGAAAGUAGAAAUCAAGAAGGAGCAUCAAUAGUUGAUGGUUUGUAAAACCACUAAGUUUCAAGAAAGGCAAGGGCUAGAAGGGAUACUUCGUGAAACGGCAAAACAGUUGCUGCACUAAUGAAGAGACCCAAGAUUAAACCCAAACCCGAGACUAAGUGCUUCUGUAAUGAGGGGAACAGUCACUGAGGCGGAGCAACUCUAGAUACUUGGUAGAUAAGAAGGCUGGCAAAAGUCGAAAGAAGUGUAUUUGAUAUACAUGAUGUUGAUGUGUACUUUACUAGUACUCCUAGUAGCAUGAGGGUAUUGGAUACCGGUUCGGUUGCUAAGUGAUUAGUGACACGAAAUGAAAGCUACGGCAUAAACGGAGACUAGCUAAAGGCGAGGUGACGAUACGUGUUGGAAGUGUUUCCAAGGUUGAUAUGAUCAAACUCCGCACGCUCCCUCUACCAUCGGGACUGGUGUUAAACCUAAAUAAUUGUUAUUUGGUGCUUGCGUUAAGCAUGAACAUGAUUGGAUCGUGUUUAUUGCAAUACGAUUAUUCAUUUAAAGAGAAUAAUGGUUACUCUAUUUUCUUGAAUAUUCACCUUCAAUGGUUUAUUGAAUCUCGAUCGUAGUGUUACACAUGUUCAUGAUAUUGGUGCCAAAAGAUAUACGAGUUAAUGAUGAUAGUACCACUUACUUGUGGCACUGCCGCUUGAGUCAUGUUAGUAUAAAUUGCAUGAAGAGGCUCCAUGUUGAUGGAUCUUUGUACUCACCUGAUUUCGAAUCACUAGUGACACGCAAAUCAUACCACAUGAGCAAGGCCUUGUUUUCAUUGAGAUGAAAUAAGAAAGUAACUUGUUGGAAGUGAUACAUUUUGAUGUAUGCAGUCCAAUGGGUGCUGAGGCANNNNNNNNNNNNNNNNNNNNNNNNNNNNNNNNNNNNNNNNNNNNNNNNNNNNNNNNNNNNNNNNNNNNNNNNNNNNNNNNNNNNNNNNNNNNNNNNNNNNUACACAUUCUUCCUACAUUUGUCCAGAUAUAUACUCUCUGUCUGAUCCAAACAGUGCGUGCAUGCAUUGUAUCCCUUGUUUGACUGUCCUGUAAUGUUACUAAGAGCAGGCCAAUCAUUGAUGGUUACGAAAAGCAACGCUCGAAGGUCAAAUUCCUCUUGUUUGUGCUCGUCCCACACACGUACACCUGGUUCGGCCCACAGCUGUAAAAGUUCAUCAACUAAUGGCCUUAGGUACACAUCAAUAUCGUUGCCGGGUUGCUUUGGACCUUGAAUAAGUACACAUCAAUAUCGUUGCCGGGUUGCUUUGGACCUUGGAUAAGCACUGGCAUCAUAAUGAACUUCCGCUUCAUGCACAACCAAGGAGGAAGGUUGUAGAUACAUAGAGUAACGGGCCAGGUGCUGUGACUGCAACUCUGCUCCCCAAAAGGAUUCAUGCCAUCUGUACUCAGACCAAACCAUAAGUUCCUUGCGUCAGCUGCAAAUCUCGGGAACUCUCUCUCGAUUUUUCUCCACUGCCGACCAUCAGCGGUGUGCCUCAACUUAUCGUCUUUCAUACGAUCUUCCAUGUGCCAUCGCAACAACUUCACAUGAUCUUUAUUUCUGAACAGACGUUUCAACCGUGGUAUUAUAGGAGCAUACCACAUCACCUUGGCAGGAACCCUCUUCCUGGGUGUCUCGCCCUCAAUAUCACCAGUGUCAUCUUUUCUGAUCUUAUACCACAAUGCAGUGCAUACCGGACAUUUAUCCAUAUUCUCGUACUUAUCACCGCGGUAGAGGAUGCAGUCAUUAGGGCAUGCAUGUAUCUUCUGCACGUCUAAUCCUAGAGGGCAGACAAGCUUCUUUGCUUUGUACGUGCUGGUCUAAUCCUAGAGGGCAGACAAGCUUCUUUGCUUCGUACGUGCUGGCGGGCAAUUCGUUCUUUCUUGGAAGCAUCUUCUUCAUCAGUACGAGCAACUUUUCGAAUGACGAGUCAGUCACACUGGUCUCUGCCUUCCACUUCAGCAAUUCCAGUGUGCUACCUAGCUUCUUCUGGCCAUCUUCACAAGUUGGGUACAACAAUUUGUUGUGGUCCUGUAACAUCUGCUCGAACUGCAACCUCUCCUUUUCNNNNNNNNNNNNNNNNNNNNNNNNNNNNNNNNNNNNNNNNNNNNNNNNNNNNNNNNNNNNNNNNNNNNNNNNNNNNNNNNNNNNNNNNNNNNNNNNNNNNGGUUUAAGCCAAAUCCAAAGAAGUUUUUAAAUAGCCUAUUCACCCCCCUCUAGGCGUCAUCGUGGUCUUUUCAGUGGGUCAACGCGCAACCAAGCACGCGAGCGAAAAAUCGUGCCAAAAAGGACCUCGAGUGAACCACUUACUAUGGAAUUAAGACCUAAACGUGUAUUUUUAAAGAAGUAGGACUAAAAUGGCACUGCCGAGGAACUUUUAAAACCACCACUGUAUUUUUCUCGCCAAACGGUUUGUCCCUCCGUCGACGUGGCAUGUGUCAUGCGUGUAGGUCAGCGAGUGCUCGUGAAAAAAUGACCUUGGGUGAAUCACUUACUAUAGAAUUAAGUCCUAAAGGUGCAUUUUGGAAGAAUUAGGACUAAAGUGACACCCCGAUGAAACUUUGAGGACCUGUAGUGCAUUUAAGUCUUUUUGAAAUAUGUCUAGAAAGGGCAAGAUAUAGAGAAAAUAAAAAGGUAAAAGAAAAACUGAAAACUCUAGGCAGCAGCACGCCACAAGUAUACGGAUAAGCAUCCGAUAUGGCUCCCGAAAAGCAUGCUAUAUACGAACCCCUGUGUGCCUUGGCUAACUAGGACAUCGGCAAUACAAGGGAGCUAUGCCUCCGAGAAAUAUGACCAUAAGGGUUGCGAUGGGUUGGGGAGGGGUGUUAAAUUUGUUUACUUAGAAAAUGUGUAAAUGGAAAAUUUUCAUUCAUUGAUAAAUUCAGUUUUCUUCUUCUUGCUUCUAACAAUCAGUUAUGUGUCGUUAGAAUUCGCUAACAAUCCAAAACAUUCAACUCCUUGAUAGCCCUAGCCAUAAGAAAUAACAAUAUGUGAACCAAUAAUUAGGAAGCACAAGUUAUCCAAACUUCUCAAAUGUUUAUGCACGCGCCAUUAUUAUAUUACAGGAAACAUGAGAAUUGAUCAUUUUAUAACAAACAACAAAGAAUAUGUACUGCAUAAAGGGCUAAACUCAAUAAGUUACAACUUAUAGAAGCUAGCAGAGAAUUAUUCACCCAUUGAGAAAUAUGGUCUUGUGUAGGACAUACCUCGAAUGUGUUUAAGUAUGAUGAUUUGUGCACAAUAUACAUGGUUCCGAUAUAAUGGAAUUACAUUUAACACCACAUCGAGAAGGUUGCAAUUCGAAUAUAUCAGAUGCUUUUUUUGAUCGAAUAAACAGAAAAGUGGAACCGACACACUGAUCAAGUUAUGCAAUAAACAUUUUUUCGGGUCCCGCAACAACUAGGGGGCGAAAUGCAGUCGAGUUUUGGACCUUGGUUAUUUGUUUUGAAGUCUCAACAAAAUAUUUGCCCUCGUACAAUUAUCUCCUACCAUCACUUGCACUAAGAAGUGAGUUUACAUCCACGUGGUAUUGGAGCGAGCACCAUCUUCAUUUUCUAGAACCAGGAAGAUCAACCCCAUUAUAAAUUUGCAUUACAAUCAAUAAACCAUGAACUUAUAGUCUUGCACUGGAAACAAGGUUGCACACCAUGUUCAAGAUAUACUGUAUUUAUGUUCAAUAUGAGGACCAAUUGAAGGAUAACUAGUACUAAUCAACUCAUGACACGUAGGCACCUAUCCUAGUGAGACCAAAUAAAUAUAUUCCAUCACAAUUGUCAUCAUAUAUAGUUCUCCAAGAUUUUCCCUUGCUCUUUCUUGAACCACUCAAGAUGCAUAAACCAUAUGCACUAUGAGCUUAAUUUAAUUUCUUGAUUCAACAUACCAACAUGUUUCCAGUUUACUCUACACGAAUCAUCAGGUUGCUUUUGUUAUCAAAUCAUUUGCAAUAAAUAUUGAAUAUACAAGUUGAUACCUUCUUCAACAGUUGUAGCCAUGAAAUUUUAAGGUCACACCAGAAGGUGCCUAACAUGUGCAAAUAUAGAUAUAACCUCGAAGUAAACAAACAAUUGCCCUACCAGUUACAAACACAUAGGUGAUCUAAACUCUUCCUAACUUCUCCAAUGUUUAGACAUGUGCCAUAAUUCAAUUUCCUCAAUAUUACAAUAAAUACGAGGGUUGAUCAUUUUACAACAGAGAAUAAAGAAUGGAUAGUACAUAAAGGGCUAAACCCAUCAAGUUACAACGUAUAGAAGCUGCCAAAGCAAUACUCACCUAUUGUACAAUAUGGUGUUGCGUAGAACAAACCUCCAUUGGGUUUGACUAUCAUGAUUUCUGCACACCCUACGGGGUUGUGAUAUAAUCGAAUUAUAUUUAACACCACAUGGAGAAGGGUGUCACUCCAAUCUUUUCGAAGCUUUUUUGGCUAAAUAAGUAAAUAAAAGUGGGACUAGCACACUGAGCAAGUUGUGCGAAAAAAUACUACUUUUCCCGUUCUGCAACUACUUGGGGCGAAAUGGGGUUUACCGGGAAGCCAUGGUCAAGUGUUGGACCUUGGUAUGCAAUUUUGACUCGCUCUUAGAUAGGGAAGUAAACCUUUUCGAUGUUAAAUAAGGAAACAAAAUUUAAGAUAGUGUUAAAUAAGGAAUUAUUUCUAAGAACAAACAAUAUGUGAACCAACAAUUACAAAAUGCAAGUGAUCAAACUAUUCUUAAGUUCUCCAACAUAUAUGGACAUGCCAUAAUCCAGUUGUCCAAUAUUACAAAAGAACACCAAGGUUGAUCAAUUUACAAAAAAUAAACAAAAUAAUAGCUAGUACGGAAAUGGAUAAACUCGCCAAGUUAAAAUUAAUAGAAGCUGCAAAAUUAUUACUCACUCAUUGUGACAUAUGGUGUUGUCUAGGACAAACCUGUGAGAAGUUUGAAUAUUUUGCUUAUGCAUUAUCGACAGAUUUAUGUUACACUUGAAUUACACGUAAGACCACAUGGAGAAGGUUUGAACCUCAACUUGUAUGAUGCAUUUACGGCCAAAUAAACAAAAAAAUUGUGGCGCCAACAUAAUGAGCAAACAUGUCCAAAAAACAAUUCUUUUUUCUAGUUCUGCAACAACUUGGGGGUGAAAUGGGGUUCUACCAAGUAACCAUGGUCGAGUUUUCAACCUUGGUUACUAGUUCUCAUGUCCCAACUAAACAUUAUUAUCCUUGUAAGUUUGUCACCUACGGUUAAUUUCACUACAAAAUGAGUUUACCUACGUGCGGUAUUGGUACCGCCACCAUGUGCAGUUUUCUAGACAUAAGAAAAAUUGACCACAAUAUUAAUCUCCAUUAUAAACAAUAGACAAUCAAUUCGUAGUCUUGUACUGGAAACAAGGUUUCACACGAUGUUCAUGAUAUGUUGCACAUUAUGUUCAACACAAGGACCUAUCAAAGGAGAAUUAGUACUAAUCAAACCAUGAUAGGCAUGGAUCUGUCAUGACAAGACCAAAUAAAUAGGCAAUCACGUUUUCCAUCACUAAUCUAAUAUAGUUAUCAAAGCUUUUUUACUCGCUCUUGUGUUGAACCAUUCAAGAUGCAUAUCCGAUAUUGAGGAUCAACUUGAAUUAAUUGUUGGAAAUAUGCCCUAGAGGCAAUAAUAAAUUAGUUAUUAUUAUAUUUCUUUGUUCAUGAUAAUCGUUUAUUAUCCAUGCUAUAAUUGUAUUGAUUGGAAACACAAUACUUGUGUGGAUACAUAGACAAAACACUGUCCCUAGUAAGCCUCUAGUUGACUAGCUCGUUGAUCAAAGAUGGCCAAGGUUUCCUCGCCAUAGGCAAGUGUUGUUACUUGAUAACGGGAUCACAUCAUUAGGAGAAUCAUGUGAUGGACUAGACCCAAACUAAUAGACGUAGCAUGUUGAUCGUGUCAUUUUGUUGCUACUGUUUUUCUACGUGUCAAGUAUUUGUUCCUAUGACCAUGAGAUCAUAUAACUCACGGACACCGGAGGAAUGCUUUGUGUGUAUCAAACGUCGCAACGUAACUGGGUGACUAUAAAGAUGCUCUACAGGUAUUUCCGAAGGUGUUCGUUGAGUUAGUAUGGAUCGAGACUAGGGAUUUGUCACUCCGUGUGACGGAGAGGUAUCUCGGGGCCCACUCGGUAAUACAACAUCACACACAAGCCUUGCAAGCAAUGUAACUUAAUGUAAGUUCCGGGAUCUUGUAUUACGGAACGAGUAAAGAGACUUGCCGGUAAACGAGAUUGAAAUAGGUAUGCGGAUACUGACGAUCGAAUCUCGGGCAAGUAACAUACCGAAGGACAAAGGGAAUGACAUACGGGAUUAUAUGAAUCCUUGGCACUGAGGUUCAAACGAUAAGAUCUUCGUAGAAUAUGUAGGAUCCAAUAUGGGCAUCCAGGUCCCGCUAUUGGAUAUUGACCGAGGAGUCUCUCGGGUCAUGUCUACAUAGUUCUCGAACCCGCAGGGUCUGCACACUUAAGGUUCGACGUUGUUUUAUGCGUAUUUGAGUUAUAUGGUUGGUUACCGAAUGUUGUUCGGAGUCCCGGAUGAGAUCACGGACGUCACGAGGGUUUACGGAAUGGUCCGGAAACGAAGAUUGAUAUAUAGGAUGACCUCAUUUGAUUACCGGAAGGUUUUCGGAGUUACCGGGAAUGUACCGGGAAUGACGAAUGGGUUCCCGGAGUUCACCGGAGGGGGGCAACCCACUCCGGGGAAGCCCAUAGGCUUNNNNNNNNNNAGAAUGGUCCGGAAACGAAGAUUGAUAUAUAUGAUAACCUCAUUUGAUUACCGGAAGGUUUUCGGAGUUACCAGGAAUGUACCGGAAUGACGAAUGGGUUCCGGGAGUUCACCGGAGGGGGGCAACCCACUCCGGGGAAGCCCAUAGGCUUNNNNNNNNNNNNNNNNNNNNNNNNNNNNNNNNNNNNNNNNNNNNNNNNNNNNNNNNNNNNNNNNNNNNNNNNNNNNNNNNNNNNNNNNNNNNNNNNNNNNUUGGGGGACACACCAACCCUUAGUGGGCUGGUGGGACAGCCCCAAGGGAGCCUAUGCGCCAAGAUAAGAAAAUCAAAGGAAAAGGAAAAAAAGGGGGGAGAAGUGGGAAGGGAGGGGGACUCCUCCCACCAAACCAAGUCCANNNNNNNNNNAAAAAAAAAAGAGGGGAGAAGUGGGAAGGGAGGGGGACUCCUCCCACCAAACCAAGUCCAACUCGGUUUGGGGGGGAGUCCUCCCCCCCUUGGCUCGGCCGACCCCUUGGGAGUCCCUUGGACCCCAAGGCAAGGUCCCCCUCCCUCCUCCUAUAUAUAUGGGGCUUUUAGGGCAGAUUUGAGACGACUUUCUCACGGCUGCCCGACGACAUACAUCCAUAGUUUUUCCUCUAGAUCGUGUUUCUGCGGAUCUCGGGCGGAGCCCUGCUGAGACAAGAUCAUCACCAACCUCCGGAGCGCCGUCACGCUGCCGGAGAACUCUUCUACCUCUCCGUCUCUCUUGCUGGAUCAAGAAGGCCGAGAUCAUCGUNNNNNNNNNNNNNNNNNNNNNNNNNNNNNNNNNNNNNNNNNNNNNNNNNNNNNNNNNNNNNNNNNNNNNNNNNNNNNNNNNNNNNNNNNNNNNNNNNNNNACUCAUGUGCUAACAAGGAGAGGAUCAAGAUAAGCAUUCCUAAGCAUUACAUGCUUGAUUCUUGUGGAUGUUCACAUGGUGGACAAAUGAAGAUGAAUACAUAAGCUAGGCUUUCCACAUUGUGUAUGGGAGAGCUACUUGAAGACUUCAUCAUGUCUUGCUUUCAACUUGAGCCAAGAAGGAACAACAACAUCAAGCUCAAGUGAAAGGGCUAACUCAAAGGUAUCAGUUCCUUUGACAUUAGUGGUGCGGAGUGAUGAUCAGCGAAUAAAAGUAUACACUCAAGUAUGGAUCAUCAGUACCCUUUUAUGAUUCUUGAGUCUUUAGGGAUCCCGCACUAUUAAGAGGGGAUCACAGGUUUUGCGAUGAACUUGCUCAAACUACAUCUCUACUUUUCUGCUCAUACCACAUCUCCACUGCUCUGCUGUUAUAUGAAAACAGAACCAAUGCCUCAGACAUCCGGCUUCCUCCGGACGUCCGAGGGACGGACGCCCGACCACUUCGGAAAUCCGGAACCUUAUACCAGAGAAAUCCAGAGUNNNNNNNNNNUCUCAUACCACAUAUCCACUACUCUGCUAUUAUCUAAAAACGGAACCAAUGCCUCGGACAUCCGGCUUCCUCCGGACGUCCGGGGGACGGACACCCGACCACUUCGGAAAUCCGGAACCUUAUACCAGAGAAAUCCAGAGUCAAACAACUCGGACUUCCGGCUCUCUUGGGACGUCCGAGGGCCGGACGCCCGACAACUUCGGAAAACCGGAACUUUGCACCAGAGAAAUUUGAGUCAAAUAACNNNNNNNNNNUAACUCGGACUUCCGUCUCUCUCCGGACGUUCGAGGGCCGGAUGCCCGACCACUUCGGAAAACCGGAACUUUGCACCAGAGAAAUUUGAGUCAAAUAACACGGACUUCCGGCCUCCUCUUGUCGUCCGAGGGCCGGACGUCCGACCUCCUUCGGAAAUCCGGUGCCCUUGAACAGAGCCAAAGUCUCGGACAUCCAGCUUCCUCCGGACGUCCGGUCCCUGUUCGACUUCACAGUGGUUCCUGAUAUAUGUACAUCCCUUGUACGACCGACCCCUGUCGGACGUCUGACCCCUUGUGGGCGUCCGGACGUCCGAGAACUGUCGGACGUCCGACCACUGUCAGACUUAAGUGACCCCAACGGUCACUUUCNNNNNNNNNNGGCUUCCUUCGGACGUCCGGUCCCUGUUCGACUUCACAAUGGUUCCUGAUAUAUGUACAUCCCUCGGACGACCGACCCCUGUCGGACGUCCGACCCCUUGUGGGCGUCCGGACAUCCGAGAACUGCCGGACGUCCGACCACUGUCAGACUUAAGUGACCCCAACGGUCACUUUCCCUUCUCCACUAUAAAUACCCCCCUCCCACUUCGUGAGAGGGUGCCCAAAACAGCCAUAUCCUCAUAAGAACACAUUUCUACCUCACACACAUUUGCUCACACUAAAUCUUAGAUCCCAAGAGCAUUUGUGAGCCCCUUUGAGAGUUGUUCCAAUCAAAAGAUAGAUCGUCUCCCUCUCCUUUUCUCAACCUGUCACGCCCAAGAUGCGACCCUAUCCUCAAUUUGGCACGAAGGCCUCGUCAGGGAUAGAAGCGCAUCUCGUCGUGUCGCAAGAAUGGAUAUCGUUACAAGUACAAGUACUGAAAAGAAGAGAUAUAAUAGAAUUGGCUUACACUCGCCACAAGCUACAUCAGAGUCACAUCAAUACAUUACAUAAUCAUCAAGAGUAAGAGCAGAGUCCGACUAUGGACGAAAACGAACGAGAAAAGAAGAACGGCGUCCAUCCUUGCUAUCCCAGGCUGCCGGCCUGGAACCCAUCCUAGAUCGAUGAUGAAGAAGAAGAAGAAGCAACUCCAAAUGAACAAUCAACGCGCUCGCGUCAAGUAACCUUUACCUGUACCUGCAACUGGUGUUGUAGUAAUCUGUGAGCCACAUGGGACUCAGCAAUCUCAUUUCCAAAGGUAUCAAGACUAGCAAAGCUUAAUGGGUGAGGCAUGGUUAAGUGGUGGGGUUGCAGCAGCGGCUAAGCAUAUAUUUGGUGGCUAAACUUACAAGUACCAGAAAUAAGAGGGGGAAGAUCUACGCAUAACGGACGUGAACUACUCAUGAUCAAAUGAAUGAUCCUGAACACCUACCUACGUCAUACAUAACCCCACCGUGUCCUCGAUCAGAGAAGGAACUCAUGAAAGAGACAGUCAUGGUUACGCACACAGUUGGCAUCUUUUAAUUAAGUUAACUUCAAGUUAUCUAGAACCAGUGUUAAACAAAGUUUCCACGUUGCCACAUAACCGCGGGUACGACUUUCCGAAAAGAUUUAACCCUGCAGGGGUGCUCCAACUAGUCCAUCACAAAUUACCACAAGCCGCAUAGAAAUCCUCAAUCACGAAGCUCGCGAUCUCGUCGGAUUCCCUAGUGGAAAACCUGAACUCUGAGAUUACCCAAAGCAUCACCGGAAUCCCGAUGCACAAGAUAUUUCGUCAAAGGUAAAACUAAUCCAGCAANNNNNNNNNNNNNNNNNNNNNNNNNNNNNNNNNNNNNNNNNNNNNNNNNNNNNNNNNNNNNNNNNNNNNNNNNNNNNNNNNNNNNNNNNNNNNNNNNNNNUUCAAGCUUCCCCUAGGGAAAGCCAUCACACGGCGGUUAAGCAUAUUCUUAGAUACCUUGUUCACACCCCAAAGUUAGGCUUAUGGUACCCUAAGGAUGCAAAGUUUGAUCUUAUUGGGUAUUCCGAUGCGGAUUGGGCCGGUGAUAAAGUGGGACGGAAAUCCACUUCCGGUGCAUGUCAGUUUCUUGGAUGCUCCUUGGUAAGUUGGUCCUCGAAAAAGCAGAACUGUGUUUCUCUCUCCACGGCCGAGGCCGAAUAUAUUGCAGCCGCAAGCUGUGCAACCCAACUGUUAUGGAUGAGGCAAACACUAAAGGAUUAUGGUAUCACGUAUCGACACGUUCCUCUUCUCUGUGAUAAUGAAAGUGCCAUAAAGAUCUUCGAGAACCCCAUUGAUCACCCUCGCACAAAACAUAUUGAUAUUAGGUAUCAUUUCUUGAGAGACCAUGUGCAAAAGGGUGACAUUGAUAUUACCCAUGUGGGUACCGACAUGCAGUUAGCCGACAUCUUCACCAAGCCACUUAGCGUUGCUAGGUUCUAUCAACUUAGGCGUGAACUUGGUAUCUUGGAGCUUGACAACAUAUCUUGAAACCUUGCACACAUACACACACUCACAUUAUGUUUGUGUCUUGAUGUGGGCAUGCAUCUAGGGGGGAGAGUGAGUCUUAAUUUUCUGUUUAUAAAGCUUACAAUGUACGCAUAAAUCAAUUUUUGUCCCCAAGUAGUACAUGCAAUGCUUGUAGGCUACUAUGUACGUACUUUUUGUGAGAAACCAUGCAAGUCAUCAUCACAUCAUCAAAACAAAAAUCCAGAAUCAGCCUCUGCCUCCUCCUCCCUCUCGGACGUCCGGCGGCAAACUCCCUUCCGGUCGUCCGACGCCACAAUCACCUCCGGACGUCCGACGCCUGUCGGACGUCCGACGCCUCGGGCCUAUAUAUACAGCUGGGCGCGGGGGAUGGGCUCUUGCCCUAACCCUCAGCGCCCCUUUUCCCUACCCCAGCCGCCGCCGCCAGCUCGAGGAGCUCCUGCAUGCGCCGCCAAACUCGAGAUCGGGCCGAUCUCCUCCGCGGAUCCUCCACUCCUUCCUCUUUCUUCUUCGCGGGAUCCGUCCUCAGGUCGCUCCUCCGUAUCCUUUCGCGUUUGUUUUGGUUCUCUCCCUCUCCCAUGAAUCUCCAUUGUUUGUUCCUCAUUUGGGGAUUUUUCAUCCGCGUAGGUUUUUGUGCUUCAUGGGCAAGACCAAGCACAGCGCUCGGAAAACGUGGCUGGCUCAUCAUCUCGCGCCCCUACCACGGGUUCGGACUCGGAUGAGCCACGUCAUCCUUUCAAACGGACUGCCCGGCGUUCUCCGGCCCGGCGUUCUCCGUCUCCACAACUCCCCUCGUCGUCUGAUGGUGAUGACCCCAACUUCGAGGAGGAGCUUGCCGCCGAGGACCUUCCUGACCAGCACGUCGAUUGAAGGUCCAACCAAAGCCCGGGACUCGCAGGGCGUCCUACAUGCCAUCACCUCCUCCUGCCCAGCCCGCAGGUGAAGCUCGCCGCAUCUCACUAGAACCUCCUGCUACUUUAGGUCGUGCAAUCACGAACUUCACCACACUUGGCGCGGCUUCAUACCUCACUUUCCGCCGCGACCUUGAUCCAUACGCUGUCGUACGUGACUCUACGGACUCACGUUUCCGCACAAACAUCGAGGCGGACAUCUUUACCACAGUCAUAGUACCUAAAGGUUUAUCUGUUCAUCUCUAUAUUGAUGUUCAGCAUAUUCGCACGCACCCGGCGAAAUAUCCGGGUGCCAUUGAGCUUAUUGAGGCAUCGGGGCUUGCCGCCCCGUUUGCCUUUCAUCGCGACUUUAAUAGUGCUGCCAUUCACCAGUUCUAUGCCACAUGCUACUUUGGUCCAAACCACACUGUCAGCUGGAUCACCUCUGACGUUCGUUUCACCGCUACUUAUGAUACAUUUGUUGCCGCACUUGGUUUCCCCAACUCCGGUUUUAAAAUACAUAGGGAUGAUCCUAACCAUGCGCAUAAGUUCAUUGACGCGUGUGGGUACCUUCUUAAACCACUAAGUGAGCUUGAUGUGGAUGAACGCCUGAAGGACCUUAACCAGGUAUCCAUCUGGCGAUCACCUUACUUCAUCAUUUUUCAGUGUCUCAUCCGCACCAUCUAUCCCAAGAUGGGUGAUAAGGGCUCUUGCAGUCGCUAUUGUAUUGACAUCAUGUCUCACUUGUUCGAGCACCCUAAGGGCAAAAUUAAUGUGCCUCAUUUUCUAUGGCAUGAGAUUCGGCUUGCUAGCUUUCAGUACAAGCGAGCCUUUCCUCAUGCCCCCUUCAUCCAGGCUCUUAUUAAUCAUGUAGCUGAUUUCUCUGUGGCUGUCACUCACACACAUCGCAAGUGGGUCAUUCCCGCUCACAUGGCGGAUAACUAUGCUCACAAGAAACCCCCCUCAUCCUCCACAUCCACUCGCCGCACUGCUGCCGGUCCGCCACCCCCUCAUCUAGCUCUGCUCCUCUCGGUCGCAUUGCCAAAUUCCUUGGCAAGGCCCAUUCUACUUUGAUGAAGGUCGUCUCUUUCCAGUGUGGCCAAACCCAUGAUGUGGUUUCUCGCUUAGUCUCCUCCAAGAAUGCCCUCAAGGCUCGUCUGAGAGCCUCGGGCGCUCUUGAUGUGAGUGAUGAUGAGGCCACUCCUGCUGCUCCUCCUACUGAUUUUGGUUUCCCAUCUGGUCCUGAGUGGGCUGAUUUCAUUGACGAGGCUGGUGGCAGUGGCUUGCCUGAUGAUGAUGAUGCUGAUGAGCUCUGAGCGUGGUUGUUGUUGUUGGUAUCUCCCUUUUUGGUACUUGGUGCCAAAGGGGGAGUAAUGUAUCGUAGUUUUAGUCUUUGGAGAUUUAAUGUAAUGGAUAAAUUCAUGUAUGGCUACUUAUGAAUGAUUGUGAUUUGCUAUGGAUUGCUAUGAUAUCAUCAUAGACUAUUAUGGUUUGCUCCACUCUCUCUAUGAUGAUCUAUUAUCUCUACAUGAUUGAUCCAUUGGAGCUUUGAUAUUUUAUCAUGCAUAUACUAAGGGGGAGCUCCGUACUAAAUAUCUCCUAGGCUAUAAUGUAUGUUAAAUCCUUUUGAGACCUAUGUAUAUGUUGUCAUCAACUACCAAAAAGGGGGAGAUUGAAAGUGCAUGCUAUGCCCCUAAUCGACUUUUGGUGUUAAUGACAACACAUACAUAGGAAACUAAUCCUAUUUGUUGAGUGUAUCUCACAAUGGCAAGUACUUUAGUAAAUUGAGAAUUAUGUGCCAAAAGGUUGUCUCAGAAGAUUGGGAUUUAUAUUUCGAGAAGGCUCGGGAUUAAGGAAAGAUGAUGUAGAGUAGUCUUUUGAGUUUAUUGAUAUUGAGUAUAGGGAUCCCGCACUAUUAAGAGGGGAUCACAUGUUUUUGCGAUGAACUUGCUCAUACCACAUCUUCACUGUCAUACCCAAUGCCACAUAUUCUCCACUCUGUUCUUAUCUCAAAACAGGUUUAUUGCCUCGGACAUCCGGCUACCUCCGGACGUCCGAGGGCCGGACGACCGGCAGGCUUCGGAAAUCCGGAGCCCUUCACCAGAAGUUUGCGAGUCGUAUAACUCGGAAAUCCGGCUUCCUCCGGACGUCCGAGGGCCGGACGACCGACAGGCUUCGGAAAUCCGGAGCCCCUCACCAGAAGUUUGUGGUUCAUAUNNNNNNNNNNAAAAUCCGGCUUCCUCCGGACGUCCGAGGGCCGGACGACCGGCAGGCUUCGGAAAUCCGGAGCCCCUCACCAGAAGUUUGUGGUUCAUAUAACUCAGAAAUCUGGCUCCCUCCGGACAUCCGACCAGCCCCGGAAAUCCGGAGCCGUGCACCAGUAGAACAUGAGCNNNNNNNNNNGGAAAUCCGGCUCCCUCCGGACAUCCGAGGCCCGGACGUCCGACCAGCCCCGGAAAUCCGGAGCCGUGCACCAGUAGAACAUGAGCUCUAUAACUCGGAUUUCCGGCUCCCUCCGGACGUCCGAGGGCCGGACGUCCGUUCCUCUUCGGAAAUCCGGAACCACCCACCAGUAGCAGUUGAGUCGAAUAACCCGGAAUUCCGGUCCUCUCCGGACGUCCGGUCACUAUUCAAUAUACAGUAUUUUCAGUCAUAUCUAUAGGCCUCGGACGACCGAACCCUGUCGGACGUCCGACCCCUCGCGGACGCCCGGACGUCCGGCAACUGUCGGACGUCCGGACCCUGUGUGACUUAAAGUGCCCCCAACGGCUGGAUUUCACUCCUCACUAUAUAUAUACUCUUCUCCCACCUCGGGAAAGGGUGUUCAACACAGCUAGAAUACACCCAAGAACACCUUUCCUCUCACUCACUCUUGUCUACACCAAAUCCUAGAUCCCAAGAGCAUUUGUGAGUCCCUUUGAGUGUUUGUUCCAAUCAAAAGAUAGAUUGUCUCCCUCUCCUCCUUCCCACCAAAGUGAUUUGUGAUUUGAGCAAGUUUUGAGCAAUCCCCGUGAUCUUGUUACUCUUGCAGGUUGGAGACUCCUAGGCGGUAGGAGUCUUCGGAGAGGAACCAAACCAUUGUGAUAUCCCCCGGAAAGUUUGUGAAGGUUUGGAAGCCACCUCAAGGCUUACCACUACUGGUUGAGAAACGCCUUCGUGGAGUUAUCUCAAAGGGAGAAUAGGGUGAGCCUUCGUGGCGUUGGUGUGCCNNNNNNNNNNGUGGUUGAGAAACGCCUUCGUGGAGUUAUCUCAAAGGGGGAAUAGGGUGAGCCUUCGUGGCGUUGGUGUGCCUUCGUGGUAACAUCCGCCCCUCUAACAGUGACGUAGCUUCCCUCCAAGAAAGUGAACAUCGGGAUACAUCCUUGUCUCUCUUGGAGUUUUGGUUAUUCCUAACCCUAACUCUCUACUUGUGUUAAUCCUUAUUACGUANNNNNNNNNNNNNNNNNNNNNNNNNNNNNNNNNNNNNNNNNNNNNNNNNNNNNNNNNNNNNNNNNNNNNNNNNNNNNNNNNNNNNNNNNNNNNNNNNNNNGGGAACGUCGCAUGGGAAACAAAAAAUUUCCUACGCGCACGAAGACCUAUCAUGGUGAUGUCCAUCUACGAGAGGGGAUGAGUGAUCUACGUACCUUUGUAGAUCGAACAGCAGAAGCGUUAGAGAACGCGGUUGAUGUAGUGGAACGUCCUCACGUCCCUCGAUCCGCCCCGCGAACAAUCCCGCGAUCAGUCCCACGAUCUAGUACCGAACGGACGGCACCUCCGCGUUCAGCACACGUACAGCUCGACGAUGAUCUCGGCCUUCUUGAUCCAGCAAGAGAGACGGAGAGGUAGAAGAGUUCUCCGGCAGCGUGACGGCGCUCCGGAGGUUGGUGAUGAUCUCGUCUCAGCAGGGCUCCGCCCGAGCUCCGCAGAAACGCGAUCUAGAGGAAAAACUAUGGAGGUAUGUGGUCGGGCAGCCGUGAGAAAGUCGUCUCAAAUCUGCCCUAAAAGCCCCAUAUAUAUAGGAGGAGGGAGGGGGACCUUGCCUUGGGGUCCAAGGGACUCCCAAGGGGUCGGCCGAGCCAAGGGGGGGAGGACUCCCCCCCCAAACCGAGUUGGACUUGGUUUGGUGGGAGGAGUCCCCCUCCCUUCCCACUUCUUCCCUCCUUUUUUUUCUUUUCCUUUGAUUUUCUUUCUCUUGGCGCAUAGGCCCCUUUGGGGCUGUCCCACCAGCCCACUAAGGGCUGGUGUGUCUCCCCAAAGCCUAUGGGCUUCCCCGGGGUGGGUUGCCCCCCCGGUGAACUCCCGGAACCCAUUCGUCAUUCCCGGUACAUUCCCGGUAACUCCGAAAACCUUCCGGUAAUCAAAUGAGGUCAUCCUAUAUAUCAAUCUUCGUUUCCGGACCAUUCCGGAAACCCUCGUGACGUCCGUGAUCUCAUACGGGACUCCGAACAACGUUCGGUAACCAACCAUAUAACUCAAAUAUGCAUAAAACAACGUCGAACCUUAAGUGUGCAGACCCUGCGGGUUCGAGAACUAUGUAGACAUGACCCGAGAGACUCCUCGGCCAAUAUCCAAUAGCGGGACCUGGAUGCCCAUAUCGGAUCCUACAUAUUCUACGAAGAUCUUAUCGUUUGAACCUCAGUGCCAAGGAUUCGUAUAAUCCCGUAUGUCAUUCCCUUUGUCCUUCGGUAUGUUACUUGCCCGAGAUUCGAUCGUCAGUAUCCGUAUACCUAUUUCAAUCUCGUUAACCGGUAAGUCUCUUUACUCGUUCCGUAAUACAAGAUCCCGCAACUUGCACUAAGUUACAUUGCUUGCAAGGCUUGUGUGUGAUGUUGUAUUACCGAGUGGGCCCCGAGAUACCUCUCCGUCAUACGGAGUGACAAAUCCCAGUCUUGAUCCAUACUAACCCAACUAACACCUUCGGAGAUACCUGUAGAGCAUCUUUAUAGUCACCCAGUUACGUUGCGACGUUUGAUACACACAAAGCAUUCCUCCGGUGUCAGUGAGUUAUAUGAUCUCAUGGUCAUAGGAAUAAAUACUUGACACGCAGAAAACAGUAGCAACAAAAUGACACGAUCAACAUGCUACGUCUAUUAGUUUGGGUCUAGUCCAUCACGUGAUUCUCCCAAUGACGUGAUCCAGUUAUCAAGCAACAACACCUUGUUCAUAAUCAGAAGACACUGACUAUCAUCGAUCAACUGGCUAGCCAACUAGAGGCAUGCUAGGGACGGUGUUUUGUCUAUGUAUCCACACAUGUAAAUGAGUCUUCAUUCAAUACAAUUAUAGCAUGGAUAAUAAACUAUUAUCUUGAUACAGGAAUUAUAAUAAUAACUUUACAUUUAUUAUUGCCUCUAGGGCAUAAUUCCAACAGGGGGAUGCAAGUCGACAUGGAGUCCUAGUCUACCAGGACUCGAGGUGCGCAAGGUGCCACAUCUCUCUCACUCCCUCACUCCCUCUCUCUCUCUAGACUUCAUCAAGAUCAUGGAUGUCGCUAGCAUGAUUGUCCCUCUAGUUGUUCAUGUAGUUCUUUGUGUCGGUUGAGGAGUGUUGGAAUAAUGCUAGAUAGAUACCUUGGAGGUAUUGUCUACUUCAACACCAAGUUCGACGGAUCAUUCCGGUUAAAAUUCGCAUGGUUGGGAGGUAUAACCUAGAUGUGGGAAUCGACACACUUUACUUUCGUUGUUUCUCACAAUCAUAUUGGCAGACUUUGAGUCAUGUCCUGGCUUCUUGUACUUGUUUGGGCACUUACUAGUCCAAUGUUCCUCAGAACCACAAUUGGAGCAGCCAUUUCCAUUCUUGUUCUUCUUGAAUGACUUCUUUCCCUUCAUCUUAAAGUCGGUAUUCUGUUGGACAUAAUUCUUUCCCUUGGGCUUGUGGGAAUUGAAGUUCCUUUGAUGUACCAUAUUGGCAAUAGAAGGACCUUCAACCGCUUUUCCAUGUGAUUCCUUUGCUCUCGAGUGAUGUUCAACACUUAGAUGGCCGAUGAUAUCCUCUACUGAGAACUCACGCCUGUGAUGUUUCACAGUGGUAGCAAACUUCCUUCAGGAAUUAGGGAGCUUAGCUAUUAUACACCCCGCGACAAAUUUGCCCGCUAAAUCGCACUUAAGAACCUCAAGUUCUUUAGCAAUGCAUAUUAUCUCAUGAGCUUGUUCCAAUACAGGACGGUUCUCAACAUUUUUGUAAUCAUGGAACUGCUCCAUAACAUACAUCUUGCUCCCAGCAUCGGUGGCCCUGAAUUUAGAUUCGAGCGCCUCACACAAGUCCUUGGCAACUCGCACAUGUAAAUAUGCGUCAACAAGCUUGUCUCCGAUCACGCUUAGAACUGCUCCAAGAAAGCUGACGGUGGCCUGCGUGAACGCCUUCUCCUGUUUAGGAGUGAUCGUUCCUGUAGGAGUCACACCGACUACCCAGAACACGUUCAUAGCCGUGAGCCAUAAGGUAAAUUCCUACGCACAUUAGGUUUUUGGAUUGUUAAGUAAAUAGGAAAUUUCUCGAUUAUAUUAAUCCACGAGUAAAUCACUAACAUGGUAUGAAGUGUACUAAGCACAUACUGAUAAUUGAUCAUAGCAUCGCGUACUAGGCAGAUAGUAAAUAUAUCUACGCAAAUCAUCGACAAUAAUAAGUAGGAGCGUGAUAAACGCAGCAACAGUGUCGGCGGCAAAGUCCUCAGUUGCCUUCUUGUCGGCUGGUGAAGACAUGACGAUGGCGAAGACGACGCGGACGUAGAUGAAGCACACGAACGGAUGCGAUCAGUCGCGAUAGGCGCUGCCAGGUGGAGAGACAUGUGGGUAUAAGCUCAGCUCGAACCAUUUCCACAACCCGCGACGCGUUGUGACGAGGCAUGGCAUGGCGUGGCGAGACGGGCGACGGAGGAGGAAUGCGCGAGGGCCUCUUUUCUUCUCAUACUCCAAUAGCAUGUAGAAGAAAGACCCUUAUAAAGGAGUCUAACUCCUUCUCCACUAACGGGAUGAGACUAAACUUUCCAUCAUCCCUUGUCAUGUCACCACCUACAUGGAUCCUUAGUGAUUUUCUGAAAUUGUCUCAUGGGCCCUAAGCACAUCUCAAAUUUCAACAUGGGGUUGGUGCCCGUCCGCGGCUACAAUCAACACUCGGACUCCUUUUGCGAGACCAACUUUUUAAAAAUGUACUUCCUCCGUAAACUAAUAUAAAAGCAUUCAGAACACUGCUUUAUCUCCCCUAAUAAUAAAGCGCGCAGCGCUUCUGUCGUCUGUCGUCCGUCGUCGGUCAUUUUGCAGAAAAGCCCUCGCAGUUUCAGUUAAUUAACCCGCAGUCCAACUUUAAGUCAGAACGAACCGUUUUCUGUCCUUUUGCAGAAAAGUCCUCAUAGUUUUAGAUAAUCAACCCGCGGUCCAUCUUUUAGUGCCGAACCGUUUUUUUACACUUUACAGAAAACUCCUUGAUGUUUCAGGUAAUCAACCCGCCAUCCUUAUUUAAGUCAGCCGAAACGUUUUUUUGUUUUAACAAAAAAAACCCUGACUUUUUAGUUAAUCAAUCUAUAUUUUAUCUAAAACAAAAUUAUCCAUAUCUUUUAAACCGUAACUCCGAUUUUAACAUGUUAUAUAUGAAAUUUGAUUGAAAAAAUGUGUAGAAUCUAAAUAGGAUGUUAUUUGUAGCUGUCGAAUACUUGUUAAAUAUUAUUUUUGAUGCAAACUUAAUCUGUAAUGCACUAUCUUUUUUCUCUCCCUUUCUGACGACCAUACGAAUUGCAAUAAAUAUUCAUUAAAUUAAAACCAAAUUGAGAGGAAAGAAAACAUCGUUAACCACACAUGCACACCUUUGGAAAAUCUCGUGGGGAGAAACAACAUAUUUCUCAUCUUAUUCCGAGUGAUUGUACAUUCAAACGCGUUUUCGUUGUCUGAGCACUGAGGCCAUCGUCGACAACACAAAUGUGCUAAUAUAUUACGUUCAAAGCGUGUGUUAUUUUCUCUUCCGUUGCAACGCACGGCUUUUUUGCUAGUAGUAAUCUAAAUGCUCUUAUAUUAGUUCACAGAGGGAGUAGAAUUUAUGUAUUCAAUCAUGGUUGUUUACCGGUAUUUUCAUCGAGCCUUUUCUACCAUAGUUAGCAAGCUAUUGAUUCAUGUUAAUAACACAUAUUUUACACUGCUCGAUAACUAAUCAAUUCAUGGCUACCACAGUAUGUACAACAUGUUUUUUCAACAUCAUUUUGUACAUCAAUGUUUGAACACUUCAAACCAGUUUGGUGGAUGUACGUUGCCACUUUCCACGUAUAUCGCCACCACCAACGGGAGCCAUUUCCUUGCACGCUACCCUUGCUACAUGUUCCUACCUGUUUUUUCACGGGAGCAGCAUCCUCCUCCCGACACGCAGCUCGAUGAAGCAGGCAUUACGGAGGCGUCGACAAGUCCGGUGACUUCGACAUUUUUAGCCGGCGUACAUGUCGCGUCCGUCGGCCCUUCACGUUGCUCGUCUACCCGUACGUUGAUGACAACCGAGUGCUCAGGGGACUUGAUAGGCUUGUGGCAACAAUGGCAGCCUUUCGAUGCGUCGCCGCCCGUCUUUCCAACGCUUUUAGUGGCAGCGUCCGGUGAAACGGCGGCGAGUUGAGACCUUCUCAUCUCCAGCGACCUAGCCGUGGCGCGGCACGCCUCCUCCUUUCCGCGGCGUCCGCCCCCCUCCCCAGCAGCAGCAUGCUGUUGAGCACGACGAGCAGGCACGUCCCCACGUCGGCGAGCACCGCUGCCCACAGCACCGGGCGCCAGGCGAGCGCGAGCGCGAGGACGGCGACCUUGGCGGCCACCGAGGACACCAUGUUUACGGCGAUAGUCCGGCAGGCGCGCCUGCCGAGCCUGACGGCCUCGGGGACCCUGAGGAUGUCGCUAGACAUGAGCGUCGCAUGGCUGGUCUCCAUGGCCGCGGCCGAGCCGGAGAUGCCCAUGGAGACGCCCACGUCCGCCAUCGCCAGCGCCGGGGCGUCGUUCAUGCCGUCGCCGACCAUCAUUGUCGGGCCAACCCUCGCCUUCACCGCACUCACCAGCCGGACCUUGUCCUCCGGGAAGAGCUCGGAGUGGAGCUCCUCCAAGGCUCCUCCCAGCCGCUCCUGCGCGUGCACGGCCGCCUCCGCGCUGUCCCCCGUGAGCAGCACUGAGCUGAUGCCCAUGGACGCCAGCUCUCGAAUCGCUUCGGCCGCGCCGGUCCGGCAGUCGUCGGAGAGCGAGAACACCCCGACGAGGUCCCCGUCGCAGAUCACGUAGCCGAUCGAGACGCCUUUCAGACCAUUCAUUCUUUCUGGAACUGCUGAUCGAGUACGCAACAAAGUUGAGUCAAAUCAGUUUGCUUCUCAAACUUCAUUGAUCAAGCACGUGGUACAAAAUGUUUGCUCUGCUCUGCUCAGCUCACCUGUCUGACAGGAGGAUGCCCUUGCCAAGACCCUCUUGUUCCCGACGUAGAUGCGCUUCCCGUCGAUCUCGCCAUAGAUGCCCUCGCCGGGAAGGAUGCGGAACUCAGCGACGCAUUCGGGUUUCGGCUCGAUGGAUUUCGACUGCGCGUACUCCACCAGCGCAGCCGCCAUUGGGUGGCUGGAUUUGCUCUCGAUGCUUGAGAUCCUGCGAGAAGAAGCUCUCGUCUCAAGUUUUCAUCAGUGAAAAUUUCAAUGCCCAGAGGUGUGGGAAUGGUGGACAUACCAGUAAAGAAGCUGGCUCAUCUGAACCUUGUGUCCGACCACGUCGAAAAUGUCGACGGUGAACUCCCCUCUGGUGAUGGUGCCGGUCUUGUCGAACGCCACGGCCUUGAUCUCGCCCAGCGACUCGAGGACGUCCCCUCCCUUCACGAGGAGCCCCAUCCUCGCCGCCGUCAGGAGCGCGCAGAACGUCGCGACCGGCGUCGACAGCACCAGCGCGCACGGGCACGCGCUCACCAGCAGCACCAGCGCCAGCCUGAACCACCGCUCCGCGUCGCGCGCCCCCACCAGCGGCGGCAGCAGUGCCACCCCUGCUCCGAGAAACACCACGGCGGGCGUGUAGUACUUGGCGCAGGAAUCGAUCAGCCGCUGCGUCUUGGACUUGCUCUGCUGCGCCUCUUCCACCAGCCUCUCCAUCUUGGCCACCGUGGAGUUCUCGGCGAGGGCACUUGUCCUCACGGCGAUGUAACCUGCAGGAGGACAUGCUCAGAUCACCGCAAUAACGUCGUCGCCUUCAAGAAAGAGAAGGAACAGGCUAGUUUUACCGUCCAAGUUGAGCGUGCCGGCCCAGACCUCGGACAGCGGUUGCUUGGGCACCGGGUACGACUCGCCGGUGAGGCUCCUUUCGUCGACCUCACUCUGCCCGUCGACAACCACGCCGUCCACCGGCACCAUCUCCCCUGCUCUGACCGCGAUGACGGCGCCGACAUCGAUGUCGCGUACAUUGACAACCUCGCCCGUCUCGGCGAGGACUGCCUUCGGCGGGAUCAUGCUCAUCAACGACGACAUCCCGGCGCUGGCCUGAUAGCACAUCACACUUUCUGUUAGGAAAAUCACAUUGAUUCCAUCGAUCAUGGAAAGUAACCUAGGAUUCAUUCAUUCAUUCAUACUGUAACUGUAGUACCUUGGUGCAGGCCAGGGUCUCGAGCCACUCUGCAGUGGUGAAGAGGAAGACGAUGACGCCUGCCUCCGUGUAGUCCUUGAGCGCGACGGCACCGACAACAGCGAUAAGCAUGAGAAUGUUGAUGUCCAGCGCGAGCCUGCUGGCGGCGGCGAACCCUCGGAGAACCAUCGGGGGAGCGCCGGCGCAGGCCGCCCCCAGGGCCAGCCACUGCAGGGGAGGCAGGAGCCACCUGAAGGAGGAUGCGAGGAGGAGGGCGCCGCAGGCGACGAUGUACGGGCUGGGCCAUCGGCCGAUGACCCCGCUGCUGCCGUAGGCUCGCACCGAGGCUUCCAGGCCCGCCCCGUUCAGGACCUUCACUGAUGCGUUCCGGACAAGGCAACAAACACGUUGAGAUCGACUUGUAAGCUUUCUUUCAUGGCGAUUCUGGGUUCAGAUCAGGGUAAGUAAGGUCAGGAGAGGGGACGGAUUGAUUGGUUACCAAUACGGGACUGCGAGACGGCGGAGGGGUCGUGCUCGACCACGACGGUGCGGGAGGGGACGACGACGGACACCGCCCUCACGCCGUCGAGCGGCGCCAGCAGACGCUCGACGAGCGCGACCUCCGCCGAGCAGCACACGCCCAGCACGUCCAGGUACGUCUUCUCCCACUUCCUCCUCGCCGACGCCGCCGCUUCGUCGGACAGAAGGCUCGCCUCGAGCGCCGGGUACGACUCGCCGCUGCCCGUCAUCGAUCCGGAGACGCCGGCGGACGAACAGCAAAAAACAAAGGCAAAGGAGAGAUAGCAAUAAGUCAACGACAGAACCAGGGAUGAUUUGGAAGAAGAGCAGAGGUUGGGUUACAACUUACAAGAUGCACGCAAUCCUGCCGUCAGUGAAAGCGACGGCGGCCACUGGCAGCGACAAGUCUGGAAUUUGGUGAUCCACAUCCUCGGAGAACUUAAAUCCGGCCGGCAAAGCAACAAAUUUUCGGAGCACAAAAUAAAUUCUACAUAACUACUUCAUGAUGUGAUUCUUUUGGCAACGUCAGAAAUCGUGACGUUUCAUCUUCACAUAAAAACGUCGAAAUGGUUCGCGUUGCUCACGUAGAAACACCGUGAUAGCUCACGUUGCAAACCACAUGGAAACGCCACUGCUUUGAGCAGCAACGCCAAGCUUCAUGGUGUUUGCAGCCUCGGCAGUAACGCCAAGGCCCAUGGCGUUUCCGUAUGGUCCGCAACACGAGCUAUCUCGGCGUUUUUACGUGAGCAGCAACGAGGACCACUUUGGCAUUUCUAUGUGAAGAAGAAACGCCACGGUUUCUGUCAUUGUCAAAAGGAUCAGAUCGUGAAAUAGUUUCAUGUAGAGUUCAUUUUAUGUUAUGGUUUCCGAUUAAGGUCAAAAUAGUGAUUUUGUCUCAAAACGAGUUCAGGGUGACAUGACAACCUGGACAAUACGAAGUGAACCGGCCAACACAGGGGUCCCACCUGGGAUGUCACCAAUGCCCGGUUCAUUUGAAAUGGACCACGCACAAAUAUGAAACAAUGAAGCGAAACAGAUGAAAUUUAAACAUGAUAUGGUACAUUACAAACCGAUGACUGUAAACCAGUUCAUCCUAAGUUCAAACUAGUCUUAACUAAAAUGAUGGAUACAUAGGCGUGGCCUCCAAGACCAUCGGCACCACGCUAACCUGUCGUCGUUCGAUUUGAAACAUGUGGCUGCCGAUAUGAGUUGCGUCCACAAGGUCUCUUCUACCUCUUAUGCUGGAUCUAAUAUGUAGCCACAGUGGAUAUCCCACAUAAUAGAGUGCAGGGAUGAAUCUUGAAAGAAAUAAAGAGAAGGCUCAAUGUUAACGAUGUGAAGAAAAAAACACUUACUUUCAGUUUUUUUAGUUCAGAUAAUGUUAAGUUUUUUAUGAUGAAUACUUGUAAAUUUUGUUUUUCAAUUUGGGGAGAGGCUCAAGCCUAUUGAAGCACCCCCCUUGGAUUCGCCACUUAUAAAGUGUGUUUUGGAUUCCAAUCCGGGUACUCAUCAGGACGUGAUCCUUCUAAUGGUCUCUAGUGCAUAACGACGAUCCUCCUCCUCCACCUUAGCGAUGAGGGAAGCCCUCCUCAUGUGCUUCCUCCUCCUCAAACAUCUGUAACCCCCUGCUUCGAGAGUGGUACCUAGUCUGCCUCGGCAACCGAUACCCAGAGCGACACCCGGUUCACGGAGCUGCCCCUAGAUAAGAGGUCACAUGUUGGCGACCAUGUUUCAGUGUCGGACUUCUUGCUCAUCAUGGUGGUUAGAGGUAUGGAGGUGUGCGGGGACCGAUGUAUGUGUGGAAGAAGAUGACGACUCUGCGGCUAGAGGUUGUAGAGGAGGAGAUCAAAUGGCUUUAAAUCCCUAAUAGGCUUCAUGGUUGCCGUGUUGGAGACCGGUCUGCCGGAUUAAAUGUUGUCAAGCUAGAGCUGAUGCGGCAGGAGAGUUUUUUUGGAUGAAACAUGUUGUCGGAGUUUGGUGUGGUAGGCAUUUGGAAUCCUCCAAAGCUCCACCCUUUUUGUUGCCGGUUUGGGAGGUUUCGGACGUCCAAACAGGUUCAGACAAGUUAGGUGACCCUUGUUUGAUGGCCAAAAGUGUUUGAAUCAUCCAUCUGAUGUUGGUUUGAUGAUCCGCAUUGAGUUACCAUAAGCUCCCACAAAAUGAAGCUUUCAAAGAAUUUGUGGAACCGGGGGGGGGGGGGGGGGAGGGGGUAUCUGCUAAUUCAAAGUGAGGGGGUCAAGAUUGCUUGUUGUGGGAGAUCCCGUAUUUCCACAUAAUUCGUUAGGGUAUUUCUCUCUCUCUGGCUACUAAAAAAUGUUAUGUUUUAUUUAACACUAACCGCACGAGCAUUUUAAUUCACAUUACUUCUUUUGUUUUGUUAUGAUAUUCUAGACUAUCUUAUUAAAAGGUAAUUAUGUUUGCUCUUAUUCAGUUUGGAGAUAAUGACGGGACUAGAUCAGAUGUGCCCCACCAUCGUUCCUUGCGUGUUGCGUAUGCUAGCCAUAAUAAAAAAAUAUGUUGUAGAUUUUAUAGUCACAAGGUAAAGAAUCAUUUUUGAAACUACAAUCUGGCAUGUGAAUUUCCCAUCAAGAAAUAAUAUUAACCUAAUGAGAGCCCAUGUUUUCGUGAUUCUAAGAAAUUUUAACUAGUUCUGAUAUUUUUCUUCACUAAAAACACAUGCCAGAUAAUAAUAUAAGUGUAUAUAAUUGAUCUUUUAACGAUGCCUCCCGUGGUAACGGGAAAUUUUUGCCAACACACAACUUGGACAUUCCCUUUUUGCUUGUUUAAUGAAAUCAUUCCUUGGUCCAAGAUCAUACCUCUGAACAUCGAUGAUGCUUGGUGCAACGACCGAAGAGGAUGCAUAGAUUUAUCCGAAGAAUUCAUCAUCUAUUUUUCCAUCAUGGAAGUAAAAUAGAGGUAUCGGCUUGGAGUUGUCAUAUUUAGUGUAAGUUGUGUGAUAACAAAAGCGGCAUGAUGAUGCAUGUGGAGAAACUCUUGAAAAAAUUUCGAUCUCUUAAAGGAAGGGAUGAAAUUAAGCUUAUCCUGAAUAUGGAUUAUGCAUCUUGAGUGCUUCAAAACGACAACUUGAGUUAUGGUACUUGCAUCAAUGUUGGAGGACUUAAGAGUAGUUUGGAUCACUUGUGUUAUGUGGUUUUUUCUUGUGGCAAGGCGACCGGUAGAAUUGUUGAAUGUUCCUUUGGAGGUUAUAACUACAUAAACUAUGAAAUUGUUGUGGGUAUCUAUAUGUGGGUCUGCUGGGCACCUUCUAGGGUUCCCUAGAAAACAUCAUGGUCAGAACUGUUAGAGAAGGUAUCGUCUUGGAUCUGCAAUAUUUAAUGCUAGUGGCGUGAUAACAAAAGCAUUGUGAUGAUGCAUGGGGAGAAACUCUUGGAAACAUAUUGAUCAUAAAUGGAAGGAUGAAAUUCAGUUUAUCCUGAAUAUGAGACAUGCAUCUUGAGUGGUGAUAGGAAAGGUUAUGAGUGUGCCAGUCCCACUUUUCUAUUCAUUUGGUUGGAAAAUCAUAGAACAAGUUUGAGUUCCAACCUUAAGCUUCACCAUGUGGUGUUAAGUGUAAUUUCCAUAUAAUCCAACUCUGUAUAUUAUGCAUAAAUCAUGAUAGUGAGACCCAUCUAAGAUUUGUCCUUCACAACACCAUAUUUCACAAUGAGAGAGUAAUGCUUUGGCAACUUCUAUAACUCAUUACUUUAUGAGUUUAUCCCUUUUCGUACUACCUAUUCGUUGUUAUUUGUUGUACAACGAUCAUCCCACAUGUUUCUUGUAACAUUGAACAACUUUAAUUGUGGCACGUGCAUAAAUGUUGGAGAACUUAAGAACAUUUUGGAUCGCUCGUGUUUUUUACUUAUUGGUUUACAUAUUUGUGUUCUUCUAGAUAGGUCUAUAGGUAGGACUAUUGAAUGUUCCUAUGGUGACUAUAGCUAAGUGAUGUGUGAGGUUGUUGUAGGUAUCUACAUAUAUGGGCAUGUGGGGCACCUUGGGGUGGGCCCUCAAAAUUUUUAUGGUUGGAACUAUUGGUGGAGGUAUCGUCUUGGAUCUGUAAUAUUUAUGACAUGAAGUAUGAUGACAAAAGAAACCAAUGAUGCAUGUCGAGAAGCUCUUGGAAACAUGUCGUUGUCUUAAAUCAAGGGAUUAAUGUUGGGGAACGUCGCAUGGGAAACAAAAAAUUUCCUACGCGCACGAAGACCUAUCAUGGUGAUGUCCAUCUACGAGAGGGGAUGUGUGAUCUACGUACCCUUGUAGACCGUACAGCAGAAGCGUUAGUGAACGCGGUUGAUGUAGUGGAACGUCCUCACGUCCCUCGAUCCGCCCCGCGAACCGUCCCGCGAUCAGUCCCACGAUCUAGUGCCGAACAGACGGCACCUCCGCGUUCAGCACACGUACAGCUCGACGAUGAUCUCGGCCUUCUUGAUCCAGCAAGAGAGACGGAGAGGUAGAUGAGUUCUCCGGCAGCGUGACGGCGCUCCGGAGGUUGGUGGUGAUCUUAUCUCAGCAGGUCUCCGCCCGAGCUCCGCAGAAACGUGAUCUAGAGGUGAAACCGUGGAGAUAUGUGGUCGGGCUGCCGUGGCAAAGUUGUCUCAAAUCAGCCCUAAAACCUCCGUAUAUAUAGGGGGAGGAGGGGGAGCCUUGCCUUGUGGUCCAAGGACUCCCAAGGGGGUCGGCCGAGCCAAGGGAGGCAACCCUCCCCUUCCAAACCGAGUCCAACUAGGUUUGGAAGGAGGAGUCCUUCCCCUUUCCCACCUCCUCUUUUUUCCCUUUUCUCUUUGAUUUUCUUCCUAUGGCGCAUAGGGCCUUCUUGGGCUGUCCCACCAGACCACUAAGGGCUGGUGCGCCACCCCCAAGGCCUAUGGGCUUCCCCGGGGUGGGUUGCCCCCCGGUGAACACCCGGAACCCAUUUGUCAUUCCCGGUACAUUCCCGGUAACUCCGAAAACCUUCCGAUAAUCAAAUGAGGUCAUCCUAUAUAUCAAUCUUCAUUUCCGGACCAUUCCAGAAACCCUCGUGACGUCCGUGAUCUCAUCCGGGACUCCGAACAACAUUCGGUAACCAACCAUAUAACUCAAAUACGCAUAAAACAACGUCGAACCUUAAGUGUGCAGACCCUGCGGUUCGAGAACUAUGUAGACAUGACCCGAGAGACUCCUCGGUCAAUAUCCAAUAGCGGGACCUGGAUGCCCAUAUUGGAUCCUACAUAUUCUACGAAGAUCUUAUCGUUUGAACCUCAGUGCCAAGGAUUCAUAUAAUCCCGUAUGUCAUUCCCUUUGUCCUUCGGUAUGUUACUUGCCCGAGAUUCGAUCGUCAGUAUCCGCAUACCUAUUUCAAUCUCGUUUACCGGCAAGUCUCUUUACUCGUUCCGUAAUACAAGAUCCCGCAACUUACACUAAGUCACAUUGCUUGCAAGGCUUGUGUGUGAUGUUGUAUUACCGAGUGGCCCCGAGAUACCUCUCCGUCACACGGAGUGACAAAUCCCAGUCUCGAUCCAUACUAACUCAACUAACACCUUCGGAGAUACGUGUAGAGCAUCUUUAUAGUCACCCAGUUACGUUGUGACGUUUGAUACACACAAAGCAUUCCUCCGGUGUCAGUGAGUUAUAUGAUCUCAUGGUCAUAGGAACAAAUACUUGACACGCAGAAAACAGUAGCAACAAAAUGACACGAUCAACAUGCUACGUCUAUUAGUUUGGGUCUAGUCCAUCACAUGAUUCUCCUAAUGAUGUGAUCCCGUUAUCAAGUAACAACACUUGCCUAUGGCGAGGAAACCUUGGCCAUCUUUGAUCAACGAGCUAGUCAACUAGAGGCUUACUAGGGACAGUGUUUUGUCUAUGUAUCCACACAAGUAUUGUGUUUCCAAUCAAUACAAUUAUAGCAUGGAUAAUAAACGAUUAUCAUGAACAAAGAAAUAUAAUAAUAACUAAUUUAUUAUUGCCUCUAGGGCAUAUUUCCAACAAUUAAUUCAAGUUGAUCCUCAAUAUCGGAUAUGCAUCUUGAAUGGUUCAACACAAGAGCGAGUAAAAAAGCUUUGAUAACUAUAUUAGAUUAGUGAUGGAAAACGUGAUUGCCUAUUUAUUUGGUCUUGUCAUGACAGAUCCAUGCCUAUCAUGGUUUGAUUAGUACUAAUUCUCCUUUGAUAGGUCCUUGUGUUGAACAUAAUGUGCAACAUAUCAUGAACAUCGUGUGAAACCUUGUUUCCAGUACAAGACUACGAAUUGAUUGUCUAUUGUUUAUAAUGGAGAUUAAUAUUGUGGUCAAUUUUUCUUAUGUCUAGAAAACUGCACAUGGUGGCGGUACCAAUACCGCACGUAGGUAAACUCAUUUUGUAGUGAAAUUAACCGUAGGUGACAAACUUACAAGGAUAAUAAUGUUUAGUUGGGACAUGAGAACUAGUAACCAAGGUUGAAAACUCGACCAUGGUUACUUGGUAGAACCCCAUUUCACCCCCAAGUUGUUGCAGAACUAGAAAAAAGAAUUGUUUUUUGGACAUGUUUGCUCAUUAUGUUGGCGCCACAAUUUUUUUGUUUAUUUGGCCGUAAAUGCAUCAUACAAGUUGAGGUUCAAACCUUCUCCAUGUGGUCUUACGUGUAAUUCAAGUGUAACAUAAAUCUGUCGAUAAUGCAUAAGCAAAAUAUUCAAACUUCUCACAGGUUUGUCCUAGACAACACCAUAUGUCACAAUGAGUGAGUAAUAAUUUUGCAGCUUCUAUUAAUUUUAACUUGGCGAGUUUAUCCAUUUCCGUACUAGCUAUUAUUUUGUUUAUUUUUUGUAAAUUGAUCAACCUUGGUGUUCUUUUGUAAUAUUGGACAACUGGAUUAUGGCAUGUCCAUAUAUGUUGGAGAACUUAAGAAUAGUUUGAUCACUUGCAUUUUGUAAUUGUUGGUUCACAUAUUGUUUGUUCUUAGAAAUAAUUCCUUAUUUAACACUAUCUUAAAUUUUGUUUCCUUAUUUAACAUCGAAAAGGUUUACUUCCCUAUCUAAGAGCGAGUCAAAAUUGCAUACCAAGGUCCAACACUUGACCAUGGCUUCCCGGUAAACCCCAUUUCGCCCCAAGUAGUUGCAGAACGGGAAAAGUAGUAUUUUUUCGCACAACUUGCUCAGUGUGCUAGUCCCACUUUUAUUUACUUAUUUAGCCAAAAAAGCUUCGAAAAGAUUGGAGUGACACCCUUCUCCAUGUGGUGUUAAAUAUAAUUCGAUUAUAUCACAACCCCGUAGGGUGUGCAGAAAUCAUGAUAGUCAAACCCAAUGGAGGUUUGUUCUACGCAACACCAUAUUGUACAAUAGGUGAGUAUUGCUUUGGCAGCUUCUAUACGUUGUAACUUGAUGGGUUUAGCCCUUUAUGUACUAUCCAUUCUUUAUUCUCUGUUGUAAAAUGAUCAACCCUCGUAUUUAUUGUAAUAUUGAGGAAAUUGAAUUAUGGCACAUGUCUAAACAUUGGAGAAGUUAGGAAGAGUUUAGAUCACCUAUGUGUUUGUAACUGGUAGGGCAAUUGUUUGUUUACUUCGAGGUUAUAUCUAUAUUUGCACAUGUUAGGCACCUUCUGGUGUGACCUUAAAAUUUCAUGGCUACAACUGUUGAAGAAGGUAUCAACUUGUAUAUUCAAUAUUUAUUGCAAAUGAUUUGAUAACAAAAGCAACCUGAUGAUUCGUGUAGAGUAAACUGGAAACAUGUUGGUAUGUUGAAUCAAGAAAUUAAAUUAAGCUCAUAGUGCAUAUGGUUUAUGCAUCUUGAGUGGUUCAAGAAAGAGCAAGGGAAAAUCUUGGAGAACUAUAUAUGAUGACAAUUGUGAUGGAAUAUAUUUAUUUGGUCUCACUAGGAUAGGUGCCUACGUGUCAUGAGUUGAUUAGUACUAGUUAUCCUUCAAUUGGUCCUCAUAUUGAACAUAAAUACAGUAUAUCUUGAACAUGGUGUGCAACCUUGUUUCCAGUGCAAGACUAUAAGUUCAUGGUUUAUUGAUUGUAAUGCAAAUUUAUAAUGGGGUUGAUCUUCCUGGUUCUAGAAAAUGAAGAUGGUGCUCGCUCCAAUACCACGUGGAUGUAAACUCACUUCUUAGUGCAAGUGAUGGUAGGAGAUAAUUGUACGAGGGCAAAUAUUUUGUUGAGACUUCAAAACAAAUAACCAAGGUCCAAAACUCGACUGCAUUUCGCCCCCUAGUUGUUGCGGGACCCGAAAAAAUGUUUAUUGCAUAACUUGAUCAGUGUGUCGGUUCCACUUUUCUGUUUAUUCGAUCAAAAAAAGCAUCUGAUAUAUUCGAAUUGCAACCUUCUCGAUGUGGUGUUAAAUGUAAUUCCAUUAUAUCGGAACCAUGUAUAUUGUGCACAAAUCAUCAUACUUAAACACAUUCGAGGUAUGUCCUACACAAGACCAUAUUUCUCAAUGGGUGAAUAAUUCUCUGCUAGCUUCUAUAAGUUGUAACUUAUUGAGUUUAGCCCUUUAUGCAGUACAUAUUCUUUGUUGUUUGUUAUAAAAUGAUCAAUUCUCAUGUUUCCUGUAAUAUAAUAAUGGCGCGUGCAUAAACAUUUGAGAAGUUUGGAUAACUUGUGCUUCCUAAUUAUUGGUUCACAUAUUGUUAUUUCUUAUGGCUAGGGCUAUCAAGGAGUUGAAUGUUUUGGAUUGUUAGCGAAUUCUAACGACACAUAACUGAUUGUUAGAAGCAAGAAGAAGAAAACUGAAUUUAUCAAUGAAUGAAAAUUUUCCAUUUACACAUUUUCUAAGUAAACAAAUUUAACACCCCUCCCCAACCCAUCGCAACCCUUAUGGUCAUAUUUCUCGGAGGCAUAGCUCCCUUGUAUUGCCGAUGUCCUAGUUAGCCAAGGCACACAGGGGUUCGUAUAUAGCAUGCUUUUCGGGAGCCAUAUCGGAUGCUUAUCCGUAUACUUGUGGCGUGCUGCUGCCUAGAGUUUUCAGUUUUUCUUUUACCUUUUUAUUUUCUCUAUAUCUUGCCCUUUCUAGACAUAUUUCAAAAAGACUUAAAUGCACUACAGGUCCUCAAAGUUUCAUCGGGGUGUCACUUUAGUCCUAAUUCUUCCAAAAUGCACCUUUAGGACUUAAUUCUAUAGUAAGUGAUUCACCCAAGGUCAUUUUUUCACGAGCACUCGCUGACCUACACGCAUGACACAUGCCACGUCGACGGAGGGACAAACCGUUUGGCGAGAAAAAUACAGUGGUGGUUUUAAAAGUUCCUCGGCAGUGCCAUUUUAGUCCUACUUCUUUAAAAAUACACGUUUAGGUCUUAAUUCCAUAGUAAGUGGUUCACUCGAGGUCCUUUUUGGCACGAUUUUUCGCUCGCGUGCUUGGUUGCGCGUUGACCCACUGAAAAGACCACGAUGACGCCUAGAGGGGGGUGAAUAGGCUAUUUAAAAACUUCUUUGGAUUUGGCUUAAACCUAAUGCGGAAAUAAACUAAGAGGAUACUUUUCAAGCACAAAUCCUAAAUGCAAUAGGCACCGCAACGUGUAUCAACAACACGAUCUACCAAGAUGGACACAAUACAGUUAUUAACAAGCACAAGCAAGUUACACAAACUUACUUGAGCUAUAUCACACGACAAGUAGGUGAACGACACAAGAUACUAGAUCACACUAUAGCACACGAUAUGUCAAAAGUUGCAAGUGUGAAUGUGUGGAUAUAGAGGGUAUGCUUGAACGAUUAGUCUUGUACAAAGAGAUAGCCAACACAAUAUAAUGAGCACAAACAAUAUGCAAUGUAUGUAUGCUCAAGUAACACAAGUAAACCACAAGUAAGGAGUUAGGGUUAAGGAUAACCAAGGUCACUGAGACGAAGAUGUAUUCCGAUGUUCACUUCCUUGGAGGGAAGCUAAUCACCGUUAGAGUGGUGGAUGUUACCACAAAGGCAGACCAACGCCACGAAGGCUCACCCUAUUCUCCCUUUGAGAUAACACCACGAAGGCGUUUCUCAACCACUAGUGGUAAGCCUUUGAGGUGGCUUCCAAACCCUCACAAACUUUUCCGGGGGGUAAUCACAUGGAUUGAUUCCUCUCCGAAGAACUCCUACCUCCUAGGAGUCUCCAACCUCCAAGAGUAACAAGAUCACGGGGAAUCCUCAAAACUUGCUCAAAUCUCAAAUAGCUUGGGUUGUGUGACAGCCCAAUGCCGACGUUCCAGAAGAUUCCCCUUUCCUUUCCGUUUCCGUCAUGUGGGUAUUUUAAUUUGUCGCAUCAUUCGCACCAUCUGCAUUGCAUCGGCAUCUCCGUUGCCGCCAGUUUUCAAAACAUGCAUCCAUUAGUAGUUGCCGGUUCUCGUCGGUGUCCAUUCUGAGCCCGACCGCACUCGCACGCGCCCGCGGCAUCGUUGAAACCCUGUUUUAAAAGUGUGCGUAAAACUUUCUCUGAUCGGGGUGAAACUUGGCAUACGGUCGUGAUUUCUUUUAGCUAGGCCGCGUGUCGAAUUUCGUCGCGACCGGAGUCCGUGUGGUACCCGAACGGUCGAUCGUAGCGACACACUAUUCGGUCUACCGUCGGACGUGUGUCGGUGUUUUAAAACUCGUUGACGCGCCGCCUGUUUUUCCUCUCGUCUCCAGAUAUCCACUCUACACGGCCUCGUAACCGUUCCCGCAUUCGGAAUCGUCUGAAUCCGACCGCACGGUCGGAUCCGGAACGGAAUUCCGGCUAACCUAGCCCCCCAUAUGUCUAUAAAUAGACCCCCGCAUAUAUUUUAGACAGCCACCCCAUCCCCUGCAUCAAUUUUCGUGCCUCCCCUAACCCUAAUCCUCUCUCUCUCUUCUCUCUCCUCCCCUCAACCUCCUCAGCGCCAUCGGGCCCGCCGAGCCCGCGACCGGCCCGCCGAGCCCAUCUCGCGAGACCGCCUCGUCCCGAGCCGCUCGAGCGUCUCCCUGCUCCCGUCGCGGCCUCCUCCAGCAGCUCCCAUCGCGAGCGCCGCCUCCGUCGCCGGUCUCCGGUGCGACCCGCUCCAGAUCCGGUCCUCCCCGGGGUCAGGACCGCCUCCGGUGACCCAUUCCCGCUCCUGCAGCCGCCUCUCCAGGCCCCGCGUCGCCGCCUACAACCGGUCUCGAUCGGAUCGGGAAGGGAGGCCCCGUGGACUCCGCCAGGCGCCAGCUCCCGCGACCUCCCGCUCGAGCGCCGCCCGCGGCAGGGAAGCGCCAGCCCAGGCCGAGCCGCUGGCCUCGCCCAGCCGCAUGGGCCACCCCUUUGGCCCAGGAGCAUUACGGCCUCCCUAGCUGCCUCCCCAGGCCGAGCCUCGGCCCAGCUGCUGCAGCCUACGUGGGGUGGCUCCCAAGGCCCAGCGCCUCCAGCUCCGCUUCGGCCCGGCCGGCCCAGAGCGAGGUGAGCUACCUAUUCCUCGCCCCGAGCGCCUUUUGGUUAUGUUGCGCUCAUGCAACUGCUGUAGUUUCGGCCCAGUAGAUUUUUUUAUUUUAUUUAGUUUUCGAAUUAGUGUAUUCAGGAAAUAUCGUAAUAUUAGAACGUCCGUAAUUUUUAUUCCGUAAGUCGGAUCGCGACGUGUGGCACAUGUAUUUCAUGUAGAAUUACGCGUAGAUUACGAAUUUACAACUUGCAUAAUUAUUUGACGUCGUUUAACGCGCUGUAUGCCUAGAAUCGUGUGCUGCCUAUAAUGUUUUUGCCCGUAGUUUAUUUUUCGCGCGUGUCCGGUUUGCCCGAAUGCCGUAGUAUAAAUGCCCAUGUUUUAGGAACCAUUUUUCCAUGUAUAUUAGAGCAGUCAUUUGUAUUCUUACGUGUAGGGAUUUGCCGCUAGUUUAUUUUCCCGUAUAUAGGUUAUUUUCCUGCAUUUACGUGUGGUAAUAUUUUGUUGUGCAACCCCACAUAUUUUAUAUGUUUUCGGGGUAGAAAAAUCCAUGUGAUUUUUCUGUGCAAUUAGUUUUAGCUUUCGAGUAAGUUAGUUCGUGCGAUAUUUUGCCGUGUUGCCCUCUUGUUUAUUUUGUAGGAUUUAUUCCGUGCUUCGUUUGAUUAAGUUGUCAACUAGAGAGUUGAUCUUGGAUGUUUUCUCUAGCCCCUGGUAUUUUUGGUUACAAUAGAAAUGCAUGUUUAGGUGUGGUUUUCUUGCUCUCAAGUUGCUAGAAAUAGUGCUGAUUUGAAGGUGCUGAAAUAUUUCUAAGUCUGGAAUCUGUUAUAUUUUGUUGCUGUCUUGUCUUGCUUCUAUCUUUUGUUCUGUAGCUUUUUUGAGGUUGGUCCAAUGGAGUUAGUUGUAAACCUUGUGUUUCUCUAGAAUGCUGUGAAUUUUCAUGCCAUUUGGAGUCCUGUAGCUUAUGGUUUUGCUGCUGUCAAUAUAGCUUCGGAUCGAAAACUGCACUUUCAUGAGGUGUAAUUUUCACUAAGUCUGAAAUAGUGUGUGGGAUGCCAUUUUGUGACUUCUUUUCCUAGUGAUCCUUGAUGCCAUGCUAGUUGUUAGUUGUUUGUAGUAGUGUUUCUUGCCCUCUUUCGUGUCAUGCCUUGCUUGAGUUUAUCGGAGUUGUGUAGCCCGUAGUUGUGGGGCGUAGAAAAUGCUAUGUGGCUGAUUUUGGCAGAUUGUAGUGAUUUCUUGUUUUGCUCAUAUCUUUUGAUCCGUAGCUCCGAUUUGAUCGUGUCCUACAUGAAACUUGUUUAGAAUCUCGUGUAGUUUCAUUUUAUCUUGCUGGUUGUAUGUUUUGAGGUGCUCGUGACCAUCGUUGCACACAUAUUGCAUUCAUGCCAUCAUAUCUUGCGGUGCUUUUAACUUUUGAUACGUAACUCCGUUGGAGAGGUUCUCUGUGUGUAGAUUGCUUGAAAUGACGCGUAGAAUCACGUGAACCUAUUUGUUUUGCUGUUUAACAACUAAUUAAAUGUGUUAGUUCAGAUCUGGACAGAAUUGUAAAUUAACAUGUGAGGUCGUUUCGGAGGUGCUAUAUGUCAUUUCCGACCUCAUUUAAAAUGCCUAGAUAGGUAGAUUAAUUACGCUUCACCUCUUGCCAUGUUUAACCACAUUUAAUAUUGCCGUGUAUCUAAUCGGGAUAGAACUAAAUAAUUAAGCGCGGAGUUUCGUCAAUAUGCAACUCGUUGCAUAUUGAACUUCACUUAACGUGUAGUGUUUGAUUGUGUGAAUUGCCUUGCCGUGUCUUGCAUGUAUUCAGCUCCUCAUGCAUCAUUGGUGUUGUGCAUCGUGUGGUGAAUUCCGUGUGUUGAUUGUGUUUCCGGUUUGCUUCGUCUCGAUAGUGUUCCGCAGCGUGCCGGAUUGUGAGGACCCGUUCGACUACGUCGGUUCGUCUGCUUCACGGAGGCAUUCUUCUUCCAAGCGGGAUCUCAGGCAAGAUGACCAUUUCCCCAGAUACCAUUACUAUCAUUUGUUGGGGAACGUCGCAUGGGAAACAAAAAAUUUCCUACGCGCACGAAGACUUAUCAUGGUGAUGUCCAUCUACGAGAGGGGAUGAGUGAUCUACGUACCCUUGUAGAUCGUACAGCAGAAGCGUUAGUGAACGCGGUUGAUGUAGUGGAACGUCCUCACGUCCCUCGAUCCGCCCCGCGAACAAUCCCGCGAUCAGUCCCACGAUCUAGUACCGAACGGACGGCACCUCCGCGUUCAGCACACGUACAGCUCGACGAUGAUCUCGGCCUUCUUGAUCCAGCAAGAGAGACAGAGAGGUAGAAGAGUUCUCCGGCAGCGUGACGGCGCUCCAGAGGUUGGUGAUGACCUUGUCUCAGCAGGGCUCCGCCCGAGCUCCGCAGAAACGCGAUCUAGAGGAAAAACCGUGGAGGUAUGUGGUCGGGCUGCCGUGGAAAAGUCGUCUCAAAUCAGCCCUAAAACCUCCGUAUAUAUAGGUGGGAGGGAGGGGAGGAGGCAGCCUCAAAACCUAAAGGUUUGGCCGAAAUUGGAGGUGGAGGAGUCCUACUCCAAUCCUACUUGGAGUAGGAUUCCACCUUCCCACUUGGAAACUCUUUCCACCUUGUGUUUUUUCUUUCUCAAACCUUAUGGGCCUUAGUGGGACUUAUUCCAGCCCACUAGGGGCUGGUUUAUCUCUUCCCAUAGCCCAUGAGACCCCUUGGGGCGUGAAACCCCUCCCGAUGGUCCCCGGCACCCCUCCCGGCACUCCCGGUACACUACCGAUGAGCCCGAAACUUUUCCGGUAAUGCACGAAAACCUUCCGGUAACCAAAUGAGGUCAUCCUAUAUAUCAAUCUUUGUUUCCGGACCAUUCCGGAAACCCUCGUGACGUCCGUGAUCUCAUCCGGGACUCCGAACAACAUUCGGUAACCAACCAUAUAACUCAAAUACGCAUAAAACAACGUCGAACCUUAAGUGUGCAGACCCUGCGGGUUCGAGAACUAUGUAGACAUGACCCGAGAGACUCCUCGGUCAAUAUCCAAUAGCGGGACCUGGAUGCCCAUAUUGGAUCCUACAUAUUCUACGAAGAUCUUAUCGUUUGAACCUCAGUGCCAAGGAUUCAUAUAAUCCCGUAUGUCAUUCCCUUUGUCCUUCGGUAUGUUACUUGCCCGAGAUUCGAUCGUCAGUAUCCGCAUACCUAUUUCAAUCUCGUUUACCGGCAAGUCUCUUUACUCGUUCCGUAAUACAAGAUCCCGGAACUUACAUUAAGUUACAUUGCUUGCAAGGCUUGUGUGUGAUGUUGUAUUACCGAGUGGGCCCCGAGAUACCUCUCCGUCACACGGAGUGACAAAUCCCUAGUCUCGAUCCAUACUAACUCAACGAACACCUUCGGAAAUACCUGUAGAGCAUCUUUAUAGUCACCCAGUUACGUUGCGACGUUUGAUACACACAAAGCAUUCCUCCGGUGUCCGUGAGUUAUAUGAUCUCAUGGUCAUAGGAACAAAUACUUGACACGUAGAAAAACAGUAGCAACAAAAUGACACGAUCAACAUGCUACGUCUAUUAGUUUGGGUCUAGUCCAUCACAUGAUUCUCCUAAUGAUGUGAUCCCGUUAUCAAGUGACAACACUUGCCUAUGGCCAGGAAACCUUGACCAUCUUUGAUCAACGAGCUAGUCAACUAGAGGCUUACUAGGGACAGUGUUUUGUCUAUGUAUCCACACAAGUAUUGUGUUUCCAAUCAAUACAAUUAUAGCAUGGAUAAUAAACGAUUAUCAUGAACUAAGAAAUAUAAUAAUAACUAAUUUAUUAUUGCAUCUAGGGCAUAUUUCCAACAGUCUCCCACUUGCACUAGAGUCAAUAAUCUAGUUCACAUCACCAUGUGAAUCCAACACCCAUAUAGUUAUGGGGUCUGAUCACGUCUUGCUCGUGAGAGAGGUUUUAGUCAACGGUUCUGAAACUUUCAGAUCCGUGCGUUCUUUACAAAUCUUUAUGUCAUCUUAUAGAUGCUGCUACUACGUGUUAUUCGGAAAUGCUCCAAAUAUCUACUCUACUAUACGAAUCCGUUUCACUACUCAUAGUUAUUCGGAUUAGUGUCAAAGCUUGCAUUGAUGUAACCCUUUACGACAAACUCUUUAACCACCUCCAUAAUCGAGAAAAAUUCCUUAGUCCAUUAGUUACUAAGGAUAAAUUUCGACCGCUGCUAGUGAUUCAAUCAUGGAUCACUCUCUGUACCUCUCAACAUACUUUGAGUCAAGGCACACAUCAGGUGCGGUACACAGCAUGGCAUACUUUAGAUUCUAUGGCUAAGGCAUAAAAGACGACCUUCGUCUAUUCUCUUUAUUCUACCAUGGUCGGGUUUUGAGUCUUACUCAAAUUCACACCUCACAACGCAACCAAGAACUCCUUCUUUGCUGAUCUAUUUUGAACUCCUUCAAAAACUUGUCAAGGCAUGCAUCUUGUUGAAACUUCCAUUAAGCGCUUUCGAUCUAUCUUCAUAGAUCUUUGAUGCUCAACGUUCAAGUAGCGCAAUCGAGGUAUUCCUUUGAAAACUCCUUUCAAACAACCUUAUAUGCUUUACAGAAAUUCUACAUUACUUCUGAUCCACAAUAUGUCAACCACAUAUACCUAUCAGAAAUUCUAUAGUGCUCCCACUCACUUCUUUGGAAAUACAAGUUUCUCAUAAACCUUGUACAAACCCAAAAUCUUUGAUCAUCUCAUCAAAGUGUAUAUUCCAACUCCGAGAUGCUUGCACCAGUCCAUUGAAGGAUCACUGGAGCUUGCAUACUUGCUAGUAUCUUUAGGAUCGACAAAACCUUCUGGUUGUAUCACAUACAAUGUUUGCCCAAGGAAACCGUCGAGAAAACAAUGUUUUGACAUCUUACGUGCAAUAUUUCAUAAAUAAUGCAUCAACAACUAACAUAAUUCUAACAGACCUUUAGCAUCGCUAUGAGUGAGAAAGUUUCAUCAUAGUCAACUGUAUGAUCUUGUCGAAAACAUCUUUGCGACAAGUCGACCUUUUCUUAACAGUGACUUGUCACCAUCAUUGUCUGUCUUCCUUUCAAAGAUUCAUCUCUACUCAAUAGUCUUAUGACCAUCAAGUAGUUCUUCCAAAGUCUACACUUUGUUUUCAUACAUGGAUCCUCUCUCGGAUUUCAUGGCUUCCAGCCAUUUGUCGGAAUCCGGGCCCACCAUCGCUUUCUCCAUAAUUCGUAGGUUCACUGUUGCUCAACAACAUGACCUCCAAGACAGGGUUACCGUACCACUCUGCAGUAGUACGCGACCUUGUCGACCUACGAGGCUUGUAGUAACUUGAUCCGAUGCUUGAUGAUCACCAUCAUCAGCUUCCACUUCAAUUGGUGUAGGCGCCACAGGAACAACUUCCUGCACCCUGCUACACACUGGUUGAAGUGAUGGUUCAGUAACCUCAUCAAGUUCUACUACCCUCCCACUCAAUUCUUUCGAGAGAAACCUUUCCUCGAGAAAGGAUCCGUUUCUAGAAACAAACACUUUGCUUUCGGAUCUGAGAUAGGAGAUGUACCCAACUGUUUUGGAUAUCCUAUGAAGAUGCAUUUAUCCGCUUUGGGUUCGAGCUUAUCAAACUGAAACCUUUUCACAUAAGUGUCGAAGCCCCAAACUUUCAAGAAACGACAGUUUAGAUUUCUCUAAACCUCAGUCUAUGCUGUGUCAUCUCAACGGAAAUACGCGGUGCCCUAUUUAAAGUGAAUGCGGUUGUCUCUAAUGCAUAACCCAUAAACGAUAGUGGUAAUUCGAUAAGAGACAUCACAGUAUGCACCAUACUAAAUAGUGCGUGGCUAUGACGUUCAGACACAUCAUCACACUAUGAUGUUCCAGGUGGCAUGACCUGCGAAACAAUUUCCACAUUGUCUUAACUGCGUACCAAAAACUCGUAACUCAGAUAUUCAUUUCUAUGAUCAUAUCGUAGACAGUUCAUCCUCUUGUUACGACGAACUUCACUCUGAAACGGAAUUGAACUUUUCAAUAUUUCAGACUUGUGAUUCAUUAAGUAAAUACUCCUGUAUCUACUCAAAUCGUCAGUGAAGUAAGAACAUAAUGAUAUCCACUGCGUGCCUCAGCACCCAUUGGACUUCAUACAUCAAAAUGUAUUACUUCCAACAAGUUACUAUCUUACUUCAUCUCAAUGAAAACAAGGCCUUGCUCAUGUGGUAUGAUUUGCAUGUCACCAGUGAUUCGAAAUCAGGUGAGUACAAAGAUCCAUCAGCAUGGAGCCUCUUCAUGCAAUUUAUACUAACAUGACUCAAGCGGCAGUGCCACAAGUAAGUGGUACUAUCAUCAUCAACUCGUAUCUUUUGGCACCAAUAUCAUGAACAUGUGUAACACUACGAUCGAGAUUCAAUAAACCAUUGAAGGUGAUUAUUCAAGAAAAUAGAGUAACCAUUAUUCUCUUUAAAUGAAUAAUCGUAUUGCAAUAAACACGAUCCAAUCAUGUUCAUGCUUAACGCAAGCACCAAAUAACAAUUAUUUAGGUUUAACACCAAUCCCGAUGGUAGAGGGAGCGUACGGCGUUUGAUCAUAUCAAUCUUGGAAACACUUCCAACACGUAUCGUCACCUCGCGUUUAGCUAGUCUCCGUUUAUGCCGUAGCUUUCAUUUCGCGUCACUAAUCACUUAGCAACCGAACCGGUAUCCAAUACCCUCGUGCUACUAGGAGUACUAGUAAAGUACACAUCAACAUCAUGUAUAUCAAAUACACUUCUUUCGACUUUUGCCAGCCUUCUUAUCUACCAAGUAUCUUGAGUUGCUCCGCCUCAGUGAUUGUUCCCCUCAUUACAGAAGCACUUAGUCUCGGGUUUGGGUUUAAUCUUGGGUCUCUUCAUUAGUGCAGCAACGGUUUUGCCGUUUCACGAAGUAUCCCUUCUAGCCCUUGCCUUUCUUGAAACUUAGUGGUUUUACAAACCAUCAACUAUUGAUGCUCCUUCUUGAUUUCUACUUUCGCAGUGUCAAACAUCGCGAAUCACUCAAGGAUCAUUGUAUGUAUCCUUGAUAUGUUAUAGUUCAUCACGAAGCUCUCACAGCUUGGUGGCAGUGACUUUGGAGAACUAUCACUAUCUCAUCUGGAAGAUUAACUCCCACUUGAUUCAAGCGAUUGUCGUACUCAGACAAUCUGAGCACAUGCUCAACGAUUGAGCCUUUUCUCCUGUGCUUUGUGGACAAAGAAUCUUGUCGGAGGUCUCGUACCUCUUAACAAGGGCACAAGCAUGAAAUCACAAUUUCAUCUCUUUAGAACAUCACUUAUGUUCCGUGACGUUUUACAACGUUUUCGGCGCCUUGCUUCUAAGCCAUUAAGUAUUUUGUACUGAACUAUCGUGUAGUCAUCAGAAACGUGUAUGUCGGAUGUUCACAGCAUCCACAGACGACGCUUGAGGUGCAGCACACCGAGUGGUGCAUUAAGGACAUAAGCCUUCUCUGCAGCAACGAGGACAAUCCUCGGUUUUACAGACUCAGUCUGCAAAGUUUGCUACUAUCAACUUUCAACUAAAUUUUCUCUAGGAACAUAUAAAACAGUAGAGCUAUAGCGCAAGCUACAUCGUAAUUCGCAAAGACCAUUAGACUAUGUUCAUGACAAUUAGUUCAAUUAAUCAUAUUACUUAAGAACUCCCACUCAAAAAGUACAUCUCUCUAGUCAUUUGAGUGGUACAUGAUCCAAAUCCACUAUCUCAAGUCCGAUCAUCACGUGAGUCGAGAAUAGUUUCAGUGGUAAGCAUCUCUAUGCUAAUCAUAUCAACUAUACGAUUCAUGCUCGACCUUUCGGUCUCAUGUGUUCCGAGGCCAUGUCUGCACAUGCUAGGCUCGUCAAGCUUAACCCGAGUGUUCCGCGUGCGCAACUGUUUUGCACCCGUUGUAUGUGGACGUUGAGUCUAUCACACCCGAUCAUCACGUGGUGUCUCGAAACGACGAACUGUAGCAACGGUGCACAGUCGGGGAGAACACAAUUUCGUCUUGAAAUUUUAGUGAGAGAUCACCUCAUAAUGCUACCAUCGUUCUAAGCAAAAUAAGGUGCAUAAAAGGAUUAACAUCACAUGCAAUUUAUAACUGACAUGAUAUGGCCAUCAUCACGUGCUUCUUGAUCUCCAUCACCAAAGCACCGGCACGAUCUUCUUGUCACCGGCGUCACACCAUGAUCUCCAUCAUCAUGAUCUCCAUCAACGUGUCGCCAUCGGGGUUGUCGUGCUACUCAUGCUAUUACUACUAAAGCUACGUCCUAGCAAAAUAGUAAACGCAUCUGCAAGCACAAACGUUAGUUAUAAAGACAACCCUAUGGCUCCUGCCGGUUGCCGUACCAUCGACGUGCAAGUCGAUAUUAUCUAUUACAACAUGAUCAUCUCAUACAUCCAAUAUAUCACAUCACAUCGUUGGCCAUAUCACAUCACAAGCAUACCCUGCAAAAACAAGUUAGACGUCCUCUAAUUUUGUUUUUGCAUGUUUUACGUGGUGACCAUUGGUAUCUAGUAGGAUCGCAUCUUACUUACGCAAACACCACAACGGAGAUAUAUGAGUUGCUAUUUGACCUCAUCCAAGGACCUCCUCGGUCAAAUCCGAUUCAACUAAAGUUGGAGAAACCGACACUUGCCAGUCAUCUUUGAGCAAUGGGGUUACUCGUAGCGAUGAAACCAGUCUCUCGUAAGCGUACGAGUAAUGUCGGUCCAAGCCGCUUCAAUCCAACAAUACCGCGGAAUCAAGAAAAGACUAAGGAGGGCAGCAAGACGCACAUCACCGCCCACAAAAACUUUUGUGUUCUACUCGAUAAGACAUCUACGCAUGAACCUAGCUCAUGAUGCCACUGUUGGGGAACGUCGCAUGGGAAACAAAAAUUUUCCUACGCGCACGAAGACCUAUCAUGGUGAUGUCCAUCUACGAGAGGUGAUGAGUGAUCUACGUACCCUUGUAGAUCGUACAGCAGAAGCGUUAGUGAACGCGGUUGAUGUCGUGGAACGUCCUCACGUCCCUCGAUCCGCCCCGCGAACAAUCCCGCGAUCAGUCCCACGAUCUAGUACCGAACGGACGGCACCUCCGCGUUCAGCACACGUACAGCUCGACGAUGAUCUCGGCCUUCUUGAUCCAGCAAGAGAGACGGAGAGGUAGAAGAGUUCUCCGGCAGCGUGACGGCGCUCCGGAGGUUGGUGAUGACCUUGUCUCAGCAGGGCUCCGCCCGAGCUCCGCAGAAACGCGAUCUAGAGGAAAAACCGUGGAGGUAUGUGGUCGGGCUGCCGUGGAAAAGUCGUCUCAAAUUAGCCCUAAAACCUCCGUAUAUAUAGGUGGGAGGGAGGGGAGGAGGCAGCCUCAAAACCUAAAGGUUUGGCCGAAAUUGGAGGUGGAGGAGUCCUACUCCAAUCCUACUUGGAGUAGGAUUCCACCUUCCCACUUGGAAACUCUUUCCACCUUGUGUUUUUUCUUUCUCAAACCUUAUGGGCCUUAGUGGGACUUAUUCCAGCCCACUAGGGGCUGGUUUAUCUCUUCCCAUAGCCCAUGAGACCCCUUGGGGCGUGACACCCCUCCCGAUGGUCCCCGGCACCCCUCCCGGCACUCCCGGUACACUACCGAUGAGCCCGAAACUUUUCCGGUAAUGCACGAAAACCUUCCGGUAACCAAAUGAGGUCAUCCUAUAUAUCAAUCUUCGUUUCCGGACCAUUCCGGAAACCCUCGUGACGUCCGUGAUCUCAUCCGGGACUCCGAACAACAUUCGGUAACCAACCAUAUAACUCAAAUACGCAUAAAACAACGUCGAACCUUAAGUGUGCAGACCCUGCGGGUUCGAGAACUAUGUAGACAUGACCCGAGAGACUCCUCGGUCAAUAUCCAAUAGCGGGACCUGGAUGCCCAUAUUGGAUCCUACAUAUUCUACGAAGAUCUUAUCGUUUGAACCUCAGUGCCAAGGAUUCAUAUAAUCCCGUAUGUCAUUCCCUUUGUCCUUCGGUAUGUUACUUGCCCGAGAUUCGAUCGUCAGUAUCCGCAUACCUAUUUCAAUCUCGUUUACCGGCAAGUCUCUUUACUCGUUCCGUAAUACAAGAUCCCGCAACUUACAUUAAGUUACAUUGCUUGCAAGGCUUGUGUGUGAUGUUGUAUUACCGAGUGGGCCCCGAGAUACCUCUCCGUCACACGAAGUGACAAAUCCCAGUCUCGAUCCAUACUAACUCAACGAACACCUUCGGAAAUACCUGUAGAGCAUCUUUAUAGUCACCCAGUUACGUUGCGACGUUUGAUACACAAAAAGCAUUCCUCCGGUGUCCGUGAGUUAUAUGAUCUCAUGGUCAUAGGAACAAAUACUUGACACGCAGAAAAACAGUAGCAACAAAAUGACACGAUCAACAUGCUACGUCUAUUAGUUUGGGUCUAGUCCAUCACAUGAUUCUCCUAAUGAUGUGAUCCCGUUAUCAAGUGACAACACUUGCCUAUGGCCAGGAAACCUUGACCAUCUUUGAUCAACGAGCUAGUCAACUAGAGGCUUACUAGGGACAGUGUUUUGUCUAUGUAUCCACACAAGUAUUGUGUUUCCAAUCAAUACAAUUAUAGCAUGGAUAAUAAACGAUUAUCAUGAACUAAGAAAUAUAAUAAUAACUAAUUUAUUAUUGCCUCUAGGGCAUAUUUCCAACAUCAUUGCCAUGCUAGUUUUACCGUUUCUAUCGAUUAUGUCUUGCUGCCUACCACAUGUUAAAUACCAGCCUCUCAACAAUGCCAUGAUAACCUUCAACCUGUUCAACCUAGCAAACCACUGAUUGGCUAUGUUACUGCUUGCUUAACCCUAUGUUAGCGUCGCUAGUUGCAGGUGCAGUUUCUUCCAUGUGAAAGCAUGGGUUCCUUGUUAUAUCACCAUAUUAAUUUGCUAUUUAAUUUAAUGCACCUAUAUACUUGGUAAAAGGUGGAAGGCUCGGCCUUUCUAGCCUGGUGUUUUGUUCCACCUUUGCCCCCUUAGUUUUCGGCUACCGGUGUUAUGUUCCAUAAAUGAGCGCUCCUAACACGAUCGGGGUUGUUAUGGGGACCCCCUUGAUAAUUCGUUUUAGAUUAAAGCUGGUCUGGCAAGGCCCAACUUUGGUACUACAUUUGCCUAAUAACCUAAUAAUAAUGCAUAGGGACCCGCCGGCACCCGAGGAAAUUUAAUCAACCCCCGGGCCAGUGCUCCUCAUGAGUGUUGGUCCAAAUUGGCAGACUACGGGGCCACCGCGGGGCAACCCGAGGUUUGGUAUCUCCUAGUGUGACCCAUCCGUCGUGUCCUGAGAACGAGGUACGCGACUCCUAUCGGGAUCGUCGACACGUCGGGCGGCCUUGCUGGAUUAGUUUUACCUUUGACGAAAUAUCUUGUGCAUCGGGAUUCCGGUGAUGCUUUGGGUAAUCUCAGAGUUCAGGUUUUCCACUAGGGAAUCCGACGAGAUCGCGAGCUUCGUGAUUGAGGAUUUCUAUGCGGCUUGUGGUAAUUUGUGAUGGACUAGUUGGAGCACCCCUGCAGGGUUAAAUCUUUUCGGAAAGUCGUACCCGCGGUUAUGUGGCAACGUGGAAACUUUGUUUAACACUGGUUCUAGAUAACUUGAAGUUAACUUAAUUAAAAGAUGCCAACUGUGUGCGUAACCAUGACUGUCUCUUUCAUGAGUUCCUUCUCUGAUCGAGGACACGGUGGGGUUAUGUAUGACGUAGGUAGGUGUUCAGGAUCAUUCAUUUGAUCAUGAGUAGUUCACGUCCGUUAUGCGUAGAUCUUCCCCCUCUUAUUUCUGGUACUUGUAAGUUUAGCCACCAAAUAUAUGCUUAGCCGCUGCUGCAACCCCACCACUUAACCAUGCCUCACCCAUUAAGCUUUGCUAGUCUUGAUACCUUUGGAAAUGAGAUUGCUGAGUCCCAUGUGGCUCACAGAUUACUACAACACCAGUUGCAGGUACAGGUAAAGGUUACUUGACGCGAGCGCGUUGAUUGUUCAUUUGGAGUUGCUUCUUCUUCUUCUUCAUCAUCGAUCUAGGAUGGGUUCCAGGCCGGCAGCCUGGGAUAGCAAGGAUGGACGCCGUUCUUCUUUUCUCGUUCGUUUUCGUCCAUAGUCGGACUCUGCUCUUACUCUUGAUGAUUAUGUAAUGUAUUGAUGUGACUCUGAUGUAGCUUGUGGCGAGUGUAAGCCAAUUCUAUUAUAUCUCUUCUUUUCAGUACUUGUACUUGUAACGAUAUCCAUUCUUGCGACACGACGAGAUGCGCUUCUAUCCCUGACGAGGCCUUCGUGCCAAAUUGAGGAUAGGGUCGCAUCUUGGGCGUGACAGGUUGAGAAAAGGAGAGGGAGACGAUCUAUCUUUUGAUUGGAACAACUCUCAAAGGGGCUCACAAAUGCUCUUGGGAUCUAAGAUUUAGUGUGAGCAAAUGUGUGUGAGGUAGAAAUGUGUUCUUAUGAGGAUAUGGCUGUUUUGGGCACCCUCUCACGAAGUGGGAGGGGGGUAUUUAUAGUGGAGAAGGGAAAGUGACCGUUGGGGUCACUUAAGUCUGACAGUGGUCGGACGUCCGACAGUUCUCGGACGUCCGGACGCCCACAAGGGGUCAGACGUCCGACAGGGGUCGGUCGUACAAGGGAUGUACAUAUAUCAGGAACCACUGUGAAGUCGAACAGGGACCGGACGUCCGGAGGAAGCUGGAUGUCCGAGACUUUGGCUCUGUUCAAGGGCACCGGAUUUCCGAAGGAGGUCGGACGUCCGGCCCUCGGACGACAAGAGGAGGCCGGAAGUCCGUGUUAUUUGACUCAAAUUUCUCUGGUGCAAAGUUCCGGUUUUCCGAAGUGGUCGGGCAUCCGGCCCUCGAACGUCCGGAGAGAGACGGAAGUCCGAGUUAUUUGACUCUGGAUUUCUCUGGUAUAAGGUUCCGGAUUUCCGAAGUGGUCGGGCGUCCGUCCCUCGGACGUCCGGAGGAAGCCGGAUGUCUGAGGCAUUGGUUCUGUUUUCAUAUAACAGCAGAGCAGUGGAGAUGUGGUAUGAGCAGAAAAGUAGAGAUGUAGUUUGAGCAAGUUCAUCGCAAAACCUGUGAUCCCCUCUUAAUAGUGCGGGAUCCCUAAAGACUCAAGAAUCAUAAAAGGGUACUGAUGAUCCAUACUUGAGUGUAUACUUUUAUUCGCUGAUCAUCACUCCGCACCACUAACGUCAAAGGAACUGAUACCUUUGAGUUAGCCCUUUCACUUGAGCUUGAUGUUGUUGUUCCUUCUUGGCUCAAGUUGAAAGCAAGACAUGAUGAAGUCUUCAAGUAGCUCUCCCAUACACAAUGUGGAAAGCCUAGCUUAUGUAUUCAUCUUCAUUUGUCCACCAUGUGAACAUCCACAAGAAUCAAGCAUGUAAUGCUCAGGAAUGCUUAUCUUGAUCUUGUACUUUUUAGCACAUGAGCUUGUCCUUAUCAACACAUGAUCAUUAACAAUAGCUUAAAGGGGAUUAGUGAUUAGUUAUCUAUAUGUGUGUCGUCAGCAACACCAAAACACGAUUAAGGGCAUGACUGCACUUUCAAUCUACCCCUUUUUGGUAGUUGAUGACAACAUACAUAUAGCUCUCAAAAAUAGUAAUAAACAUGUGUGGCUUAGGAUAGAUUUGUUACGAUGCUUAUGAAGCUCCCCCUGAUUAUAUGCAUAGUAAAAUAGGUAAGUGCGGGAGCUCCCCCUUAAUGCGUGCUUUGAAGAUAAUAGCAUGAUAUAACAUUACACCAUAAUAGUUCAACAAUACAUAGCAUAUCAUAAGAAUCAAUAAUUCAUAGCAUAUCAUAUGAAUCAAGGCAUAUCAUAUGAAUCAAUAGGAUAGCAUAAAACUCAUCAUCAUAUGACACAACGAUAAUAUCAUGAUAUCUCAUCACCACAUGAUAGUUUAACAAUACAUCAUCCAUAAGUGAUGGCAUAGCACAUCAUCCAUAAGUAUCGUUACAUGAUGACACAUCAUUAAGUUCGACAUAAUACAUCAUACCAUACGUUAUGAGAGAAACUAAAAUCGAAACUAAGAUAAGAUAAUGUCCUCCCCCUUUGGCAUCAAGGACCAAAAAGGAAGGAACCCGGCAAUGCUACCACAUACUCAAAUAUCACCCUCACCAACAUCAUCAUCAUCAGUCAUCAUCCUCAUCAUCCUCAUUGAAACUGCAUGCUAUGCCCCUAAUCGACUUUUGGUGUUAAUGACAACACAUACAUAGGAAACUAAUCCUAUUUGUUGAGUGUAUCUCAGGAUGGCAAGUACUUUAGUAAAUUGAGAAUUAUGUGCCAAAAGGUUGUCUCAGAAGAUUGGGAUUUAUAUUUCGAGAAGGCUCGGGAUUAAGGAAAGAUGAUGUAGAGUAGUCUUUUGAGUUUAUUGAUAUUGAGUAUAGGGAUCCCGCACUAUUAAGAGGGGAUCACAUGUUUUUGCGAUGAACUUGCUCAUACCACAUCUUCACUGUCAUACCCAAUGCCACAUAUUCUCCACUCUGUUCUUAUCUCAAAACAGGUUUAUUGCCUCGGACAUCCGGCUACCUCCGGACGUCCGAGGGCCGGACGACCGGCAGGCUUCGGAAAUCCGGAGCCCUUCACCAGAAGUUUGCGAGUCGUAUAACUCGAAAAUCCGGCUUCCUCCGGACGUCCGAGGGCCGGACGACCGGCAGGCUUCGGAAAUCCGGAGCCCCUCACCAGAAGUUUGUGGUUCAUAUAACUCAGAAAUCUGGCUCCCUCCGGACAUCCGACCAGCCCCGGAAAUCCGGAGCCGUGCACCAGUAGAACAUGAGCUCUAUAACUCAGAUUUCCGGCUCCCUCCGGACGUCCGAGGGCCGGACGUCCGUUCCUCUUCGGAAAUCCGGAACCACCCACCAGUAGCAGUUGAGUCGAAUAACCCGGAAUUCCGGUCCUCUCCGGACGUCCGGUCACUAUUCAAUAUACAGUAUUUUCAGUCAUAUCUAUAGGCCUCGGACGACCGAACCCUGUCGGACGUCCGACCCCUCGCGGACGCCCGGACGUCCGGCAACUGUCGGACGUCCGGACCCUGUGUGACUUAAAGUGCCCCCAACGGCUGGAUUUCACUCCCCACUAUAUAUAUACUCUUCUCCCACCUCGGGAAAGGGUGUUCAACACAGCUAGAAUACACCCAAGAACACCUUUCCUCUCACUCACUCUUGUCUACACCAAAUCCUAGAUCCCAAGAGCAUUUGUGAGUCCCUUUGAGUGUUUGUUCCAAUCAAAAGAUAGAUUGUCUCCCUCUCCUCCUUCCCACCAAAGUGAUUUGUGAUUUGAGCAAGUUUUGAGCAAUCCCCGUGAUCUUGUUACUCUUGCAGGUUGGAGACUCCUAGGCGGUAGGAGUCUUCGGAGAGGAACCAAACCAUUGUGAUAUCCCCCGGAAAGUUUGUGAAGGUUUGGAAGCCACCUCAAGGCUUACCACUACUGGUUGAGAAACGCCUUCGUGGAGUUAUCUCAAAGGGAGAAUAGGGUGAGCCUUCGUGGCGUUGGUGUGCCUUCGUUGUAACAUCCGCCCCUCUAACGGUGACGUAGCUUCCCUCCAAGGAAGUGAACAUCGGGAUACAUCCUUGUCUCUCUUGGAGUUUCGGUUAUUCCUAACCCUAACUCUCUACUUGUGUUAAUCCUUAUUACGUACUUGUAUUUGAUUAUUGUUUACCGCUUGCCUUACCUCACUCUAAAUAGCUUACUCCUUGUCAUAGCAAUUAUUAGGCUUACACCCAUAUUCCGCACUUUUGCCUAAAAUUGCUAAGUAAUUAUUAAAAUUUGGAUUUGUACCUAUUCACCCCCCUCUAGGUCCAUCUCGAUCCUUUUCAAUUGGUAUCAGAGCCUCGUGCUCUAUUCUUGUGGCUUAACCGCCCUAGAGCGAGAUGGACGGGGUUCCAGCUACGGUAGCUCCAGUGCAGAGGGACAGGACUUCCUCGGAAGUCAAGUCUUUCACCUCUGAGGACCUAGAACGGGCCCUUGCCAAGCAAAGAGAGGAGCAUGAUGCUUCUCUUGAGACCAUGGUCCAAAUGAGACUAGCAUCACUAACCACGGGGACAACCACGUCCCCGAGGGCCUCAGGGCCACAUGUGCAUGGUACUUCAUCUGGCCAACAACCUCCGGAAAGGAACCAAACUAGUGUUCCAUGGCUUUAUGCUAGAUCUCAAAUUGAGAAACCUAAGUACAAUCCUGGAGGAAAACCUCCCUUGCUUGAUGACAAUUCUGAUUUUGCUUUGUGGAGAGUUGGUAUGCAGGAUCAUCUUAGGUACGCCAAUGAUAAGAUGUUGGACAUCCUCGAGCAUGGGUACAAUCCUGUAGAUCCAAGGUGCCUCACUCCGAGAUAAACUUAUGACAAGCAUCUCAAUGACACUGCGAUCAUGUGCAUAAGAAAAGGAAUGAAUGACAAGCAACGAAGACCUUACAUUCACAUCACAAGUGCCAAGGAACUGUGGGAUAGCAUUAUAAGGAUCAAGACCGGUACCUCCACUCUUCGGUUUGCUCAAUAUGAAAUUGCCAAGGGGCAAUUACAAAAUUUCUGUAUGGAAAAGGGUGAAUCUCCCAAGCAACUACUAGAACGGCUCAUGACUCUCGCCGCACACAUUGAGUCAUGUGACUGUGACAAGACGCAAGAUGGUUUCAAUCUGACCAAGAGAUUUCUUGUGGACAAGUUACUUCAUGCUCUUGCUCCGUAUCACCAUCAAAUGGUAUGGGACAUGAGGCAGCACCAUGGGUUCAAAGAAAUGACUCCAGAUGACAUCAUAUCCACUUUCCAAUUAUUCGAAGAGUCAAAAGCAAAUGCAACAAAGCACCUUGCCAUGCAUGGCACUUCAACAUCAAAGAUCAAUCUUGCUUUGAAAUCCAAGCAUGAAUGUGACGAAGAAGAAAGUGAAGAAGAAGAGGGUGAUGAUGACUGCUAAGAUGGUGAUGAGGUUGACUCUGAUGAAAGCCCAUCUUAUGAGGACAUUGCUCUCUUUGUAAAGAAGUUCAGUGCAGGAAAGUUCAAGGGAAGAUUCCCAAAGAAGAAGGUAAGGAAAUGCUAUAACUGUGAGGAAACCAACCACUUCUCCAAUGACUGCCCUUAUGAGAAGAGAGAAGACAAACCAAGGUUUCCAAAGACCUUUGUAAAGAAGAAGUUGCCAAACCCUAUGAACUCCAAGUUCAAGAGGACAGAUGGAAGAGCAAUGGUUGCACAUGAAGAAUCAGAUCCAGAAGAUGUUGGUGGAGUUGCCGGAGUAGCUUAGGAUACACAAAACACCUUGAGGCUAGUCAACAAAAGUGGUGAUGUUGUUCACUACAACUAUAUGAAGGACUACAAGGGCAACGCUCACAAGUGUUUGAUGGCAAAGACUGCCAUGGGAGAUGAGGAAGACCAAAGCUCCCACGAUAAGGUUAAGGUAACUCCACGGUUAAACUCUUUCAGUCUAGCUUCUACUUCAUCUGAUGAGUAUCUUGAUGCGGAAGAUCACUAUGAGGAUAAUGACUUAGAUCAUCCCAUGUUUGCUAAAAUAAAAAAAAUUAUGUGCUCUCUUAAAGGAAAGAAGCUCACUAUGUUUCGCAUACUUAUGGAAAUGGUGAGUAAGCACACCAAUACCAUCAAGGAACUCGAAACCCUCGUCACUGAGGAGAAGGAAAGAAAUGAAAUCCUUGAGCAGAAAGUCAUGUAUGAGGAAGCACAAAAUGAUGCUCUAUGCUCAAAAGUAGGUAAAAACCUUGAUAAACAUGCUAAUGAUCUUGCCUCCUUGAAAAAGGCUGAAUCUGUGUGCAAAGAAUUACUAAAUGAUAAAAACCGACUUGUGAACUCUCACUUCCCUUUCUAAGGACUGUGAGCGUCUAUCCUCGUCUCUCAAAGACAAGGAAGAGAAACUCACUGUUCUUACAAAGAGCUUUGAGGCACUUAAGGUUACUUAUCUUGACACUCUAGCUAAGGCCUACUCCUCACCUAUCAUUAAUGUUGAUACUUGCACUACUAACUCUAGUAGUGAACUGACAUCUAUCCUUAAGGAAAACUGCUCGCUAAAGGCACAGUUAGAGAGAGGUCUCAUGACAUGUGCACAAGGACAAAAGACUCCCAAUGAGAUCUUAAGUCGACACAAUGGAGGCUUCGCCAAGGAAGGCCUUGGGUUCAACCCAAGCACUGCCAAGAAAAGUGCAUCUCCUCUCAAGUGUACCACUCCGCUUAAAGAAAUAUUUGUACGAGAGGGACACAAGGAGAAAGGUAAGGUUGUGAGUGGAUCGGCCACUAGGGGUUCGCCUACUCACAACAAGACAACCGAAUUCAUGCCUCCAUCCUAUGUACUCCGCAAAUCAAAGGAAGGAGAGGUCUAUGCUAAAUUCGUUGGUCCCCGUAAUGCAUUCCGAUUCUAUGCUAUUUGGGUCCCUAAGACUCUUGUGACUAAUGUGAAAGGCCCCAUGACAAAAUGGGUACCUCAAACCAAGUCUUAAUUUGUUACAGGCUGUUUUCUCCGGAGCAGCCAAAUGGGUGAUCGACAGUGGAUGCACCAAUCAUAUGACCGGAGAUAGUAACUUGCUCUAUGACUUCAUGCAAGCCAUUCGACCAUACAUGAGCAUUGUAUUUGGUGGAGGGUCGAAAGGGCAUGUAAUUGGGUUGGGCAAGGUGGCAAUCACUAAUGACAUGUCUAUUGCAAAUGUCAUGCUUGUCCAAUCUCUUCAAUAUCAUUUACUCUCAGUUCUCCAAUUGGCUUCCGUCGGUUAUGACACAUUAUUUGGACUAACGGAUGUGAAAGUCUUUAAGAGAGACACUCUCGAAGUGGCCUUUGUUGGAGAGUUGGAUGGCAACCUUUACACGGUUGAUUUCUCGAAAGAGAGCACCUUCCAUACAACUUGUCUAAUGGCCAAGGCCGACGUGGGAUGGCUGUGGCAUCGCCGGCUCGCCUGUUGGCAUGAAAAAUCUUAAAAAUCUCUUAAACGGCAAUCACACUCUUGGACUAACAAAUGUAUCUUUUAAGAAAGAUCGUGUGUGCAGUGCAUUCAUAGCUGGGAAACAACAUCAAUCAAAACAUCCACCCAAGAACAUUGUAUCCACUUCGAGGCCGUUAGAGCUCCUUCAUGUGGAUCUGUUUGGGCCUCCUUCAUGGGCAAGUCUUGGAGGGAAAAAGUAUGGCCUAGUCAUUGUUGAUGAUUACUCAAGAUAUACAUGGGUGUUCUUUCUCAAGUCCAAGGACGAGACGAAGUUCACUUUCAUUGAUUUUGCCAAACAAGCCCAGCAAAAGUUUGACAAGGACAUCAAGGCAGUAAGAAGUGAUAAUGGCUCUGAGUUCAAGAACUACACCCUAGAAGAAUUUCUUAGUGAUGAGGGAAUUGAACAUCAGUACUCCGCACCUUACACCCCUCAACAAAAUGGUGUGGCAGAGAGGAAGAACCGGACACUUGUGGAGAUGGCAAGGUCCAUGUUAGACGAAUACAAGUCGCCAGAUAGUUUUUGGGCCGAGGCCGUCAACACAGCAUGUCAUGCAUCAAACCGGCUCUUUCUUCGAUCAAUAUUGGAGAAGACUCCAUAUGAGUUCCUAACUGGGAACAAGCCCAAUGUUAAGUAUUUUCGUGUGUUUGGAUGCAAGUGUUUCAUCCUCAACAAACGGGAACGGUUAGGAAAAUUUCAAUCCAAAACAACUGAAGGGAUUUUUGUUGGCUAUGGGUCAAACUCUCACGCCUACAGAGUCUACAACAAAUCCACUGGAUGUGUUAUAGAAACCUGUGACGUGACGUUUGAUGAAUUUAACCGCUCCCAUGGGGAGCAAGUUGAUCUAAAUGAUGCAGGUGAAGAAGACUCCCCACAAGAUAUCUUAAACAUGGGUGUAGGUGCACUUCUUCCAAUGGAACAAAGACCCCAUGAUGAUGAUGAAGAUGAUGAGAGUAGUUCUCAUCCUCAAGACAUUUCACUGCCCGUACCUCCACCAGAUACUAGCACACACAUCAUACCAGUCGUUGAGGAUCAAGUGGGAGAACAUGUCUCUCACCCUGAUCACACUCAAGAACAAGUUGAUCUUCAAGAGGUAGACCAAAGUAUGGGUAUGUAUGAUGAUGAACCUCAACAAGUGCAGCGCGAAGAGGAAUAUCUUCCUCCGCACAUAAAUAAUCCAUAUGUUGAGGACGUUGAUGAUGGAAACGAAGUCGAACCUCGUGAAACCUUGACCUCCAUCAUGCCACGUGUGGCCGGUCGUGUUGAUAUUGAUCAAAUCCUCACCGGCGUGUCGGAAGGUAGAGUGACUCGUAAACAAUUAACAAACUUUUGUGCUCACUUUUCGUUUUUCUCUAGUACUGUGCCACACAGGGUUCAGGAUGCAUUGUGUGACAAUGACUGGCUUCUUGCUAUGCAAGAGGAGCUAAACAGUUUUACACGCAACGAAGUAUGGUCAUUGGUAGAACGACCAACUAAGGACCAUAAUGUCAUUGGAACUAAAUGGAUUUUCAAGAACAAGGAAGAUGAGAAUGGGACCGUCCUACGAAACAAGGCAAGGUUAGUAGCACAGGGGUACUCCCAAGUUGAAGGUUUGGACUUUGGUGAAACCUUCGCCCCUGUUGCUCGUCUUGAGUCCAUUCGCAUUUUAUUGGCCUAUGCUGCUUUCAAUGGUUUUACUUUGCAUCAAAUGGAUGUGAAAAGUGCUUUUCUUAACGGUCCUCUACAAGAAGAGGUAUAUGUAUCACAACCACCUGGGUUUGUUGACCCUCACCACAAAGACCAUGUAUAUAAACUUCACAAGGCUCUGUAUGGCCUCAAACAAGCGCCUCGUGCUUGGUACGAUCAUCUUAAGAAGUUCCUACUCGAUGAUGGCUUUGUGAUGGGGGUGAUCGAUCCCACUCUUUUUACUAAGAGGGAAAAUGGUGAUUUGAUCUUAUGCCAAAUCUAUGUAGAUGACAUCAUUUUUUGUUCUCCUAACAUCCAUUUAUGCAAGAAGUUUGCGGCUUCCAUGACCAAGACCUUUGAGAUGUCACUCAACACAGACUUGAAGUUCUUUCUUGGUUUUCAAAUACAACAAUUUCAAGAAGGGAUUUUCUUGUCUCAAACUAAGUAUCUCAAGGACAUUCUUGAAAAAUUUGAUAUGACAAAUGCUAAACCAAUGAAGACUCCCAUGGCCACCGAUGUAGUUCUAAAUGAAGACACAAACGGUAUUCCUUUUGACCCAUCUACUUACCGCUCCAUGAUUGGUUCGCUACUUUAUCUUUGCGCAUCUAGACCGGACAUCAUGUUAAGUGUAGGCAUAUGUGCUAGAUUUCAAGCUUCCCCUAGGGAAAGCCAUCACACGGCGGUUAAGCAUAUUCUUAGAUACCUUGUUCACACCCCAAAGUUAGGCUUAUGGUACCCUAAGGAUGCAAAGUUUGAUCUUAUUGGGUAUUCCGAUGCGGAUUGGGCCGGUGAUAAAGUGGGACGGAAAUCCACUUCCGGUGCAUGUCAGUUUCUUGGAUGCUCCUUGGUAAGUUGGUCCUCGAAAAAGCAGAACUGUGUUUCUCUCUCCACGGCCGAGGCCGAAUAUAUUGCAGCCGCAAGCUGUGCAACCCAACUGUUAUGGAUGAGGCAAACACUAAAGGAUUAUGGUAUCACGUAUCGACACGUUCCUCUUCUCUGUGAUAAUGAAAGUGCCAUAAAGAUCUUCGAGAACCCCAUUGAUCACCCUCGCACAAAACAUAUUGAUAUUAGGUAUCAUUUCUUGAGAGACCAUGUGCAAAAGGGUGACAUUGAUAUUACCCAUGUGGGUACCGACAUGCAGUUAGCCGACAUCUUCACCAAGCCACUUAGCGUUGCUAGGUUCUAUCAACUUAGGCGUGAACUUGGUAUCUUGGAGCUUGACAACAUAUCUUGAAACCUUGCACACAUACACACACUCACAUUAUGUUUGUGUCUUGAUGUGGGCAUGCAUCUAGGGGGGAGAGUGAGUCUUAAUUUUCUGUUUAUAAAGCUUACAAUGUACGCAUAAAUCAAUUUUUGUCCCCAAGUAGUACAUGCAAUGCUUGUAGGCUACUAUGUACGUACUUUUUGUGAGAAACCAUGCAAGUCAUCAUCACAUCAUCAAAACAAAAAUCCAGAAUCAGCCUCUGCCUCCUCCUCCCUCUCGGACGUCCGGCGGCAAACUCCCUUCCGGUCGUCCGACGCCACAAUCACCUCCGGACGUCCGACGCCUGUCGGACGUCCGACGCCUCGGGCCUAUAUAUACAGCUGGGCGCGGGGGAUGGGCUCUUGCCCUAACCCUCAGCGCCCCUUUUCCCUACCCCAGCCGCCGCCGCCAGCUCGAGGAGCUCCUGCAUGCGCCGCCAAACUCGAGAUCGGGCCGAUCUCCUCCGCGGAUCCUCCACUCCUUCCUCUUUCUUCUUCGCGGGAUCCGUCCUCAGGUCGCUCCUCCGUAUCCUUUCGCGUUUGUUUUGGUUCUCUCCCUCUCCCAUGAAUCUCCAUUGUUUGUUCCUCAUUUGGGGAUUUUUCAUCCGCGUAGGUUUUUGUGCUUCAUGGGCAAGACCAAGCACAGCGCUCGGAAAACGUGGCUGGCUCAUCAUCUCGCGCCCCUACCACGGGUUCGGACUCGGAUGAGCCACGUCAUCCUUUCAAACGGACUGCCCGGCGUUCUCCGGCCCGGCGUUCUCCGUCUCCACAACUCCCCUCGUCGUCUGAUGGUGAUGACCCCAACUUCGAGGAGGAGCUUGCCGCCGAGGACCUUCCUGACCAGCACGUCGAUUGAAGGUCCAACCAAAGCCCGGGACUCGCAGGGCGUCCUACAUGCCAUCACCUCCUCCUGCCCAGCCCGCAGGUGAAGCUCGCCGCAUCUCACUAGAACCUCCUGCUACUUUAGGUCGUGCAAUCACGAACUUCACCACACUUGGCGCGGCUUCAUACCUCACUUUCCGCCGCGACCUUGAUCCAUACGCUGUCGUACGUGACUCUACGGACUCACGUUUCCGCACAAACAUCGAGGCGGACAUCUUUACCACAGUCAUAGUACCUAAAGGUUUAUCUGUUCAUCUCUAUAUUGAUGUUCAGCAUAUUCGCACGCACCCGGCGAAAUAUCCGGGUGCCAUUGAGCUUAUUGAGGCAUCGGGGCUUGCCGCCCCGUUUGCCUUUCAUCGCGACUUUAAUAGUGCUGCCAUUCACCAGUUCUAUGCCACAUGCUACUUUGGUCCAAACCACACUGUCAGCUGGAUCACCUCUGACGUUCGUUUCACCGCUACUUAUGAUACAUUUGUUGCCGCACUUGGUUUCCCCAACUCCGGUUUUAAAAUACAUAGGGAUGAUCCUAACCAUGCGCAUAAGUUCAUUGACGCGUGUGGGUACCUUCUUAAACCACUAAGUGAGCUUGAUGUGGAUGAACGCCUGAAGGACCUUAACCAGGUAUCCAUCUGGCGAUCACCUUACUUCAUCAUUUUUCAGUGUCUCAUCCGCACCAUCUAUCCCAAGAUGGGUGAUAAGGGCUCUUGCAGUCGCUAUUGUAUUGACAUCAUGUCUCACUUGUUCGAGCACCCUAAGGGCAAAAUUAAUGUGCCUCAUUUUCUAUGGCAUGAGAUUCGGCUUGCUAGCUUUCAGUACAAGCGAGCCUUUCCUCAUGCCCCCUUCAUCCAGGCUCUUAUUAAUCAUGUAGCUGAUUUCUCUGUGGCUGUCACUCACACACAUCGCAAGUGGGUCAUUCCCGCUCACAUGGCGGAUAACUAUGCUCACAAGAAACCCCCCUCAUCCUCCACAUCCACUCGCCGCACUGCUGCCGGUCCGCCACCCCCUCAUCUAGCUCUGCUCCUCUCGGUCGCAUUGCCAAAUUCCUUGGCAAGGCCCAUUCUACUUUGAUGAAGGUCGUCUCUUUCCAGUGUGGCCAAACCCAUGAUGUGGUUUCUCGCUUAGUCUCCUCCAAGAAUGCCCUCAAGGCUCGUCUGAGAGCCUCGGGCGCUCUUGAUGUGAGUGAUGAUGAGGCCACUCCUGCUGCUCCUCCUACUGAUUUUGGUUUCCCAUCUGGUCCUGAGUGGGCUGAUUUCAUUGACGAGGCUGGUGGCAGUGGCUUGCCUGAUGAUGAUGAUGCUGAUGAGCUCUGAGCGUGGUUGUUGUUGUUGGUAUCUCCCUUUUUGGUACUUGGUGCCAAAGGGGGAGUAAUGUAUCGUAGUUUUAGUCUUUGGAGAUUUAAUGUAAUGGAUAAAUUCAUGUAUGGCUACUUAUGAAUGAUUGUGAUUUGCUAUGGAUUGCUAUGAUAUCAUCAUAGACUAUUAUGGUUUGCUCCACUCUCUCUAUGAUGAUCUAUUAUCUCUACAUGAUUGAUCCAUUGGAGCUUUGAUAUUUUAUCAUGCAUAUACUAAGGGGGAGCUCCGUACUAAAUAUCUCCUAGGCUAUAAUGUAUGUUAAAUCCUUUUGAGACCUAUGUAUAUGUUGUCAUCAACUACCAAAAGGGGGAGAUUGAAAGUGCAUGCUAUGCCCCUAAUCGACUUUUGGUGUUAAUGACAACACAUACAUAGGAAACUAAUCCUAUUUGUUGAGUGUAUCUCACAAUGGCAAGUACUUUAGUAAAUUGAGAAUUAUGUGCCAAAAGGUUGUCUGAGAAGAUUGGGAUUUAUAUUUCGAGCAGGCUCGGGAUUAAGAAAAGAUGAUGUAGACUAGUCUUUUGAGUUUACUGAUAUUGAUUAUAGGGAUCCCGCACUAUUAAGAGGGGAUCACAGGUUUUUGCGAUGAACUUGCUCAUACCACAUCUUCACUGUCAUACCCAAUGCCACAUAUUCUCCACUCUGUUCUUAUCUCAAAACAGGUUUAUUGCCUCGGACAUCCGGCUACCUCCGGACGUCCGAGGGCCGGACGACUGGCAGGCUUCGGAAAUCCGGAGCCCUUCACCAGAAGUUUGCGAGUCGUAUAACUCGGAAAUCCGGCUUCCUCCGGACGUCCGAGGGCCGGACGACCGACAGGCUUCGGAAAUCCGGAGCCCCUCACCAGAAGUUUGUGGUUCAUAUAACUCGGAAAUCCGGCUCCCUCCGGACAUCCGAGGCCCGGACGUCCGACCAGCCCCGGAAAUCCGGAGCCGUGCACCAGUAGAACAUGAGCUCUAUAACUCGGAUUUCCGGCUCCCUCCGGACGUCCGAGGGCCGGACGUCCGUUCCUCUUCGGAAAUACGGAACCACCCACCAGUAGCAGUUGAGUCGAAUAACCCGGAAUUCCAGUCCUCUCCGAACGUCCGGUCACUGUUCAAUACACAGUAUUUUCAGUCAUAUCUACAGGCCUCGGACGACCGACCCCCGUCGGACGUCCGACCCCUCGCGGACGCCCGGACGUCCGGCAACUGUCGGACGUCCGGACCCUGUGUGACUUAAAGUGCCCCCAACGGCUGGAUUUCACUCCUCACUAUAUAUAUACUCUUCUCCCACCUCGGGAAAGGGUGUUCAACACAGCUAGAAUACACCCAAGAACACCUUUCCUCUCACUCACUCUUGUCUACACCAAAUCCUAGAUCCCAAGAGCAUUUGUGAGUCCCUUUGAGUGUUGUUCCAAUCAAAAGAUAGAUCGUCUCCCUCUCCUCCUUCCCACCAAAGUGAUUUGUGAUUUGAGCAAGUUUUGAGCAAUCCCCGUGAUCUUGUUACUCUUGGAGGUUGGAGACUCCUAGGCGGUAGGAGUCUUCGGAGAGGAAUCAAACCAUUGUGAUAUCCCCCGGAAAGUUUGUGAAGGUUUGGAAGCCACCUCAAGGCUUACCACUAGUGGUUGAGAAACGCCUUCGUGGAGUUAUCUCAAAGGGGGAAUAGGGUGAGCCUUCGUGGCGUUGGUGUGCCUUCGUGGUAACAUCCGCCCCUCUAACAGUGACGUAGCUUCCCUCCAAGAAAGUGAACAUCGGGAUACAUCCUUGUCUCUCUUGGAGUUUUGGUUAUUCCUAACCCUAACUCUCUACUUGUGUUAAUCCUUAUUACGUACUUGUAUUUGAUUAUUGUUUACCGCUUGUCUUACCUCACUAUAAAUAGCUUACUCCUUGUCAUAGCAAUUAUUAGGCUUACACCCAUAUUCCGCACUUUUGCCUAAAAUUGCUAAGUAAUUAUUAAAAUUUGGAUUUGUACCUAUUCACCCCCCCCCCCCUCUAGGUCCAUCUCGAUCCUUUUCACUCAUCCUCAGGCAAACCACUGCCACCAGCUUCGUCAAGAAAAUCAGCCCACUCAGGACCAGAUGGGAAGCCAAAGUCAGAAGGAGGAGCAGCAGGAAGAUCCUCAUCGUCACUCACAUCAAGAGCGCCCGAGUCUCUCAGACGAGCCUUGAGGGCAUUCUUGGAGGAGACGAGGCGAGAAACCACAUCAUGAGUUUGACCGCGCUGGAAAGAGAAAGCCUUCAUCAUAGCAGAAUGUGCCUUGCCAAUGAAUUUGGCAAAGCAACCGAGAGGAGCUGAGCUGGAUGAAGGGGUUGCUGACCGUGCAGCAGUGCGGCGAGUGGAGGUGGAUGAGGUUUUCUUAGGAGCAUAGUCAUCCGCCAUGUGAGUGGGAAUGACCCACUUGUGAUGCGUGUGAGUGGGAGCAACAGUGAAUUCAGCAACAUGGUGAAUAAAAGCCUGGAUGAAGGGGCAUGAGGGAAGGGAGAGCGGAUAAAGAAGGGAGAGCGCCAGAUGGAUACUUGGUUAAGAUCCUUCAUCCGUUCGUCUGCAUCAAGUUCACGGAGUGGUUUGAGGAGAAGCCCACGCGCCUCAAUGGUCUUAUGUGCAUGGUUAGGAUCAUUCUUAUGGAUUUUGAAGCCGGAGUCGGGGAAACCGAGUGCGGCAACAAACUCAUCAUAAGAGGUUGUGAACUCAACAUCAGAAGUCAUCGAGCUAAUAGUGUUGUUUGAGCCAAAGAAACACGUGGCAUAAAAUUGAUGAGUAGCAGCACUGUUAGAAUCGCACCGAAAAGCAAAGGGGGCAGCGAGCCCCGAUGACUCAAUGAGCUCAAUGGCACCAGGGUAUUUCGCCGGGUGAGUGCGAAUAUGCUCAAGAUCAAUAUAAUGAUGGAAUGAGAGACCCUUAGGAAUGAUGACAGUAGAAAAGAUGUCCGCUUGGACGUGUGUGCGGAAACGUGAGUCCAUAGAGUCACGUACAACAGAAAAUUGGUUAACAUCGCGGCGGAAAGUAAAGUAGGAAGACUUAGGAACCGUGGUGAAGUCCUUGACUUCACGACCUAAAGUAGGAGGAGGUUCAAGGGAGAUGCGACGAGCUUCACCUUCAGGAUGUUCCGGAGGAGGUGGUGGCAUAUAUGAGGGCCUGCGAGUCCUCGGCUUCGGCAUAGUCUUCCGAACGGCAACGUGUUCAGCACGUUCCUCAUCUGCAAGCUCAUCCUCGAAGUCAGAGUCAUCAGACGAGGAGCGGGGAUGUGGAGGAGGACGCCGGGCGAGCCGUUUGAAGGGACGGCGUGGUACAUCGGAGUCAUCCGACCCCGUGCCAGGAGGGGCACGAGCGGAUGAGACAGCAGAGUUCUUCCGGGCAGUGUGCUUAAUCUUGGGCAUGAUGGAACAAGGCCUACACGAUUGGAAACCCAAUGGGGACCGGUCACGGUCAAAACACAUGAACUAGUGAGAAAGGGGAACCAAUCGCGAGAGAGACCGAGAGGAUACCUGCAGAUCGAGAGAGGAGAGGAAUGGAAGACGGAUCCCACGGAGGAGAUCAGCCAGAUCACGGGGCAGGGCCCCUGUGGCGGCGGGCGCGGUCGAGCACCUCAGGCAGCUGGCGGCGGCUGUGGAGGCGGCUGGGAGAAAGGGAGGGCGCGUGGGGGCUAGGGCAAGGCCCAGCCCGCGCCCCUCUAUUUAUAUAGGCUCCCGAUGUGUCGGACGUCCGACGGGCGUCGGACGUCCGGAGUGCAUCAGCCGUCGGACGACCGACAUGUGCCGGACGUCCGGAGUGAGUUUAGCCGUCGGACGUCCGAGACUCGUCGGACGACCGAGAGAGAAGUAGGCAGAGGCAAUUUCUAGGAUUUGGAUGAUGAGGUGAUAAGGAGUAUUCUCGCAUGUGUAGCAACCAAAGGCCUCUCAACAAACAUAUUUUGGACAUGGUAUGAUGUAAAUCUUCUAAUUCGGUUACUAUGAUAAGUGUGGGUCCAAAAUACGGUCAAACGCAUGAGUGCAUAGAAUCAUGCACAAGUUUUCCUAUUAUGAGAGCAAGGCACAUGACACAAGGGCCAUGGCACAAAUUUUUCUCAUUCAUAUGACCACGAAGUGCAAAAAGAACACCAACACUAAGCAUUUCAUCAGUGUGAUUCACAAGGACAUGCAGGAAAUUACAAAGUGGAAAAAGUAUUAUGUUCAUGCAAUGAUGCAACCUACACAUGGUUGACUCUAAUGUUAUACAUGUAUGAAGUAAAUACUUGUUACCGGAAAAGCAUUGGUAUGGCGUAGAAGUAGCCGAGUCCUGUCUUGACUCUAAUUUCUUCGUGACCAGCACCAUCUUGUUCUGAGAAUAAGUCAAGAUGGCAAUGCUUCUCCAAAGUACCUAAACCACCAAUUAAGCACAAUAUGGUCCCCAAACUUAUUGGGUCCGAAGUAGUUAGUCCAACUACAAUAUAUAUAGGGUAAGAUCACUCAAUUAUGUGCAUAUAGAUAUAAGUUUUACUUUCAAGCACACCUUAACCUUUUAAUGGAUACGUCUGAUUUAUCAUAUACAUAUAUUGGAUCAAAGAUACGAUAGACACGGCAUGUGCAUCUACACAUAGUAGAUAUGCCUACACAAGCCUAUCAAAAUCCAAGGAUAUACAAUUUGGACAAAUGAACACAUAAUUGUCAAUUACAGAACAUUCAUGUCGUCCAAAAUGGAUCAGGGUGACAAAUCAACAUAUGAUCGCAUCCCAAGUUCAACACAUGAACCGGUCAAGGCAUCAAACCAUGUAAGGUAUGCAUUUUGCACAACCUUACAUGCAUGUCUCACCCCAGUAGAUGUAUAAGUGUAGGUAAUAUGAUUAUAACUCCCACAACAUUAUGAAAUAAAUAGUACAAGCUCAAAGACAUGCAUGGGAGAUUACUGGGAGACACAUGAAUUUCUCGGCGAGUUAUGUAGGUCAAAUGAAGACAAAGCCGAAAUAAAAUGACCAUGAAAACACUACUAAGCCAGAGAUACCAUGUGUGAGAGAACACAAUGGUAUUUAGAAUUAUCAGUGGUGGUAGAUGCCAAACGAGCACAAAGAUCGUUUUAUACUCACACAAGUGUGAUAUGUGAGUUCAACCAUAAGCAUAAUGUUUAGAUGCCAUACGUUAACAUCCCAAUUAGUUAGAUCAUAGUGUAGAGAAAUAAUUCGAAAGGCAUGCAUCAACUAUGCCCUUCUUUUAGGUACGAUCUAGCGGCUAAGCCAUGAGUAUUGGUGUAGUAGGACGUCAUACUCACGCACAUCUAAGGGAUUUAGACACCAACAGGGUUAUUAUGCGAGUUAAGACAUGUGGAGCAUGACACGCCACACAGUUAUAGAAUAACCCUGUGUGGUAGAUUCUGAGUGGCAUACAUCAGAUGUUUUAUCUUACCAGGGGAUGUGACGUGCAAAAAGCAUAUCACACGCCCUUAAUGUGAUAAUCCAUGUAUUUAUCAUCCAAGGCAAUCAAUCAACCCACUAAGCUGAUAAGUGGAUGCCAAUUUGAACUUCGGAUGGCUUUGACAUCAAACGAAUUGAUUGGAUAAUCUUGCACCGUGAAUACUAGAUGGAGUCCAAUACAUAUAUACAUAUUUUGGGUUAGUGAUGUGCGUAGAGCAGAACACUCCCCCUUAAUGUGAUGAGCUAUUAACGUCUCGAAAGACCCACACAACGGUGCAACUAGGAUGCAAGUAAUGAUCAGGACUAUACACAAUUAUAUGACAUACAUAACGACCUACACAUGAUAGAUAACACAUAACAAACAUACUAGUAGGCGCAACAUGUCAAAGUACAUGCUAGGUACCAAACCUAGACAUGAGAAGGAGUGGGGCAGGCAACUUUCAAUGUAAACAAUUUAAGUAUAAGUUACCGCAAAGAGGUACAUUGGAUAUGGGAUAUGGGCUCGAUAAUCCAAAUGACUUGGCUUGAGAUAAUACGAAUGAUGAAGAGUGCUCAAAUCUUCAUUGUGUAUCCAAGUCCCCAAUGUCCUCCAGAGUCACCUAUUGAUCAAGUUUGAGUUUGUUGGUCCCCAACUAUGUUGGGUCCUAAGAGGUUAGUCACAAUAGGCUUGGCAACCCAAAUGGUUCUUUUCUUGACACCAUUUUGAGUACCAACAAACUUGGCAAACACAUUGCCAACCUUAUCCUUCCCAAGGGAAUAGCUAUCAUCAAUAGUGAUUGGGUUGGAUAAGUUACCUCUCGUGCAAGACGAAGCGACGUGACCCUUCUCACGACAUAAGUAGCAACAUCUACCCUUUGCUUUCUUCCGAGUUGAUUUCUCACCCCGGGGAGUGUUGGCUUGGGUCUUAUUGGGAAGAGGCCUUCCUUCAACUUGUAGCUGAGUAUGUGAUUGAGUUUGUGGCCGCUUCCCUUGUUGCUUGUGACUUUGAGACUUCGUCUUCAGAGGGCAAGAUCUAACAUGGUGCCCUUUAACUUUGCACUUGAAGCAAAUGAUUUUGGCCAAAUUCUUAACUUGUUCUAGGCCACUCUUGUUCUUUGAGUUUACUCCAACAUCAUUUUUUUCAUUCGGAGAUGUUUGCUCACACAGGACGUUGUUGGGUGUGGACAUCCCUUCAUGACACUGUUCCGAGUCUUUCUUCAAAGAAGUGACUGGGCCUUGAGCUCUUCGAUUUCCUCUGCAUGGUUAGUAUCAACGCAAGUACUAGAGGAAGUGUAAGCUUCAAUGUUAGUGCAACAAGGCAAGGAAAGUAAUUCAUCACACGAGGUAGCAACAUUAUGAGUAGAUGAAUUACGAGGACUAGCACAUGGAAAUAUAGUACUUUGACUAGAAGUAGUGCCAUUGUCCACAUGAGGCUCACUUGAUGUUACCUUGGUGAUGAUAGCCUCAUGAGCUAACUUUUGCACAUUAUGGGAUGUUAGAAGAUUGGCAUGAGAGCUUGUGAGCAUUACAUGGUUUUUUUCCAACUUCCCAUAAUUGCUAGUUAGUAAAUCAAGUUGAGCACGUAGCUCAACAUUCUCCUUCAAUGUUGAUACUUCAAAUGAGUUAGAGUUAGAUGUACAAGUAUCAUCAACAAUAUGAGAGGAGUAAGUAGCAGUUAGAGACUUCUCAUGAGUAGAUUGAAGCUCCUCAUAGAUCUUAGAGGUUUUGAUGAGCUCUCCCUUGACACUAUUGAAUUCAAGGAAAUCUUGGAAUCUUUGAAGAGCGUUAUUUUUAGCUUUAUGAAGAAUUUUACUGAUCACAUAGAUAUUUUCAGUCAAGUCAUCAUCAUCAUCCUUAUCGCAAAUAUCAUCGUUAUUGCACACGGAAGAUGAUACCUCAUUAUUACCUCUUGCCAUGAGGCACAUGUGAACUGGUGGAGUUGAUGAUGAUUCUUUUGGUGACUCAGAUUCUUCAUUAGUCAAAAGUACUUCAUAUUUCUUGAUUUCCCCUAAAUGAUUAGUCAUAGAGCAACUAGGGAGAAAAAAGAUAUUUUGAUCAAGAAGACACGGGAUAGCAGGCAUAUCACCACAGACAUUUGUCGAGGGAUAUUUAGGUGAAAUGCAUGACCUAUCAGCACAAUAAUUUACACUAUGUGUGGUGCUAGAUAUGCUCGUGUCCAUAGAGGCUAUGACAUUUUCAUCAACAUAUAUUUCUUCACUCACCAUGUCAUUACCUUGUGAGAUUGAAGAUGCUGAGGUGUGCAAGCAAUCGAAUAUGGAAGUAGUGGUGGACUCUUUAUGAUCGAAAAGAGUGAAGAGCUCAUGCAUCAACUCCUUCAUCGUAAUAUCGUCUUCAUCAAGAUUGGACCCACCAUAUAAAUCUUCAAGUGUAGUCCAAACUUCAUGAGCUGACUUGCAAGUUGAGAUAGACUUAAACACCUCAGGACUUAUGGUUCGAUGAAUGGCAAGAAAAGCCUCACAAUCAAGAUACAUUUCAUUAGUAGAUGAAGAUGCAUCAUCCUUUUUGUCGGCAAUCCCGACAAGAACAAUUCGUAAAGUAUUUGGGCCCAUGGUCCGAAAGUGAUGAAGCAUACGAAUUCUCCAUAGGGUAUAAUUUGUGCCAUCAAAGUCAAAGGUGUCAUUGUGCACUAAUCCAAUAGUCGACAUCGAUACUCUCUAGGUCGUGAAACCUAAUUAAAGAGAGACUUGCUCUGAUACCAAUUGAAAAGACCAUGAUGACGCCUAGAGGGGGGGGUGAAUAGGCUAUUUAAAAACUUCUUCGGAUUUGGCUUAAACCUAAUGCGGAAAUAAACUAAGAGGAUACUUUUCAAGCACAAAUCCUAAAUGCAAUAGGCACCGCAACGUGUAUCAACAACACGAUCUACCAAGAUGGACACAAUACAGUUACUAACAAGCACAAGCAAGUUACACAAACUUACUUGAGCUAUAUCACACGACAAGUAGGUGAACGACACAAGAUACUAGAUCACACUAUAGCACACGAUAUAUCAAAAUCUGCAAGUGUGAACGUGUGGAUAUAGAGGGUAUGCUUGAACGAUUAAUCUUGUACAAAGAGAUAGCCAACACAAUAUAAUGAGCACAAACAAUAUGCAAUGUAUGUAUGCUCAAGUAACACAAGUAAACCACAAGUAAGGAGUUAGGGUUAAGGAUAACCAAGGUCACUAAGACGAAGAUGUAUCCCGAUGUUCACUUCCUUGGAGGGAAGUAAUCACCGUUAGAGAGGUGGAUGUUACCACGAAGGCACACCAACGCCACGAAGGCUCACCCUAUUCUCCCUUUGAGAUAACACCACGAAGGCGUUUCUCAACCACUAGUGGUAAGCCUUUGAGGUGGCUUCCAAACCCUCACAAACUUUUCCGGGGGGUAAUCACACGGAUUGAUUCCUCUCCGAAGAACUCCUACCGCCUAGGAGUCUCCAACCUCCAAGAGUAACAAGAUCACGGGGAAUGCUCAAAACUUGCUCAAAUCUCAAAUAGCUUGGGUUGAGAGAAGGAGAGGGAGAUGAUCUAUCUUUUGAUUGGAACAACUCUCAAAGGGGCUCACAAAUGCUCUUGGGAUCUAAGAUUUGGUGUGAGCAAAUGUGUGUGAGGUAGAAAUGUGUUCUUAUGAGGAUAUGGUUGUGUUGGGCACCCUCUCACGAAGUGGGAGGGGGUAUUUAUAGUGGAGAAGGGAAAGUGACCGUUGGGGUCACUUAAGUCUGACAGUGGUCGGACGUCCGGCAGUUCUCGGAUGUCCGGACGCCCACAAGGGGUCGGACGUCCGACAGGGGUCGGUCGUCCGAGGGAUGUACAUAUAUCAGGAACCAUUGUGAAGUCGAACAGGGACCGGACGUCCGAAGGAAGCCGGAUGUCCGAGACUUUGGCUCUGUUCAAGGGCACCGGAUUUCCGAAGGAGGUCGGACGUCCGGCCCUCGAACGACAGGAGGUGGCCGGAAGUCCGUGUUAUUUGACUCAAAUUUCUCUGGUGCAAAGUUCCGGUUUUCCGAAGUUGUCGGGCGUCCGGCCCUCGGACGUCCCAAGAGAGCCGGAAGUCCGAGUUGUUUGACUCUGGAUUUCUCUGGUAUAAGGUUCCGGAUUUCCGAAGUGGUCGGGUGUCCGUCCCCCGGACGUCCGGAGGAAGCCGGAUGUCCGAGGCAUUGGUUCCGUUUUUAGAUAAUAGCAGAGUAGUGGAUAUGUGGUAUGAGAAGAAAAGUAGAGAUGUAGUUUGAGCAAGUUCAUCGCAAAACCUGUGAUCCCCUCUUAAUAGUGCGGGAUCCCUAAAGACUCAAGAAUCAUAAAAGGGUACUGAUGAUCCAUACUUGAGUGUAUACUUUUAUUCGCUGAUCAUCACUCCGCACCACUAAUGUCAAAGGAACUGAUACCUUUGAGUUAGCCCUUUCACUUGAGCUUGAUGUUGUUGUUCCUUCUUGGCUCAAGUUGAAAGCAAGACAUGAUGAAGUCUUCAAGUAGCUCUCCCAUACACAAUGUGGAAAGCCUAGCUUAUGUAUUCAUCUUCAUUUGUCCACCAUGUGAACAUCCACAAGAAUCAAGCAUGUAAUGCUUAGGAAUGCUUAUCUUGAUCCUCUCCUUGUUAGCACAUGAGUUUGUCCUUAUCAACACAUGAUCAUUAACAAUAGCUUAAAGGGGAUUAGUGAUUAGUUAUCUAUAUGUGUGUCGUCAGCAACACCAAAACACGAUUAAGGGCAUGACUGCACUUUCACCCACGCCACGCCAACUUAGGGUCACUAUCAGAUGAGGAACAUUGGCAAAACCUAAUCUUUUUUAUGCUAUCAUCCCUUAGCUAUGUGAUUUCCUCUACUCUCCCAAACUAGCUCUAAGCAUUGAUUUAGUUUGAUUUGCACUAUUUCAUUAAGUUUCUCAAAUCACUUGCUUUGAUUUCAGGUCAGCCGAUAGGAGGUUGUGGAGGAGGCAGCGCUGCUGACGAUGCUGCAACGCUCCUCUUCGUCACCCACUACCGUGCCAAGGAGCUUGCUGCGACAGUGUAGAGAGAGCGGGAGGGAGGGAGGGAGGGUGGGAGAGAGAGAUAGAAGGUUUACAAAGGUACUCUUUUGUUAAAAAAAGAGCAACCACGGCACCCUUGUUCAAAAAAGGACCUCGCGUGAAACACUUAUUAUAGAAUUAGGACCUAAAUGUGCAUUUUAAAAGAAGUAGGACUAAAAUGACGAGAAACUUUUAGGACCUCUAGUGUAUUUUCACGCCGGGCGGUUGCGCCCUGCGUCAGCGUGGCGUGUGUCAACAUGUCACACACGCAGGUCAGCGAGCACUCGUGAAAAAUAGACCUCGGAUGAACCACUUACUAAAGAAUUAGGACCUAAAGGUGCAUUUUGGAAGAAUUAGAACUAAAAUGACACCCCGACAAAACUUUCAGGACCUCUGAUGCAUUUAACUUUUCAAUAUAUGUUUAUGAAAUAUUUUUGUUACUAGUUUUACCAAAAAUACCAGUGGGUAUUAAAAAGUUUUCAAAAAACUGCUAAACAUAUUCUAAGAAAAGGUUCAACACUCAUCUUACAAUAAAUCAUAUUUUUCCAAAACAAUCAUUGUCCACUAAAAAAGUUCAUUGUAUUUAAAAAAAUAUGAUGUACUAAAAAAAUUGUUCAUUGUUUAUUCCUAAAGAAAACUAUCGAGUAAUCAAAAAUGGUAAUCGUAUAUUUAAUAAAUAUUCGCCAUGUUGUUUUACAAAUGUUCAUUGUUAAAGAAAUCAUACAUAUUUCUUAAUUGUUUGACUAAUACUUUUGGGUAUUAAUAACUUUGUGAUACACGACUAGCAUUUUUAAUAGACGAAAAUAGUUUUGAGAUACAUGGCAAACAUUUUAUGAUACACAUUAAACAUUUUCUAAAUACAUGAUAAAUACAUUUUGCAAUACAUGAAAAAGUUUUUUAAUGAAAAUAGUUUUUAAAAUAUACGAUGAAAUUUUUGUAAGACGCUGUGAAUCUUUCUCAGAUUAAUGACAAAUAUAUUUAAAAACACAAUGAACAUUUGUUUAUAUGAUGAGAAAAGAACCGGGUGAAAAGAAACACAAAAAAGGAAAAAAUAAAAAUUAACCUGCUGAGAACUAGACAAAGAGAAAAAAUAAAAUAAGGAAACCAAGUCGAAAAGUAAAUAAAUUGAGAAAAUGGAACGAAAGUGUAAACCGACCGCAAACCCAAAUUAGAAACCAUAACAAGAACCAGAGACAGAAAUCAUUGGACCAACCGAGAAACUCGUCAAACUGAGGCGAGCGGCCGCUAGGUCUCGCAGUAAGCGAGAUAUAUAGCAUUCGGGAGCUGUUAUACGCUGCUCUUUGCGGCAAGCAGGCACCUCUUUGCACAGGAUGUGCACUGACUAUGCUGGCCCAUUAGCGACGCGAGUGGGAGGACGCACCGUAACGAACCAGACUUAUCGCGUACACUUUUAUAAAAUGCAAGAACUUUCUUAAAGAUUGAACAUUUUGUGAAAAAUGUGAAUAUCAUUUAUUUUUUUAAUUUUACGAAAUUGUGAAUAUUUUUUGAAAUUUUAAACUUUUCUCUUAAAACACGAACAAUUCUUGAAUUUUUCCAACAUUUUCGAAAAUUAUGUGAGGUUUAUUGCAAUUCCGAGAUUUUUAAGUACAUGAUUUUUUGUACUUUUAAAAUCCAAGAAUUUUUUGAAAACUUUAACAAAUUUAAAAUUCCAUACAUGUUUUAAGAAUGCAACACAUUCUUUCUAAAACGUGAAUGUUUUGGAUAUGUGAAAAAUAUGUAUUUAGAGACAUUUUUCGAAAUUUCUGAAAACAUUUCAGAAAAGAAUGUAUGUGCGAAAAACUGGCAAUUUUCCGCAUAACGCAGUAAAUAGGAAAUACAGUACCCUACCAUAGCAUCCACAGGAAGGCAGGCAGUGCCGAUCGAUCCACUGGCUAUUAAUAAUUCUCUUGUGGCCGCCGGCCCAAACACGCCCAAAUGUGCGUGUCCUGCGUGCAGGCCUACGCGGUCCAGGCCCACCAUCCAUGAACUGAAAAAUUGUACAAAAACUCAUAGUAAGAAUUGGGAGCAACUAAUCAAAGAGCGCUCCUUCUAAAGGGUGGCAUGAGCUUACGUUGCGUUACUUGGCUUGCUCUCAUCCGUCGUCACGUAUCGCGUUUUGAUUGCUCACUCCGAAUUUUGUUUAUUUUUUGCAUGUGUUUUCAGAUUUUAUAUUAUUUUAUGGAGAGGGGUGUCGGCUUUUUGACCUUUUCUUGGAUUUUCUUACGUUUUAGACAAAAAAUUCAAAAAAUAAUUGACGCAAAGAAACUCAGUUUUUUUUUCUUUCGGGGGAGGUAUGAAUUUAUCUUUUGUGGAGGCACGGAUUUGUUUUCACGAGAGGUUGUACCUCUUGAAAAGAAAAAGAAAACGUUCUCUUUUUUCGUGAAAGGCACCGUUGUGCUUCUCGCAAAAGAAAAAAAACAAGUUUUAUAUUUUUCUCCUACCACGAGAAGCACGGAUUUACUUCUCGUAAAGGUACGGAUUAUCUUCUGCAAGUGGCAUGACCGUGCCUCUCGAAUUUACUUCUCAUGGAGGCACGAACUUGCUUACCCGAAAGACAUGGCCGUGUCUCUCUCAAAAGAGAAAAAAGAGAGGUACGGAUUUACUUCUCGUGAAGGCACGUAUUUGAUUCCGCAAGCAGAACGGGCAUGACUCCCAGAAAGGGAAAAACGUGCUCCCGAUUCGGGUUUUUUGUCUAGUUCUUUUUGUGAAAAUAUAUUCAUUGAAACCAAUCAUCAUGUGAUCUAGUUUUAAAGAUCUCGACGCGAGAAAUCCGAUCAAGGUUUGAACGCACUAUUUGAGAUAUAACACGUUUUGAAUAGACGAAUAUACAAAAAAAAGAAACUCUCAAGUUGCGGAAAGUGAUGCACAUGCAAUGCAACACUUAUCGCAACUGAAAGAGGUGGAAGUCACAUUUACAAAAGAUGCUUCUUAACUAGUGAUUAGGAUAGGAAUUGCGUGAAAACAGAGUAAAGCUGCCCUCAAAAAUAAAAUAAAAUAGUGAGUUUCCCUAAAAAAUGUACACACACAGUAAGUCCUCUAGAAAAAAGAAACACAGAAAUUAAAACGUGACCUUUUUUACAUGAAAGAAAGAGACCACAUAAGGGAUUGAAAGGGAGGAUUCAAAAUUAAAAACUAAAACAAACUACAAAUCAACCUAUGGUUGGAUUGUUAGAGGGACAGUGAUAUCUUUAACCCACCAAGUGUUCAAGUCUUGAUGUUUUCAUUAUUUCUGAGCUUAUUUUUAAGAUUUUUUGAGAUUUCCGGCGAUAUGCUUUUAUUGAGAGGAGACGUUUUCAUCGACGACGACGCAUGUACGGUAACUUUGUAAAAAUCUCAAGAUGAUAUGUCGGCUUAGUCUUUUAAAGAUGCUCAUAAGGUAAUGUAUGCGGAUGUACGUCUAUAUGAACGAGUGUAUGCGCAUGUAUAUGAAUAAUUAGGUCUGUAAUGUGUUAAAAAACAACAGAAACAAACCAUGGCUAAACAUGGCGGUUGGCGCAUAUAAACUGCGGUGGCAUCGGUCCAGUUUAUCCACACGAUCUUUUUGACCGAUGCCUCCGCAUGUGCAAUAAUGCUCGCUCCACCGCACGCAGCAGACACCGAUCGGGUCAAACACUCGCCAACGUGACGAGCUAGGUGCUGCGCGAUGCAUGGAGCACCGUUGAUUAAAUUAAGUAACCCAGAUUUCGACCCGAGCCCGAGCAGACAAAGAAACAAACAAACGCUCCGUGACAAGGUUAUCUUAUUGCUCCAUUUGCCCGACCUGGCGAUGCAUUGCAUGCCACGGCUUACAGCCCCUCCACUACUGGUGAUGCCGAUCCUCCGUCUCCGUGCCAUCAUUGGAUUCACUCAUGGAUCGUGGUGGUGGUGCAGUUGCGGUUCAGGUCAUGCAUGCACACACGCAUUAAUUUUUCCCACACAAAAAUCUUCAUGGGACAAGCUCCUAUAACAUCAUAUUGGUUGUCGAUCCCGGACGGUAGUAAAUGAAAACAAAUUGAUGGGGGAAGGGAUUGUGCAUGUUGGUCAUAGAACUACUCUUCAUUGUUGGAUUAAGAAAGACAUGUAGAUGGGAGGUCUUCGUAGGACAGGGAGGCCUUUAAUCACGAGGCGGUGCCACAGCAACAGCAACGUUGCAACGCCUGAAAGCAAUACCCUAUACAGGACAGCGAACGUGUCAACCUAGGGAGCGCCUCCCCUCCCCUCGAACUCGCUCAUCCACGACCAACCGACGCUAGCUAAGCUUCACGUGCCGUACGUCCACGAUCGACACGACACUAUCCAUCAACAACCGAUCCCAUCUCCUUCGGAAGGAGCCCUUCCGUUCCGAUAGUGUGGUCGGUGUUGCUUGCAGUGGAGACCGACCCAUCCAUCCAUCCGUAGAUGCACGAAAGUAAGUGCAGUCGAUCGAUGAGUUCUUUUCUGGCUAGAUAGCCAUGUUUGGUCUAGACCAGGAAAUGUUUCCACCAGAUCAACAGUAGGAGCAAACUUUAGCCACAAGCUUGCCACAACCGGCAGCCAUCUCGCUCGGUUCUGCCAUGCUCUUUCCCGGAAACGAUCAACCACGGGCAUUACUGUGCACUGCCCAUCCUUCCAAGUUCCAACCCAACGAGUUUGAUCGGAGGAGCUAGCAAAGCAAUGCCUGUAUGUGGCUCUGUGCAAAGCAGUGGCUUUUCACUAGGCUUCGAUCACGAGUGGGUGGGUGCCUCCAGGCUUUGGGUCGGCCAGGCUGAUCCCGACCGGCUUGUCAUUGUGCUGUUUCGCUUUACGUGCCGCGGCUUCCGCUUCCGUCCUAGGCUCCACGCCCGCUUUUCGCGCCAUCCUUUCCCCGCCAGCGAGAACGAGGAUGCUGGCUGUGGACUAGCUCAAGCUCAUGGUCAUGGCUCCACUUGCGCCGUGGGCGGGGCCCGGCGAGCACGAUCGAUCGAUCCAAAUGGUGAUGCGUUCAACGGCCCUUAACGUGUCUACCCAAAAAACAAUCAGGGGCCAACGUGCAGGCUGCAGCGGUGCCUGAUGUAGCUAGUGGCGCCGCCGUACUUUUUUUUAGGGGGCGCCACCGUACCUGGGCUGUAAACCAUGAUGAACGCUCGAGGCUUUUCCAAUUGUCAUCGUAAAAGUUAACUUUCUAUGUGUCGCGCUUGGGUGGUUAAGCAUUUUGUGUGAGAAACGGCAUGAUGUUUGCUCGGGUAAGGGGUGCUUCCAAUGGAGUUCCUGUAUUUAGCUCAAUGCUUUGGGGCUUUACUGUUUCGCAAGAUGGCGAAAACCACCUAUUGCAGCGGUAUGUCGUCCACUCGAAUUCUAUGCAAUUGUCGUUUGCACUAAAGUGUUCCUGGUUUCACCACAGAAAAUAAAUAAACGACACUCCACAGGUGGUUUGAGCGGAUGAUUUUUCUUCUUCUAGAUAAUAUAGUGUUCGAUGGUUUUCUAAGGAAAAUUCCUAUGUUUUUUAUGAUGGAGUCCUAGGCUAAGCGGUCCUAGCCGAGAUGGAUUGGUUCGUGGGCCCAUCAAGGUAAAGGACUUCGGAGGCCUUGUGACGAAGUGUGACCACUUCGGAUUCUACUAAGGAUUGUACUUCAAGAAAAGGUUGAUUCGUCCGGCAUGUAAUCCAUAUAUGGUAACUAACAUUCAUGUAAACCUAGAUAGCCCCGUGCCUAUGUAAAUCGUCGGGUUUUGUAUGUAGAUCAUAGCCAUACGUAACGUCGUAACCCCUAGGGUUUAGUCCGCACACUCACGGUCUCGAGGUGGAUCAAUUUUGUAAUUGCUACAAACAUCAAUAGAACAAGAGCAUGACGUAGGUUUUACCUUCAUAGAGAGGGACCGAACCUGGGUAAAAGUCUUCUCUUCUUUGUCUCCUAUUACCCUCGAUCCGAUCUUGCAACUCGGACCCCUACUCGAGAUAUGUUGGUUUUGACACCGACAUUGGUGUUUUCCUUGAGAGCUCAUCGUGCGAUUAUCGGGAUCGACGGCUCGUCUGCAGUUUGAUGGCAGCAUUGGCUACAAUGACGCCUUCGUCCCUGGCCAGCUUUUUGCCUUCGGUAGUGUUGUACUGCACGCCGACCCCAGCGACCGUCUAGGCGGCGUAGACACCUUCGUUCCAAACCAGGUCAUCACGUUCGGAAGUCUGGAAUACGUUGUCGACGGCCGUGCCGAUCUGAUCAUGUCGGGACGAAUCGCGAUCCAAUAUCAGGAGUCUUCGGACGCAAAAGCCAUGAAGCUGGCUUCCGACCUGACCCUCAGAUCCGAACCCCUGACGAAAGCGGCCCUAGAGAUGAAUCCGGAGGCAAUCGCAUCUGACCCUAUUGACAUCACCUAGGAUGACCUCUUGAGCCAAUUUUGUCUUCGCAUCUGACUGCAAUCCCACACGGGGGUGUUCCGAUCUUUGAACUGGACAUGGCCUACAAGACCAUGGGAGAUGAGCCCGCCUCGAGCGGUCUGAAAAAUCCUUUUAUAUCAGCACGUCCUAUCGCCAGUCCCUAGCGAAGGAGGAGCUCUCGCACGUAAAUGAGUUACUGGACCGAAUCCAGAACCUUGUGAUCUCACUAUUGGGGAACGUCGCAUGGGAAACAAAAAAUUUCCUGCACACACAAGACAUAUCCAUGGUGAGACCAUCUACGAGAGGAGAGAUUAUAUCUACACACCCUUGUAGAUCGCUAAGCGGAAGCGUAUAUAACGCGGGUGAUUUAGUCGAACAUCUUCAAGAUCCAAAUCGCAGUCCGUCCCACGAUCUCAUCACAACCCAUCCCGCGAUCCCAUCACAAUCCAUCCCGAUCUAGUGCCAAACGGACACUGAUACAUCGCCGUCGUAUCUACUUUUCCAAACUCUUUUGCCCUUGUUUUGGACUCUAAUUUGCAAGAUUUGAAUGGAACUAACCCGGACUGACGAUGUUUUCAGCAGAAUUGUCAUGGUGUUGUUUUUGUGCAGAAAUAAAAGUUCUCGGAAUGUCUUGAAAAUUUACGGAGAAUUUUUCUGAAAUAAAACAAAAAUACCUGCGCAAAGAUCCACCGGAGGGGGCGUGCCAGUGGGCCACAAGCCCACAGGCCGCGGCCACCCCCCCUAGGCCGCGCCGUGAGGGCUUGUGCGGCCCACGUGGCACCACCGCCCCCAAACUCAGCUCUAUAUCUUUCGUCUCGUCCGGAAAAAAAUCAGAGAGAAGGUUUCAUCGCGUUUUACGAUACGGAGGCGCCGCCACCUCCUGUUCUUCAUCUGGAGGGCAGAUGUGGAGUCCGUUUUGGGCUCCGGAGAGGGGAGAUCGUCGCCAUCGUCAUCAUCAACCUUCCUCCAUCGACAAUUCCAUGAUGCUCUUCAUCAUUCGUGAGUAAUCUCAUCGUAGGCUUGUUGGACGGUGAUGAGUUGGAUGAGAUCUAUCAUGUAAUCGAGUUAGUUUUUGACGGGGAUUGAUCCCUAGUAUCCACUAUGUUCUAGAUUGAUGUUGCUACACUUGGCUAUGCUUAAUGCUUGUCACUAGGGCCCGAGUGUUGGGGAACGUCGCAUGGGAAACAAAAAUUUUCCUACGCGCACGAAGACCUAUCAUGGUGAUGUCCAUCUACGAGAGGGGAUGAGUGAUCUACGUACCCUUGUAGAUCGUACAGCAGAAGCGUUAGAGAACGCGGUUGAUGUAGUGGAACGUCCUCACGUCCCUCGAUCCGCCCCGCGAACAAUCCCGCGAUCAGUCCCACGAUCUAGAACCGAACGGACGGCACCUCCGCGUUCAGCACACGUACAGCUCGACGAUGAUCUCGGCCUUCUUGAUCCAGCAAGAGAGACGGAGAGGUAGAAGAGUUCUCCGGCAGCGUGACGGCGCUCCGGAGGUUGGUGAUGAUCUUGUCUCAGCAGGGCUCCGCCCGAGAUCCGCAGAAACACGAUCUAGAGGAAAAACUAUGGAUGUAUGUCGUCGGGCAGCCGUGAGAAAGUCGUCUCAAAUCUGCCCUAAAAGCCCCAUAUAUAUAGGAGGAGGGAGGGGGACCUUGCCUUGGGGUCCAAGGGACUCCCAAGGGGUCGGCCGAGCCAAGGGGGGGAGGACUCCCCCCCAAACCGAGUUGGACUUGGUUUGGUGGGAGGAGUCCCCCUCCCUUCCCACUUCUCCCCCCUUUUUUUCCUUUUCCUUUGAUUUUCUUAUCUUGGCGCAUAGGCUCCCUUGGGGCUGUCCCACCAGCCCACUAAGGGUUGGUGUGUCCCCCAAAAGCCUAUGGGCUUCCCCGGAGUGGGUUGCCCCCCUCCGGUGAACUCCGGGAACCCAUUCGUCAUUCCCGGUACAUUCCCGGUAACUCCGAAAACCUUCCGGUAAUCAAAUGAGGUCAUCCUAUAUAUCAAUCUUCGUUUCCGGACCAUUCCGUAAACCCUCGUGACGUCCGUGAUCUCAUCCGGGACUCCGAACAACAUUCGGUAACCAACCAUAUAACUCAAAUACGCAUAAAACAACGUCGAACCUUAAGUGUGCAGACCCUGCGGGUUCGAGAACUAUGUAGACAUGACCCGAGAGACUCCUCGGUCAAUAUCCAAUAGCGGGACCUGGAUGCUCAUAUUGGAUCCUACAUAUUCUACGAAGAUCUUUAUCGUUUGAACCUCAGUGCCAAGGAUUCGUAUAAUCCCGUAUGUCAUUCCUUUGUCCUUCGGUAUGUUACUUGCCCGAGAUUCGAUCGUCAGUAUCCGUAUACCUAUUUCAAUCUCGUUUACCGGCAAGUCUCUUUACUCGUUCCGUAAUACAAGAUCCCGCAACUUACACUAAGUUACAUUGCUUGCAAGGCUUGUGUGUGAUGUUGUAUUACCGAGUGGGCCCCGAGAUACCUCUCCGUCACACGGAGUGACAAAUCCCAGUCUUGAUCCAUACUAACUCAACUAACACCUUCGGAGAUACCUGUAGAGCAUCUUUAUAGUCACCCAGUUACGUUGCAACGUUUGAUACACACAAAGCAUUCCUCCGGUGUCAGUGAGUUAUAUGAUCUCAUGGUCAUAGGAAUAAAUACUUGACACGCAGAAAACAGUAGCAACAAAAUGACACGAUCAACAUGCUACGUCUAUUAGUUUGGGUCUAGUCCAUCACGUGAUUCUCCUAAUGACGUGAUCCAGUUAUCAAGCAACAACACCUUGUUCAUAAUCAGAAGACACUGACUAUCAUCGAUCAACUGGCUAGCCAACUAGAGGCAUGCUAGGGACGGUGUUUUGUCUAUGUAUCCACACAUGUAAAUGAGUCUUCAUUCAAUACAAUUAUAGCAUGGAUAAUAAACUAUUAUCUUGAUACAGGAAUUUAAAUAAUAACUAUACAUUUAUUAUUGCCUCUAGGGCAUAAUUCCAACAGUCUCCCACUUGCACUAGAGUCAAUAAUCUAGCCCUCACAUCACCAUGUGAAUUACAUUGUAAUAAAUCUAACACCCAUACAGUUCUGGUGUCGAUCAUAUUUUGGCCGUGGAAGAGGUUUAGUCAGCGGGUCUGCUACAUUCAGAUCCGUGUGCACUUUGCAUAUAUUUACGUCCUCCUCCUCGACGUAGUCGCGGAUGAGGUUGAAGCGUCGUUUGAUGUGUCUGGUCUUCUUGUGAAACCUUGGUUCCUUUGCUAAGGCAAUGGCACCAGUGUUAUCACAGAACAAGGUUAUUGGAUCCAGUGCACUUGGCACCACUCCAAGAUCCGUCAUGAACUGCUUUAUCCAGACACCCUCCUUAGCCGCCUCCGAGGCAGCCAUGUACUCCGCUUCACAUGUAGAAUCUGCUACGACGCUUUGCUUGGAACUGCACCAGCUUACUGCACCCCCAUUAAGAAUAAAUACGUAUCCGGUUUGCGACUUAGAGUCGUCCGGAUCUGUGUCAAAGCUUGCAUCGACGUAACCUUUUACGGCGAGCUCUUCGUCACCUCCAUACACGAGAAACAUCUCCUUAGUCCUUUUCAGGUACUUCAGGAUAUUCUUGACCGCCGUCCAGUGAUCCACUCCUGGAUUACUCUGGAACCUACCUGCCAUACUUAUGGCCAGGCUAACAUCCGGUCUAGUGCACAGCAUUGCAUACAUGAUAGAGCCUACGGCUGAAGCAUAGGGGACGGAGCGCAUAUGCUCUCUAUCUUCAUCAGUUGCUGGGCACUGAGUCUUACUCAAUCUCGUACCUUGUAACACCGGCAAGAACCCUUUCUUGGACUGUUCCAUUUUGAACCUCUUCAAAACUUUAUCAAGGUAUGUGCUUUGUGAAAGUCCUAUCAGGCGUUUUGAUCUAUCCCUAUAGAUCUUAAUGCCUAGAAUGUAAGCAGCUUCUCCUAGGUCCUUCAUAGAGAAACUUUUAUUCAAGUAACCUUUUAUGCUCUCCAAAAGCUCUACGUUGUUUCCAAUCAGUAAUAUGUCAUCCACAUAUAAUAUUAGAAACGCCACAGAGCUCCCACUCACUUUCUUGUAAAUACAAGAUUCUCCAACCACUUGUAUAAACCCAAAUGCUUUGAUCACCUCAUCAAAGCGCUUGUUCCAACUCCGAGAUGCUUGCACCAGUCCAUAAAUGGAUCGCUGGAGCUUGCACACCUUGUCAGCAUUUUUAGGAUCGACAAAACCUUCGGGUUGCAUCAUAUACAACUCUUCCUUAAGGAAACCAUUAAGGAAUGCCGUUUUGACAUCCAUCUGCCAGAUUUCAUAAUCGAAAAAUGCAGCUAUUGCUAACAUGAUUCUGACGGACUUAAGCAUCGCUACGGGUGAGAAGGUCUCAUCGUAGUCAACUCCUGGAACUUGUGAAAAACCCUUUGCCACAAGUCGAGCUUUAUAAACGGUCACAUUACCGUCAGCGUCCAUCUUCUUCUUAAAGAUCCAUUUGUUCUGAAUAGCCUUGCGGCCUUCAGGUAGUAUCUCCAAAGUCCACACUUUGUUCUCAUACAUGGAUCCUAUCUCGGAUUUCAUGGCUUCUAGCCAUUUGUUGGAAUCUGGGCCCACCAUUGCUUCUUCAUAAUUUGCAGGUUCAUUGUUGUCUAACAACAUGAUUGACAAGACGGGAUUACCGUACCACUCUGGAGCAGCGCGUGAUCUCGUCGACCUGCGUGGUUCAACAGAAACUUGAACUGGAGUUUCAUGAUCAUCAUCAUUAACUUCCUCCUCAACCGGCGUCGCUGCGCCACCAUCCAGAGGGAUGAGAGGUUCGACAACCUCGUCAAGUUCUAUCUUCCUCCCACUCAAUUCUCUCGAGAGAAACUCCUUCUCGAGAAAAGUUCCGUUUUUAGCAACAAACACUUUGCCCUUGGAUUUGAGAUAGAAGGUGUACCCAACUGUCUCCUUUGGGUAACCUAUGAAGACGCACUUUUCCGCUUUGGGUUCCAGCUUUUCAGGCUGAAGCUUUUUGACAUAAGCAUCACAUCCCCAAACUUUAAGAAACGACAACUUUGGUCUUUUGCCAUACCACAGUUCGUAUGGUGUCGUCUCAACGGAUUUUGAUGGUGCCCUAUUUAAAGUGAAUGCAGCUGUUUCUAAUGCAUAACCCCAAAAUGAUAACGGCAAAUCAGUAAGAGACAUCAUAGAUCGCACCAUCUCUAACAAGGUACGAUUACGACGUUCGGACACACCAUUACGCUGUGGUGUUCCAGGCGGUGUUAACUGCGAAACAAUUCUCGAAACUCAGAUAUUCACCCCCACGAUCAGACCAUAGGAACUUGAUCUUCUUGUUACGAUGAUUUUCUACUUCACUCUGAAAUUGCUUGAACUUUUCAAAUGUUUCAGACUUGUGCUUCAUCAAGUAGACAUAACCAUAUCUACUUAAAUCGUCAGUGAAGGUGAGAAAAUAACGAUAUCCGCCGCGUGCCUCCAUGCUCAUCGGACCACACACAUCGGUAUGAAUGAUUUCCAACAAGUCACUUGCACGCUCCAUUGUUCCGGAGAACGGAGUUUUAGUCAUCUUGCCCAUGAGGCAUGGUUCGCACGUGUCAAGUGAAUCAAAGUCAAGUGACUCCAAAAGUCCAUCAGCAUGGAGUUUCUUCAUGUGCUUUACACCAAUAUGACCCAAGCGGCAGUGCCACAAAAAUAUGGCGCUAUCAUUGUUUACUCUAACUCUUUUGGUCUCAAUGUUAUGUAUAUGUGUAUCGCUAUCGAGAUUCAAUAUGAACAAUCCUCUCACAUUCGGUGCAUGACCAUAAAAGAUGUUACUCAUAGAAAUAGAACAACCAUUAUUCUCAGACUUAAAAGAGUAACCGUCUCGCAAUAAACAAGAUCCAGAUAUAAUGUUCAUGCUCAACGCAGGCACUAAAUAACAAUGAUUUAAGUUCAUCACUAAUCCCGAUGGUAGUUGAAGUGACACGGUGCCGACGGCGAUUGCAUCAACCUUGGAACCGUUUCCUACGCGCAUCGUCACUUCGUCUUUCGCCAGCCUUCGUCUAUUCCGCAGUUCCUGUUUCGAGUUGCAAAUGUGAGCAACAGAACCGGUAUCGAAUACCCAGGCACUACUACGAGAGCCGGUUAAGUACACAUCAAUAACAUGUAUAUCAAAUAUACCUGAUUUUUCUUUGCCCGCCUUCUUAUCUGCCAGAUACUUGGGGCAAUUGCGCUUCCAGUGACCCAUACCCUUGCAAUAGAAGCACUCUUCUUUAGGCUUAGGUCCAGCCUUGGGUUUCUUCGGCGGAUUGGCAACAGGCUUGCCGCUCUUCUUCGAAUUGCCCUUCUUGCCUUUGCUGUUUCUCUUGAAACUAGUGGUCUUGCUGACCAUCAACACUUGAUGCUCUUUACUGAGUUCAGACUCUGCGACUUUCAGCAUCGCAAACAACUCGCCGGGAGACUUGUUCAUCCCUUGCAUGUUGUAGUUCAACACAAAGCCUUUAUAGCUUGGCGGCAGUGAUUGGAGGAUUCUGUCAGUGAUAGGUUAUUGCGGGAGUUCAAUCCCUAGUUCAGCUAGACGGUUUGAGUACCCAGACAUUUUGAGCACAUGUUCACUGACAGACGAGUUUUCCUCCAUCUUGCAAGCAUAGAAUUUAUCGGAGGUCUCAUACCUCUCGAUCCGGGCGUUCUUCUGAAAGAUAAACUUCAACUCCUGGAACAUCUCAAAUGCUCCAUGACGCUCAAAGCGACGUUGAAGUCCCGGCUCUAAGCCAUACAAGACUGCACAUUGAACUAUUGAGUAGUCCUCCUUACGUGCUAACCAAGCGUUCUUAACAUCCUAAUCAGCCGUAGCGGGUGGUUCAUCUCCUAGCGCAGCAUUAAGGACAUAAUCCUUCUUUCCAGCUUGUAAGAUUAGCUUAAGAUUACGAGCCCAGUCUACAAAGUUGCUUCCAUCAUCUUUCAACUUAGCUUUCUCUAGGAACGUAUUAAAAUUCAGGAUGACACUUGCGUGAGCCAUGAUCUACAACACAAAUAUAUUCAAAGUGGACUUAGACUAUGUUCAAGAUAAUUAGAGUUCAACUUAAUCAAAUUAUAUGCUAAACUCCCACUCAAAAAGUACAUCUCUCUAGUCAUUUGAGUGGUUCAUGAUCCACUUACACUAUCCCAAGUCUGAUCAUCACGUGAGUCGAGAGUAGUUUCAGUGGUAAGCAUCCCUAUGCUAAUCAUAUCAACUAUAUGAUUCAUGAUCGACCUUUCGGUCUCAUGUGUUCCAAGGCCAUGUCUGCACAUGCUAGGCUCGUCAAGCUUAACCCGAGUGUUUCGCGUGCGCAACUGUUUUGCACCCGUUGUAUGUGAACGUUGAGUCUAUCACACCCGAUCAUCACGUGGUGUCUCGAAACGACGAACUGUGGCAACGGUGCACAGUCGGGGAGAACACAAUUUCGUCUUGAAAUUUUAGUGAGAGAUCACCUCAUAAUGCUACCGUCGUUCUAAGCAAAAUAAGGUGCAUAAAAGGAUUAACAUCACAUGCAAUUCAUAAGUGACAUGAUAUGGCCAUCAUCACGUGCUUCUUGAUCUCCAUAACCAAAGCACCGGCACGAUCUUCUUGUCACCGGCGCCACACCAUGAUCAUCCAUCAACGUGUUGCCAUCGGGGUUGUCGUGCUACUUAUGCUAUUACUACUAAAGCUACAUCCUAGCAAAAUAGUAAACGCAUCUGCAAGCACAAAUAUGUUAGUAUAAAGACAACCCUAUGGCUCCUGCCGGUUGCCGUACCAUCGACGUGCAAGUCGAUAUUUCUAUUACAACAUGAUCAUCUCAUACAUCCAAUAUAUCACAUCACAUCAUUGGCCAUAUCACAUCACAAUCAUACCCUGCAAAAACAAGUUAGACGUCCUCUAAUUUUGUUGUUGCAAGUUUUACGUGGUGACCAAGGGUAUCUAGUAGGAUCGCAUCUUACUUACGCAAACACCACAGCGGAGAUAUAUGAGUUGCUAUUUAACCUCAUCCAAGGACCUCCUCGGUCAAAUCCGAUUUAACUAAAGUUGGAGAAACCGUCACUUGCCAGUCAUCUUUGAGCAAAGGGGGUUACUCGUAACGAUGAAACCAGUCUCUCGUAAGCGUACGAGUAAUGUCGGUCCAAGCCGCUUCAAUCCAACAAUACCGCGGAAUCAAGAAAAGACUAAGGAGGGCAGCAAAACGCACAUCACCGCCCACAAAAUCUUUUGUGUUCUACUCGAGAAGACAUCUACGCAUGAACCUAGCUCAUGAUGCCACUGUUGGGGAACGUCGCAUGGGAAACAAAAAUUUUCCUACGCGCACGAAGACCUAUCAUGGUGAUGUCCAUCUACGAGAGGGAAUGAGUGAUCUACGUACCCUUGUAGAUCGUACAGCAGAAGCGUUAGAGAACGCGGUUGAUGUAGUGGAACGUCCUCACGUCCCUCGAUCCGCCCCGCGAACAAUCCCGCGAUCAGUCCCACGAUCUAGUACCGAACGGACGGCACCUCCGCGUUCAGCACACGUACAGCUCGACGAUGAUCUCGGCCUUCUUGAUCCAGCAAGAGAGACGGAGAGGUAGAAGAGUUCUCCGGCAGCGUGACGGCGCUCCGGAGGUUGGUGAUGAUCUUGUCUCAGCACGGCUCCGCCCGAGCUCCGCAGAAACACGAUCUAGAGGAAAAACUAUGGAGGUAUGUGGUCGGGCAGCCGUGAGAAAGUCGUCUCAAAUCUGCCCUAAAAGCCCCAUAUAUAUAGGAGGAGGGAGGGGGACCUUGCCUUGGGGUCCAAGGGACUCCCAAGGGGUCGGCCGAGCCAAGGGGGGGAGGACUCCCCCCCAAACCGAGUUGGACUUGGUUUGGUGGGAGGAGUCCCCCUCCCUUCCCACUUCUCCCCUCUUUUUUUUUUCUUUUCCUUUGAUUUUCUUAUCUUGGCGCAUAGGCUCCCUUGGGGCUGUCCCACCAGCCCACUAAGGGCUGGUGUGUCCCCCAAAAGCCUAUGGGCUUCCCCGGAGUGGGUUGCCCCCCUCCGGUGAACUCCCGGAACCCAUUCGUCAUUCCGGUACAUUCCUGGUAACUCCGAAAACCUUCCGGUAAUCAAAUGAGGUUAUCAUAUAUAUCAAUCUUCGUUUCCGGACCAUUCUGGAAACCCUCGUGACGUCCGUGAUCUCAUCCGGGACUCCGAACAACAUUCGGUAACCAACCAUAUAACUCAAAUACGCAUAAAACAACGUCGAACCUUAAGUGUGCAGACCCUGCGGGUUCGAGAACUAUGUAGACAUGACCCGAGAGACUCCUCGGUCAAUAUCCAAUAGCGGGACCUGGAUGCCCAUAUUGGAUCCUACAUAUUCUACGAAGAUCUUUAUCGUUUGAACCUCAGUGCCAAGGAUUCGUAUAAUCCCGUAUGUCAUUCCCUUUGUCCUUCGGUAUGUUACUUGCCCGAGAUUCGAUCGUCAGUAUCCGUAUACCUAUUUCAAUCUCGUUUACCGGCAAGUCUCUUUACUCGUUCCGUAAUACAAGAUCCCGCAACUUACACUAAGUUACAUUGCUUGCAAGGCUUGUGUGUGAUGUUGUAUUACCGAGUGGGCCCCGAGAUACCUCUCCGUCACACGGAGUGACAAAUCCCAGUCUUGAUCCAUACUAACUCAACUAACACCUUCGGAGAUACCUGUAGAGCAUCUUUAUAGUCACCCAGUUACGUUGCGACGUUUGAUACACACAAAGCAUUCCUCCGGUGUCAGUGAGUUAUAUGAUCUCAUGGUCAUAGGAAUAAAUACUUGACACGCAGAAAACAGUAGCAACAAAAUGACACGAUCAACAUGCUACGUCUAUUAGUUUGGGUCUAGUCCAUCACGUGAUUCUCCUAAUGACGUGAUCCAGUUAUCAAGCAACAACACCUUGUUCAUAAUCAGAAGACACUGACUAUCAUCGAUCAACUGGCUAGCCAACUAGAGGCAUGCUAGGGACGGUGUUUUGUCUAUGUAUCCACACAUGUAAAUGAGUCUUCAUUCAAUACAAUUAUAGCAUGGAUAAUAAACUAUUAUCUUGAUACAGGAAUUAUAAUAAUAACUAUACAUUUAUUAUUGCCUCUAGGGCAUAAUUCCAACACCGAGUGCCAUGAUUUCAGAUCUGAACCUAUUAUGUUGUCGCCAAUAUAUAUGUGUUUUAGAUCCUAUCUUGCGAGUUGUAGUCACCUACUAUGUGUUAUGACCCGGCAAGCCCGGAGUGACAAUAGCCGGAACCACUCCCGGAGAUGACCAUAGUAUGAGGAGUUCAUGUAUUCACCGCGUGUUAAUGCGUUGGUCCGUUUCUUUAUUAAAAGGAGAACCUUAAUAUCUCGUAGUUUCCAUUAGGACCCCGCUGCCAUGGGAGGGAUGGACAAUAGAUGUCAUGCAAGUUCUUAUCCCUAAGCACGUAUGACUACAUACGGAAUACAUGCCUACAUUAGAUUGACGAACGGGAGCUAGUUAUAUAUCUCUCCGUGUUAUAUUUGUUACAUGAUGAAUCACAUCCGUCAUACUCAUCCAUCACCGAUCCACUGCCUACGAGUCUUUUACUACUCGUCCUUGCUACGUUACGUUGUCCAGGCUUGUCCCUUGCUACAAAACGUAUUGGGCCACUUUGCUGCUACUGUUGCUACUGUUGUUGCUGCUCCUGUUCCUUGCUACUUCGUUAUUACUUGUUGCAAGAUCCUUUCCAACACUGUUGUCGAGGAAGAAUAGUUCUCCACCCACGUGCAACUUAGUGGCGCCAUUGAUACAACAGUUAGGAAUAGUCUGCCGUCAACAGAUCGUUUCUGACACCGUUUCUAUCAUACUACUUUGCUACUGAUACUUUGCUUGCAGUCACUAAUAUUUCAGGUGUGGUUGAAUCUGACACACUCAGCUGCUAAUACUUGAGAAUACUCUUUUGCUUCCCCUUGUGUGUGAAUCAACAAAUUUGGGUCGAAUACUCUACCCUAAAAAACUGUUGCGCUCCCCUACACUUGUGGGUUAUCAAGACCUUUUUCUGGCGCCGUUGCCACUUGGUGCAUUCCUUGAUGCACAUAUUGCUAGAGUUGCUGCUAAACGUGACGAUACUUCUAAAACUGUUGAUACUAUUGAAGUAGAACUUGCUAUUUUGCCUGCUAGAACUAGCUCUCCUAUGCCUGAAUUGCCUGUUAUGCCUGAUACGCGCUAUGUUAUGGAGGGAGAGAUAGCUGAGGACUUUCUUGCGUGUAAGGAUAGCUAUGAUGUUGAGAAAUUACUGCGCAAGUGGAAAGAAAAAUCUCUGAACGUUAUGAUGAAAUACGACCCGAAGUUUGCCACUUCGCCUGUCUUUGUGACCGAUAAGGAUUAUGAAUUCUCUGUCGACCCUAAGUUAAUCACUCUGGUCGAAUCUGAUCCUUUUCACGGUUAUGAGUCUGAAACGGUUGUAGCCCAUCUUAGCAAACUGUACGAUAUAGCCACCCUAUUCACUAGUGAGGAAAAGAUUCGUCACUACUAGAUGCUCAAGUUGUUUCCUUUCUCGCUAAAGGAUGAUGCUAAAAUCUGGUUCACUUCUCUUGCUCCUGGUUGUGUGCGUAGCCCCCAGGAUAUGGUCUACUACUUCUCUGAAAAAUAUUUCCCUGCCCAUAAGAAGCAAGCUGCCUUACGGGAAAUAUACAACUUUGCUCAAGCUCAAGAAGAGAGUCUCCCACAAGCUUCGGGGAGGCUCAUCCAGCUACUGAAUGCUUUUCCUGAUCACCCUCUUGAGAAGAAUGAAAUACUUGAUAUCUUCUAUAAUGGACUUACUGAUGCUUCCAAAGACCAUCUAGAUAGUUGUGCCGGUAGUGUUUUAGGGAACGAACCGUAGAACAAGCUGAGAUUCUACUGAAUAACAUCUUGUGCAAUGAGAAUGAUUGGACUAUUCCCGAACCACCUCCAAAGCCAACUCCGAAGAAAAGAGGUAUUCUAUUCCUCAGUCCUAAAGAUAUGCAAGAAGCCAAGAAAUCUAUGCGAGAUAAAGGCAUUAAAUCUGAACAUGUCAAAAAUCUACCACCUAUCGAAGAGAUCCAUGGUCUCGAUAACCCGAUACAGGUAGUAGAAGUAAAUUCUCUGCAUAGGUUUGAUGAGAGUGAUAUUCCUUUUGAUAAACCUGCUAGUUUAUGCAUGGAUGAAUUUGAUAACUUUGUUACCAAACAACACAGUUUCAAUGAUUAUGUUAGCAGACAAUUGGAAAAGAAUGCUCGUAUGCUUAGUCAUUUAACUGCUUGUGUGGACAGAAAUGUUAAUGAUCUUAAGCUUCUGAGUAAACAUGCCUCUAUGGUUACUACUCAAGUAGAACAAGUACUUAAAGCUCAAAAUGACUUGCUCAAUGAGUUGAAUGACAAUUCCGUCAGAGUCGUCACUAGAGGCGGUAGAAUGACCCAGGAACCUUUGUAUCCUGUGGGUCAUUCGAAGAGAAUUGAACAAGAUUCUCAAGGAGUUGGCACUGAUGCACCUAGUCAUCCUAAGAAGAAAAAAUAUGAUAGGAACCGGCACGCUAGCAACCCUGUUGCUGCUACACCUUAGAGUCCAAACGAUGCCUCUAUCUCUGACGCUAAAACACAAUCUGGUGAUGAACAUGAGCCUAAUGAUAAUAUCAAUAGUGAUGUUCAUGAAGAUGCUCAACCUAGCAAUGAUAAGGAUGUGGAGAUUGAACCUGGUGUUGAUCUUGAUAACCCACAUCCUAAGACUAAGAGAUACGAUAAGAAUGACUUCACUUUUAGGAAGCAUGGUAAAGAAAGGGAACCAUGGGUUCAGAAAUCUAUGCCCUUUCCUCCCAAACCAUCCAAGAAAAAGGAUGAUGAGGAUUUUGAGCGAUUCGUUGAGAUGAUCAGACCUAUCUUUCUGCAAAUGGGUUUGACGGAUAUGCUCAAGAUGUCUCUGUAUGCUAAGUACAUGAAAGAUAUUGUGACUAAUAAGAGGAGGAUACCCUGAGGUUGAGAUUUCUACCAUGCUCGUUAACUAUACCUUCAAGGGUGGAACUCCUAAGAAACUAGGUGAUCCCGGUGUGCCCAUUAUACCUUGCUCCAUUAAAGCCAACUACGUGAGAACUGCGUUAUGCGACUUUGGAGACGGUGUUAGUGUUAUGUCUCUCUCUCUCUAUCGUGGACUUGAACUGGAUAAGUUGACACCCAGUGAAAUCUCUCUGCAAAUGGCCGACAAAUCAACUAAUUUCCCUAUCGGCAUUUGCGAGGAUGUGCCUGUUGUGGUCGCUAACGUCACUAUCUUAACGGACUUUGUUAUUCUGGAUAUUCCCGAGGGCGAUGCUAUGGUUGUAAUCCUCGGAAGACCCUUUUUAAACACUACAGGGGCUGUUAUAGAUUGCAACAAAGGCAAUGUCCCUUUCCAUGUCAAUGGUAAUGAGCAUACGGUGCACUUUCCGAAGAAACAAUAUCGAGUACAUUGCACCAAUGCUAUCGAAAAAACUUCAUCAAUUCUUAUUGGGAGCUUUGAAUGCCCUAUUCCUCGUGUCAAGAUGAAGUAUGAUUUGCUUGUUGGGGAAAUUCACAUCCCCAUUGAGGUGACCUAGUGACUAUUCGAAAACUCACCGUCUUCUUUUGCGAUUCAAGAAAGUUUUGUCGAGGGGAUUUGAUCAACCCCAUUGACGGAUUUCUUUCGAUAACCAUGAGAUGGAUAAAUCAAGGAGCCACAAACCUCUGUUCCAAGCUUUCACUUUAGGUUGCUUAGAAGAAAAAUGAUAGAUUUAGUUUAGUUUUCCCUGUUUUCUGUUUUAGCGUCCGGUAGAAAAGUACCCCGAAAAUAAAAUUUCUCCGAACGUCCUGAAAAUCUAGUAUGAUUUUUUUCUAGAUUUUUUUAAAAGUUUCGAGACAAAGAGUUUGUCUCGGGGCUGCACUAGUGGGCCACAAGCCCUUGGGGCGCGGGCACCCCCUGGCCGCGCAACCCAGGCUUGUGGGCCCCACAGGCACCCCCUCCACUCAUUCUUGCUCUCAUCUGGUUCUCCUACCUCCAGAAAAAAUCGUUUCGCAGCUCAAACCCGUGUUCUUGCUCCUCUUGCUGGGAUUUUUGAUCUCUUUGCCCAAAUCACCGUUCUCCGAACUGUUUUGGGGAAAUUACUCCUUGGUAAGUGACUCCUCCAUUGGUCCAAUUAGUUUUUGCUCUAGUGCCUUAUACUCCGCGUAUUUUUGCUGCCUUGGUGACCAUGUUCUUGAGUUUUGCAUGCUAAUUUUAGCUGGUCCCAAGUAGUUUAGAUGUGUAAUAUGGUCUCUAGGCACUUGUGGGAGUAGUUGCUACGAGUUUUUUUGAGCCUUAUUCACUUUUCCUUUGAAUCACUAAAAAUUUCAGAAAUUUUCACAGGUAGAAAAGGGAAAAGAUGAGGAGGUUCUUAAGAGGCUAGUAAAGCCGUGACCCCAAGGAUGAUGGGAGUGAGAAGAAGCCCAAGUAUCUGGUCCCUCGAGUCGCAGAAGUUCGAGCGUGCGAGUGGCUGCUUGCUAGCAGUCCACAACAACGACACUAGAAGAAUGCAGCUGAAUGUGUCAGAUUCAACCGCACCUGAAAGAUUAGUAUCUGCAAGUGGAGUAUCAGUAGCAAAGUAGUAUGAUAACAACGGGGUCAGAAACGAUCUGGUAACAAGGCAGACUAUUCCUAACUGUUGUAUCAAUGGCGCCAGAAAAGUACUGUAGCAGAUAGCAGCCGUGUAACGAGUAACAAUAGUGGCAAGGAACGGCAGUAGUGACAGCAGUAGCAAGUAGCAACAGUAGCGAGUAACAACAGCAGCAAGUAGCAACAGUAGUAACAGCAGCAGAGCAAAGCAAAUAACAGUAGCAGCAACAGUAGUAACAGCAGCAGAGCAAAGCAAGUAACAGCAGCAGAGCAAAGCAAGUAACAGCAGCAGUGGGACAAACUCGUAGGCAAUGGGUCGAUGAUUCAUUUGGAUGACAUUCAUCAUGAAAUAGUUAUAACACGGAUAGAUAUCUGGCUAGCUCCCGUUUGUCAAUGUGAUGUAGGCAUGCAUUCGUGUGUAGUCAUACGUGCUUAGGGAAAAGAACUUGCAUGACAUCUAUUGUCCAUCCCUCCCGUGGCGGCGGGGUCCAAAAGGAUACUACGGGAUAUUAAGGUUCUCCUUUUAAUAAAGAACCGGAACAACGCAUUAGCACUUGGUGAACACAUGAACUCCUCAAACUAUGGUCAUCACCGGAAGUGGUUUCGGUUAUUGUCACUCCAGGGUUGCCGGGUCAUAAACAUAGUAGGUAACUACAACUUGCAAGAUCGGAUCUAAGACACACAUAUAUUGGUGACAACAUAAUAAUUUCAGAUCUGAAAUCAUGGCACUCGGGCCCUAGUGACAAGCAUUAAGCAUGGCAAAGUAGUAGCAACAUCAAUCUCAGAACAUAGUGGAUACUAGGGAUCAAUCCCCGUCAAAACUAACUCGAUUACAUGAUAGAUCUCAUCCUACUCAUCACCGCCCAGCGAGCCUACGAAUGGAUUACUCACGAACGAUGAAGAGCUUCGGGGAAUUGGAUAGGGAAGAAGGUUGAUAAUGACGAUGGCGAUGAUUUCCCCUCUCCGGAGCCCAAAACGGACUCCAGAUCUGCCCUCCACAUGAAGAACAGGAUGUGGCGGCGCCUCCGUAUCGCAAACGUGACGAAAUCUUCUCUUCUGAUUUUUUUUCUGGACGAAAGUGAAUUUAUAGGGCUGUUGUUGGGGGCGGCAAAGCCACGUGGGCCCCACAAGCUUGGUUGCCGCGGCCAUUGGGUGGCCGCGGCAACAGGGCUUGUGGCCCACUGGCCCAUCCCCUCCGGUGGAUCUUUGAGCAGGUAUUUUUCAUAUUUCUAAAAAUAUUUUCCGUAAAUUUUCAGGACGUUCCGAGAACUUUCAUUUCUGCGGAAAAACAACACCAUGGCAAUUCUGCUGAAAACAGCGUCAGUCCGGGUUAGUUCCAUUCAAAUCAUGCAAAUUAGAGUCCAAAACAUGGGCAAAAGAGUUUGGAAAAGUAGAUACGAUGGAGACGUAUUAGUGCCCAAGCGACGUGUUCAUACGCGCCGCUGGAAUUUAUGAGGACUUUUAUCACUUGGUGGAGAACGCAGGCCUUACCGCCUUAGUUGAAGAUAAGUGUCCGCAAUACCUCCUCCUCACUAAUAUCUUCGUACAAAGCUUUAACUUCUAUCCGAGGAAGAAUCCUCCUAUGGUUGAGUUUAAACUUUAUGAUAUCCCCCAGCGCAUGUCACUUCAGGAUUUUUGCAAUGUGUGCAAAUUACCUUAUGUUGGGGAUAUUCAUGAACCUCGUCCACGGGACUUGGAUGCUUUCAUCGAUACAAUUGUUGUAGGAGAGGAGAGAGGAGUGUCUUGCGCUAGAGCUGCUAGCAUUCAUUUUCCCGUGCUUCGGUACUUCUCAUUAUUUGUGGGAAAAUGAUUGAUUGGCCGUGGGAAGGCUGGGUCCCUUAGCUCGCCAGAUCUUGCGGUCUUGCGCGAAGCCCUUUAUAACGAUAAACUUACAACUUGGGCGCUAUAGUAGCUCAACGGUUGAACCUGAACCGUUCUAAAGGCGUUGUCUAUGGAGGUAUCUACGCUACUCGUCUUGCUAGACAUUUCGAGAUACCUAUUAGACUGGAGGAGGAAGAAGAGAUUCUUCUUCCCGAGAGAUAUCUAGAUUACGAUAGCAUGGUUCACCAUGACUUUCUUGAUAGAGAUAUAAAUAGAAGGAUGAUUUAUAACCUGGUAUUAAGUCACGGUACUCAUGAGACUAUUACUUUGCCUGCUCCUUCUUUGUUUAAUCUUCAUGCAGGCAGGUACACUAUUAUGCCCUCGGACAUCUAUGCAUAUUGGGGCUUGGCCCAACCAUAGGUGCUCGUGCCCGAUCCGCCAGUCGAGUACCAUACGCCAGUUUAUCAGUGGGAGCCAGAGGAGCUCACACAACAGUGGCAUCCUCAGUCCACUCCGGAGCACCCCGGAGCUGGUUAUUUCCCUCCUUGGGAGUAGACCAACUUAGGCCAAAAGCCUAAGCUUGGGGAGUACGUGUUCUCAUCGUUUUUACAUUAUUGCUUAUGCUUUCACUUUGUUCGUCGGUGUUCACACUUUACCACUGUAUCAUCCAUGCUAGUUUAUUUUCUUUUUCUCGUUUUCUUUUCAUGUGUCUGUCUAGUUUGAGAAAACCCAAAAGAUUUUCUUUUCUUCUUUUGCUUGUUGGGAGCUUUCGUGUAUAGAUAGUUUUCUUUCUCUUUGGGUCAAGGUAGAAGAUAUUGGUUACAAUGUUUAGUGGCUCUUGCAUGCAUACCUAUUUAGCUUUCAAAGAGCCAUAUUACUUUGUCUUCUCCUUUGUGUUUGCCUGCAGAUUCCAGCUUUAGUCCAAUGCACGAGAACUCUUAUUAUUGUUCACAUCAUUCGGUCGUGCAAGUGAAAGGCAAUAAUGACGAUAUAUGAUGAAGAGACUGAGCCUGGAGAAGCUGGUAUGAACUCGAUCUAUUUUGUUUUUGUAAAUAUGACUAGCUCACCGCUCCUAGUUCAGCUUUGUUGUGAGAGAAACAUGUUUGCAAUGACAACUUAGAGAUAAUAGUUGCUUAUGCCAUGCUUACUUAGCUAGGAGCUUAUAAUGGUUUGUCUUGGUUGCCAACAUGAAUGUUGAGAUGACUAUGAUGUGGUAUGAUAGGAUGGUAUCCUCCUUUGAAUGUUUCAAGUGGCUUGACUUGGCGCAUGUUCAUGCAUGUAGUUGAAACAAAAUCAACAUAGCCUCUAUGAUGUUCGUGUUCAUGGUGAUUUAUGUCCUACUCAUGCUUGCACUCAAUGUUAGUUAAUCUCAAUGCAUUUUGAUGACUGUUGUCGCUCUCUAGUUGGUCGCUUCCCAGUCUUUUGCUAUCCUUCACUUGUACUAAGCGGGAAUACUGCUUGUGCAUCCACUUCUAUAAACCCAAAAGUUUUUCCAUGAGAGUCCACCAUACCUACCUAUUUGCGGUAUCUACCUGCCGUUCCAAGUAAAUUUGCAUGUGCCAUUCUCUAAACCUUCAAAAAUAAUCUGUUUUGCAUGCCCGAACCGCUCAUGUGGUGACAGAGGGCUAUUGGUAUCUUCCAUGCUAGGAGUGUUAUCCUCGACAUGUGUUUAUUCACAGUCAUUCACGAGAAAGGGGCCGGUAAUUGGAAUGCCCAGUUCCACGCUUAAAUCGAAAACAUAACUGUAAAACAAGACUCCCCUCGGAUUGAUGUUAGUAUGAACGGUACCCGAGGAUUCGGCUAGCCGUGGAGUGCGAUUGAUUGGUGGUGGGGGAGUUAAAACUUUACUUUUCUAUUUGGGAACCGCCUAUAGCAUGAGUAGCAUGGAAGAUAUUGAGAACUCUUGGUCAUUGCGUUGACAAUGAAAGCAUGCCACCCAAAAUUAUUAUCUCUGUUUUCAAAGCUUGAGCUCUGGCACCUCUGCAAAUCAAUGCUUCCCUCUGCGAAGGGCUUGUCUAUUUAUUUUCCUGUUGAGUCAUCCUCCUCUUAUAUAAGCACCAAUUAGAGAGCACCUCUGUCAUUUUUAUGCUUUGCUUUUGAUUGAUAUUGAGUAUGACUAUGACUGGAUCUUCGUUGCUAUGAAUCACAAUGUUUAGUCAGCCCUUGAUCUUUGAAAGUGUUGUGCAUUUAUGUUUUGCGGUCUCAGAAAGAGCUAGCGAGAUACCACAUAUUCAUAUUGCUUCAUGCUUGUUUUGAUUGAAGUGUUGGUAUUUGAAACUCAUUAUUAUUUGCUCGUUAGCUGAUUAUGCCAUUGAUAUUAGUUUACCGUGAGACCUUUGUGUCAUUUGCUUAUGUGGUUAACUUGUGAUCUUGCUGAAAUUCUGGUUAUGAGUUAGGCAUAGUUGCAACAACAAGAUCAAACAGAGUUUCUCAAAGUUUUUCUUUCUCUCUCAGUUUUUCAACUGGGUUGCUUGAGGACAAGCAAGGUUUUAAGCUUGGGGGAGUUGAUACGUCUCCAUCGUAUCUACUUUUCCAAACUCUUUUGCCCUUGUUUUGGACUCUAAUUUGCAUGAUUUGAAUGGAACUAACCUGGAGUGGCGCUGUUUUCAACAGAUUUGCAUUGGUGUUAUUUUUGUGCAGAAAUCAAAGUUCUCCAAACGUCCUAAAAAUUUACGGGGAGCAGUUUUGGAAAAUAAGGAAAAUAUCUGCGCCAAGUUCCAACUCAGGGGGUGGGCCAGUGGGACACAAGCCCUGGCUCCGCCACCACCCCCUGGUGGCGGUGGGCAGGCUUGUGGGGCCCACACGGCUCUGCCGCCCCCAAUUCCAGCUCUAUAAGAUCCCUUUCGUCCCAGAAAAAAUAAAAAGAGAAGUUUUCGUCGCGUUUUCAAUACGGAGGCGCCGCCACCACCUGUUCUUCAUGUGGAGGGAAGAUCUGGAGUCCGUCUUGGGCUCCGGAGAGGGGAAAUCGCCGUCAUCGUCAUCAUCAACCUUCUUCCCUCUCCAAUUCCAUGAAGCUCUUCGUUGUUCAUGAGUAAUCUAUUCGUAGGCUCGCUGGGCGGUGAUGAGUAGAAUGAGAUCUAUCAUGUAAUCGAGUUAGUUUUGAUGGGGAUUGAUCCCUAGUAUCCACUAUGUUCUGAGAUUGAUGUUGCUACUACUUUGCCAUGUUUAAUGCUUGUCACUAGGGCCCGAGUGCCAUGAUUUCAGAUCUGAAAUUAUUAUGUUGUCACCAAUAUAUGUGUGUUUUAGAUCCGAUCUUGCAAGUUGUAGUUACCUACUAUGUGUUAUGAUCCGGCAACCCCGGAGUGACAAUAACCGGAACAACUCCCGGUCAUGACCAUAGUUUGAGGAGUUCAUGUGUUCACCAAGUGCUNNNNNNNNNNNNNNNNNNNNNNNNNNNNNNNNNNNNNNNNNNNNNNNNNNNNNNNNNNNNNNNNNNNNNNNNNNNNNNNNNNNNNNNNNNNNNNNNNNNNCCCAGUCUUGAUCCAUACUAACCCAACUAACACCUUCGGAGAUACCUGUAGAGCAUCUUUAUAGUCACCCAGUUACGUUGCGACGUUUGAUACACACAAAGCAUUCCUCCGGUGUCAGUGAGUUAUAUGAUCUCAUGGUCAUAGGAAUAAAUACUUGACACGCAGAAAACAGUAGCAACAAAAUGACACGAUCAACAUGCUACGUCUAUUAGUUUGGGUCUAGUCCAUCACGUGAUUCUCCCAAUGACGUGAUCCAGUUAUCAAGCAACAACACCUUGUUCAUAAUCAGAAGACACUGACUAUCAUCGAUCAACUGGCUAGCCAACUAGAGGCAUGCUAGGGACGGUGUUUUGUCUAUGUAUCCACACAUGUAAAUGAGUCUUCAUUCAAUACAAUUAUAGCACGGAUAAUAAACUAUUAUCUUGAUACAGGAAUUAUAAUAAUAACUUUACAUUUAUUAUUGCCUCUAGGGCAUAAUUCCAACAGUCUCCCACUUGCACUAGAGUCAAUAAUUUAGCCCUCACAUCACCAUGUGAAUUACAUUGUAAUAAAUCUAACACCCAUACAGUUCUGGUGUCGAUCAUGUUUUGGCCGUGGAAGAGGUUUAGUCAGCGGGUGUGCUACAUUCAGAUCCGUGUGCACUUUGCAUAUAUUUACGUCCUCCUCCUCGACGUAGUCGCGGAUGAGAUUGAAGCAUCGUUUGAUGUGUCUGGUCUUCUUGUGAAACCUUGGUUCCUUUGCUAAGGCAAUGGCACCAGUGUUGUCACAGAACAAGGUUAUUGGAUCCAGUGCAGUUGGCACCACUCCAAGAUCCGUUAUGAACUGCUUCAUCCAGACACCCUCCUUAGCCGCCUCCGAGGCAGCCAUGUACUCAGCUUCACAUGUAGAAUCUGCUACGACGCUUUGCUUGGAACUGCACCAGCUUACUGCACCCCCAUUAAGAAUAAAUACGUAUCCGGUUUGCGACUUAGAGUCGUCCGGAUCUGUGUCAAAGCUUGCAUCGACGUAACCUUUUACGGCGAGCUCUUCGUCACCUCCAUACACGAGAAACAUCUCCUUAGUCCUUUUCAGGUACUUUAGGAUAUUCUUGACCGCCGUCCAGUGAUCCACUCCUCGAUUACUCUGGAACCUACCUGCCAUACUUAUGGCCAGGCUAACAUCCGGUCUAGUGCACAGCAUUGCAUACAUGAUAGAACCUAUGGCCGAAGCAUAGGGGACGGAGCGCAUAUGCUCUCUAUCUUCAUUAGUUGCUGGGCACUGAGUCUUACUCAAUCUCGUACCUUGUAACACUGGCAAGAACCCUUUCUUGGACUGUUCCAUUUUGAACCUCUUCAAAACUUUAUCAAGGUAUGUGCUUUGUGAAAGUCCUAUCAGGCGUUUUGAUCUAUCCCUAUAGAUCUUAAUGCCUAGUAUGUAAGCAGCUUCUCCUAGGUCCUUCAUAGAGAAACUUUUAUUCAAGUAACCUUUUAUGCUCUCCAAAAGCUCUACGUUGUUUCCAAUCAGUAAUAUGUCAUCCACAUAUAAUAUUAGAAACGCCACAGAGCUCCCACUCACCUUCUUGUAAAUACAAGAUUCUCCAACCACUUGUAUAAACCCAAAUGCUUUGAUCACCUCAUCAAAGCGUUUGUUCCAACUCCGAGAUGCUUGCACCAGUCCAUAAAUGGAUCGCUGGAGCUUGCACACCUUGUCAGCAUUUUUAGGAUCGACAAAACCUUCGGGUUGCAUCAUAUACAACUCUUCCUUAAGGAAACCGUUAAGGAACGCCGUUUUGACAUCCAUCUGCCAGAUUUCAUAAUCGAAAAAUGCAGCUAUUGCUAACAUGAUUCUGACGGACUUAAGCAUCGCUACGGGUGAGAAAGUCUCAUCGUAGUCAACUCCUGGAACUUGUGAAAAACGCUUUGCCACAAGUCGAGCUUUAUAAACGGUCACAUUACCGUCAGCGUCCGUCUUCUUCUUAAAGAUCCAUUUGUUCUGAAUAGCCUUGCGGCCCUCAGGUAGUAUCUCCAAAGUCCACACUUUGUUCUCAUACAUGGAUCCUAUCUCGGAUUUCAUGGCUUCUAGCCAUUUGUUGGAAUCUGGGCCCACCAUUGCUUCUUCAUAACCUGCAGGUUCAUUGUUGUCUAACAACAUGAUUGAUAAGAUGGGAUUACCGUACUACUCUGGAGCAGCGCGUGAUCUCGUCGACCUGCGUGGUUCAACAGAAACUUGAACUGGAGUUUCAUGAUCAUCAUCAUUAACUUCCUCCUCAACCGGCGUCGCAACCACAGAGGUUUCCCCUUGCCCUGCGCCACCAUCCAGAGGGAUGAGAGGUUCGACAACCUCGUCAAGUUCUAUCUGCCUCCCACUCAAUUCUCUCGAGAGAAACUCCUUCUCGAGAAAAGUUCCGUUCUUAGCAACAAACACUUUGCCCUCGGAUUUGAGAUAGAAGGUGUACCCAACUGUCUCUUUUGGGUAACCUAUGAAGACGCACUUUUCCGCUUUGGGUUCCAGCUUUUCAGGCUGAAGCUUUUUGACAUAAGUAUCACAUCCCCAAACUUUAAGAAAUGACAACUUUGGCCUUUUGCCAUACCACAGUUCGUAUGGUGUCGUCUCAACGGAUUUCGAUGGUGCCCUAUUUAAAGUGAAUGCAGCUGUUUCUAAUGCAUAACCCCAAAAUGAUAACGGCAAAUCAGUAAGAGACAUCAUAGAUCGCACCAUCUCUAACAAAGUACGAUUACGACGUUCGGACACACCAUUACGCUGUGGUGUUCCAGGCGGUGUUAACUGCGAAACAAUUCCACAUUGUCUUAAGUGAGCACCAAACUCGAAACUCAGAUAUUCACCCCCACGAUCAGACCGUAGGAACUUGAUCUUCUUGUUACGAUGAUUUUCCACUUCACUCUGAAAUUGCUUGAACUUUUCAAAUGUUUCAGACUUGUGCUUCAUCAAGUAGACAUAACCAUAUCUACUUAAAUCGUCAGUGAAGGUGAGAAAAUAACGAUAUCCGCCGCGUGCCUCCACGCUCAUUGGACCACACACAUCGGUAUGUAUGAUUUCCAACAAGUCACUUGCACGCUCCAUCGUUCCGAAGAACGGAGUCUUAGUCAUCUUGCCCAUGAGGCAUGGUUCGCACGUGUCAAGUGAAUCAAAGUCAAGUGACUCCAAAAGUCCAUCAUCAUGGAGUUUUUUCAUGCGUUUUACACCAAUAUGACCCAAGCGGUAGUGCCACAAAAAUAUGGCGCUAUCAUUGUUUACUCUAACUCUUUUGGUCUCAAUGUUAUGUAUAUGUGUAUCGCUAUCGAGAUUCAAUAUGAACAAUCCUCUCACAUUCGGUGCAUGACCAUAAAAGAUGUUACUCAUAGAAAUAGAACAACCAUUAUUCUCAGACUUAAAAGAGUAACCGUCUCGCAAUAAACAAGAUCCAGAUAUAAUGUUCAUGCUCAACGCAGGCACUAAAUAACAAUGAUUUAAGUUCAUCACUAAUCCCGAUGGUAGUUGAAGUGACACUCUGCCGACGGCGAUUGCAUCAACCUUGGAACCGUUUCCUACGCGCAUCGUCACUUCGUCUUUCGCCAGCCUUCGUCUAUUCCGCAGUUCCUGCUUCGAGUUGCAAAUGUGAGCAACAGAACCGGUAUCGAAUACCCAGGCACUACUACGAGAGCCGGUUAAGUACACAUCAAUAACAUGUAUAUCAAAUAUACCUGAUUUUUCUUUGCCCGCCUUCUUAUCUGCCAGAUACUUGGGGCAAUUGCGCUUCCAGUGACCCAUACCCUUGCAAUAGAAGCACUCUGUUUCAGGCUUAGGUCCAGCCUUGGGUUUCUUCGGCGGAUUGGCAACAGGCUUGCCGCUCUUCUUCGAAUUGCCCUUCUUGCCUUUGCCGUUUCUCUUGAAACUAGUGGUCUUGCUCACCAUCAACACUUGAUGCUCUUUACGGAGUUCAGACUCUGCGACUUUCAACAUUGCAAACAACUCGCCGGGAGACUUGUUCAUCCCUUGCAUGUUGUAGUUCAACACAAAGCCUUUAUAGCUUGGCGGCAGUGAUUGAAGGAUUCUGUCAGUGAUAGCUUCUUGUGGGAGUUCAAUCCCCAGUUCAGCUAGACGGUUUGAGUACCCAGACAUUUUGAGCACAUGUUCACUGACAGACGAGUUUUCCUCCAUCUUGCAAGCAUAGAAUUUAUCGGAGGUCUCAUACCUCUCGAUCCGGGCGUUCUUCUGAAAGAUAAACUUCAACUCCUGGAACAUAUCAAAUGCUCCAUGACGCUCAAAGCGACGUUGAAGUCCCGGUUCUAAGCCAUACAAGACUGCACAUUGAACUAUUGAGUAGUCCUCCUUACGUGCUAACCAAGCGUUCUUAACAUCCUGAUCAGCCGUAGCGGGUGGUUCAUCUCCUAGCGCAGCAUUAAGGACAUAAUCCUUCUUUCCAGCUUGUAAGAUUAGCUUAAGAUUACGAGCCCAGUCUACAAAGUUGCUUCCAUCAUCUUUCAACUUAGCUUUCUCUAGGAACGUAUUAAAAUUCAGGAUGACACUUGCGUGAGCCAUGAUCUACAACACAAAUAUAUUCAAAGUGGACUUAGACUAUGUUCAAGAUAAUUAGAGUUCAACUUAAUCAAAUUAUAUGCUAAACUCCCACUCAAGAGUACAUCUCUCUAGUCAUUUGAGUGGUUCAUGAUCCACUUACACUAUCCCAAGUCCGAUCAUCACGUGAGUUGAGUAUAGUUUCAGUGGUAAGCAUCCCUAUGCUAAUCAUAUCAACUAUAUGAUUCAUGAUCGACCUUUCGGUCUCAUGUGUUCCGAGGCCAUGUCUGCACAUGCUAGGCUCGUCAAGCUUAACCCGAGUGUUCCGCGUGCGCAACUGUUUUGCACCCGUUGUAUGUGAACGUUGAGUCUAUCACACCCGAUCAUCACAUGGUGUCUCGAAACGACGAACUGUAGCAACGGUGCAUAGUCGGGGAGAACACAAUUUCGUCUUGAAAUUUUAGUGAGAGAUCACCUCAUAAUGCUACCGUCGUUCUAAGCAAAAUAAGGUGCAUAAAAGGAUUAACAUCACAUGCAAUUCAUAAGUGACAUGAUAUGGCCAUCAUCUCGUGCUUCUUGAUCUCCAUCACCAAUGCACCGGCACGAUCUUCUUGUCACCGGCGCCACACCAUGAUCAUCCAUCAAUGUGUUGCCAUCGUGGUUGUCGUGCUACUUAUGCUAUUACUACUAAAGCUACAUCCUAGCAAAAUAGUAAACGCAUCUGCAAGCACAUAUGUUAGUAUAAAGACAACCCUAUGGCUCCUGCCGGUUGCCGUACCAUCGACGUGCAAGUCGAUAUUUCUAUUACAACAUGAUCAUCUCAUACAUCCAAUAUAUCACAUCACAUCAUUGGCCAUAUCACAUCACAAUCAUACCCUGCAAAAACAAGUUAGACGUCCUCUAAUUUUGUUGUUGCAUGUUUUACGUGGUGACCAAGGGUAUCUAGUAGGAUCGCAUCUUACUUACGUAAACACCACAACGGAGAUAUAUGAGUUGCUAUUUAACCUCAUCCAAGGACCUCCUCGGUCAAAUCCGAUUCAACUAAAGUUGGAGAAACCGUCACUUGCCAGUCAUCUUUGAGCAAAGGGGGUUACUCGUAACGAUGAAACCAGUCUCUCGUAAGCGUACGAGUAAUGUCGGUCCAAGCCGCUUCAAUCCAACAAUACCGCAGAAUCAAGAAAAGACUAAGGAGGGCAGCAAAACGCACAUCACCGCCCACAAAACCUUUUGUGUUCUACUCGAGAAGACAUCUACGCAUGAACCUAGCUCAUGAUACCACUGUUGGGGAACGUCGCAUGGGAAACAAAAAAUUUCCUACGCGCACGAAGACCUAUCAUGGUGAUGUCCAUCUACGAGAGGGGAUGAGUGAUCUACGUACCUUUGUAGAUCGAACAGCAGAAGCGUUAGAGAACGCGGUUGAUGUAGUGGAACGUCCUCACGUCCCUCGAUCCGCCCCGCGAACAAUCCCGCGAUCAGUCCCACGAUCUAGUACCGAACGGACGGCACCUCCGCGUUCAGCACACGUACAGCUCGACGAUGAUCUCGGCCUUCUUGAUCCAGCAAGAGAGACGGAGAGGUAGAAGAGUUCUCCGGCAGCGUGACGGCGCUCCGGAGGUUGGUGAUGAUCUCGUCUCAGCAGGGCUCCGCCCGAGCUCCGCAGAACGCGANNNNNNNNNNNNNNNNNNNNNNNNNNNNNNNNNNNNNNNNNNNNNNNNNNNNNNNNNNNNNNNNNNNNNNNNNNNNNNNNNNNNNNNNNNNNNNNNNNNNCAUCUACGCAUAUUGGGGCUUGGCCCAACCACAGGCGCCCGUGCCCGAGUCGUCAGUCGAGUACUAGACGCCAGUUUAUUAGUGGGAGCCAGAGGAGCUCACACAGCAGUGGCAUCCACAGUCUGCUCCGGAGUAUCCUGGAGCUCGUUAUUUCCCACCUUGGGAGUAGACCAAGCUAGGCCAAAAGCCUAAGCUUGGGGGAGUACGUGUUCUCACCGACUUUACAUUCAUACUUAUGCUUUCACUUUGUUAGCCGGUGUUUACACUUUGCCAUUGUAUUAUCCAUGCUAGUUUCUUUCGUUUUCUUGUUUUCUUGUUUUGUGUCCUUUUUGAGAAAACCCAAAAUAUUUUUCUUUCUUCUUUUGCUUGUUGGGAGCUUUUCCGUGUAAAUAGUUUUCUUUUCUUUGUGUCAAGGUAGAAGAUAUUGGUUACAUAGUUUNUUGGUUCUCUAACUUUGUAGACUGGGCUCGUAAUCUUAAGCUAAUCUUACAAGCUGGAAAGAAGGAUUAUGUCCUUAAUGCUGCGCUAGGAGAUGAACCACCCGCUACGGCUGAUUAGGAUGUUAAGAACGCUUGGUUAGCACGUAAGGAGGACUACUCAAUAGUUCAAUGUGCAGUCUUGUAUGGCUUAGAACCGGGACUUCAACGUCGCUUUGAGCGUCAUGGAGCAUUUGAGAUGUUCCAGGAGUUGAAGUUUAUCUUUCAGAAGAACGCCCGGAUCGAGAGGUAUGAGACCUCCGAUAAAUUCUAUGCUUGCUAAGAUGGAGGAAAACKWCGUCUGUCAGUGAACAUGUAGCUANAAAACUGUNNNNNNNNNNNNNNNNNNNNNNNNNNNNNNNNNNNNNNNNNNNNNNNNNNNNNNNNNNNNNNNNNNNNNNNNNNNNNNNNNNNNNNNNNNNNNNNNNNNNGUUCCGGUCUUUAUUAAAAGGAGAACCUUAAUAUCCCGUAGUAUCCUUUUGGACCCCGCCGCCACGGAGGGAUGGACAAUAGAUGUCAUGCAAGUCUUUCCCUAAGCACGUAUGACUACACCGAAUGCAUGCCUACAUCACAUUGACGAACGGGAGCUAGCCACAUAUCUCUCCGUGAUAUAGUUGUUGCAUGAUGAAUAUCAUCCAAACAAAUCACCGACCCAUUGCCUACGAGUUUGUCCUACUGCUGUUGUUACUUGUCUUGCUCUGCUGCUGUUACUACUGUUGUUGUUGUUGCUGUUACUUGUCUUGCUCUGAUGCUGUUACUACUGUUGCUGUUGUUGUUACUUGUCUUGCUCUGCUGCUACUGUUGCUACUACUGUCGCUUGCUACUGUUGCUACUUGCUACUGUUGUCACUACUGUUGUUCCAUGCCACUGCUGUUACUCGUUACACUGUUGCUACCUGCUACACUUUUGGUUCGUUGAUCGUUGACGGGAACUGACAAUUUCCGUCAACGAGGCAACUUUGCGCCAUUGAUACAAUCGUUAGGAAUAGUGUGCCGUCAACAGAUCGUUUCUGACACCGUUGUUAUCAUACUACUUUGUUGUUACUACUUUGCUUGCAGAUACUAAUCUUUCAGGUGCGGUUGAAUCUGACACAUUCAGCUGCAUUCUUCUAGUGUCGUUGUUGUGGACUGCUAGCAAGCAGCCACUCGCACGCUCGAACUUCUGCGACUCGAGGGACCAGAUACUUGGGCUUCUUCUCACUCCCAUCAUCCUUGGGGUCACGGCUUUACUAGCCUCUUAAGAACCUCCUCAUCUUUUCCCUUUCUACCUGUGUNNNNNNNNNNNNNNNNNNNNNNNNNNNNNNNNNNNNNNNNNNNNNNNNNNNNNNNNNNNNNNNNNNNNNNNNNNNNNNNNNNNNNNNNNNNNNNNNNNNNAAAACAGCGCCACUCCAGGUUAGUUCCAUUCAAAUCAUGCAAAUUAGAGUCCAAAACAAGGGCAAAAGAGUUUGGAAAAGUAGAUACGAUGGAGACGUAUCAACUCCCCAAGCUUAAAACCUUGCUUGUCCUCAAGCAACCCAGUUGAAAAACUGAGAGAGAAAGAAAACUUUGAGAAACUCUGUUUGAUCUUGUUGUUGCAACUAUGCCUAACUCAUAUCCAGAGUUUCAGCAAGAUCACAAGCAAACCACAUAAGCAAAUGACAUAUAGGUCUCGCGGUAAACUCAUAUCAAUGGCAUAAUCAACUAGCGAGCAAAUAAUAAUAAGCCUCAWRUGAGUCAACACUUCAAUCAAAACAACAUGAAGCAGUACAAGUAGAUGGUAUCUCGCUAGCUCUUUCUGAGACCGCAAAACAUAAAUGCAGAGCACCUUCAGAGACCAAGGGCUGACUAAACAUUGUAAUUCAUGGCAAAGAAGAUCCAGUCAUAAUCAUACUCAACACAGCUAAAAGCAAAGCAUAAAAAUGACAGAGGUGCUCUCUAAUUGGUGCUUCUGUAAGAGGAGGAUGACUCAACAAGAACAUAGAUAGACAGGCCCUUCGUAGAGGGAAGUAUUGAUUUGCACAGGUGCGAGAGCUCAAGCUUUGAAAACAGAGAUAAUAAUUUUGGGUGGCAUGCUUUCAUUGUCAACGCAAUGACUAAGAGUUCUCAACAUCUUCCACGCUACACAUGCUAUAGGUGGUUCCCAAACAGAAAAGUAAAGUUUUGACCCCCCCCACCACCAAUCAAUCACACUCCACGGCUAGCUGAAUCCUCGGGUACCGUUAAUACCAACAUCAAUCCUGGCGGAGUUUUGUUUGCAAUUAUCUUUUCGAUUUGAGCAUGGAACUAGGAAUUCCAAUUAGCGGCCCCUUUCUCGUGAAUGAUAGUGAAUAAACACAUAUCGAGGAUAACACGCCUAGCAUGGAAGAUACCAAUAGCCCCCUCUCACCACUCAGCGGUUCGGGCAUGCAAAACAGAUUAUUUCUUGAAGGUUUAGAGAGUGGCACAUGCAAAUUUACUUGGAACGGCAGGUAGAUAACGCACAUAGGUAGGUAUGGUGGACUUAUAUGGAAUAACUUUGGGUUUAUAGAAGUGGAUGCACAAGCAGUAUUCCCGCUUAGUACAAGUGAAGGAUAGCAAAAGACUGGGAAGCGACCAACUAGAGAGCGACAACAGUCAUCAAAAUGCAUUGAGAUUAACUAACAUUGAGUGCAAGCAUGAGUAGGACAUAAAUCACCAUGAACACGAACAUCAUAGAGGCUAUGUUGAUUUUGUUUCAACUACAUGCAUGAACAUGCGCCAAGUCAAGCCACUUGAAACAUUCAAAGGAGGAUACCAUCCUAUCAUACCACAUCAUAGUCAUCUCAACAUUCAUGUUGGCAACCAAGACAAACCAUUAUAAGCUCCUAGCUAAGUAAGCAUGGCAUAAGCAACUAUUAUCUCUAAGUUGUCAUUGCAAACAUGUUUCUCUCACAACAAAGACUGAACUAGGAGCGGUGAGCUAGUCUAUAUUUACAAAACAAAAUAGAUCGAGUUCAUACCAGCUUCUCCAGGUUCAAUCUCCACAUCCUUAUCAUUGCUAGGUUGAGCAUCUUCAUGAACAUCACUAUUGAUAUUAUCAUUAGGCUCAUGUUCAUCAYSWGAKUGUGUUUUAGCGUCAGAGAUAGAGGCAUCGUUUGGACUCUAAGGUGUAGCAGCAACAGGGUUGCUAGCGUGCCGGUUCCUAUCAUUAUUUUUUCUUCUUAGGAUGACUAGGUGCAUCAGUGCCAACUCCUUGAGAAUCUUGUUCAAUUCUCUUCGAAUGACCUUGAGGAUACAAAGGUUCAUGAGUCGUUUUGCCUCCUCUAGUAAUGACUCUGACAAAGUUGUCAUUUAAUUCAUUGAGCAGGUGAUUCUGAGCUUUAAGUACUUGUUCUAUCUGAGUAGUAAUCAUAGAGGCAUGUUUACUCAGAAGCUUUAGAUCGUUGACAUUUCUGUCUACACAAGCACUUAAAUGGCUAAGCAUACGAGUACUUUGUUCCAAAUGUCUGCUAACAUAAUCAUUGAAACUGUGUUGUUUGGCAACAAAGUUGUCAAAUUCAUAAAAGCAUAGGCUAGCAGGUUUAUCAAAAGGAAUAUCACUCUCAUCAAACCUACCGCAGAGAAUUCUACUCCUACUACCUGUAGUCGGGUUAUCGAGACCAUGGNNNNNNNNNNNNNNNNNNNNNNNNNNNNNNNNNNNNNNNNNNNNNNNNNNNNNNNNNNNNNNNNNNNNNNNNNNNNNNNNNNNNNNNNNNNNNNNNNNNNCAUGUGAGUUCGUUUCCGGACCAUUCCGUAAACCCUCGUGACGUCCGUGAUCUCAUCCGGGACUCCGAACAACAUUCGGUAACCAACCAUAUAACUCAAAUACGCAUAAAACAACGUCGAACCUUAAGUGUGCAGACCCUGCGGGUUCGAGAACUAUGUAGACAUGACCCGAGAGACUCCUCGGUCAAUAUACCAAUAGCGGGACCUGGAUGCCCAUAUUGGAUCCUACAUAUUCUACGAAGAUCUUAUCGUUUGAACCUCAGUGCCAAGGAUUCAUAUAAUCCCGUAUGUCAUUCCCUUUGUCCUUCGGUAUGUUACUUGCCCGAGAUUCGAUCGUCAGUAUCCGCAUACCUAUUUCAAUCUCGUUUACCGGCAAGUCUCUUUACUCGUUCCGUAAUACAAGAUCCCGCAACUUACACUAAGUYACAUUGCUUGCAAGGCUUGUGUGUGAUGUUGUAUUACCGAGUGGGCCCCGAGAUACCUCUCCGUCACACGGAGUGACAAAUCCCAGUCUUGAUCCAUACUAACUCAACUAACACCUUCGGAGAUACCUGUAGAGCAUCUUUAUAGUCACCCAGUUACGUUGCGACGUUUGAUACACACAAAGCAUUCCUCCGGUGUCAGUGAGUUAUAUGAUCUCAUGGUCAUAGGAAUAAAUACUUGACACGCAGAAAACAGUAGCAACAAAAUGACACGAUCAACAUGCUACGUCUAUUAGUUUGGGUCUAGUCCAUCACGUGAUUCUCCUAAUGACGUGAUCCAGUUAUCAAGCAACAACACCUUGUUCAUAAUCAGAAGACACUGACUAUCAUCGAUCAACUGGCUAGCCAACUAGAGGCAUGCUAGGGACGGUGUUUUGUCUAUGUAUCCACACAWGUAUUGUGUUUCCAAUCAAUACAAUUAUAGCAUGGAUAAUAAACGAUUAUCAUGAACWAAGAAAUAUAAUAAUAACUAAUUUAUUAUUGCCUCUAGGGCAUAUUUCCAACAAUUAAAUUAAGCUCAUAGUGCAUAUGGUUUAUGCAUCUUGAGUGGUUCAAGAAAGAGCAAGGGAAAAUCUUGGAGAACUAUAUAUGAUGACAAUUGUGAUGGAAUAUAUUUAUUUGGUCUCACUAGGAUAGGUGCCUACGUGUCAUGAGUUGAUUAGUACUAGUUAUCCUUCAAUUGGUCCUCAUAUUGAACAUAAAUACAGUAUAUCUUGAACAUGGUGUGCAACCUUGUUUCCAGUGCAAGACUAUAAGUUCAUGGUUUAUUGAUUGUAAUGCAAAUUUAUAAGUGGGGUUGAUCGUUCCUGGUUCUAGAAAAUGAAGAUGGUCGCUCGCUCAAUCCGACGUGGAUGUAAACUCUANNNNNNNNNNNNNNNNNNNNNNNNNNNNNNNNNNNNNNNNNNNNNNNNNNNNNNNNNNNNNNNNNNNNNNNNNNNNNNNNNNNNNNNNNNNNNNNNNNNNGGAGAUGUGGUAUGAGCAGAAAAGUAGAGAUGUAGUUUGAGCAAGUUCAUCGCAAAACCUGUGAUCCCCUCUUAAUAGUGCGGGAUCCCUAAAGACUCAAGAAUCAUAAAAGGGUACUGAUGAUCCAUACUUGAGUGUAUACUUUUAUUCGCUGAUCAUCACUCCGCACCACUAACGUCAAAGGAACUUCAAUUCCCACAAGCCCAAGGGAAAGAAUUAUGUCCAACAGAAUACCGACUUUAAGAUGAAGGGAAAGAAGUCAUUCAAGAAGAACAAGAAUGGAAAUGGCUGCUCCAAUUGUGGUUCUGAGGAACAUUGGACUAGUAAGUGCCCAAACAAGUACAAGAAGCCAGGACAUGACUCAAAGUCUGCCAAUAUGAUUGUGAGAAACAACGAAAGUAAAGUGUGUCGAUUCCCACAUCUAGGUUAUACCUCCCAACCAUGCGAAUUUUAACCGGAAUGAUCCGUCGAACUUGGUGUUGAAGUAGACAAUACCUCCAAGGUAUCUAUCUAGCAUUAUUCCAACACUCCUCAACCGACACAAAGAACUACAUGAACAACUAGAGGGACAAUCAUGCUAGCGACAUCCAUGAUCUUGAUGAAGUCUAGAGAGAGCGGGAGGGAGGGAGGGAGGGUGGGAGAGAGAGAUAGAAGGUUUACAAAGGUACUCUUUUGUUAAAAAAAAGAGACAACCACGGCAACCCUUGUUMMAAAAAAGGACCUACGCGUGAAACACUUAUUAUAGAAUUAGGACCUAAAYGUGYAUUUUUUAAAGAAGUAGGACUAAAAUGGCACUGCCGAGGAACUUUUAAAACCACCACUGUAUUUUUCUCGCCAAACGGUUUGUCCCUCCGUCGACGUGGCAUGUGUCAUGCGUGUAGGUCAGCGAGUGCUCGUGAAAAAAUGACCUUGGGUGAAUCACUUACUAUAGAAUUAAGUCCUAAAGGUGCAUUUUGGAAGAAUUAGGACUAAAGUGACACCCCGAUGAAACUUUGAGGACCUGUAGUGCAUUUUAAGUNNNNNNNNNNNNNNNNNNNNNNNNNNNNNNNNNNNNNNNNNNNNNNNNNNNNNNNNNNNNNNNNNNNNNNNNNNNNNNNNNNNNNNNNNNNNNNNNNNNNAACUCCAUGAUGAUGGACUUUUGGAGUCACUUGACUUUGAUUCACUUGACACGUGCGAACCAUGCCUCAUGGGCAAGAUGACUAAGACUCCGUUCUUCGGAACGAUGGAGCGUGCAAGUGACUUGUUGGAAAUCAUACAUACCGAUGUGUGUGGUCCAAUGAGCGUGGAGGCACGCGGCGGAUAUCGUUAUUUUCUCACCUUCACUGACGAUUUAAGUAGAUAUGGUUAUGUCUACUUGAUGAAGCACAAGUCUGAAACAUUUGAAAAGUUCAAGCAAUUUCAGAGUGAAGUGGAAAAUCAUCGUAACAAGAAGAUCAAGUUCCUACGGUCUGAUCGUGGGGGUGAAUAUCUGAGUUUCGAGUUUGGUGCUCACUUAAGACAAUGUGGAAUUGUUUCGCAGUUAACACCGCCUGGAACACCACAGCGUAAUGGUGUGUCCGAACGUCGUAAUCGUACUUUGUUAGAGAUGGUGCGAUCUAUGAUGUCUCUUACUGAUUUGCCGUUAUCAUUUUGGGGUUAUGCAUUAGAAACAGCUGCAUUCACUUUAAAUAGGGCACCAUCGAAAUCCGUUGAGACGACACCAUACGAACUGUGGUAUGGCAAAAGGCCAAAGUUGUCAUUUCUUAAAGUUUGGGGAUGUGAUACUUAUGUCAAAAGCUUCAGCCUGAAAGCUGGAACCCAAAGCGGAAAAGUGCGUCUUCAUAGGUUACCAAAGGAGACAGUUGGUACACCUUCUAUCUCAAUCCAAGGGCAAAGUGUUUGUUNNNNNNNNNNNNNNNNNNNNNNNNNNNNNNNNNNNNNNNNNNNNNNNNNNNNNNNNNNNNNNNNNNNNNNNNNNNNNNNNNNNNNNNNNNNNNNNNNNNNUGCAGAACUAGAAAAAAGAAUUGUUUUUUGGACAUGUUUGCUCAUUAUGUUGGCCCCUGAUUGUUUUUUGGGUUAGACACGUUAAGGGCCGUUGAACGCAUCACCAUUUGGAUCGAUCGAUCGUGCUCGCCGGGCCCCGCCCACGGCGCAAGUGGAGCCAUGACCAUGAGCUUGAGCUAGUCCACAGCCAGCAUCCUCGUUCUCGCUGGCGGGGAAAGGAUGGCGCGAAAAGCGGGCGUGGAGCCUAGGACGGAAGCGGAAGCCGCGGCACGUAAAGCGAAACAGCACAAUGACAAGCCGGUCGSGAUCRKYCUGCGCGCUCCUGACGGCGGCGAGGAUGGGGCUCCUCGUGAAGGGAGGGGACGUCCUCGAGUCGCUGGGCGAGAUCAAGGCCGUGGCGUUCGACAAGACCGGCACCAUCACCAGAGGGGAGUUCACCGUCGACAUUUUCGACGUGGUCGGACACAAGGUUCAGAUGAGCCAGCUUCUUUACUGGUAUGUCCACCAUUCCCACACCUCUGGGCAUUGAAAUUUUCACUGAUGAAAACUUGAGACGAGAGCUUCUUCUCGCAGGAUCUCAAGCAUCGAGAGCAAAUCCAGCCACCCAAUGGCGGCUGCGCUGGUGGAGUACGCGCAGUCGAAAUCCAUCGAGCCGAAACCCGAAUGCGUCGCUGAGUUCCGCAUCCUUCCCGGCGAGGGCAUCUAUGGCGAGAUCGACGGGAAGCGCAUCUACGUCGGGAACAAGAGGGUCUUGGCAAGGGCAUCCUCCUGUCAGACAGGUGAGCUGAGCAGAGCAGAGCAAGAUCUUUUAUUCUCCGGAGAUUAAGUCUGACACAGAUGAUAUUCAAAACCUGUGGACAACAAAGACUCCAUUCUUUCACCGAAGUUGAUGGCUUCUGUUCCACGAAAUUUCCCAUGNNNNNNNNNNNNNNNNNNNNNNNNNNNNNNNNNNNNNNNNNNNNNNNNNNNNNNNNNNNNNNNNNNNNNNNNNNNNNNNNNNNNNNNNNNNNNNNNNNNNGAGCUGCGAAACAAUUUUUUUCUGGAGGUGGAAGAAGAGGCUGGGAGCUGGAAUGAGUGGAGGGGUGCCUGUGGGCCCCACAAGCUUGCACCCCGCCACCAGGGGGGUAGGUGGCGGUGGCAGGGCUUGUGGCCCACUGGUCAGGGGCCCAGGCCAGCUCUCAGGCCCAGAAAUUUUCAAAAAUUCCGGAAAAAAAUCAUACUAAAUUUUCAGGACAUUCCGAUAACUUUUAUUUCUGCACAAAAACAACAACAUGACAAUUCUGGUGAAAACAGCGUCAGUCUAGGUUAGUUCUAUUCAAAUCAUGCAAAUUAGAGUCCAAAACAAGGGCAAAAGAAUUAGGAAAAGUAGAUACGAUGGAGACGUAUCAACUCCCCCAAUUUUAAAGCCUUAGCUUGUCCUCAAGCAAUUCAGUUGACAAACUGAAAGAGACAAAAGAAAAACUUUGACGAACUCUGUUUGAUCUUAGUUGUUGCAACUAUGUCUAACUCAUAUCCAGAGUUUCAGCAAGAUCACAAGCAAACCACAUAAGCAAAUGACAUAUAGGUCUCGCGGUAAACUCAUAUCAAUGGCAUAAUCAACUAGCGAGCAAAUAAUAAUAAGCCUCAAAUGUCAACACUUCAAUCAAAACAACAUGAAGCAGUACAAGUAGAUGGUAUCUCGCUAGCUCUUUCUGAGACCGCAAAACAUAAAUGCAGAGCACUUUCAAAGAUCAAGGGCUGACUAAACAUUGUGAUUCAUAGCAACGAAGAUCCAGUCAUAGUCAAUACUACAAUANNNNNNNNNNNNNNNNNNNNNNNNNNNNNNNNNNNNNNNNNNNNNNNNNNNNNNNNNNNNNNNNNNNNNNNNNNNNNNNNNNNNNNNNNNNNNNNNNNNNACAUUAACACGCGGUGAAUACAUGAACUCCUCAUACUAUGGUCAUCUCCGGGAGUGGUUCCGGCUAUUGUCACUCCGGGGUUGCCGGGUCACAACACAUAGUAGGUGACUACAACUUACAAGAUAGGAUCUAAAACACACAUAKAUUGGACAUCACCAUGAUAGGUCUUCGUGCGCGUUAGGAAAGUUUUUUGUUUCCCUAUGCGACGUUCCCCAACAUUAAUCCCUUGAUUUAAGACAACGACAUGUUUCCAAGAGCUUCUCGACAUGCAUCAUUGGUUUCUUUUGUCAUCAUACUUCAUGUCAUAAAUAUUACAGAUCCAAGACGAUACCUCCACCAAUAGUUCCAACCAUAAAAAUUUUGAGGGCCCACCCCAAGGUGCCCCACAUGCCCAUAUAUGUAGAUACCUACAACAACCUCACACAUCACUUAGCUAUAGUCACCAUAGGAGUUUCUUCGGAAAGUGCACCGUAUGCUCAUUACCAUUGACAUGGAAAGGGACAUUGCCUUUGUUGCAAUCUAUAACAGCCCCUGUAGUGUUUAAAAAGGGUCUUCCGAGGAUUACAACCAUAGCAUCGCCCUCGGGAAUAUCCAGAAUAACAAAGUCCGUUAAGAUAGUGACGUUAGCGACCACAACAGGCACAUCCUCGCAAAUGCCNNNNNNNNNNNNNNNNNNNNNNNNNNNNNNNNNNNNNNNNNNNNNNNNNNNNNNNNNNNNNNNNNNNNNNNNNNNNNNNNNNNNNNNNNNNNNNNNNNNNAAAUGUUGAUUUUAGUUGGUCCCAAGUAGUUUUAGCGCGUGAUACGGUCUCUAGGCACUAGUAGGAGUAGUUGCUACAAAUUGGGUUAAUCCUUAUUCACUUUUCUUUCGAAGUCUCUAAAAAUUUCAGAAUUUUUCAGAGCUAGAAAAAGGAAAAGAUGAGGAGGUUCUUGAGAGGCUCUUCAAGCCGUAACCACAAGGAGGAUGAGAAGAACCACCCCAAGUACGUAGUCCCUCAAGUCACAGAAGUUUGAGUGUGCGAGUGGCSAAGYSAWGAAAUCUWUGCAAGAGAAAGGCAUUAGAUCUGAAGAUGUCAAAAAAUCUACCACCUAUCGAAGAGAUCCAUGGUCUCGAUAACCCGAUACAGGUAGUGGAAGUGAAUUCUCUGCGUAGGUUUGAUGAGAGUGAUAUUCCUUUUGAUAAACCUGCUAGCCUAUGCUUUUAUGAAUUUGACAAACUUUGUUGCCAAAACAACACAGUUUCAAUGAUUAUGUUAGCAGACAUUUGGAACAAAGUACUCGUAUGCUUAGCCAUUUAAGUGCUUGUGUAGACAGAAAUGUUAAUGAUCUUAAGCUUCUGAGUAAACNNNNNNNNNNNNNNNNNNNNNNNNNNNNNNNNNNNNNNNNNNNNNNNNNNNNNNNNNNNNNNNNNNNNNNNNNNNNNNNNNNNNNNNNNNNNNNNNNNNNAUGUGAGAUUCAUCAUGUAAAUAGUUAUAACACGGAUAGAUAUCUGGCUAGCUCCGUUUGUCAAUGUGAUGUAGGCAUGCAUUCGUGUGUAGUCAUACGUGCUUAGGGAAAAGAACUUGCAUGACAUCUAUUGUCCAUCCCUCCCGUGGCGGCGGGGUCCAAAAGGAUACUACGGGAUAUUAAGGUUCUCCUUUUAAUAAAGAACCGGAACAACGCAUUAGCACUUGGUGAACACAUGAACUCCUCAAACUAUGGUCAUGACCGGGAGUUGUUCCGGUUAUUGUCACUCCGGGGUUGCCGGAUCAUAACACAUAGUAGGUAACUACAACUUGCAAGAUCGGAUCUAAAACACACAUAUAUUGGUGACAACAUAAUAAUUUCAGAUCUGAAAUCAUGGCACUCGGGCCCUAGUGACAAGCAUUAAACAUGGCAAAGUAGUAGCAACAUCAAUCUCAGAACAUAGUGGAUACUAGGGAUCAAUCCCCAUCAAAACUAACUCGAUUACAUGAUAGAUCUCAUUCUACUCAUCACCGCCCAGCGAGCCUACGAAUAGAUUACUCAUGAACAACGAAGAGCUUCAUGGAAUUGGAGAGGGAAGAAGGUUGAUGAUGACGAUGACGGCGAUUUCCCCUCUCCGGAGCCCAAGACGGACUCCAGAUCUUCCCUCCACAUGAAGAACAGGUGGUGGCGGCGCCUCCGUAUUGAAAACGCGGUAUUGUUGGAUUGAAGCGGCUUGGACCGACAUUACUCGUACGCUUACGAGAGACUGGUUUCAUCGUUACGAGUAACCCCUUUGCUCAAGAUGACUGGCACUCACANNNNNNNNNNNNNNNNNNNNNNNNNNNNNNNNNNNNNNNNNNNNNNNNNNNNNNNNNNNNNNNNNNNNNNNNNNNNNNNNNNNNNNNNNNNNNNNNNNNNCAGCCCUAAAACCUCCGUAUAUAUAGGGGGAGGAGGGGGAGCCUUGCCUUGUGGUCCAAGGACUCCCAAGGGGGUCGGCCGAGCCAAGGGAGGCAACCCUCCCCUUCCAAACCGAGUCCAACUAGGUUUGGAAGGAGGAGUCCUUCCCCCUUUCCCACCUCCUCUUUUUUCCCUUUUCUCUUUGAUUUUCUUCCUAUGGCGCAUAGGGCCUUCUUGGGCUGUCCCACCAGACCACUAAGGGCUGGUGCGCCACCCCCAAGGCCUAUGGGCUUCCCCGGGGUGGGUUGCCCCCCGGUGAACACCCGGAACCCAUUUGUCAUUCCCGGUACAUUCCCGGUAACUCCGAAAACCUUCCGAUAAUCUAGCUGUGUUGAACACCCUUUCCCGAGGUGGGAGAAGAGUAUAUAUAUAGUGGGGAGUGAAAUCCAGCCGUUGGGGGCACUUUAAGUCACACAGGGUCCGGACGUCCGACAGUUGCCGGACGUCCGGGCGUCCGCGAGGGGUCGGACGUCCGACAGGGUUCGGUCGGUCCGAGGCCUAUAGAUAUGACUGAAAAUACUGUAUAUUGAAUAGUGACCGGACGUCCGGAGAGGACCGGAAUUCCGGGUUAUUCGACUCAACUGCUACUGGUGAAGGGCUCCGGAUUUCCGAAGCCUGCCGGUCGUCCGGCCCUCGGACGUCCGGAGGUAGCCGGAUGUCCGAGGCAAUAAACCUGUUUUGAGAUAAGAACAGAGUGGAGAAUAUGUGGCAUUGGGUAUGACAGUGAAGAUGUGGUAUGAGCAAGUUCAUCGCAAAAACAUGUGAUCCCCUCUUAAUAGUGCGGGAUCCCUAUACUCAAUAUCAAUAAACUCAAAAGACUACUCUACAUCAUCUUUCCUUAAUCCCGAGCCUUCUCGAAUAUAAAUCCCAAUCUUCUGUAGACAACCUUUUGGUCACAUAAUUCUCAANNNNNNNNNNNNNNNNNNNNNNNNNNNNNNNNNNNNNNNNNNNNNNNNNNNNNNNNNNNNNNNNNNNNNNNNNNNNNNNNNNNNNNNNNNNNNNNNNNNNGUGGUAUGUAGAAGCACUACGAGAGAGAAUGAGAGAGAAGGGUUUCGAGAGUGUUUCAGAUGACCUCGAAAGUGCUUGAGGAGGUCCCGAAGUGUCCCAAUGGAAUUGCAAAGGUUCCCGAAAGGUGGAGGAAUCUUCUGAAAUGGUCUAAGAAGACUUUGAAAUCUUUUAGAAUGUUCUAGAACGUGCCUAGUGCCCACCACUUCCUUAGGGGACAAGGUGCCACAAAGGGACGAAGUUGGAUCCCCCUUGGAGACUUGGGGGGGGGGGGUGUUGGGGAACGUCGCAUGGGAAACAAAAAAUUUCCUACGCGCACGAAGACCUAUCAUGGUGAUGUCCAUCUACGAGAGGGGAUGAGUGAUCUACGUACCUUUGUAGAUCGAACAGCAGAAGCGUUAGAGAACGCGGUUGAUGUAGUGGAACGUCCUCACGUCCCUCGAUCCGCCCCGCGAACAAUCCCGCGAUCAGUCCCACGAUCUAGUACCGAACGGACGGCACCUCCGCGUUCAGCACACGUACAGCUCGACGAUAAUCUCGGCCUUCUUGAUCCAGCAAGAGAGACGGAGAGGUAGAAGAGUUCUCCGGCAGCGUGACGGCGCUCCGGAGGUUGGUGAUGAUCUCGUCUCAGCAGGGCUCCGCCCGAGCUCCGCAGAAACGCGAUCUAGAGGAAAAACUAUGGAGGUAUGUGGUCGGGCAGCCGUGAGAAAGUCGUCUCAAAUCUGCCCUAAAAGCCCCAUAUAUAUAGGAGGAGGGAGGGGGACCUUGCCUUGGAGUCCAAGGGACUCCCAAGGGGUCGGCCGAGCCAAGGGGGGGAGGACUCCCCCCCCCCAAACCGAGUUGGACUUGGUUUGGUGGGAGGAGUCCCCCUCCCUUCCCACUUCUUCCCUCCUUUUUUUUUCUUUUCCUUUGAUUUUCUUUCUCUUGGCGCAUAGGCCCCUUUGGGGCUGUCCCACCAGCCCACUAAGGGCUGGUGUGUCUCCCCAAAGCCUAUGGGCUUCCCCGGGGUGGGUUGCCCCCCCCCGGUGAACUCCCGGAACCCAUUCGUCAUUCCCGGUACAUUCCCGGUAACUCCGAAAACCUUCCGGUAAUCAAAUGAGGUCAUCCUAUAUAUCAAUCUUCGUUUCCGGACCAUUCCGGAAACCCUCGUGACGUCCGUGAUCUCAUCCGGGACUCCGAACAACAUUCGGUAACCAACCAUAUAACUCAAAUACGCAUAAAACAACGUCGAACCUUAAGUGUGCAGACCCUGCGGGUUCGAGAACUAUGUAGACAUGACCCGAGAGACUCCUCGGCCAAUAUCCAAUAGCGGGACCUGGAUGCCCAUAUCGGAUCCUACAUAUUCUACGAAGAUCUUAUCGUUUGAACCUCAGUGCCAAGGAUUCGUAUAAUCCCGUAUGUCAUUCCCUUUGUCCUUCGGUAUGUUACUUGCCCGAGAUUCGAUCGUCAGUAUCCGUAUACCUAUUUCAAUCUCGUUAACCGGUAAGUCUCUUUACUCGUUCCGUAAUACAAGAUCCCGCAACUUGCACUAAGUUACAUUGCUUGCAAGGCUUGUGUGUGAUGUUGUAUUACCGAGUGGGCCCCGAGAUACCUCUCCGUCAUACGGAGUGACAAAUCCCAGUCUUGAUCCAUACUAACCCAACUAACACCUUCGGAGAUACCUGUAGAGCAUCUUUAUAGUCACCCAGUUACGUUGCGACGUUUGAUACACACAAAGCAUUCCUCCGGUGUCAGUGAGUUAUAUGAUCUCAUGGUCAUAGGAAUAAAUACUUGACACGCAGAAAACAGUAGACAACAAAAUGACACGAUCAAAUCGGAGCUACGGAUCAAAAGAUAUGAGCAAAACAAGAAAUCACUACAAUCUGCCAAAAUCAGCCACAUAGCAUUUUCUACGCCCCACAACUACGGGCUACACAACUCCGAUAAACUCAAGCAAGGCAUGACACGAAAGAGGGCAAGAAACACUACUACAAACAACUAACAACUAGCAUGGCAUCAAGGAUCACUAGGAAAAGAAGUCACAAAAUAGGCAUCCCACACACUAUUCAGACUUAGUGAAAAUUACACCUCAUGAAAGUGCNNNNNNNNNNNNNNNNNNNNNNNNNNNNNNNNNNNNNNNNNNNNNNNNNNNNNNNNNNNNNNNNNNNNNNNNNNNNNNNNNNNNNNNNNNNNNNNNNNNNUGUCAUUUUGUUGCUACUGUUUUCUGCGUGUCAAGUAUUUAUUCCUAUGACCAUGAGAUCAUAUAACUCACUGACACAGGAGGAAUGCGUUGUGUGUAUCAAACGUCGCAACGUAACUGGGUGACUAUAAAGAUGCUCUACAGGUAUCUCCGAAGGUGUUAGUUGGGUUAGUAUGGAUCAAGACUGGGAUUUGUCACUCCGUAUGACGGAGAGGUAUCUCGGGGCCCACUCGGUAAUAMMACAUCACACACAAGCCUUGCAAGCAAUGUAACUUAGUGCAAGUUGCGGGAUCUUGUAUUACGGAACGAGUAAAGAGACUUACCGGUUAACGAGAUUGAAAUAGGUAUACGGAUACUGACGAUCGAAUCUCGGGCAAGUAACAUACCGAAGGACAAAGGGAAUGACAUACGGGAUUAUAUGAAUCCUUGGCACUGAGGUUUCAAACGAUAAGAUCUUCGUAGAAUAUGUAGGAUCCGAUAUGGGCAUCCAGGUCCCGCUAUUGGAUAUUGGCCGAGGAGUCUCUCGGGUCAUGUCUACAUAGUUCUCGAACCCGCAGGGUCUGCACACUUAAGGUUCGACGUYRUKUKAKGCGUAUUUGAGUUAUAUGGUUGGUUACCGAAUGUUGUUCGGAGUCCCGGAUGAGAUCACGGACGUCACGAGGGUUUCCGGAAUGGUCCGGAAACGAAGAUUGAUAUAUAGGAUGACCUCAUUUGAUUACCGGAAGGUUUUCGGAGUUACCGGGAAUGUACCGGGAAUGACGAAUGGGUUCCGGGAGUUCACCGGGGGGCAACCACCCCGGGAAGCCCAUAGGCUUUGGGAGACACACCAGCCCUUAGUGGGCUGGUGGGACAGCCCCAAAGGGGCCUAUGCGCCAAGAGAAAGAAAAUCAAAGGAAAGAAAAAAAAGGAGGGAAGAAGUGGGAAGGGAGGGGGACUCCUCCCACCAAACCAAGUCCAACUCGGUUUGGGGGGGGAGUCCUCCCCCCCCUUGGCUCGGCCGACCCCUUGGGAGUCCCUUGGACCCCAAGGCAAGGUCCCCCUCCCUCCUCCUAUAUAUAUGGGGCUUUUAGGGCAGAUUUGAGACGACUUUCUCACGGCUGCCCGACGACAUACAUCCAUAGUUUUCCUCUAGAUCGUGUUUCUGCGGAUCUCGGGACUUGACCAUGGCUUCCCGGUAAACCCCACUUUCGCCCCAAGUAGUUGCAGAACGGGAAAAGUAGUAUUUUUUCGUCACAACUUGCUCAGUGUGCUAGUCCCACUUUUAUUUACUUAUUUAGCCAAAAAAGACUUCGAAAAGAUUGGAGUGACACCCUUCUCCAUGUGGUGUUAAAUAUAAUUCGAUUAUAUCACAACCCCGUAGGGUGUGCAGAAAUCAUGAUAGUCAAACCCAAUGGAGGUUUGUUCUACGCAACACCAUAUGNNNNNNNNNNNNNNNNNNNNNNNNNNNNNNNNNNNNNNNNNNNNNNNNNNNNNNNNNNNNNNNNNNNNNNNNNNNNNNNNNNNNNNNNNNNNNNNNNNNNUUCCCUUUUGCUUGUUUAAUGAAAUCAUUCCUUGGUCCAAGAUCAUACCUCUGAACAUCGAUGAUGCUUGGUGCAACGACCGAAGAGGAUGCAUAGAUUUAUCCGAAGAAUUCAUCAUCUAUAUGUGGGUCUGCUGGGCACCUUCUAGGGUUCCCUAGAAAACAUCAUGGUCAGAACUGUUAGAGAAGGUAUCGUCUUGGAUCUGCAAUAUUUAAUGCUAGUGGCGUGAUAACAAAAGCAUUGUGAUGAUGCAUGGGGAGAAACUCUUGGAAACAUAUUGAUCAUAAAUGGAAGGAUGAAAUUCAGUUUAUCCUGAAUAUGAGACAUGCAUCUUGAGUGGUGAUAGGAAAGGUUAUGAGUGUGCCAGUCCCACUUUUCUAUUCAUUUGGUUGGAAAAUCAUAGAACAAGUUUGAGUUACCAACCUUAAGCUUCACCAUGUGGUGUUAAGUGUWAWUUCCAUAUAAUCCAACUCUGUAUAUUAUGCAUAAAUCAUGAUAGUGAGACCCAUCUAAGAUUUGUCCUUCACAACACAUAAGGUUAAGGUAACUCCACGGUUAAACUCUUUCAGUCUAGCUUCUACUUCAUCUGAUGAGUAUCUUGAUGCGGAAGAUCACUAUGAGGAUAAUGACUUAGAUCAUCCCAUGUUGACUAAAAUAAAAAAAUUAAUGUAGCUCUACUUAAAGGAAAGNNNNNNNNNNNNNNNNNNNNNNNNNNNNNNNNNNNNNNNNNNNNNNNNNNNNNNNNNNNNNNNNNNNNNNNNNNNNNNNNNNNNNNNNNNNNNNNNNNNNGGAGAAUUAGUACUAAUCAAACCAUGAUAGGCAUGGAUCUGUCAUGACAAGACCAAAUAAAGAGUUUGUCGUAAAGGGUUACAUCAAUGCAAGCUUUGACACUAAUCCGAAUAACUAUGAGUAGUGAAACGGAUUCGUAUAGUAGAGUAGAUAUUUGGAGCAUUUCCGAAUAACACGUAKWAGCAGCAUCUAUAAGAUGACAUAAAGAUUUGUAAAGAACGCACGGAUCUGAAAGUUUCAGAACCGUUGACUAAAACCUCUCUCACGAGCAAGACGUGAUCACGACCCCAUAACUAUAGUGGGGUGUUGGAUUCACAGUGGUGAUGUGAACUAGUAUUAUUGACUCUAGUGCAAGUGGGAGACUGUUGGAAAUAUGCCCUAGAUGCAAUAAUAAAUUAGUUAUUAUUAUAUUUCUUAGUUCAUGAUAAUCGUUUAUUAUCCAUGCUAUAAUUGUAUUGAUUGGAAACACAAUACUUGUGUGGAUACAUAGACAAAACACUGUCCCUAGUAAGCCUCUAGUUGACUAGCUCGUUGAUCAAAGAUGGUCAAGGUUUCCUGGCCAUAGGCAAGUGUUGUCACUUGAUAACGGGAUCACAUCAUUAGGAGAAUCAUGUGAUGGACUAGACCCAAACUAAUAGACGUAGCAUGUUGAUCGUGUCAUUUUGUUGCUACUGUUUUCUGCGUGUCAAGUAUUUGUUCCUAUGACCAUGAGAUCAUAUAACUCACGGACACCGGAGGAAUGCUUUUUGUGUAUCAAACGUCGCAACGUAACUGGGUGACUAUAAAGAUGCUCUACAGGUAUUUCCGAAGGUGUUCGUUGAGUUAGUAUGGAUCGAGACUGGGAUUUGUCACUUCGUGUGACGGAGAGGUAUCUCGGGGCCCACUCGGUAAUACAACAUCACACACAAGCCUUGCAAGCAAUGUAACUUAAUGUAAGUUGCGGGAUCUUGUAUUACGGAACGAGUAAAGAGACUUACCGGUUAACGAGAUUGAAAUAGGUAUACGGAUACUGACGAUCGAAUCUCGGGCAAGUAACAUACCGAAGGACAAAGGGAAUGACAUACGGGAUUAUACGAAUCCUUGGCACUGAGGUUCAAACGAUAAAGAUCUUCGUAGAAUAUGUAGGAUCCAAUAUGGGCAUCCAGGUCCCGCUAUUGGAUAUUGACCGAGGAGUCUCUCGGGUCAUGUCUACAUAGUUCUCGAACCGCAGGGUCUGCACACUUAAGGUUCGACGUUGUUUUAUGCGUAUUUGAGUUAUAUGGUUGGUUACCGAAUGUUGUUCGGAGUCCCGGAUGAGAUCACGGACGUCACGAGGGUUUCUGGAAUGGUCCGGAAAUGAAGAUUGAUAUAUAGGAUGACCUCAUUUGAUUAUCGGAAGGUUUUCGGAGUUACCGGGAAUGUACCGGGAAUGACAAAUGGGUUCCGGGUGUUCACCGGGGGGCAACCCACCCCGGGGAAGCCCAUAGGCCUUGGGGGUGGCGCACCAGCCCUUAGUGGUCUGGUGGGACAGCCCAAGAAGGCCCUAUGCGCCAUAGGAAGAAAAUCAAAGAGAAAAGGGAAAAAAGAGGAGGUGGGAAAGGGGGAAGGACUCCUCCUUCCAAACCUAGUUGGACUCGGUUUGGAAGGGGAGGGUUGCCUCCCUUGGCUCGGCCGCCCCCGGCGUCCCCGCACCACAGCGACCAGGCCGACCCCGCACCCCGCGCCUCAGCUCCGCCUCCGCCUCCGCCAGCGACGACGGCGGCGCCAGCGCCGCGUCCGGGAACUCGCCCUCCUCCGCCGCCGCCAGGUGCGUCGCCCCCCCCUACGCGUUUCCUCCUGNNNNNNNNNNNNNNNNNNNNNNNNNNNNNNNNNNNNNNNNNNNNNNNNNNNNNNNNNNNNNNNNNNNNNNNNNNNNNNNNNNNNNNNNNNNNNNNNNNNNUGGUGGUGGUGCAAGCCGAGGCGGCGGCGGCUUCGUGCGUCUGGAUUCGCUCGUACGUGGGGUUGCGGGCGGCCUGGGMUGYGAGCGGGCAGGAGGAAACGVCGUAGGGGGGGGCGGACGCACCUGGCGGCGGCGGAGGAGGGCGAGUUCCCGGACGCGGCGCUGGCGCCGCCGUCGUCGCUGGCGGAGGCGGAGGCGGAGCUGAGGCGCGGGGUGGCGGGGUCGGCCUGGUCGCUGUGGUGCGGGGACGCCGGGGGCGGCGGCGGCGGAGGCGGCUGCUGCGGGGCAGCGAAGACGACCUUACUGAGCAAUGUCGACCAUUUCAUGGUGCCGGCCCCUCAUCCGCCGCGCAGAUCCCGGCCGGAUCCCGCCGAUUCGCCGGAGUUCCGACGCGAUCCCCCUCCUCGCGCUCCCCUCGUUCCCCCCCUCCAGCAGAAAUGAUUUCCCCGGCGUGCGCGCGUGCGUGGCCGCCUGCUCCCUCCGCCUCCUCUCCCUCGUCGCCUCCGACUCCUAUUUUUGUUGUGCUGUUUCUCUCUUGCUUGUGUGCCCUCUCUCUCUCUCUCUCUCUCUCUCUCU
rnacentral:lncRNA from 1 species